rnacentral:lncRNA from 1 species
GAGACCCACCUCCCCGCACCUCUAGAACUACCACUAGAUUUGGCCCAAGUUCUAGCUAAUCAGACCCGACUCAUUGAAGUCCUCACUAGAAGUCUGGAGAACCAGCACCCAGGUGGUGGAAGACCACAAGACAGGAUGGGAGAAUUUCUGAGACUCAAGCCUCCCACGUUCGCUGGAUCCAACAAUCCCCUCGAUGCCGACGACUGGCUGCGCACGAUCAAGAGGAAACUGGAAGCCAUCGGAUGCCCCGAAAAUCAGCGUGUUCAAUUGGCUGCUCAUCAAUUUUCUGGGAUGGCCCUAGCAUGGUGGGAUACCUUCAGCGAGGCCGUCAGGGAUGCUACCUGGGUAGAAUUUGAAACUGCUUUCCGCGAGCACCAUGUACCCCAGGGGAUCGUUCAACUCAAGGAGGAUGAAUUCCGGGAACUAACUCAAGGUGGAAGAUCUGUUAGUGAGUACGUGCAUAAAUUCACAGAGUUGGCUCGUUACGCGCCUGACGAUGUCAGCACCGAAUCCAGAAAGAUGGCCCGUUUUCUGAAAGGGCUAAGACCAGAACUCAAGACCAUCCUCGCCAGCCAAGAUUUCCUCAGCUUCUCGCACCUCUCCAACAAAGCCAUACAAGUGGAAAGGGCAAAAUAAGAAGAAAAAGGGAAUCUCAAGAGGAAAUUCCAAGUUCUCCGAGCUCAGUAGCAAGACCGACACCAGAGAACUCGAACCUUUGGACUUCCACCCAAGGGACCAAGCUUCAAUAGACCAGCCGGACCCACUCCGUCAUGCUACAGCCAGCAAAGUCAGAGUACCUUUUAGGCCCCCUCGGUUGCAAGCAACCAACCGCCAGCAAAUGCCUGUUGGCACUGCGGAGACCCCAAUCACUUCAAGAAUAACUGCCCCUAGUUGAAGGCACCCGGACCUACCUACUCCAACUCGGUGAAUGGCCCCAAGAUUACCUCAGCACCUGCCUCAAGGCACCCCCCCCUCCAACAGUCAGCAGAGCAGGACCCAGUACCAGGGCAGAGCACGAGUUAACCAUGUCGAUGCUUAAGAGGCCCAGCAAGCUCCGGGAGUAGUGCUCGGUGAGUUCCUUGUCGAAUUUACUCCCGCUACUGUACUUUUUGAUUCAGGAGCAUCCCAUUCAUUUAUAGCCACUAGUUUUGUGGAAAAGCGUGGCAUUCCCUCUACACCCCUAGAAAUUCCUUUGGUCACCCGAACCCCGGGGUCAGACCUUCUAUGUCAGCUCAAAUGCUCCCAGGUCAGAAUUCUUUUAAGUGGGGUAGUGUUCCUGGCAGACUUAACCGUCUUGCCAUCCCAAGGGAUUGAUGUGAUCCUAGGAAUGGAUUGCCUAACUAAGCACAAGGGCAUCAUAAGUUGCGAAAGUAAGACCGUCCUUCUCACCGACCGCCAAGGAAAAGCAGUUUCCUGUCAGGACCAACCGACCGCCAAUGAUCCAAUGAUGUUUAAUCUGGCAACAUAAAACAUAUCUGUAAUAGAAGAAUUCAUGGAUGUAUUUCCGGAAGAGUUUCCUAGAAUGCCACCUGAAAGAGGAGUGGAGUUCUAUAUAGAUCUCAUUCCUAGCACUGCGCCCAUCGCAAAGAGACCAUAUCGCAUGGCCCCCACAGAGUUAGCAGAAUUAAAACUCCAGAUUGCAGAGCUGCAACAAAAAGGGUACAUCCGUCCCAGUUCGUCUCCCUGGGGAGCACCCGUCCUUUUCGUCACAAAAAAGGAUGGAAGUAUGAGAAUGUGUAUUGAUUACUGAUCCUUGAAUGAAGUUACAAUCAAGAAUAAGUACCCAGUCCCUCGGAUCGACGAUCUCUUCGACCAGCUGCAGGGAGCCAAAUAUUUCUCCAAGAUAGACCUAAGGUCAGGAUAUCACCAACUGAGAAUCAGGGAAGCAGAUAUACAGAAGACUGCAUUCGUCACCAGAUACGGGCAAUAUGAGUUCACAGUAAUGCCGUUUGGGCUAACAAACGCCCCCGCCUUUUUCAUGAACCUCAUGAAUAAGGUAUUCAUGGAAGAAUUGGAUAAGUUUGUCGUAGUCUUCAUCGACGACAUCCUUAUCUAUUCCAAGAAUCGCAAGGACCAUGAGCGUCACCUUCAAAUCGUCCUCGAAAGACUCAGGGCACAUCAACUCUAUGCUAAGCUCAGCAAGUGUGAAUUCUGGUUAGAAAAGAUAGCCUUCCUUAGGCAUAUCUUGACUGUAGAAGGAAUAGAAGUAGAGCCAUCCAAGGUAGAAGCCGUUUCAAAAUGGAAGCAGCCAUCCAACGUUAGUGAAGUGUGAAGCUUUCUGGGAAUGGCAGGGUAUUACCGCCGCUUUAUUAAGGGAUUCUGCAGCAUAGCAAGACCUAUGACCGAACUUCUCAAGAAGGACAAUAAGUUUGUGUGGACUCCAAAGUGUGAGGAAAGUUUGCAGAUCAUAAAGGAGAAGCUCACGACCGCACCCGUUUUGACACUACCAGAUAUACACCAGGAUUUCGUCAUCUUCUGUGAUGCUUCAAGGCAAGGCUUAGGGUGUGUCUUAAUGCAAAAUGAGAAAGUUAUUGCUUAUGCAUCCCGCUUACUCAAGCUGCAUGAGCAGAAUUACCCCACCCACGACUUGGAGUUGGCAGCCAUAGUGCACGCCCUAAAAAUAUGGAUGCACUAUCUGAUUGGGAACAAAUGCCACAUCUUCACUGAUCACAAGAGUCUGAAGUACAUCUUCACUUAGCCAGACCUCAACCUCCGUCAAAGAAGAUGGCUUGAACUGAUUAAAGAUUAUGACCUCGAGAUCCAUUACCACCCCGGGAAGGCCAACGUGGUAGCAGACGCCCUCAGCCGAAAACCUUUCGGGAUAAAGGGGACCAACUUUUUAGAUGAUUGGAAGAAGAAAUCAGCUCAGCUAAAUGCAUGUCUGGGAGACAACGGUAGCCUGGAAGUCAAGCCAAUGCUAGAAGACCUCAUAUGCAAGGCUCAACGCCUGGACGCGGAGACAACAAGACUUAUGGAAAGAGCUCGCAAGGAGCAACUUCCGGACCUUAGGGCAGAUGAACAAGGAGUUCUUUGGUUCAAGAACCGUCUGUGUGUACCAAAAGGAGAGGCACGAGAAGUCCUGUUCAAUGAAGCCCACAACUCAGCCUACUCCAUCCACCCAGGAACCACCAAGAUGUACCUAGACCUCAAAGCCAGAUACUGGUGGAGAGGGAUGAAAAAGGAGAUAGCACAGUAUGUGGCCUGGUGUGACACCUGCCAGCAAACGAAGGCCGAACACCAGAAACCUGCAGGCCUACUACAACCCCUCCUAGUGCCUGAAUGGAAGUGGGAGGAAAUAGGCAUGGAUUUUGUAACCAAACUGCCCCGGACGCAAAAAGGGAAUGACUCUAUCUGGCUAAUAAUAGACCGUCUCACCAAGGUGGCCCACUUCAUUCCAGUAAAAACCACUUUUGGAGGAGCCACCCUUGCCCGGAUAUAUCUUAAAGAGAUAGUCAGGCUCCAUGGUAUUCCUCGGAAGAUAGUGUCAGAUAGAGGGACGCAGUUCACCUCAAAAUUUUGGAAGAGCCUUCAGCAAGCUAUGGGCACCAAGUUAGAUUUCAGCACCGCCUAUCACCCUCAGUCAGAUGGUCAAACAGAGAGAGUCAACAAGGUCCUCGAAGAUUUACUAAGAGCCUGUGUGUUGACGUUCGACAGGAAUUGGGAGUCCAGUUUGUCGUAUGCCGAAUUCUCAUAUAACAAUAGCCAUGAGGCCAGUAUCAAAAUGUCACCGUUCGAAGCAUUGUAUGGACGAAAGUGCCAGACCCCCCUAAUGUGGUCCAAUGUAGGGGAAAGGAUACUAGAAGGACCUGACUUUGUUAAAGAAGCCGAAGAGAAAGUUGCCCUGAUCCACAAGAGGUUACUUGAAGCUCAGAGUCGACAGAAAAGUUAUGCAGACAACAGACGGAGAGAACUCGGAUUUGAGGAAGGAGAUUUCGUAUACCUCAAGGUCUCCCCGAUGCGUGGUGUCAAAAGGUUCCAAAUGAAAGGAAAGUUAGCACCACGAUUCGUCGGUCCCUAUCCCGUCAUUGGCAGAGUGGGACCCGCAACAUACCGCCUUGAACUACCAGAAUCCAUGUCAGAUAUUCACAAUGUGUUUCAUGUGUCCCAGCUCCGUAAAUGCUUGCAAGUACUAGAGAACCACAUCGAGGCAGAGACAAUUCAGAUUCAAAAAGAUCUCCAGUACCGGGAAAAGCCAAUAAAGAUUCUUGACUCAGCAGUCCGGAAGACCCGCAACUCAGAAGUAAGACUCUGUAAGGUUCAGUGGAGCAGAGAAGGGGAAGAGGAAGCUACUUGGGAAAGUGAGGACUCUCUGAGGAGGGAAUACCCUUACCUUUUCUCGAGCCCCGUCUGAAUCUCGAGGGCGAGAUUCCUUUAAGUGGGGUAGGUUUGUAACAUCCCAAUUUUUAACCCAGGUUUGGAACCCUAAUUUAACCCCCCCUUCUUAUUAUCUAUCCCAAAACUCCCCUAGAUUUUCUCAUCAUAUGCAUACACCUUGUUUGAUUAUAAGCACCUCACUUAGAUUUUAUUUUCUAGCACCUAAGAAUUUCUAGUAAAGUAAUUGUUCAAAAGAAAAGGAUAUAAAAAUGGAUAUAGAAAUUGGAAAAAUAAAAAAGAAAAGGAAAAACCCCUCUCUCCCCCUAGCUGGGCCGAAUCCAGCCCACCGCCGCGGCCGCUCGCCCCUCUCGCGCUCGCGACUCCCUCCCCCUCAGCCCACCUACCGGCCCACUCCGCGCUCGCGCCCGCGCCGCUGACACGCCAUCCCCACUCGUCAGUCCCGCCCCCUCGCCCUCGCUCGUGACCGCUCCCCUGGCAGACUGGCCCCACCGGUCAGCCGCCCCGUCGUCCUCGCCGCGUACGGCUUCGUCGCGGUCACCUCCGGCCACCGUCCCCUCCCCUCCCCCGUCACGUCCCCUCGCCCAUCCCCUCGCCACACAAGGAAGUUUGGCAUCGCCCCGUCCUCACCGCUUGACCGUGUCCUUGCCCGGUACCGCCCCCGCCGUGCGGUCUCGUCGUCGCCACUGUGCGGCAAUUACUUCGGCGCUGUGCACCUCACCAGCGUCCGCCGAGCUCCACCGCUCCCCUCCCCUUGGGCGCCUAUAAAAGGGUUGCCCCGAGCACUUCCUUGCCCCGCAACGGCCUCAGCCACCCCUCUUCUCCCUCGUCGAGCUCAGUCGCGAAGGCGCCGCCAUCUUCUUCCCCUUCGGUAAGCCUUCCCCCUCUUCUCCCUUCCCCUCUGGUGGUUCAGCGAGAAAUUAGAAAGGCCUAUCAGCUUCGCCACACCGACGUGAACUUGGGACACCACGCCCCUACCCCAAUCCCCGCCCAAACCUCACCGUCGGCGACUCCCACCGCGGAGCUCCGCCACCUCCCCGCGGUCAGCCCCCUCCCGGCCCCCUCUAGCCAAAUUGAGCACGCCCCUAAGUUCGCCAGCCCCUCCUCAUGCUAGGGCGCCUGCCCAUUACCCAAGAACCGGGUCACCGGCGGCGAAUCGCCGCCGAGCCCACUGGCGGCCGGGUUCUCCCCCGCGGACGGCCGGUUCACCCCGCCGUCGACCGUUGGCGCCGUUUCCCCCCUCCCACUCUCUCUGUCAUGUGGGCCCCGCGGAGACGGCAUCACCCUCGCGCGCCCGCAUCGUCUCCCUCCUUGGGCCGCAUCUGGGUCGGCGCAUUCGCGCCUGCCCGCGCCCGGCUGGGCCAGAUUACCCCCCCCCCAUGGCCCACCAGAGUUGAAUUGCUUUUCUUUUUUCCUUUUUCGGCCUUUUCUCCUUUAAAUUAUUACAUCUCAAUAUUUUAUGCACCAAAAAUUAUCAAAAUAAUUUCUAAAGUCACAUGUAAUAAUAAUGUUAGAAAAUGACACACUCCAACUAGUAAACCACUAUUGAUGUAUUGUUUUAUUGCCUGUUUUACUAGAAGAAGCGGGGACCGUCGAUCCGGAACCCGUAGCCCCGGAAGAAGGGUCGGAGCCCGAUCUCCCAGAGGUAGACCUUUUGUGCCAGGAAAGCUUCGACGAAGGCAAGUCCAUACUUCCCUUGAUGCAUAAAUUACCUAUUCUUUCUACCACUACCUAGGCCAGGAUUUCAGGGUGGGAUAUUUGCAUUGUGAGUAGAGAGAUAGCCCGCAUUAACAUAUAUCUUUUGGAUACGAAAUGUGGGUUGCGAGAAAGGGCAAUAUGUUUCUUCAAACAAGGUUUCUUUUUUUAAAAAAAAGGAAUGUGUGAUGAAGGGUAUUCACCCUCAUCACCUUGGAGUGGGAUGAUCAGGGACUCCCUGGUUUAGGGGAGGGCCUAAGGUGUUGGCUCAGCUGGUUUAGGCGUGAGCAGAAGGAUUGUCCCCUCAUAUAAGGACCGGUUUGUCAUCUUCACUUCCUGUACUCUUUAAUAGUACAACCUGUGACACCCCAGGUGUCUAUUUCGUGUUAUAUCGGGUAAUUUAUCCUAAUCUCGGAUGCUCAGUGAAAAUUUCUAUUUCUCGAUCGUGCCUAUCUCUGUUUAUCAGGCUUUCUCUUGGAAGUUCACCGAAUUCAGAGUUAUUCGAUCUCGAGAAACAACCCAUUUCGGAGCGUGUUAAAACUUUUAUCUCUCGGAACGAAUGCAGACUCGAAGAUCAUUCUCGAAUUAUAAAUCUCAUCUGAAGUUCAUUAAAUCAAACUCUCGACGACUGUUAUCUGAUCUGAGCCCGAAUCCAAUUCCUCGAACUUCGAUCGAUGUUCGACUAUUUUAUUCGGAUCCGUACUCUCAAACGGAAUACUCAAUAUGUCGUCCUCUAAAUCAAUUUUAUCCGUUUCGGCCAAAUAUCUUAUGUUCGAACCGAACUCAAAACCCCGUAUCGACGACAAUUUUAAAAUGUCACGAUCCGAUUUCUCCGACUAAAAAUCCAAAGCCGAUCAAAUCUCAGGACGAAUUAUUUUCGAAUCACGCGCAGGUAAUUAUUUUCGAGCAAAAUCAAAUUAGAAUCUCGACCGAAUUAAUCGCUCAACUUUCCGUUCGUCCGAACUCUUUUCGCUCUGUUUCUCAGUAGCGACGAAUUCCGCAGGAACAUUUUAGUCCGGAAAAUAUUUAGCGCGACCCAAUUUAGUGUUUUGGGCCAAAUCCAGCCCGGCCCAAUUAGGCCCAUUUGAAACCCUAACCCUAGGGUUUCUCUAUAAAUACGGAUCCCUCUCCCUUGCCCUUGGCUAUUUUGCACUCCCACCCCUCAAAAUUUCCUAGCCGCCACUCUCUUCCUCCUUCUCCCUCAUGCAGCAGCAGCCUGCUUUCUUCUCCUACGACAGCAGCACGCCAGCACGCAGGGGCCUCCCAUGGCCGCCAAGCUCCCUCAACGCCAGCGUCCUCCUCUCCUCCCCACGGCUGCAGCAGGGCGUUCUUCCCCAGCCUUCCCUGGGCGCGCACCCCUCCUCCCCCUUCUUCUUCCUCCAGCCAGCAGGCGCCCAGAAAUUCCAGCGGGAGCUCCAUGGCCGAGCUCGCCCAGGCCCCGACGCCUCUGCUCGGUCGCAGCUCUGCAGGCUCUCUCCACCGCGCCCCCUCCUUCCUCGCCGCGCUGAAGCUCCUCAGCCAUGGCGCCCAAGCCCUUCUUCUUCCUCUGCCCAACACCCCUCUUCUCCACUGCGUUAAGAGCAGGAAGCCUUUUUAUCCCCUGCGCACAGGGAGCAGUUCCCUUGGCCGACGCCCUCUGUGGCAGCCAUGGCACCUCCCUCCCUCUCUACUCGUGCGCAGGAAACCCCUCAAGCGCAGGGAAGAACAGCAGCCCACCCUUCAAAACACCAAGCAGCGGCUCCCGUCUCCCAGCAACCUCCAUGGACGCCCCCUGUUUUCUUCUUCGCGCAGCAGCAGGGAGCCCCUGCUCGACCAGCUGCCAUGGCGUCCAAGUUUUCUGCGCAGCAGUGCCGAUUCAAAAAAAACAGCAGCCAUGAGAUCCCGCCCGUAUCGCUUGCAUUGACCCGAUUUGCGCAGCGCCUGCGCGCCGUCGUCGAAACCCGUGGUGAGAAAACCCUCGCUGCCAUUGCUGCUUUUAUAUUUUUAUUUUGUGCUUGGUAAAACUGUUGAACGGUUGUGUGCGUGUGUCUAAUCGCAGCUAGCCGUCAAAGCCAGUCGUCGCGCACGCGUGUUCGAUACAAGACCGGUCGGGUGAACCACAUGCAUGCCCAACUCAGAUCCGAUUCCGUUCAGGUUGAUUGAUUUAUAGUUUACAAUAUGUAUGUUUUGGUUGAUGGUAGGCAGUGCAUGUAGGUGUGGAUGUGUAUAAAAUGUUUCGGUUAUGCGCAUUGGUAGGAUCGCGUUUGUGAUUGGAGAACAAGAGGUUAUUUGAGGUGUGCGAUUUGUAGUUAUUCUAAUUAUGUUUUGGUCGAUGGUGUGCAUGUGUGAUUAUUUGUGUGAAAAUACAUUUGUAUGGAUGGAAGCGUGUAGAGAGGAAAAUGAAGUAGAAAAGAACUCCGAUGUUUUUAUAUCUUGGUAGGAAGAAAAUAUGCAAUGCGUUGUUUGAUGCAAAAAAAAACUAAGUUACAAAAUGCGAAUUAUGUUUUGGAAAAUGUAUCGAUAUGUAGUUAUGCGAAAAGUAUAAUUGUUUAUUGCAACGUGAUGGGAUUCAUGAUUAUAUAGGGAGUAUAUUUAUUGAUGUGAUGAGUAGUUAGGAAAUGCUAGUUGCGUAUAGGAUGAAUUAUUAAAACAUGAGUAUCGGAGUUCAUAUAUUAGUGGUCGCGCCACAUUGAUUGAAGUGUCUCGAGUGCACGCCAUGAUAUGGUUGUAGGCGAGACAAGGUUGUGCGCAUGAUGAGUUUAGUAAGAAUCCAUCGGGGUCACUAGUGUUAAGUUGAGGAUGAUUUGCGCGUGGAAAGUAACAGUGUGUUUAAUACUUAGAACUCUUGGUCGAUAGUAGAAAUUGUUUUGGCAUAUGUAGAGAGGUGAUGACAUGCCGUAAGUAGUCAUCACUUCCUCUAUAAUUAUAAGUUGAGUCUUUACACGUUAGGCGUUCCUUAAAUUGUGCUUCACAAAUGAGUGUAUGCUUGUGUUUAUGACUUGAAUAGAUGUUUUCGAGUAAACUAAUAAGUUCCUAAAGCAAUUAUGUGUAAGGUGUUUAUAGUGACACUUUAUCCCGAAAGGUGUUAAGUCUGUGCAUAAAUAAGAGAUAAGUGUACUUGUGUAGUGUGGAUUGAUUUUGAGUACAUAUGUCGCAAGAAAUGGAUGAGUGCGCAUAUAGGAGAUGAAUGUGUGUGAUGAAAUGGUGGCAUGCCUUCGUAUUCAUCAUGUCGUCUGUUUUGUGGCUUAGCCGAGAGUCGUGAAGAAAUGUCGCUUACCUAUGUGUUAAUAUUGUCCCUCUGCAACUCUGUAUAAUUGCCAUGUGAAGUAUGAUUGGAUUAGUCUAUGUUUGCGAUGUGUGGUGAAGUGAUGGCAUGACUACGUAGCCGUCACGUCACCUAUUAUGUGACUAUGUUUAAGUGUGUCUUGAUCUAAGUAGAGUAAGUCAAGUCUCUAAAAUGCGGAAAUUCUUGAAUUGUAUAGAAGCUGAAUUUUAGUAAUUGCUGUUUUGGGCUGCACGCGCUGUUUUUGUUGUGCUGUAUGUUUGAUGAACUAAAUUGUGUUUUCUGUGGAUAUGUGCUAUAGAAAAGUGGUAGAUAACUUGAUUAUCUUGCUAGUGUUAAAAUUUGACAGGCAUAAGUCUGAUCGUUUAGGAGUUAUGAUUUUUAUAAAUUCAGUGACUGAAUCUGUCUAAAUUCUGUACAGAUUUCAGAAACUGUAUUGUUUGCCUAAUGUAAUGUUAGAAUCAGUCCUUGUCGAUUAUAAGGAAGUUGUAGAUGCUUUUCUCAUCUUGCUUGUGUUAAAAUUUCAGAACCACAGGCCUGAUAGUCUAAGAGUUAUGAAUUUUAGAAACUGCUUGUUGUGUUCUGUCCACUGACAGAACAGAUUUCGAAAACUGAAUUGUUUGAUUCAGUUCAACAUGGAAUCACCCCUUGGUGAUUAUAAAAGUUGUGUAGUACUUUUUCUUAGCUUUCCAAAAAGUCUUGGAUCACUAUUUUUGGUGAUCUGAAGAUUAAGUUAUGGAUGUUUAAAGUCUGAAGACUGAAUCUGUCCAAUUCUGGACAGCAAAGCCUUCUAGUGCCUUUUAUACUUAGUUAAAUACUGAAUCACCUUGAGAUGAUUAUAAAUGAUAUGUGGACAAUUUCAUUACCUUUCCAGAAAGUCUAGGAUCACUUUGUUUGGAUGUCUGAAUCUUCAGUUGUGAAUUUUUGAAGUUGCAAGCCUGAAUCUGUCCAAAUCUGGACAGAGCUGCUGUGUUUGCACAAUUCGACUUUGCUAAGUGUAGAAUCAUGUUGUGAUGAAAAUACCAAAAUUGUAGAGCACUUUCUAAAAUUUCCAGAAAGUCAUAGUUUACUAUUUUUGGAUUAAUAUUUGAAAAGUUAUGAUUAAAACAAGUAACUGCUGUGCUGCUGUCCUAAAAAUCUGCACGUGCUCAAAUGAAUGUUUAGUUCACCAUUUUGGCUAAAAAUGCUUAGUUAGCGCUUAACGGAUAUAGACUUGUGAUGGCUAAACUUAGGUUAACAUGUGUUCCGUGAUUAAUGUGCUUGCUUGCUGUAGUUGGUUGUGGAUAUAAGUUUUGUUGUUAUUGAUGCCUAUGUCCUGUUUAAACGUACGUUGUCUUGGUUGCUCUUGUGUAGUCAAUAGGAGAACUAAGGAAAAGUCGUAGCAAGUUAAAUAAAUGUUCAUGCGUGUGAUGUCCUGUUGUGUUGGUUAAUUAAAAGUCGUGAUCGUCGUCUUUCCAGUGGUAAUGUUUACGUGUGCCCAAUGACACAUAAAUAACUAGUGUUUGCGUAUAGUUGUUGCAGUGUCUUACUAACUAAUGUUUAGUUCAGUUCGCCACUGUGUCUUGGUAUACCUUGUGCUAUUUUUGUGCUACUUUCAUUAUAUUCAUACAUAUGCAUCUUGCACCUCAUUUAGGACCGAGAGAUGACGAUCGUGCAAGUGAUGUGGUGCCACCCACAAGAUGCAGUCGGUGGACGACCCAAGGAAGGAUGGACAUAACCAGUGGAUGCUCGCCAAGCGAGUACCUCCCCCCCCCAACAAACACUAUCUAAGUGUUAAAAAUUAAAGGCAAGCCCCGGUUUUAUGCAUAACCAUUUAUAUAUAUUAUUUUACUACACUUAAUGUUUGUAGGCUUGUAUUGUGCACUUAAGUGUAGGAGUUGAAUGAAACCCUAGUUGCAUGAACUCAGGAUUCCCUUUGAGAUGGAUACUAGUAUGCUAGGUCGAGUAGCUGCUUUAAUAAUUAGGGAUCUCGGUAGAAGUCGAGUGAUUUUUCUAGCACUCGCGCGAGGUCAGGACAUUGAUUGUACCCACUUUCAUAUCAUAUUGAUGAUUGGUCUGUGGACACGGGUCCAUGGGGACACGUGGUCUACGAGAUGAAAAUUGGAAUAAGGAUUAACGUGCGGAUACCUGUGUCAAGCGUUUGAACGUACUAAACACAUACCGAGAAAUAUGGUAAAUCGGUAAGCCUAGUACCUGAGUGAACCUGCCCGCAGAUUGCCCUCCUCACGCGACCUGAGACGAGGUCUCCCAUUCCGGUUAUGGUGGGUACAAGUGCGGUCACUGCACGACGGCCAGUCAGGGUCAGUGAGGCAUUGUACGCCAAGGCGGUGAGCCCCUUUCUGUUGCCAGGGAAUCGAUGGGGACGGUUGAUAUGUGUGGGGACGGAGUGCCCCUGCAUGUCGUGUGUUUAGGUUUACCUUGCAAGGAUAAAAACUCGAUUCGAAUCGUCUGCUUCUCGCAGCUAAUGAGACUGCUUGAUCCAUUGUACUGCAUUGAGUAAUAAGUGGAAAUGAGGUGACUGGCAAAAGAUGUUGAUUGAUAAAAUGUUUGAUACCAUGUAUGCAUAGCUCACAUCUAGUUUAAAAAGGAUCAUACUAAAACUUGAAAAGCUAAAACUUGAUUUUAGACUCAGCUAGUGCUUUUGGCAAACCAAACCCCUCAGCCAAACAGCUGCAUGUCUAGAGGUAGAGGAGUAGACUCCUCACACCGGGUAAGUCUAGCUGAGUAUUAGUAUACUCAGCCUUGCUUGUGGCACAAUUUUUGCAGGUACUCCUUAGGAUGAUUGGUUGCUGGUGUGACUUGGCCUUCAUCCCUGCCACCGGGAUAGAUGGUCGAGAGGGUUAUUGCUUCCGCAGGAGAGGACCAGGAGGAGUAGCGUGGCCAGGCUUCGCCAUGUUACUCGGUUUUCUCCGUUAGUUAUUUCCGCUGCAUUAAAAUUUAUGGUUAUUAUUUCUGAAACUCCGAUAAUGUAAUCACUAAUGAUACUUAUUAAAUUUGUGGUGUUAUGUUUUAUUGUAUUUCUCUGUGCCUCACCUUCGAGUGAGCUAGUGGUAUUCGAUCCUGGAUAAGUGGCUUUAUCGGACUAGAUCCGAGGGACUGACGGGUUAUUCCUGUUUAAGUGUGUUGCUGCCCUUAAGGGUGCGACUUGGGCACUUAAGCUGGAAUAAUUCGGGCGGUUCCGCCACACAACCACUCGAGACUGUGUGGGCAGUCACUCAAUCUGAACUCGUACGGUCCAACCCUAGGGUUAUGAAGGCCGGGGAGCACAAGGAGGAUAAGGAGGGGGUAUGUUUUGUCCGGUUUGGACAUGGCGGUGGCCUGACUCCUCCCGGUAUAACCGUUAAGGUUAGGACGUGCGAGGAAAGAAAGAGAUUCGGCAUUCGGGUCUCACGACGGUGAGAUCGCAGAAACCGGACUAGUGGGUAAAGUGUACCCCUCUGCGCAGAGUUGAAACCUAUUCGAAUAGUCCGUGUCCACUGGUAUGGACGAGUCUGGUGUGGUAUGACAAUUAGAGAUUUUUACAACCUCUGGGGACAAGGGAAUGUGUGUGUCAGUGCAUACUGGAAAAGAAAAUAAGGCCACGGGAGCGGGAAGCUCAGUGGUGGUUGAGUAUUUUGUUACUUUUAAUUCUUUGGGAAAAAACCCUACAUCAACUGCCUUUCUCUAAGAAAAUGAAGAGUGACUUCAACUCCACCAAAUAAAGCAUGUAUGAUAUAGGUCUCUUUCUCUUUACGGGAACGGGGUGGGCUUGCGGAAUACCUAGUGUAUUCACCCAGAUUUAUUUAUGUUUUUCAGCAGCCGAAGACUUCUUCUCUGCUAUGCUUGAUUAAGAGGGCUGUGUCUGCACCCAGUUCUGCCUGUGGCUUGGGCUAGUGUACUUUCUACUGCGCUUACUAUUCUGGCUCUCUCUCGAGCUUGUACCCCGGUAUUGUAAUAACCUUUAUUUGAACUAUGUACUAUUUGAAGUAAGGAAUGUGGUUACUAGCCUCCUGGGACUAGUAAUUGUAUCACAUUUGAGUCCCAAAGGAUCGGGACGCUUCAUGUUAUCUCGCGGCCCUUACUGGUGUGAAGGUAGUUCAUUCCUGCAGAAAUGGAUCUAGGGUCCUGCUUGUAAGGGCAUGUAAUGACAUUUGCUUGAGAGCAAAAUGUAAUAACAUAUGUACGCAUGAUUUUAGCCUGGGAAGCCAAGUUGUGUGUUCGAACCCCCUAGAUGGUGGCUUCAAGUACUAAGACACCUGCCGCAGGGCGGUGGAGUAUGCAGGCUCACGGUACGGGGCCAGGCUGAGUAGCUACAUGGUUUCCGGACCCCCCCAGGAGACAAGCGUCCGUUCUUCAGAGCUGGACCUCUAGGUUGUUGGACGCACAUGACUUUAGUUUUAAAUACUAGGACACCCGCCACAGAGUGGUGGAGUGUGCAGGAUUUUGGGUACGGAACCAGGCUAACCGGCCACACAGGCUUCGGACCACCCUAUGGAACGGGCAUCCGUUCUUUAGAACCGGCCCCCAGGCCUUUCCCUGUUUUUGUAAAGAAAUAAAUAUUGUCUUCUAAGCAGCAUUUAGCACUUAUCUGUGUAACGCCCGUUCCUGCUGUGUGCGAUGUUAUUGACUCCUCCUUAGUACCUGCCCCCCCCCCCCCGCCUGGGAUGCAGGCUUGGUGUGUUGAGGUUGGAUACCAGCGUUUCUGAAAAGGUUGUCAACAAUCCUCGGGAGGCAAACUCGCCGGGAUCAGGAUCUAUACACCACUUUUAGCUAGGAAGCAUUAAUAGUACACCUCAUAGGGUUCUCUGUCUGACAUUGGACGUCCUUUGAUACAUGCUCGGGACCCGCAGGUUUUAGUCCGGGUGGCCAUGUUGCGUGUCCAAACCCCCUUAGGUCGCGGUUCUAGAUACUAGGGCACUUGUCGCAGGGUGGUGGAGCGUGCAGGCCCACAGUACGCGACCAGGCUGAGCGGCUGCAUGGGCUCCAGACCACCCUAGGAGAGUAAUGUCCGUUCUCUAGCUCCGGUCCCGAGGUUGUCGGACCCGCAGGAUUUAUAAAUCUAGAUACUAAGUUCUCGACACGGGGUGGCGCAGCAUGUAGGCCCACGGUACAGGACCUGGCUGAGCGGCUACACGGGCUCUGGACCACCCUAUGGAACGGGGUCCCAUUCUCUAGAGCUGACCCCCAGGCUGUCGGACCUCCCUACUUUCGUGUCAGGGGCCCUAAACUGCAAGCCUGGCUGUUCAAUUCGGAUGUCGCCAUGUUAGACAGAUGGAAACUGUACGGGUGGGUUAGCUAAAAAGUAUUAUCUAAAAGACUGCAAGGUAGGACCAUGGAGCAGCAAGAUGGAACUAUCACAAGAGCACAGCUGAGGGGUAUUUCCUCUUUAUAACCUGUCGUGCAUGUGUGCAGACCAAUAGGCCAUGUUCAUGGGGGCAGACCCCACCGGGUUGUCGUACACAUAUGCGUUAUCUAGUUACAAAAAAGAGAAACAGACUCGACCCCUUAGCCUUGCUCUAUGGAUAGAACUUACAGAGAUGUUUGGCAUCGGGAUAAGGUGCUCCUCCAGUCAUAGCUAGAUGGUUGCCCCUGGGUCGGUGCACUCUUGUUACUUCGAAGGGUCCUUCCCAGCUGGGGGGGGAGUUGCGGAGCCCCCCUUGGUAUGGUACUUGUCGUGGGGCUAGGUCCCGACCCAGGGUUCCCGCCUACAUUUGACACAGGAGCCCUCGUCUCUGGUUGUGGCCACUUUUGCAUGUACCUGUUUGCAACCCGGACCCGUGGGGGAUCCAGAAGGGCCUCCGGAGGAAGGCGUCCUACGGCUCCGUAGGCCAGGGAACAUGGGGUCCCUCUGGGGUCCGUCUAGUUGUCUUCACCGGAGUAGGAGCCUUCGGCGAAGAUAUCCUUCAGGUCCCCCUCGGGCGACUGGUACCUGAGGUCCCGCUCAGCCGCGGCUACCUUGCCGUCGUCCACCUUCUCUUUGCGGGCCGGCGGCGAGGCAGGGAGCCAUCUUUGGAAGACUGCUCGCGCUGCUUGCUGACGCGUUUUGCAAGGUCAAUGAUCUCGCGACACUCCGCGGCGCUGUGGCGACCAUGCGGGUGCACAGGGCAUGAACCACUGCUACCCUUCUGCGGCCGCGGGCAUUUGUUGCGGUCGCCCUGGCCUCCGGUCGCUGCUGUGACCACCAGAGCGGUGGACCAUGGCUUCUGGUAGUCGCGGUCCUUCUUCUUUUUCUUCUUUCCGUCUCGGAGGACGGCCCCCAAGCCACCCGACUAGGCAGCUCUAGUUUGUGGGGUCAAGUGCCACGCACGGCCCUCGGCGGCUCUGGCGUACUUGUCGACCAGAGCGAAGAGCAUGGGGACAGUUCCACGUCAUGUGUGGCCAACUUCUACAACAUUUUUUCAUUACGUACUCCCUGUCGGAAGGCCGUGAUGAUAGAAGCAUCAGAAAUACGAGGUAUCGUACCUCGCACCUUGGUGAAGCGGGAGAUGAACUUCCGGAGGGUCUCCCCUGGCUCCUGCCUCACUGCAUGGAGGUGGGCCUCCACUCCGCGCUGUUGGUAAGCACUAGCGAAGUUCGCCACGAACCGCGCACAGAGUUCUUCCUAGGAGUAGACUGAUCCCGGGGUGAGGUUCAUGAGCCAGGUCCGGGCUGGUCCAGACAAGGCCACAUGAAAAUAUGUUGCCAUCACAGCGGUGUUUCCACCUGCUGCCGUGAUGGCGGUAACGUACACCUGUAGGAACUCCGACGGGUUCGUCGUUCUGUCGUAUUUUUCUGGCAGGUGCGGCCGGAACUUGGGUGGCCAGGACGUCGUGCGGAGAUGAUCCGCAAGAGCGGCGCAGCCCACACCGGCCAAGGGGACACCCGUUUGGGACCGGGUGCCCAUCGGUGUCUACGGCGCAACUGCAAUGAAGUCUUGAUCGAGGUAGCGACCAUCGAUGUUUUGGCGGCGCUCGCGCACCCUUUCCAAGGAUACCCAAGCGUCCUCUCCCGCACGCCUGCGGUUGAGCUCUGCCCGAAGGUCGUUGGUCUGUGCGCCCCUUACUGAGGGCGAGCGCACCGAUGCUGAUGCCUUGUGUUGGCACCGGGAUGACCGCGUCUUCGACCUGGUCGAGGUAGAAUGCGCCAUACUGAGCAGUCGGUCGACGUCGUCCCGCCAUUGCUUCAUGGCUCCUGGUGAAGCCGUGGAGCUUGGAGGGUGUCACAACAACUCCCUGGCUGCUGACAACACCCCCGGAGAUGCCCUUGAUGGAGUCCGGGAUGUUUGCGCUACCGUGUGCUGUCGUGCGGUGUGCACAGCAGGAGUGACUGGUGUCGGGCGACUGGGAACCUGCGGUGUGGAGGAAGCAGCUUCUCCCUCCACCGCAAAGUCUACCGAAGUCUCAGCGCGGUGCUCAAUGAUCUGCACCAUCAUGCUUGGGCAAGGGAUCAAGCAAAAACCUAAUGCCUAGGCCCCUACCUGGCGCGCCAAAUGUCGGAGAGUAAAUCUCUAGCCGGGUGGCGGAGUGCACCCGCCCUAAUUCCUGAGAUGAGGAGGGGCUUAGGCGUUUUGCUUGAUCGUUAGAAUGAACGGGAAGAACUCAAGAACACAUAAGGAUUUAGAGUGGUUCGGGCCGCCGGAGCGUAAUACCCUACUCCACUGUGAGAUGUAUUGCUUGUGAGCUUGCGAGUCUAAGGUGUGUCCUAAGAUUGAGUGUGUGUGUGUAACGUCGCAUGCCUCCCCUUUUAUAGCUGAAUGGGGGCAUGCACAAAGGCACUGGGCCCCGACAUGUGGGCCCAGGAACAUAAAGAAUAUAGCACUUGGAGCCACUAAUGUCUGUUGCCGAGACAAUCUUCUUGUCCCUGACGCCCGAGAUCUGUGUAUCCUUGGCGUACAGGGGAAGCUUCUUGCAGAAGGGAUCAUGAGGACAUUGUGCUGCCUGGCACGGUCGUACUGUUCGCCAGCAAACCCAGCAGGCGCGCCGCUUGCUGGGUGACCUUGACACCGCCUGCCAGCGGAUGGGACGGGACGCAUUAAAUGCUGAGAGGGCACGUCGCCCGUCAACACAGUGGCAGGCGGCGCGUCUUCUCCUCAAUAAAUGCAGGGGCUGCACGACUUCACAUCAGGUUCGACCCGGUAGCUUAUGUCAUGGGCCACAAGCAGCGGGUCUCCGCCUGAGCGGGAAGUGGAGGGCAAGGCCCGCACACGUGUCAGCAUCGGACCCCUGCUCAUACCAGGGUCCUCCUCGUUCCGGGACCCUGCUGGGGUUCAGACCUACCCGGAGGCUCCGAACUUAUAUGUAUAGGGGUCCGGUGUCCUUCUGGGGGUCCGGACUUACUGGGAUGUGUUGUCUUUCCUUGCCAUGUGGAGCCCUUUGGCCUGCCCAUGCGGUGGGGUCAGGCGUCGUCCUCCGCGUGGCUAGGAGACGUCACAUGGGUGCGACAUCUUCAUGCUGUAGGAGAGGGUACCCCUGAUUUAGGGUACCGACAGGCUACGUAGUGAAUCCCUGCCUAUUCACCUUAGUAGUGUUUAAGGGUUUUAUCGGCUUGAGGCAAGAGGGAAUCACGGCUUGUGGGUAAAGUGUGCAACCUCUGCAGAGUGUUAUGAAACUGAUAUAUCAGUCGUGCUCGCGGUUAUGAGCGGCCAAGGGAGCUCCAUUGAUUAGAGAUACUUUGAUCAGAGAUAUUUGGUUUACAGGUGGUGAUGAGGAUGAUGGUUAUGAUUAUGCUUAUGGUAAUGUUUCUGGUAUUCUUUCCGUUUUGGAAAGGGUACUUUUGGGUUAACAACUUGGGUUAAUACUAAAACCUGGCUCUCUACUAGUAAUAAUAACCUGACCAACUAAAAGUAAUUGCUGGACUUUAACCCCACAUAAUGACAUAAAGCUAGUCCACUACAGCCAAACAGGACAAUUGCUGAGUAUGUUGAUAUGUACUCACCCUUGCUUUACACACCAAACCCCCCAGGUUGUACACGUUGCAAACACCGCUCAGGAGAAGAUGAAGUCGUGGAGGAGGACUUCCAGGAGUUCCAAGAGUACGAUGAGUUCUAGGCGUGGGUUAGCGGCAAACCCCCAGUCGGCUGCCUGUGAAGGUCGCGUUUAUCUACGUUUCUUUUCCGCACUUUGAUAAUUGUUAAUGACUAUGUGGAUGUCUCGUACAUCAUGAUGUAAUCGACUAUUACUAUCUUUUAUGUUAUUAUUCGAGCACUGUGUGAUAAUGUCGGUUAUGUAACUGCUGUGUACGUGAAUUACUGAUCCUGACACGUACAUGGUUCGUAUUUGGUUUGUCUUCUAAAACCGGGUAUGACAUAAGGAAGAAAACCCGUUCUUUUUUAAUACCAAAUCAUUUCUGCUUGGCCAAAGAUAUCAACAGAUUUUUCCAUUCUUUAUUAAGAGCACAAGAGCAAGUAUAUAGAAUGAUGUAAGUGUUGGUUACUUGUUCUUGAUUGCUGUGAAUCAAAAGACAAGGCAACACAAAUAUUAAAUAUUAAGGACCUUCGUCCUUCGAAGCAUUAUCUUCUUUCAAAGAUAAUGGUUCUUGGAUGAAGGUGAUAAAGAACGGGUUUUCAUCUCUCAUGAAGAUAAUAUUAUAACACAAUAUUAUCUUGACUAUUCCCUUUAUUUUGCAUGUUAUAAUAAUGUCAAAAUCAAUAUUACAUGCAUAGUAAGACAUUACAAGCAUUACAUUACAUUUGUAUCUUCGGCUUGCUCGAAGGAGAGAAUGCAAAGAUGACUUUCAAUGAAAGCGUGAAAAGUACGGUAGUACUGUUCAUCUAUUUAUAGCCACGUGAUGCAGCCGAAAUAAAAAAAGUACAAUUAUGACCCUAAUGCUUAUAUAUUGUUCUAAUACAGAUACUAAGGAUAAAUGAGUCUUUCUACUGUUGAUCUGGUUUCUUGUAUAACCUUCGGGAUCACCUUAAGCCGAAGCUCUAAUUUUUUGUCGAAGCUCUAAUGUAUCCUUUGCGUAUCUGGUAUAGCUUCGGCAUUCAGUUCUUCGUCAUAUCUAUUAAUGACGAAUCAAAAAUGGUUUCCUUCAUUAUGAGGAUCUUCGACAGAGAAGGAGACCCCCAACAGUAAGCAGGCUAAAUAGGUUGCCACAUCAUAUUUUUGCCAUGUUAGAGGAGGGAGAAGAGAAGAGAGAGAAGAGAAGAGAAGAAAGAUAAGAAGCGGGCUAUUAAUUUAUCAGUCGACUAAGAGUUGGCUGUAGCACAUAUUCUAAGAAAUAUGAUGAGAGAAUGAGAGUACGAAGAUGGGGCUAGUAAUAAUUGUCCAAAGUUUUUACGGUCGACAAAACAGCCAACCUAUUAUAUGCAAUCUAUACUACCUAUUAAGGCUCUAAGGGGUAGGCUGCCUUUGCUUGUUCUGCCUUCCGACGAUCUCAACCGUCCAAUACGCUCUAGAGUCUCUCAGCCAUCCGAUGCGCGCACUCUCACCCCCACGCAUCGCUCCGCCCCCACCCGAUCGUCCAACCGUGCGAGCACCCUAGCUUUGCAUCCCCGGUGCCGUCGCCGCGGCGCACACCUCCUGGGCCGCCGUCGAGGAGGAACGACGCGCCGCUGUCGCAUCCGGGCUUGCCGCUCAGCGCGUCUUGAUCCUCGGAUGCAUCCACGGAGUCGGUCCGCGCCCGGCGGGCUUUCACCGGGAAAGUAGAGAAGGUCCGGUCGGUGCCGACGGCUCAACCGAAGCAAGGCAAGGCUGUGGGUAAGGCGUCGGAGAGCAAGCCCAUCCGCGUGGAGGUUGUUGCUCCGAUGACAGUGACACCAGAGGUUGUUGCCCCCGCCGUGACAGCCGCCCUCGUGUCCUCAUCACGCGCCUGCCCCAUCCUCAGCGCCUCUUCCCUCUCCCCGUCGCCACAUCUCCUCCCACUCUCGGAUUCAUCACCUCUUCCCCCCUCCGACGGUGACCUCCCGCGCAUCACUUCCCAGUCCUUCGACUGCGACGACUUUGGCGAUGCCACAGCCGAUGGCGCCACUCCAUCGGCCCCACCUCCUCAAGGGGUGACCUAAGAACACCACCACCACGCCCGCCGUGUGGCACCGCCUCCAAACCUUACGCCCCUCACUCCACCAUGCUGCCGCAUCGUCGUCCCCGGCCUCCGCCCACACCGCACCCUGUACACGGCGGUGGUCGCGUUCCGGCACACGUCGCCCCUCCUCUCAUCUCCAGGCAAGCCCCUGUCCCUCAGAUCUGGGUUCAUCUCUGCCGAGGAGCUCGGCACCGUGGUGUGCUCGCUCGACCUGCGCACUACCUGAAGACGCAUUAUGCUGCUAUUGUCUCCCUCGUCGUUGCCUCGUGGGUCACAGUGCUCCUCCACUCCCUCGUCAGCCACAAUGACAGCCAACAAGGUAUAUCCUAUACAUGUAUCUCGCCCCUACCAUUUCUCUAUUUGUCUUGAAGAGUCAGUCGCAUGGCUGCUUGUGUGUUGGUGAUCGUGACACACAAACUGAUGCCCCAACUAUCCUAUGCAGCCGAUCAGAUUCUAGCAGCGCCAACGAAGUCGGUCAUAACUUGUUAGAUCCGAGUGCUUCGCUGCGUUCCUUCGUAAUACAAAUCGAUGUUGUUAGAGGAAAGAUGGGUGCUUAUAUAUUCCUGGGUACCAAACAGGGCAUAAGAUUUAUCUAGCUUCUCGCUUCAUGUUUUAUCUACACAUCUUGUCCCUAUGCAACUAUUGGCUGCAAGUAUGGUGAUGCAGUUUGGGCUGCAAGGUCCACCGUUAUACAAUGCUUGCUGUCUGUUUGCCAAAUGUUGUAAAGAAGUGAUGGUAAAUAACUUGCCUUUCCUUGCUAUACUCAUAAAACUUGUUGUCAAGCUGCUAGAUGAAUUAAUUUGAGUUAUCAUUUUGUUAGCGACCUGCAAAUGCAUGUGAAUUCAUGAUUGUAUCGCUUUAGUAGCCUUUGGAUAUACUGUGUCAUCUCCUCUAUAUUUUUAAAAUUGUAUCAUUUUCCUGGAAGUUUGUCUGAUCUUCUCCUUCAUUAUGUUUCCCUGUUGUGUGCUGCACUUGCUGCUACCGUGAAGACUGGUGUCCAGGAGACUGAAAAGCACUGCUGAGGAGACUGAAAUUAUCUUCGCGAGGUGGAUUACACAUUGUAAGAACUAAGAACUAAAUCUGUUUUUUCUUCUUCUUAUUUUAAAGAGGACCAGGUCUCCUGCAUUCUUGGAAACAAGAGACGAUCUCAGAUUAUCACUAACUUUUUUAUGAGCUAUAAAUGUGCUCUGCUUAACGGACAUCUUAAGGACCACAGAUUCAGAGAACUAUGGAUUCAUAUAAAACGGGUGAGAUCUUACGACUUCCUUUUUACCUUUUCAAAUACCUCCUAUGUCAAGCCCUUUGCUUCACUUGUGUUUGCUUAGUAUUACUAACAAAUCAUGAAGCCCUUUGUUAAGUAUGUGCUUGCUUAGUGUUACUAAGAAGUCAUAAAGCCCCAACGAGUUUCUCUAGCUGAAUAUGAAGCAGUCACUAUCUGUCCUUGAUUGAUCGAAACUAAUUUGCAUGGUUCCUUUUGUGCACAACAACAUGAAACAUAAAUCUUGAAGAUUAUGUCACCGUAAGAAGUAGGUGUUCCUUACAUUUAGAGAGAACUAGAAAAAACGGUUACAUGCAUCUGGAGCCUUCCGAACACAAAACAAUUUACACGCGUGUUGGCGCGCGCCAGAAACAUUUCGUAAUUUAAGUAUUAUGAAUACUAUUUAAUUGUAAGUUAGUUAUUUGCAUGUGUAGUAAUUUAUUUAUUUACAGUAAAUACAUGACCGCUGGAUAGAUUCAUUUGUUUUAUUUUUUUAGCAUGGAACUGAUUCAAAAGAACAUGAAGUCCAGUGUGAUUUGAAAAUUUGGGUAUAGCUCAGAAGAGAUUUGUGAUGAUUCGAAGUAUCAAAGAAACCUGCAACAUCAAGAAUUUAAAAAUGAAGGUCAGCUAUGUAUAUAUAUACCUUUGAAUAAUGGGAAACGGGAAAGUAAAGUUGUGUAUGUAAUUUACAAUUUGACAGGGAACAUUUAAAAUAUUUCUUUCUUUAAAGUGCAUACAAACUGAAAAAAGAGACUUUCAGAUUGUGCAUAGUUUCUUUCGUUAAAAUAUAUCUGUUGUUGCAUUAGUAGUUGUCGGUUGUGCAUUAGUAGCUAUACCCGUUUGUACUUGCAGAUAGAAUUACUAAAUUGUUAUUCUUUGGUUGUCUGCGAACUGUUGCGAGAUGAAGAGGUUUGGUAAUUGAUGGUUUAUCGUGCAUAGCAAAAGGCUCUUGUGAGAAACUAAUCUUUAUCUACACUACUCCUUAAGACAUUACUGACCUAAACUCUACCGUCCCUUCCUAAUCCUGAUUUAGCUGGAACUCAAUAUCUUUAGUUGGAACUCAAUAUCUUUAGCUGGAACUCAAGCAUCGGUAAGGGGGUGGUGUUUAUGCUGUCAGAGUUUGUGAACUUGAGAAAGUUCAGAUAAGUAAUGUUUGCACUGAAGAAAUGAAUUGGGCAAAAGAAUCCAAAAGUUCACCUUCUUGCACUAAUUGUAAGUCUUUCUGUGAUUAUGUGCACUAACUGUAAGUCUGUCUGUAUUUCUUCAGGUGACUCGUUCAUCUUUGAGACGCAGCGCCACAAUGGCAUAAGGGAGCUUUGCCCUGCGAAUGGAGAGCACAAGCUAAUCCGUGCCCGUGCUCUCAUCCCCCUGCAUGAACCCAAUUCUGUUGCGAUCAACCAUCAAGGGUUGUCCUAUUGUAUUAUUCAGUUCAUUGAAAAGGACUACAAAUUAGCAGAUACUAUGAUUUGGGGUCUACUCAAGCAUUGGCCAGUCAGAAACUGCCAAGAGGUGUUGAAAUAACUUGAAUUCAAUAUAUGAAUUUCCUUUGCAUAUGUAAGAAAAACACUAUUUGAAUCAUGCUGCACUAUAGAUAGAAUCACUGAGUAUUGUACUAUUUUUUCACGGUUCAUUUCAUUUUACUUUCAUUCUUUUCCAAUACAACUAUUAACAUAACAGAAUUAACAAUUCAGUGGAGUGAAUUAUGCUGGAAAGAAGAGGGCCUUUUUUCAUGUCUUUUGAAGUAGUUUAUCACUAUUCCGUUAUUAGUUUCACACUGGUAUUUUUCAUGGUCUAAAUCACUAACAGUUUUGGCAUAAUAUUGAUAAAGAUAGCGAUCCAAAGGUGUUCAUCCACUUAUAUUCCACUAUUGACUAAUGAAGUUAUUUUUAGAAAAAUUGGUCAAGUGUUAUGACAGUAUGGUCGACUAUGAGAUUUGAUACACGUAAAGCUAGCUUUCUUCUUUUUCUCCCUGCUCCUUCUCUUCUCUUCAAUAUAUAUUAGUAUUCAUAAGUCUCUUGUGAGCGAUCAACGACCAUUCAUGUGUGAUAGUAAUUCUAUACUUCUGUUCAUUUUCUUGGCCCUGCAGGUAAUUGGUUUUGACCAAAUUAUCAACUAGAUGGCUCUAUAUAAAAUGGCACACGGAAUUGGCUGUGAGCCUGUCUGUCAAUGUCCGAAACGACGGCAGGCGUGAAGCGGUGGUCGGGAAGGAAUUAAUGAGUAGCAGCAAUGCGUCAGACAGCUACGUAUCUUCUUCCGCAAUCCCAUUCUGACUUAAUUAAUAAAACAACCUUUAUAAUAGUAUUAUACUGACUCGAUCGUCUCCAAAGUCUGAAGCAAAUAAAGGGUGGGUGCGUCUCCACCUAUACAUAUAGUAUAAUAGUGAGGUACCCGUAGAGACCAUAUAAAUCAGAGGGUUUUAUAUUUCACCAUUUGAUAAGAAAAUACUCGUAUUAGGAAGCUUCAAAAAGGAGAGGAUAUUGGAUCUUCUAUAUAUCUUACUUUGUCCUUUAUCAUUUUCAAAUGCCAAUCAGUGAACACCAAAUUUCAGGUUUGUUAAAUGCCUGUUACCAGUCAGGAAUGAUAUAUUAUCUUCGGAUAAUAAAUAAAAUAACUGGGAACUAGGAAUUGUACCACUAUGCUGUGUACUUAGUUCCUAUGUAAUUCUAAUUCCUUGGUUUAUUCUUCAAUAACUAGGACUGGACAAGAGCUUUUGGACAUGGUUGACAGUUUGCCCAUUGUUGCGAUAAAGAGCCUAAAAGUAUCUGACUUCCAAGGUACGUCAUCUAAUCUCUGAAUGUGAAAUGAAAUACAACAGUUACUCACCUGUCUUUCGCAGGAACGAUAGCUCUCUGCCCAGCCACCAGUUUUGAGUUGUAUUGAGAGCAAAAAUUCACAUGCUUUCCGAAUGCAAAUAUUGUUCUCAUAAUUUCUCCCAGCAGCAACUAAGCCAUUUAUCGCAUGGAGGGUCCCAUAGAUAAAACAUAUUCCCCAAGUGCCAUACCUUGCAGGUAAUUUCUGAUUUAGUUACAAUUAGACAGAGGGAAAAAACCGAUAACCUGUACAAAUUAGAAUAUGUUUUCAUACAAACCAGGAUCCAUCCUUGUUUUGAUUACUCUCAAUAAAUAUGGCAGCUUUGUCAACAUUUUCUUUUAUUUCUUUACUGCGGUACUUUGAAUUGAAGUCACCAAAUAAUACCAAAGCCUGCAACACUGAGGAUGUACAUUCAACCGUUCUGCCAAUAUAUGAAUUGAGUGACUUAAUUAGUUUGCAAGGCAAAUUGACAUGGCAACAUGAAAUUCAGAUUUAGAAGAGUGGUCGUUGUUCUUACGGGUAAUCGGCGACAAUAUUUCAAAAACUCUCCACAGGAUUCAGAAUCUAGGAUGCCAAAUGAAACAAAGUCAGUCUACAUGGAUCUAUAGUAUCUACAUAUAUAAAGUACUCAUUCUUGUUUUCUAAAAAGUCUUUAAUUCUUGUAUCUCUUUUGUCCACAAUAGAUAUACCAAGAGGAUGGGAUGGAGUUGUUGCCCACUGACUAGAUAUGCAGUGGACAUGAAAACAUUGAUAUGGUAAUUUCCUAGGGCUAUAUGAUCGUUGAAACGACACCGAACCAUUGUAUUUGAUUCCUCAGGGACUUUCUAUUAGUUUGGGUUUGGUUUUAUGGCCUAAGCCCCUUAAAUGGAAUAUAUUUGAUUUCAGGGUUCUAUUACAGCUGACUGUAAUGUUUAAAUAGAGAUGAAAAUGUAGUUAAGUAUAAUCAUGCUACUGUUUUUCUAUUCCUGUUACUCCCUCUCUAAGUCAUUUAGCUUUUCUAGAUGCAGCCAUGCACUUAGAUAUAUGUCAUGCCUAGAUACAUAGUAAAAAAACAUUAUCUAGAAAAUCCAAAAUGACAUAGUUUGGAAUGGAGUAAAUUUCCAUAUUUUUGUGCUCUAAGGCCUUUGUACAACUUUCUCUUGUGUAGUGUUGUAUUGGGUUUAUCACUGGAAUGUUUGUUUCUGAGGAUGAUUAGUGCAUAAGAGGUAGUGCCAUAAGGAUGGUAGAUCACUAUGCAAUUGAACCUUAUGUUCAAUACCCGUGCGUUGCAACGGCACAAUCAUAUUUAAUGGUAUUGACGGCUGAGCGGCACGUGAGAGCCGAGUAGCAAAACAUAAUCAGUCUCCUGUUCAUGAGAACGAUGUUCUGAGCCAAAAUCAUGAUUUUAACAAUUUGGAGCUACAUCUAGGAUGUCAAUAUCAAACCAAAUUAUAUCACCAAAUAAUCGGGUUGCAUCCCCCUCGGUCGGGCGUGCUGCUCAAUCGAUCUGGGAGGGGCUUUUUAGCACACCAAACCAGCUCGGUUGCUUGCAGCAAAUGAUGGGUGCAGCCCUGCAUGAUCCAAUGAUGGAUUGACUUGUUAACGAUCUUUGAGGAAUUCUCUCUGCUGGUUGACGUGGCGUCAGACUGUUAGAGAUCGAUCUGUCCUUCUUCCUUUCAAGGUAGGACCUCGUUGAAAUACUAGAACCUUAACACUUCACUUUCUCAGGGGAUUGAGAUGCUGUCAUUGGGAUCAUUUAAAACCAGAGUCAUUCUCUCGGUAAGUGUUUUCUCAAUGAUUGCUUGAUUUGGUCUGAACACUAUAUACUUCUAUUUUCUGCUAUAACUUCUGAGAACACAUCAUCACUAUUUCAAUCACAAACCUGUCCUUAUUUUAUUAUCUCUGUACUAUCAUAAUCAUCACUGAAACAUUAUAAUAUUAUAUCUAUGGUUUAUUACGGAUCAUCUGGUCUUAAUAUAUCUUUACUUCAUUUGUCUAUGAAAGGAGCUAUCUCUUAUGCACUAUAGGAAGUUAAAAGUAUUGCUUGUUGUUUGUAUGUGGAUUUAAAUGUGUACAAUUUCAUAUUCUUGUCAUAUUGUAUUGGGCAACAAGUAUUGCUUGGGUAGCAGCAGCCGCAUUCAGAGGCUCACUGUCCUUAUUAUUAUUGGCUAAGGCAGAGCGUGAUCCUGUCAUUUAGAGGCUCGCUAUGUGCCUCGUCCUUAUUUUUUGAUGUAGAACAAAGUAGCCUGACAGUGCUAUUAGGACUAUCUAGCUGGUUGCCACUUCUUUUUUUCACAGCUGCUUGGGUAGCAGCAGCUGCAUUCAGAGGCUCACUGUCCUUAUUAUUAUUGGCUAAGGCAGAGCGAAGAACUCUACCACUAUAAUGUGCAGACCUCAAGGGAUACCUUUUGCUUGGUGAUACUUCUGACCCUUUCCUUCCCAUUUUACUGUUUGUAUGUCAUACACUUGUUCCCAAUGUCGUUGUGGCCACUACAGGAAACGCCUAAAUUUUCGUGGGCCAAAAACCCACGAAAAUAAGCCUAAACCGACGAAAAUAGAGUAUUUUCGUCGGCCUGCCGACGAAAAUAGCCGCCGAAAAUAAGUUCGACGAAAAUAGACGUCUAUUUUCGUCGGUACCGACGAAAAUAACCUAUUUUCGUCGGUUUUCGCAAAACCGACGAAAAUAGUGAGUCACCCAUUUAUUUUCGUCGGCCGGGGGUGGCCGACGAAAAUACGCCAGGAUAGUUUCGUCAGCCUUGAGUGGCCGACGAAAAUAUCCUGGGAACAUAUUUUCGUCGGCCUAGGUGGUGGCCGACGAAAAUAGCCUGGGAACAUAUUUUCGUCGGCCACCACUGAGGCCGACGAAAAUUGAUGGUUCCCCCCCCCCCCAAAACAGAUUUUUCUGCACCUAUUAAUAAUUCACAGCAAUAUACACAAUAUCACAUAUACAGAUUCACAAGCCUAAUACAUAAUUCACAAAACACAUUCACAUAUACAUAAAUAGUCCAUUCACAUAAGUUUAGAGUAUCCAUAAGUCCAAAAGUCCAUUGUCCAUUCAAAUACACAAUUCACAAAACUCUAGUCCAUAAGUCUAGAGUCCAUAAGUCCAUAAGCUACUAACUACUCACUACUCACUCCUCACUGAACAAGACCAAAUAAAUGAUAAACACAAAUGAAUAUCCUCCACAGUAACUGCUAGGCCACUGGAAUAUCAGAGAAACCUUCAUUAACAAGGUAAGUUAUCCAAUCAAGAUAGAUGUGUCAAGACCUACAAUGAUGAAAAAUAUUAAAAAUAUGUCUACUAGAUGCCUCAUUUUUCCUUUCUGAGGUAGAGCAAAGCACCCUGACACUGCUCUUAAAGGAACUGCCAUUUUUUCUUCUUUUCGCAGCUGGUUGACCAGUAGUACUAUUAUUUAGUGGCUCAAUCUAGCAAAAUAAGAAAAUUUCACCUCACAUUCAACAUAUUGCUUGUCUACUAGAGGAGCCAACACUUUAGCAAGAUCUUGAGGCAAGUAUCCAAGCAUCUCCUCGCAUUCAGACCCUGCAUACAACACCUACCUGUUCUAGAAUGAUUUCAGAACAUUUUUCAGUAGGUACUUUUUACAGUUAUGUUAUGUACUAGAAUGAUUUCGGAGACCAUGUAGAUAUCCAAAAUGAAUCUUUUUGUUGUGACCGAAGGGAGUAACUUUUUAGGUUUUGUGGUUACUUUUUCAAAAAUUAACUCUUUCGUUCACUAUAACUACAAAAUAGUAAGCCAGUGUACUGCAAGAACAAUGUUCUUCUUGAAUACUCAAAAGAACAAUGUCCAUCAUGGAUUCUGCUACGUGACCAUGUGGUCCAGCUUGUUUGGUACACGAGGCCAUAUCUUUGUGUUCGCUUUAUGUAUAUGUUCCCUUUUUAUUCCUCAGUUUAUUCACUUUUAUCUUGUAGUUGCAGGUUUCUUACUCCUGGGUAGGUUCCAUUUGUCUUAAAUAGCUUUAGAGCACCACCUUAUGAUAUCUCCUUUUGACUAUGAUUAUUUUCCUAUGAAUAAUUUUUCUGGGAAUACUAUUAAGAUACCAACUAAUCUUUGAUAUCCUCUAAACCAAACGCUUCAUGAUAGAUGAUUCUUGAGGUUGUUGAAUGAAUUGGUCUUGCGCAUGUUUGCAGGCCUUUAUUGGCCCACUAAUCUUUGAUACCCACUAAUCUUUGUGCUCUCAAUUAGCUCUAAACUAAUCUUUGAUACCCACUAAUAUUUGUGCUCUGAAUUGGCCUAAUUAAUGAUCAAGUGGUCAUGGUGUAUGUCAACUAAUCACUUUCUCUUCAUGUACUACUAGGUUAUAAUUAUUUGAUGUGGAGUAUAAACAUGCUUCUUGUAACAUACAUACUGAUGGUUAGGUACCUAUCCUAGUCGUGUUUGCAGGCCUUUCAGAUUGAACCGAUUACUUCAACGGUGUCAUACAUGAUUGGUAGGGAUGUGAUGGAGGGGAGGGGGCAAUGCAGGUGCAGGUGCAUUCCGAAUCUCCUUCCCUUUCUCCGGAUUCUAUUGUUCUUUGUUUCCUCCUAUUCGUUUCUGUAGUGAGAAAUGUCUUCGGUAAGAUUUGGUUGGUGGAAAUUCACUGCAUUUACUUAUUAUUGUCUCCCAAUUUCCUCUUCAUAGUCAGGAACUUUCUGGUUCAGUGGAAAUGUGGAAUUGUACCAAUGUAGAGUCUAGAAUAAGUGUGCCCUUAUCCUCCCAGUUAGCAUAAUGUGGGUACUUCGUUUGUCAUGUAUGGGGCAUAGUGCAAUACAAAUCCUUUUGUUAAUUAAUAAUGAUUCAGGGAUGCCUCGUUGUCCAUGUAACAUCCAAACUGCCCACACACACACAUCAAAUUUUGGCAUGAUAACCCUGUUCAUUAAAUCUGUUUUGUUUGUAAAUCACAAACAAAUAUGUUAACCUUUUAUUGAAGUGUGAGAUACUCAAUCAUGUUGUGUUUUUUGGUUUUCUAUUUUGAGUGUAUAGGUAAAAUUUAGAAUUUUAAGAGCAUAAUACCCUGGUUGUAUUUGGCUUGGGAGUAAGUGGAUGUUAGCAAUAGUGGAGCAUGUGUGGGAAGCGGAGGCUGACGACAGCUCUUACGUUAUCAAGGAACAAACUUAUCCUGAGAAAGUGCUCACACGUGGAACACAGACUACUCUUUAUUUGAGAGUAAGAAACUUAAAAGACUUUCUAUAAGAUCUCCACCUUCUACCACAAUUCUUAUUGCCUUCUUGUUCCUUUAGGAUGAUGACAAGUAUGAGUUUACUGACCCUGCAAGAAUUGAAAGCUUAGUUAAGAACUGCUCACAAUUUGUGUCAUUCUCAUAUAUACAUGGAAGGAGAAAUCAAGAACAUUUGGGGGUAAUGAUUGCUAUAGUUUAUUGUAAUUUAGCUUCCUUCAAUUAUACUUAAUGUAAUUCUUCAUCCUUGUCUAAAUAGUCUAAAGAGUCUAAAGAGGAGGAAGAAUAAAAAAAGGUGAAGAGGUCACUGAGGUUAGUUUUGUGUCAGUGUAAUAUGUUGUUUGUUUUCAUGUAAUUCUUGCUUCUAAUAUUAUAGAAAGAAUCCGGAUAGGCAGAUAAGAACAUGUCAAUGAUUUUGAUAUUUUCAGAAAUAAGGAUUUCUAUGGUGCAUGUUAUUUAAAAAACAAGCCAACUAUAGCUUGUGUCAGGUCAUAGAUGCUUGCUAUUAUUGGAACUGGUCCAUGCAAAUCAUUUUUGCUCAAAAUCCAACUUGGCCAAUCAUUAGUAGGUCAAGUUAUAUUCAUGAAACCUUUUGUUUGUUGUUUCUUUGCCUAAAAACAUGCUUUCAUUGGUUAGUUCAUUAUCCUAGAGUUGCAGAGGGACUUUAUGUAGCAUGAUCCAUGCUCAGGUAUUGCAAUUUUGGCAAUUUCUGUAAUGUAACAUGGAAUUGGUGAAGGUCCUUGGUCGAGUAAUCACAAUACUAUUGAUAUUAUUCAUAUUGAUUAAAUUUUUAUCAUUGGUUCUCUUUGUUUGUUAUAUUAUCUUGUGUCAUCGAUUAACAACUCUUUCACCGGACGUCUUGAGGUGACUUUAGUUUCUUAUCUUUUAUAUGUAUCCUGACAUAAAACCAGUGCUUAUUUUCUAUUCGUGCAUGUGCAGGUGUUGUACUGUUUCUUAGAAUUAUCCAGCAACUUCGAUGGGAGGAAUUUUGUUUGAGCUUGUGGGCCCAAUUUGAGAAGUUUUACAUAUAGAGUAAAAAAAGGUCCUGCUCUCGUGUUUUCGUGUAAAACUGGAUUUUGUUCAGUUCUUACUGUGGAGCUAUGCUUCCUAGAUAAAACUUCUCGAUUUGUAUAACUUCUCGAUUUGUAUAAAAACUUCUCCAUUUACAUAUUGGGAAGUCUAUAUGUAAAACUUCUCGAUUUAUAUAUCAACUAUGCUUCCUGUGGAGCAAGGAAGCGAACGCAAGCUAGCCUUUUGUAUUAGUGCAUUCUGUUCAGUUCUUACUUGAUCAUCCCGUGUUCUCGCGUGUGCCAUGGCUGAGUGGCAAGCUCAACACUGGUAUUGUUGUCUUGUCUCAAAUGAAGUCCGGUUCCACAAGUUAACCGGAAAUCUUCAUGGGUGAUAGCUGCGUCAGAUUCUUCCGCGCAUAGGGCAAGUAAUGCAAGUGAUAGCUGUGUCAGUUUACCCCCAUUUUCUUGGGCAUCACUUGUCUCAAAUGAAGUCCAUUGGAGGUUCGCAAUUUAUGUUCCGUGGCAUCGCACAGGCACCUACCUAGUGACUAUAUAUAGCUCUAAGUGAUCUAAAGCCAAACGACAAACAUAUGAUUUAUAUUGAGCGGCUGUGCUUUAAUUAAAAAAAAAAGUUUCUUCUCAACAUAUACCAAUCAAAAUGUAUGAGCCGCGUCGAAGUGGCAGCCAUCACGUCGUACGUACGUAUUUUUUUGUGGAAUUUCCUUCCGACCGCAGCAGUGUCCAUCGUCUGCACAACCGUCAACGGGUCGCGCAAUCACGCCCACCACCCCCAGUGAAGACAGAAGGAUCUAUUUAGCAGCAAUAAUUGACAGUAUCUGGAGACCUGCAGGUCUCCUUGAUGCCAUCUCUUUGCUCGCAUCCUCCUCCACGGCCCUCUCUCGAAGAUCUGGCCGCUGUCAGUACUCAGUAGUGCUGCCCAAGAUCACCUCCUUGGUCGAUCGAUGCUGCGGCACCAAAACCAGACGGUCAACGAUGAAUGAAUGGAUGAAUGGAGAGGGACCACCGCUGCUGGGCCGUGGGCCACAUACGGCCUCCAUGUUUCAUCUGACCUGACCUGACCUGACCUGACCUGACCUGAUACGCUCUGAGCCCAGAUAUAACGCAUGGCUUGGCUUCUAUUGCAAGGUAGGAGUAGCUUCUCCAGUCACCUACCUGUCUGACCUUUGGCAACAGAAGCAGCUUGCAAUACAAGCCUCUUGGCACUACUCUCGCUCGGCACGCGCGCUCCCCCUGCAUCAUCACCAUCACCAGAUGGCCGGAUCUUCCCGGCCGGCGACGGACGCCAGCGCCACGAUGUGAGUGCAAGCCCUCGCUCUCGAUCUGCUUGCUGCAUUGCAUUGAUCAUCUGCCAGGCAGACCGCCGGCCUUGGCGCACGUUGCUGAUUGAUUUUGCAUACUGAUGUAUAGAUCUCGGCCUACAUCAGCAUAUUUAGAACCUUGACACAACAUCUUCUGGUUUAACCGUACCUCUCUUUUAAUUUUCCCCCCUCGCUCCGUUUCGUUUUUUUAGGUUCUAUAUAUAAUAUCUGUUUAGCCACUAUAUAUAUGCAACUUUCUACCUAUUAUUAAUUUCGCCACUUCUAAUAUUUAGUUUUCGAACAAAUGUGCAUUUUAUAAUCUUUCGGAAUAUAAUACCAAAGGCCGGCCGUAUAUGUAUAUGUAUAUGCAUGCAUGUGUGUAGCAACAGUGCACACGGUGCUCCUUUUAAUUCAUGUUAAUUAAUAAAAGCAAGUUGCCUCUGAUGCAUGUUAAAUAAAGCAAGUUGCUACACACAGUGUGGUCUUAGUCUGUUAGAGUAGGUCAUAACUUUAUGAGGGGUCAUAUUUACCACCAGAAGGUGAUUGUGGAUAUUGCAAUUAUUGUCAUUUCAAGCACAUGGUAUAUAUGCUAUGCAUGUGUUCACCUCCAAUUAAAUAUGGUAAAUGUUUCAUCAGGUUGUCCGUACACAACUAGAUGCCAAAUUCUUAUUGAUGAUCUCCAUAAUUAGUUAAUUGACAUUCAUACAUGGUUUGAGGUUAUUCAAAAUAUAUAUACUUUCCUAUGUUCUAUAAUAAAUAAGUUCAUGAAAACUUUCGGAUAGACUAAGGACGUUGCCCCCCAAAAAAACAUGGAUCAGUGUACUUUUUACUUUACAUGAGGAUAUCUCUUCAACUUGGUAUUUAAUUAAGCCCUCUUUGGUAGGGCUCCUUUAACGACUUCUUUAAAAAAAUCUACUAAAAUGGACGCUCUUUGAUGGGGCUCUUUCUAGAAAAGAGGGAGGAGCUCCUAAAAAACAGCAGGAGCCGGGAGCCAGAAAAAGGAGCUUCUACCGGCUCCUCUUCCAUGUGUUUCUCUUCGUCUACGCUAUAUCGUAGGAGAACCUACAGAAUGACCUAUAUUUCCAACCAAACAGAGUACUCUUUCUAAAGCUCUUCUAAAAAUAAGGAGGGAGCUAUUUUCUUAGACGAGCUCAAGCCAUUAUUGAAGUUGGAGGAAGAGCCCUACCAAACCGGACCUUAUUAUCGUUUGCAUGCCCUAGUAAUUAGCUUCCGCAUUAACAGGAGUAUAUAGUUAUUUUUGUGGAACUUCUAUAUAGUGACAUGUAUAAAGCUAAACUGGCUCGCCACAUAAAUCAAUACUAAAAUCAUGGUGCUCCGUGUCUGGAGUUAUUUUCUUUGGCACCGUUUGCUACUGCUUCACCAGAAGCCGUAGGAGAUGCCACCGGAAGAGCCAUGACAAAAACACCCUUACAAUGAUCUUUUUUUGUCAUCUGUUGAGAAUUUUCUGAUAUUAAUAAAUAAACAGUAUUAUUUGUCAUGCUUUCAUUUGAGCAAAUACAUGUUUAUAUUAAUGUAAUCAAAGUAGACACGGCCAUAUGGUGAAGGUCAUAAUUUAAAGUGAUAAAUGUGAUAUAUAUAUAUAUAUAUAUAUAUAUAUAUAUAUAUAUAUAUAUAUAUAUAUAUAUAUAUAUAUAUAUAUAUAUAUAUAUAUUGAUGGCAUAACCAAAAUAGGAGUUGGCUAUGACUACACAGAACUUUCCAAAAAGUCACUACUGAUGUCUAAUCACUGCAUUCUAGUGUAAGUGCAUUUCAGCAUUUGUAGUCAUAAAAUGUUGUUGUCAUUCAUGCUUUUGGCUAAACCAAUUGCCUUUCUAUUUUUAGGCUAGUUCAUUGUAGUUAGUUCAUAACUUUACAAGAGAAUUUUAUUUUCCAUCAGAAGGAGAAUGAGGGUAUUUGUGUGUUGGUUGCAUGUCCUUAUCAUUUUAUGCAUGGACCACACAUCAUGUAUUGAUCUCCAGCUAGCUUAUUGAUCUCUCCAGUUAAUUACGAACAUUCCUAAUGAAUUAACUUUAAUUCCCAUAUAAUGGUAUGUACUCCUUCCAUUUUUAUUUAGAUGUCAUAUUAUAUUUUUUUGAAACAAACCAGGCAGGAGAGCUGUCGAUUAUAUUAAUAAAGAAGAAGCGGUCCGGACUGGACUAAACAACAAACAACAGACAGUUGGAUUGGGACAUCAACGUGCCGACACCAUACAACUCAACUCGCCGGUUGGAUUGGGACAUCAACACGACACCACACUCACCGCCGACACAGUGCCCAAACAACACAGGAAGUGGCAAUCCCACACGAGAGCACGCAAAACUGCUAAGGGUCAUUGUUGUCAAGCAAGGAUGCAGAGCAUCCAGCAACUCCGACUUCCCAAAGCAGCCGACGGACGAAACAAACGAAAAGCAGACAUACAACCCGAAGCAAAAGGUCUGGAUAGGUCAUCGUUGCUAGGCUCAAGGCACAGAGAAGCUCCGACUUCCAAUCUUGACCCUCCGCCCUGCCUCCGGAAUUUGCCUGACCUUCGAAACAAACUGGACCACAAAGAAGGGAGGUUCGUCUCAUGUUAUCGUUGCCGAGCCACAUCCCCUGACAUAGCAACUCUGACUUCACGAUGCAAAACCCCACCUCCACCCGCAUACCAGGCGCCGAGAAGCGAAGCAACAGCCGAAGGCAAAGCCGUGGCUGAGACGAACUUCAGAAGCGACGCCUUCAGGAAGGGAGUGACGUUACCGUGACUCCACCGUCGCCUGUCCACGAUGGAUCGGGCUUUCACCCAAGGAAGAUAGCACUGGGGAUGCGACGCCCUCAGGAGGGGAAGUGGCGCCCAUGGGCGUCGCCGUCGCCGAGACUUUCGCCCAAGAGCCCCCAGCACAGUGUCUGGCCGAAACCUCGAGACAAUGCAAGCCGCCUCCGCCGUUGGCGCUGCCCCGUCGUCUCGUAUAGAGAUGACGAUUUUUGGGCCUGCCGCCACCACCACCACCCAGUGCUAGCCCGAGCCACUAGCCGACGUUGUCGCAGAUGAGUGGAGGUCCCGCCACCGCCAUUCUGGCCGACUGCGCAGGCCUGCCGAUGCACCAACGCCGAACACCACCCCGGCACAUGCGCUGGCCCGGGACCAACCUGCCGGCGCCUCUGAUGGCUGGCACGCGGAGGCCGCCAACCUCGCGCGCACCCGAUUCCAGCCCUCCGCGCGCGGCGCAGGGGCGACCAACAACACUGUCUCCGCGCCUGCGACCCACCACCGGCCGCAUGCCCCCUUGCUGCGCGGGCACCUAGCCAGGACACGCAACCCCCGGAUGUGUCGUACUCUGCCGCCAAAAUACCGCCGAGGCCCUGGCCAACCCAGGCGCGCCGGCGAAGGGUCGCCGUCCCACACGCGCCGCUGCCAUCUCCUGGUAUCCCGACUAGAUCUAGGCAGACGCGACCAAACCAUAGCAAAAUCGCCCCGCCGCCACCUUCCUUGGGGCCGCGCGGACAUCCGGCAGCGCCCUUCGGUGACGGCGAGGUGGGAUGGAGUGGAGGGAGGGGACGGCGGCGGCUAGGGUUUCGGCCGCCCGUGUCGCCCGGGAGGAGGCGACCGAGCGGCUCUGGUCGAUUGACUUUUUAUGUCAUAUUAUAUUAGCAUACAACCAUAUAGCAAGAUAAACCGGCUAGCAUGGAAGUGAUCACUCAACCAAAUUUGACACCAUAAUUCUUAUCUGGGUUGUUGGUCUGAUAUCAUCUCUGAUCUUGCCCCUUAUGGCGCCCCAACCAAAUAUAUUAUGGUAUGAAAAAUCUUGCAUUGUCAACUUUUUUGGUGUUUAGUUUUGUGCUCGACCCAUCAGCCAAGUAACGUUUGGGUGGACUUUUCCGUUUUAGCGUGGGUUCGAGUGGAUGCACUAACUAGUUCAACCCAAAUCUCUACUACUUAUUAAGGCUGCAAGGGUAGCCUGCCGUUCUGCCGUUAGCCGAUCUCAACCGUCCGUUCUAUAUAAUUUCAGCCCAACCGCUUCUGCGACGUCCUCCCCCGCGCGCUUCAUCGCCUCCGCCUCCUCCACGAGCUCGACCUCAGCAACAACCGCUUCGUCGGCCCGUUCCCGGACGUCGUCCUGGACCUCCUGGUGCCAAGGAUGAAUCUAUAUUUCUUACUUUAAAACCCCGAACAAACACCACUAGCAGGAGGCACUCGCGUUGGCGUCGCUCAUCGACGACGAGAAGAAGCUUGGCGACUGCCAGUUCGACCUUUAGAAGCAGUCCAAGCGUGUAUGAUGGUACGUGCCUGAUGACUGACGAUGUACGAGUGAACCUCUUCCGACAGGUGUGGGACGCGCUCUCCAAUGAAGAGACAAUGCAAAUCGUGGCAUAUAUCGAAGUCUGCAUGAUACUGAUGGUUGCAAUGUAGUUGUGAAAUAACUAGAUUAAAAUAACAAAAUUUAUGUAUGGCCAGGAUCACAAAUGGAUUAUGAAAUCUUUUUUCUCAUAACAGUAUAACACACAUUUUGUAUACAAGUUAUUGUGGUAUUGUAUAUUCCCGUUGCAACGCACGGGCACUCACCUAUUAAGGUCUUAAUUAUUAAGGUAUAUUGAGAUAUAACUUAAACUAAUUUAUAUUUCAAUAUCUCUACUAACUAUUAAGAGUCCAGUGUAGACUGCCCCCGCCAUCCCCUACCUCCGCGGAUCCCGCGCGCCCGGCCGCCCACCCCCACCCCGCCGUGAUUCCCCGUCGCGAUUCCCCGCCCUACGUGCGCGGAUCACGCGCCCGCCGCGCACGCCCGCUGCCAUGCCCCUACAGCACACCCGCCUCUUUACGCGUGGGUGAUCUGCCCGCACAGCCCUCCGCAAACCCGCCACGAACGCCGCUAACUACCAGAGACUACUCAUCACCAGAGGAAAUGGUAUUAUGAUCUGGUAAUAUAUUCUUAAGGAUUAACCAUGUUAUUUUAUUUUUUCUAAUUGUGCUAUAACAUUUAGGUACAAAGACUAACAUCUGCUUCUACUGUACUAAGGAGGGUGUUGGAUAAUCCAGCACUCCAGGACUGUCAAGAGAAUAAUGGAUUUGGACACAUGAUGGAUGAAGAUGUUAUAAACAAUAUUUCAGUUCGCUUGAAGUUAAGCCUUACUGUUUGGGACUUCACUCUCCCAGUGACACCUUCUUUACCUGUUGUUUUUGGUGUAUCCUGGCAAUAUUCCUUUUUACUGUGUUCCAUUUCCAUUUCUGUGUUGUGCUCAACUUUACGUUUGGAUAAAAGUUAGUAAGGUAAAGUAAACACAUUCACAAAUUCAAGUACUGAGAACAAAAACUGUAUGUUUCAAAGUAGUUGUCCAAGUUAUGCCAACUUGCUUUUAUGUAACGACAACAAGAAAACUGAUCUAAGACCUGCAUUGUGGUGAAUUUUGCAGGUGUGCAAGACAGGGAUCACAAAUUCUUGACAAAAACAGUGGAAGAAGCAUACCGAGGAGUCGAUUGCGGUGACGGAGGUCUAUUUGGAGCAGUUGUCAUCCGCAAUGAUGAAGUGAUAGUUAGCUGCCAUAACAUGGUUCUGAAGCACACUGACCCUACUGCGCAUGCUGAAGUAACUGCAAUUAGAGAGGUAAAUUACCUGAAGGCUACCAUUAGCAGUCGAUCUCAGUAAAAUUAUCAUUACUUUAAUCUCUUUUUGCAAUCUGUCUGGCAGUUAAUUUCAUUAUUCGCUAUGUGCUUGAUGGUCUCUGUAUGCCCAUAUUUUAGGCUUGCAAAAAGCUCGGGAAAAUCGAGCUCUCUGACUGCGAAAUUUACGCGUCCUGCGAGCCAUGCCCAAUGUGCUUUGGUGCAGUUCAUCUCUCCCGAAUCAAGGUUCAUACUUUACUGUUUUGAUUGCCUAAACUGGUAUAGGCAUAGCUAGACAUUACUGAGCGUUGUCUAACGUUCCUACUUGACCUGCAAUGCAGAAGCUGGUUUAUGGGGCCAAGGCGGAGGCUGCCAUCGCCAUUGACCUGCAAUGCACUACUCUCUUAUGAUCAUGCGUGUACUGCCACAUUCUGAUACGAGUACUCAACUUUAAAUUAAUCAAUCUACUGUAAGUCACAAAUUUUUUGAUAAAAUUUCUUCCUAGCUGAUAACCAUUUUUAUGUCACAUUCCAGAUGAACCACUUCCAGAGUUCCUGUUACUUACUCUUACCAGGAUGGGACUGGGCACAAGAGAGUUAUCCAUGUUAAUUUCUAACAAAUGAUGAACAUGCUUAUUAUUUGCUUCUCGGAGUUUUUUAUAUGUGGACUAUACAAUGAAAACACAACCUAUCAUGAUGCCAGGUCCUUUAAGGUGACACCAAUGGAGAAUUCCUAAUGGCUAUGCAACAACAGCUUGUCCAUGAAAUUCGUGAAGUAUGGACAACUUCACUUGAGAAUCUACUUUAUAUGAAGGAAGACCUUAUCAUCCCUCAUGGAUGUGUUCAUUCUCUUGUAAUCUACGAAGUUCUGUUAAAGUUAGUCGAACCAUUUUCUGAUUCUAUGUUCUCUCAUUUGUUUGACAACAACACAUCUUUUAUGAAUUAAUUAUUAAACAAAAUGAGGCGCAAGACUGGAUUGGUAAUUCAUAUAUUUUUUGUGAUGCGAAUAUAUUCUGGUAAAGACAUGUUAUUUUGUUCUAAAGCACAUGCCAUAUAAGAGGUUCUCGAAAAUGAUUAUCAUGUUUUCAAAUAAAUAUAAAAUUGUGUACAGUAAGGAACACUUUGAAUAGACAGAGGAUAUUUUUAAGUGAGACAUACAAUUCGGCCAUGACUUAAAAUAGAAUUUUCUCCGUACCAACUUCUUAGCAAUUUUAUCUUUUUCUAUGAUUUUUAUUACAUAUAAUAUAAUUGGCAAAACAAUAUUAUGUAUGAUUACCAUUAGCUAUCUCUUUCUACAAGUUAUGGCCAUGUGGGGGAAUUUGUAGUAGUGAAACAUCUAAAUUAAAGUAGCCCACAAAUAGAUUAUGAAAUAUUUUCUCAUAACAAUAUAACACAUAUUUUGUAUAUAAGUUAUCGUGGUAUUAUAUGUUCUCGUUGCAACAAUGCACUGUCAAUAUUGCAUGAGUCUUUGAAUGUAGUAGCAAAAGUCUUGGGACAUCAUUGUUUUAGUUAUUAUGAUCUGAACAACCCAUUUUAUAUAUGGAGCUCGUGGCAAUGGCAGCCCCACAACACGACGAUGGAGCCCAUAGUGUGCUCAGACUCGUGCUUCUCUGCAACAAUGCACUGUUCUCCAUGAGGGCUCCCGUCACUAUUGCGUUCACGCCGUCCGUCGCUAAAACCUUGAGCAAUUGAGGCUCGUUAAUUUGUGUUCCGUCGCAAUGCACGGGCACAUAUCUAGUAAAAACUUAAAAUGUUAGGAGAAUGUAGACAAUUCACGUAUACACUUCAACGUUUCACACAUGAAAUUCCCAUCAAAUGGGAUUGCAAAUAUAUACUAAGUGGUCUUGGAAAUGCCAAAGUUCAGAACCACUAUUAAACUGUUUUUGCGUCAAGCUCCCAAGUAUACUGAAGAGCUGGCACGGGUGCAUGCAUGCCUUACGAAAGAAGCCUUACAAGCUCAUCAGUGCUCAAGCUUACGGAGGAAGCUACUCAUGCCCCUCUCCCUCCCUCGCUCUCUUCCACGCCAAUUUCACCUUCCGCUCCCUGUCUCCUGCUAUCCGCGCGCAAUAUUAAUGGAGCAAGAUCAGAGCGCGGAUUCUGGUUUUGAUUUUGCGACUGGCAUUGUGACCAGCGGAAGCGCCGUGGCCCCUCACAGUGGAGAACAGGCAGAGGCCUCUGCCUACCAGGCCGACGACCGCAUGGCAUUCAAUGAGACGUAUUGGUAAGUGCUGUCUUCGCCGGCGGGCAGGCUAACUUUCCGAUGACGUGCGGUAGAGACAACACAAACUUCUUUCUUCUCCAUUCUCUUCUAAUCUCCACCUCACUCUCCAAUGGAGUUCUUCUCUCUAUUUUUUCCUUCUUUCUUCUCUAUUUUCCUCUACAUGUAGGGGGCUGAGCCCCAGCCCCCCUUGGAUCCGCUAAUGAUUAGAGACAGAACCACGACAACAUAUUCCUUAGAUUUUUAAUAAGUAGUAUAGAUUGUAUAAAAACAUUAUAAAGUAUCUUUCCGUGUUUUUGUUUUCUUUCCUGUUUCACAUUUUCAUUCCUUUUGGGAACAUGGCUGCUAAAAUCGUACCUACAUUUUUUUCUCUCUCUCCAAGAGAGAGCUAUAUAUGCACCAUUUUAUCAAGAAGAAUUUUCAUAUGAAUCAUUUCGUUAAGAAGACGACUAUCAUACACAUGCAAAUGACAAUAUCUUAGUUAACUUUUGAAUCGUGUUUUCUAGGGAAGAAAAGGGGGGCAACAGUCUGCGCGUGCUUGUGGCGACAGAUUGUCACCUUGGCUACCUCGAGAAGGACGAGGUGCGCGGAUUUGACUCCUUCGACACGUUUGAAGAGAUCUGCUCAUUGGCUGUAAAAAACAAGGUACGUAAGGAUCUUGUCAAAAUAAAGAUUAUUCUAUUUUUGUGUCUCUUUUGCGAUGCACAUACAUAUUGCACUUUAUGAAAGAUUAUACAAUGUUUUUCACAGUCUAAACUCAACGCCUCUUGCAAAGAGUGUUGGUAUUUUUAGAUGAUUACAAGUCAUGUCACAAUACAUCAUUCGAUUACAGGUGGAUUUCCUACUCCUUUGUGGCAAUUUGUUUCAUGAGAACAAGCCUUCCAAUUCGACGUUGGUGAAGGCCAUUGAGAUCCUGCGGCGCUAUUGCAUGAACGACUGCCCAGUCCAGUUUCAGGUGAUUAGUGAUCAAGCAGCCAGCCUCCAGAACAGGUUCGGCAAUCCAUCAUUCUCUCUCUGUCAACUCCCGAAGAUGAUUCUAUGACUAGCUGUGUUCCAGUCUAAUUGUCAAGUAGUGAUUUUUUUUCAGGUUUUGUCAAGUGAAUUAUGAAGACCCAAACUACAAAAUUGGCUUGCCCGUGUUCACCAUCCAUGGGGACCAAGAUUAUCCUACUGGAACUGUAUGGACAUUAUGAAUUAUGAUUUCGUUUCCUUCACGUUUCUCUGUUAAAAACAGAUAAAUACUCUCUCUCUCUCUCUCUCUCUCUCUCUCUCUCUCUCUUCAGAUACAAGGUGUACCCCAUUAGGUUUAUGUUGGAUCACAUUGUUUAUAGUCAUAACAAUAAAUCAUAAUCAAACUAACAUAAGCACUUUAUAUGGAUCCACUGAUAUCAGUCUUACCUCAAAACUCUUCAAAUGUGCUAAGUUAAUUGUUAGUCAGAGUUUAUCAAAUUUGAAUUGUGAAGUUAUUGCACGCCUUCUAAAAAGAAACGGUGGUAGCAUUUUUUUGUACGUUCACUUAUAAGUUAUACACUUAUUUGUGUUCUUGUAGGAUAACCUGUCAGUGAACGAUAUAUUGACAGCAGGAAAUUUUUUGAAUUAUUUCGGCAAGACAGAUCUUGGAUGCACCGGCGUUGGCAAAGUAACAGUUUAUCCAGUAGUAAUCAGAAAGGUAUAUCCACUUAUUGGAGUUUUGUAUUCCAUGAAAUGUCAACCAAACUCAAUUAUUACUCCCUCUGUCUUGUUAUAUAAGGUGUAACCAGUAUUGGUUCAAAGGCCAAGAAAUACAUUUAAUUCUCUCUACACCACUGCAUCGAUGUACGUGUGCAUAUAAAGAACACGUCUUAUAUUGUGGGACAAGAACAAAAAGUGGUUACGACUUAUAUUCUAAGACAGAGGGAGUACUGAUUAAACGCUGACGAAUUGUUUGUUUUAUUUUAGGGUGAAACUUAUAUUGCCAUGUAUGGACUUGGCAACAUUAAGGAUGGGAGACUGAAAAGAAUGCUACAUGUACUUCACCAUAUAGCUUCCCUAAGUUCUGUGCAAGCUAGUCUCAUACAUUUGUUUAUAUGUGUAAUGUAUUAUUCUUCAUCAGGAGCCUGGUGCAGUUAACUGGAUGCAACCUGAAUUCCAAGAUGAGACACCAUCCUCUGACUGGUUCAACAUCUUGGUCCUUCACCAAAAGAGGUGCACAAUCUCCGACUGAGAUCAUCUAUGAAGAUUUUAUGACCACUUUGUAAUUUUAAUUUUUUGCAGUUUUGCUUCCUGAUCAGAUGUCAUUCUCUGUACUUCUGUGUAGGACACGGGGAAGUCCUGGAGACGCUAUCAGUGAGCUCCUUCUGCCACGUUUUGUGGACAUGGUAAUUUGGGGCCAUGAGCAUGAAUGUCUGAUUGAUCCACAGGUAAAACUGAUUGAUCCACAGGUAAAACAAGACAUAUUAGUAUUUAAAAAGAGGGCAAGAGGUGCAAUUUAGCAUAUGUAUUUUUAGUCAAGUGUUCUGUCUUUCCGCUUUUGUAUUUAAUUUUAACUUUGUUUUCCUUCUAUCAACUACUCACAGGAGGUUCCUGGAAUGGGUUUCCAUAUCACCCAACCAGGUUCCUCAAUUGCUACCUCACUGAUCAAUACUGAAGCAAAUCCAAAACAUGCGCUCUUUCUGGAAAUCAAGGUUAGUACUGGUGCAACGUGCUACGCUAACAUUCAAAUAUCUUCUUUUUUUCAUUUAUUUAGUUUAUCAUGUUGCCCUUGAAUAGGGGAGAGAGUACAGGACAACCAAAAUACCUCUGCAGUCUGUUAGACCUUUUGAGUAUGCAGAGGUAAUCCAGCUCUUACUUGUGUUUGCUCAAGUGAACUACAUCAAGAGAAUGUCAUGCAGGUUGUACUGGAGGACCAGGUUGAUGUUGAUCCUGGUGAUGAAGCAUCCAUUCAUGAGCAUUUGCACAAAGUUGUAAGUCCCCAACUAAUACCUUGUAUUUUUGUAAAAAAAACGUCUGUUUCCAAGAAUAUGUUCCCAUGACUGGUUAAAUUAAAUCGAGAACAGAACAAUCAGAUCUUUGAACAAUGAAGCUUCAGUUGUUGGAUAUUUGUUGUACUAAAUACUGACGGCAGAGUGGCUUUAGGUGAGCAACCUUAUUGAUAAGAGUAGGGAAGAAGCAUCCAGUAGUGGAUCAAAGCCCAAGCUUCCACUGGUUAGAAUAAAGGUAAAUCAGGAGCUCUUUAUGGCAGUUUUGUCCCACAAUGUUGUAAACAGAAAAGAGAUUGAAUUGUUCUUCAGGUGCAUCACACUGGGCUUUCAACGAUAAAUUCAAAGCAAUUUGGUCAGCACUACGUGGGCAAGGUACCUCAUAAACUAAUUAAAAUGGAAUAAUUUAAAUGUGAUGUAAUCCUUUUAGUUACUACUGUUGCAUAUCAAUGCUCUUGUAGGUUGUAAACCCACAAGACAUACUUCUUCUUACAAGAUCAAGGCAAAGGCAUCAAACUAUGCAAGGUAUGCCUAUUAUUGUUUCCUAUGAAAACAAUACAUGAGAGAGUAAUGCUAGGGUACGCUCAUAUGGGACCAGGGUGGUACUUGUGUUGAGUUUCUGUUUUAGAAUACUUUUUUAGUUUGCCAAUCAAUUUAUUGUUAACGUGGCCAUAUUACUAUCUUAUUGUGAGCAUAUCAACAAUCAACAUUAUAGAUUGGUUAAUGAAAAGUAUAAUACUGGCUAUAUCGCAAGUUUAAAAUUUGAAUACAUUUAACAAAUUCAAGCUGAGUGUAUUUUCAGGCUGUCUCUUUUAUUGUAUUGCCUUAUGUGGUCGGCACUUCUGCUUAAUACAACUAGACACAAGAUUUGGCAUUCCAUCUUUUUCUAGUAUUGCUUACCUAGCAAACCAAUCUUAGUUCAAUAGUUGAGCAACGCGGACGCGGGCUACUGAACUUGUUCUUUCUAUAUAUUGUAGAAAGCUGCAACAUUUCUGAAGAUCUUUGUCCAAAUGAGCUCAACCAGCAGACGGUUGAAGCACUUAUCGCAGACAGUAACAUUGUACCCAACUUCCUCCUGAUCCUUUCCUUUCUAGUACUACUCAAACAAGAUGUCUUCUUCUCUUCUCUUCUUUUCUUUUCUUUUCUUUCUUUCUUUCUUUCCUCUUUUUUGUGCAUAGGUCGUCCACCAUUCGAUUACUACAUGAUUGCGCGAUGAAGGUUGAUGCAAAAUUCUGUACUUUUUUUUCGUCCCAUCCUUGCUUUUCCAGAAACCGCAGGUCCUUCCUAUAGACGAUUUCAACAGCGCACUCCAUGAGUUUGUCGAGGGGGACGACAAGAGGGCAUUUCACGCUUGCGUGCAGCAAAAUAUCGAGGAAGCGAUAGUAAGAAACUCCUUGACAAACUGUUUCUUCAAACUGUCCAACAUUCUGAACUUCAAUUUCUAUCCAGUCUGAAGAACCUCUGGUUGAAAAAAAAAUGCAUCACAAAUUAACUACCACCACAGUCCACAGAUCGAGUUUUCCGCUGAAGAAAAAGUAGGAUAUCAACUGAUGAUAAUUUCUUCAAGCUGACAAGCCGAGUAACCUUGUUGCGCAGCUCCAGGAAAAGAAAAGCCUGACCAGGGAAAGAACAAGCUCGGAGAAUCUGCAGACUGAUGCACUCGGCGUGUUUGAGAAGCAGAAGCGUUCGACGACGACGGAGGAGCAGCGGGCCCUUGACUCGGAUGAUGAACCCAUCGAGUCUUCCGUAAGUGAUCUCACUCUCCGUAUGGCAGCCGUUUCAGAUUCAACUCUGAGCAGUAGUGGCAGAUCGACUGGCAGUAGGGGCAUCUUGAUCUUGCCUAACGACACGUUUGAUGGACUGUGCUCCAUGCUCAUUCAUUGCUCAAGGACCCCGAGGAGAGUGGUGGCAGCCAGCAGGCAGGAAAGAAGAGGCGAGCUGCACCAGGCGGCGGGUCUGCGGCUGCCGGUGCGAGGAGGAAGACGGACCUGGCUGCGUUCCAGAGGGUUCCGGUGAAGGAAGACGACGCCGCCACGGCCAGGAAACGCCGGCCUCCCGUAAGCUGUCUCGGGCUCUCGGCCAUCGAUCUCUCAGUUGUCAGCUCUGGUUUUCUCAAGGUUUGAGCUUUUGUUGAUUUAUCGUUGUCGUUCACAGGUUGCCGCCGGGAGGUACGGCGCUGUGAUCAGGAGGAGGAUGCCGAAGUAGAGGAUUGAGCGAAUUUUCUUUUGAGAGUAGCCUCAGGUUGCCGCCGGGGCUGUGAUCAGGAGGAUUCCGAUGUAGCCCAUUCACGGUUCCAGUGUGGAUUCCGCAUCCAAUUUAAUGUAUUUCUAAUCGAGGACCCUGAUCGAUUAGUUGCUGUAGCUAUGUUUGGAUUUAGGGGUUAUUUGGUUUGUUGUCUAACUUAUCAUAGUUUGUCAUGUCUAAGGUUAGAUAAGUUUGAGGCAUGUGUUGGUUUGAAGCCACAGUUAUAGAAAAUGCUCGUCAAUAACUAGUAUAAGUGUAACAAGAUUCUUUUAAACGUGGCAAACUAUAGUGUUGAAUUUGAGCGCCUUAGACAAGCUUAACAUAAAAAAUUAUGGCAAUUUAAUGCACGGACGCGACCACGAUGGCAUCGCGCGCCGCGGCGCCGGCCGUUCCCAAGCCCCCCGCCUGCGGUGCCCCCAUUGGCCCUUGCUCUCGUGUCUAGCGUGGUAUAGGAGCGUAUCCUUUCAAGUUUCAACGAGGUCCUAGCCACGGGGGGCACUGUACUCGCCAGGGUCAGUAACCGGUCGGCAUCGAGUAAGAUAUCGUGUGAUGGUUUUUGGCGCGUGCUAUUUGUUCGACCUAUUGUUGCAACGGAGACCGCCGCUAACUACCAUCUCCAAGAGACUCCUACAAUUGAGUCCUAAAAAUCAAAAUAGGACACGGUUUAAAUUAUUUAAGACCCACCAAUUCGUUUUACUCCAACUGAGUUCUAUAAUCACAUUAUUUAGUUAAUUAUCCGCUUCACCGCAGCAAUGUCAUCGUCGCUCUGUCAUCGUCCAUGUUCGCCAGAGACAAUCUUUCACAUGAUCUCGUUGUCCUGCUGAUGGAGUAGUAGGCCUUCACGUGAUCACGUUGUCCGGUAGAUAGGGUAGCGGGCCAGCAGUUGUUGGUUACUCUCCACCAACAAGAGAGAUAGGAAUCUAUUAGAAGCCAGAGCUCCAGCUUGCUAGUUCGAUUUGAUGGCAGCAACUAACACGACAAUGACGCUCAGCAUGAUAUGAAGAUUGCCAUCGAUAGGAAGGCUCAUCACCUGCUGUUCGCGGAGGCGAGAAAGAAUGUGGUCGACUUCUUCUCCCUACUCAUCCUGCUCGUCGGCGCGACCGUCAAACUGCAGGGGAAUAAGGGCAUGGUCGGCAGCACCGACAACCUCUACGAUAGUGUGGAGGGCCUAGAAUACGCCUACAUCCAGACCAUUGUCGUGCAUCGAGGAAGAUGGACUUGAGACCCACUUAAUGUCAUUCCAUAAUAGUAGCAUUUUCUAUGUGAUUGGAGAUCUCAUGAAGUAGAAUAGUGAAACAAGCUAGAGAAUGACCGAUGGAGAGACUCCUUAAAUAAAAUCUAGGUAAUUUCAUAUGCACAUUUCUCCUUUGAUGUACGAUAGGCUAACUAAAAUCUUAAUAUGAUUUGAGUGACUUAUCUAAGCAGGGAUGUUAUCUUAUAGAACAUCUUAGAAGGAACACACCUGUUGGGGACCUUCGGCCUCCGAAGGUCCUCAAAAACGUGAUUUGACAAUGUUUUCUAAGUAUGCGAGCAUGUAUCUUCGGAAUCAGGUUGCGGGUAUACAGAAGCAUGGUCAAGACGAAGCUUGACUGGGACGACGAUCACGACGAAGGAUAAGAUGAUCACGAAGCUAUAUGCAGAGGAGCUUCGGCAUUACGGCGGGAAAGGGAAACCGACUUAAAGAUGAAAAGCCAAACUAGACCUCGAAGAAUUACUAUAGAGUUAUUGAUAAAUGUAAAGAGCAUUAAUGUAAUUUUGCAUGGGCUGUGACCCGUGCCUAUAAAUAGGUGAACAGUAUUCCCGUACUGGGGACGCUGACUUAGCAUUCACUUUUGCGUCACACCUGUAUUUUCUUUCCUUCGAGUCGAAGGUACAUUUGUAAUUUAUCUUUGUUUACAUAAGUAAUAUAAAUAGAAACAGAUUAAUAAUAAGAUUUACAGAAAUUAUAUUAUUUUCUGUAUUUUGUUUGAAUGUUUUCCAUUUUUUUUAUCACGAUCAUGAAGGUACGUCCUUCAUGACCUUCGUCUUAAAUUCAUUACAUCCGAAGGGAAAUAAUGAUUUGAAGGACGAAGGACUUUUGAUAUUUAACAUUUUAUGUUGCCUUGUUCUUGAUUCAUAGCAUUUGAGAACAAGUCCCCAACAUUGGCGCCCACUUCCAGUGAACUCACUUCCAUUUUUUGAGUCUUGAACACUUUCGGCAAGCAUCACCUUCGUCAUGCCGCCGAAAAAAGCUUCAGCGACAGGGGCUGGUACUUUACAGCCGCUGGAUCCCAAUCAGGACGUCCUUUCUCUUAGAGAGGCCCGAAGCCAGAAGAGGAAGACUGUUAGUCCAACACCUCUGGAGGAUGACCUGGAUCAGGAGAUCCAAAACCUGGAGAUCCUUCAGCAACAGGUGCAGUGCAAGAAGGAGAAGAUGGCUCGUCUAGCUGAUCUUCAGAGAUAGAUAGACGAAGCUUCUGAAGAGGUUCGUCAUCUUGUUCAAGAUGAUCAGAGCCGAAGGCCUCCACGCAGAGAGCUCCAUCAGGAAGGCUUCCACAAUGAGGACGACUGGUAUGAAGAUUUCCAUCAUGGAAACUUUGCUUUUGAUGAUGCUUCUCCUCUCUCAACAGAAUUGCAGGCUACACCAUGGCCCCAGUCUUACAAGCCACCCUAGCUCCCCAUGUAUGACGGUCAUACAGACUCGAAGCAAUUCCUGAUGAGCUAUGAAGCAACCAUAUCUUCGUAUGGUGGCAAUACGGCAGUCAUGGCAAAAUCUUUUGUCAUGGCCGUCAAGAGCGUUGCUCAGACCUGGUACUCUUCUCUUCGGCCAGGGACAAUCACUUCUUGGCAGAAGUUGAAGGAUAUGCUGAUAACUAGCUUCCAAGGGUUUCAGACGAAGCCAGUCACUGCUCAAGCUUUAUUUCAGUGUACCCAGGACCACGAAGAAUACCUCCAGGCGUACGUCCAAAGGUUUCUACGUCUGAGGGCACAAGCGCCAACAGUGCCCAAUGAAAUUGUCAUUGAGGCCAUGAUUAAGGGGCUUCGGCCGGGACCUUCAGCACAGUACUUUGCCAGGAAGCCACCACAAACGUUGGAGAAGCUGCUCCAAAAGAUGGACGAAUACAUUCGAGCUGACAAUGACUUCCGCCAAAGAAGGGAGGAAGCAUUCAGGUUCUCUGAAAUGACCAGGGGCUUCGGAGGAAGAUUUCACCCGAGGCACGUUAGGUCAAUUCAUAACUCUGCUCAAACUGAUGAUCGAGGGAGUCAGCAGCAAAGGCCACAAUACUCUUCACAAGCUUCGGGCCACCAGCAAAGUUCUUUUCGGCCGCCAGCGCCAAGAGGCAGAGGCGCUAGGGGCUUCGGGGGAAGGUUUGGAGAUCAGCCAAGAAAAAUUUAUUGCCUAUUCUGUGGUGAAGAUAAGGGCCAUACCACCAGGAUGUGUCACGUCACCAUCCAGAAGCAGAAGGAGAUAGCAGAAGCAGCUGCGCAACAAAGUCAGCCGAAGCAGGUCAUGCAUACUGCUUCGUAUCAUUCGCCUUAUAUUCCAGAAUAUGUAGGCAACCACCCUGCAGUUUCUGUCGCUUCGGCAAGCCAACCCCAAGCAUCUUGGCAGCAUCCUCCACCACCGCCGCCGACGCAGCGAGCACAGCAGCCAGAAGGGAGCCAGCACAAUCACCUUCAGAGGGAUUUCAGAGAGGAGUCCGAAGCUCGCACAGUCAACAGCACUGUGCCAGAGUCGAAGCACAUUUAUUGAUGAAUAUCCUACUUCAACAGCAUUUCUUUCGCAUUCUUACAUUCAGUAUUACCUUUUUGUUAGUAAGGAACAAUUAUGAGAAGUUUAAGUGUCUUUUAUCGUUUUUCGAUUUAUUGUAACACUUUCGUCUAUUACCAUAAUAAAAAUAUGUCUUUUCCAUAGGCUUGAUCUGCCGAAGUAUACAAAUUUAUGGUGGCAUGAAGGACCUUUGUAUUAUCAAACAUUUGUCUUAACGGACAUAGUACAAAUUCCUCGAAACAGUAAAAAGUCGUUCCUAAGGGAACGCAGAGUAAGUUUUCUGAAACUACAGCGAAAAAUAAGCGCUGAUUCCGCCGAAAGUAAAAGGCGAAGAAGCUCCUAAGGGAGGCUUACAGCGAAAAAUAAACGCUGAUUCCGCUGAAAGUAAAAGGCGAAGAAGCUCCUAAAGGAGGCUUACAGCGAAAAAUAAACGCUGAUUCCGCUGAAAGUAAAAGGCGAAGAAGCUCCUAAGGGAGGCUUACAGCGAAAAGUCAGCGCUGAGAUAAAAAGUGUGUGUGCUCUAUUACAGGGAUGUGUAUCUGCGGCACAAAUAUCAUUUUGCAUAACAUAACAUCAUCACAUCAUUCUGCAUAACAUAAGCAUCAUACAACAUAUUGCAUGUGGAACAAGAAGGGGAUACAGUGUUGGUCUUCGGAGAAUAUUUUGGAAAAGAGAAAAUCGUGCUAAAGCACAAGACAAAUCGAGAUGAAGUGUAGCCUCAUUGGAGAUGCCACACAAAACUUUUUUAUAGCUUCGGAGAAUAUUUCACGAAGCUUGGACAUUUUUCAUCAGAGAAGUAAGCAAAUUCUUGUGAUAUAGAAAGAACUUUCUUCACGAAGCAUGAAAAGAAGGGAAGGUGUUUUUUCGCCGAAGGCUCAAAAAAUGGUAUGUAUGCAAAAUUUCAUGCAUCGUAAAGAAUUAAACUAUAGAUUAUAUAUUACAUUCAAGGUUACAAUAUAUUACACAUGUUACGUUCUAAAUGUUUCUACAGUAACAUUCAAUCCUCCUUAAGCACUAUUUCUGCAGCUUCAUUCAAUAGCUGGUCGACAACCUUGUCCAUAAUGGCUUCGGCCAUUUUUCUAAUUUCAUCGUCCCCCUUCGGGUGGGGGCCCGGAGAUGCCUCAGCAGGUUCUGAGGGAAGAGAAGAUACGACUAUAUUACUAUUACAAACCAUGAACAAAGUCUGGAAUUAAAAAUUACAGCAUAAUAAAAACCACUAAUUAAUACCUAUUUGCCCUUCGGGCUCUGCACUUUUUUCCGCAGCUUCUGCUACUUUUCUGGCAUCGUGGAUGCCUUUUUCACUCUUUUGAAUAAUUUCUUGCCAUUUCUCGGCCGCCAUUGUCCCAGAUAUCGGUGAAGAACUUCCCGCCGACCAUGCUUGCUUCGGGCGAGGGGUCUUUAAUGUCUUCAGAGGACAAGGUAGCUUCGGACUGAGCCAAGGAUCUUACAUGCUCGCAACCUUUCUUCUCCAAAACAGCAGCAAUCCCUCUAGCACCCGAAAAAGCGCAGAUGUCACCGCGGCUAUUCAGGAUUUCCUCGAAGGCCUCUGCUUCGUGACUGAUCCAUUCCAUUGGACCUUCAGGAUUGCCCCUUGAGAAAUUCUCUUCACUAGAGAAUGCGCCAACGCUGGCGAAGCUGGAUUUUAUCUUCUUGACGCACUCUAUGGAUUUAACAUAGCAUUUUCUCUGGGAUGCACGAAGCUCCUUAACACUUAUCUCUAAAUGAUUGGCCAAUUGAUCACUAAGCUCUCGUUUUGUUUCUUCAAGUAUACGUUCUUCUUUAGCUCUAGCUAGCUGUUUCUGAAGAUCUUUAAUUUCAUGUUUUUGGGCUUCGGCCUGAGCCUUUGAGGCAGCUUCGUCCUUUUUUACCUUGUCUAUCAAUGUAAGCAGAAUUUUAUCCUUUUCCAGAGCUUCGUUUCUUAGUUUAAUAACUUCUGAUCGUAGGUUGUUGAACGCAAUUUCAUAGCUCUCGUCUUCGGCAUUCUUUUGUGCUCUCAAUGCGUUGCUCAGAAUUAAACCCUAUAUGUAAAAGAGUUGGUAUAAGAAUAAAAGAAUGAGUCAUGAAUUAUAAAAAUUCCAAACGCUCAAUUCCCAUACCUUCAGGCUAUUGUACGCAAGACUAUCCGCGAGAUCCUCCUUCGUCAUAGCACAUAAUCCAGCUUCGAGCUUCGGAAACCCCAUACUCCUAGCCAUCUCCCGACAGACGGAUAGUUCUUUGUUGUCUGGGAGGCAGUAUAGGAAAUCUUCUUUGUUCGUCCCAUUGAACACUAGUGCCCCCUUCGGAUAUUUCAAUUCUUUGGCAUAGUGAUUAGCUUCAAAAACUUCUUCUUCCGGUAACUUUUUCCCCGAAGCAUGUCGCACGAUAUAAUCGUAUAUUUUGGAAGAUGCUUCGGGGGCAGCGGUAUCAAUUUCUUCGACCAAAGUUGCCUCUGACAUUUUCAUUUCUUUGGUUGCCUUUGCAAUUUUUGCUUCUUCUGCUUCCAAAGGUAUUACCUUGGUUGGUUCUGAAGGCCCGGUUUCAACUCCAGUCUGUUGCUUCGGAGCUUUAGCAACGGAUACUUCAGCAAGCGCCUCAGAAGUUUCAGCAGUCUUCUUUGGGGUUGUGCUUGGAAGUUUAAUUGUUUCCAAAACAUCUAACACAUUAACCAUUCUUUUUCUUUUUGGGGUCACUGUUGGCCCCUUUUUAAUUUUUGCUGCUUCAACUUCUUCUGAAGGACUUAAAAUUUCUAAUAUUUUCACUCCCUCAGCUGAUGCUUUCGCUUCUUCCGUCUUUGUUUCUUCCAUCUUUUCUAUCGCUGCCACUUUGGCCAUUUCUAUGACUUCUGGCAGCAGGGUUGGCUCUUUAGCCUCGGUGGCCGAAGAGGUCUCACCGGUGAACUCAGGCACCGUGGCUGGUUCAAUAUAGCGUGGCCGGUGUGUAAGAACUUUUAUCCUUUUUCUUUUCGGCGCUGGCUCGCUAGAAACAGCUGCAGCUGUUUCUUUCGCGGAAGUUGUCCCUUUUCUUUUUUGCCCCCGUAUUGGAUAGCGAUAGUCGGGGUAGACAAACCCGACUGCAUCAAACACUCGGUUAAGUCUUUUCUUUUUUCGGCCUCCGAAGGCCACUGACAAUGCAGUGUCUUCGGCCUUCGAAUAUACCCCAAGCAAUUCAUCACUUACAGUCUCAAUACUCUUUAACCAAUCAUCAUCUGGUUCAACGAACUUGUCUCCGUACUUGAAUGUAUACUUCAGUCUGACUAGCCCACCUUCAUCAGUUUCUUUAACAGUUUCUUUCGGCAUUUCCCAAUUAUCUGCAAGAGGCCACACCCUAAAGGCAAUGUGUUCUUGUGUUAAAUCCCUUGUCCCAAUAAAAGAGCAGACUACGCCGAAGGCCCGUUGGCAUUCUUCGGCUACUUCAUCCAUUUCUACCUUCGGUUUCCGGAGUCCGAAGCGCUGCCAGAUGGGGCACAUGAUGACAUCCUUAAUAUCUUCUCGAACCCUCAAAUCAUUUUUUACAUAGAACCAUUCUUUCAUCCAUUCUCCGGGCCAUCUCUUCCGAAAGGUGGGCACGAGACAACUUGAUCCAGAGCGAGGACCGAAGUUGUAGCAACCAAAGUCGUUAUGAUAUUGCUCUUUACCCCAGGGCUUCGUUUCGUAUAACAAUUCAUGUAUAUUGCAAAAGCUUUUCGCACUUGGCUCUAGGCCCUGACUCUUCACAGCCCAGACGAAGAUUCCCAUUCUUAUUAUUGCUUCAGGGGUAAGUUGAUGAAGGUAAACCUGAUAUAUUUUCAGAACUUGUACCACAAAUCUGCUUAUAGGGAAUCGUAGCCCAGCUUUUAAAAAGCUUCGAAAGAUAACGACUUCAUCAUCUUCGGGAGUCGGCACAGUUCUUUCUCCGGCAUCUGCUCUCACAAUGGACAUAUCUCGAAAAUAUCUCCCCCUCAUGUUUUCAAGGUGACUUUGCCCAAUAGUUGAUUUUCCGAAGACUGAAUGGCUUGGUCGCCAUGGUCGAUCUUCGGAAUCUUCACCCCCACUGUCUGCAUCAUAACUGUCACUAUCACCAGUAUCUUCAGAUAAACCUUCUAAAAUCUCUCUUGUAAUCUUCUCCGUAUUCGUCUUUGCUAUUGACUCAAGAAAACACAGAUGCAUCUCUUCAGAAAGGCUCAGCUUCAUUUCGGCAGCAACCUUCCUCUCCUCAGACAUCCCUUCAGAAUUCUUGCCUCUCGCUUCCAAAGCUUAAAACUAGGGAGGCAACCAAAUAUUUAUGGGCAGAAAACUAUUUGAGCAGGCAAAACAGAUGGCAGGAGAGCGUGCCAAAUAAAUUGUAGCGAGCCCCUAUUUAUACACCCAUUAUAUCGAAAACUGGAGGGUCCCGCUUAUCAAAGCCUGUUGCUAUUCUAGCAAAGGGAAGGUGUUUUUUCGGACCUUCGGCUCAAAGCCUCCGUCCAUAUCGCAAUAUAAAUUUAUCAUUACAGCAAAAUUAAUAUUGCGAGGGGCUACUGUUAGGGACCUUCGGCCUCCGAAGGUCCUCAAAAACGUGAUUUGACAAUGUUUUCUAAGUAUGCGAGCAGGUAUCUUCGGAAUCAGGUUGCGGGUAUACAGAAGCAUGGUCAAGACGAAGCUUGACUGGGACGGCGAUCACGACGAAGGAUAAGAUGAUCACGAAGUUAUAUGCAGAGGAGCUUCGGCAUUACGGCGGGAAAGGGAAACCGACUUAAAGAUGAAAAGCCAAACUAGACCUCGAUGAAUUACUAUAGAGUUAUUGAUAAAUGUAAAGGGCAUUAAUGUAAUUUUGCAUGGGCUGUGACCCGUGCCUAUAAAUAGGUGAACAGUAUUCCCAUACUGGGGACGCUGACUUAGCAUUGACUUUUGCGUCACACCUGUAUUUUCUUUCCUUCGAGUCGAAGGUACAUUUGUAAUUUAUCUUUGUUUACAUAAGUAAUAUAAAUAGAAAUAGAUUAAUAAUAAGAUUUACAGAAAUUAUAUUAUUUUCUGUAUUUUGUUUGAAUGUUUUCCAUUUUUUUAUCACGAUCAUGAAGGUACGUCCUUCAUGACCUUCGUCUUAAAUUCAUUACAUCCGAAGGGAAAUAAUGAUUUGAAGGAAGAAGGACUUUUGAUAUUUAACAUUUUAUGUUGCCUUGUUCUUGAUUCAUAGCAUUUGAGAACAAGUCCCCAACAACACCUAUAUGAGUUUGACUGCUAGUCACAAUCUAUGAUAUGUGGGCAAUAUUUAUAUACUCAUGAAAGGUCUCGGAGUUUGACUUAUAUGCUUCAAACCAAGGGGAUUCUUGUAAUAGUCUAGUACUAGAUAAGAACUUUGGUGAAACUCACUUCAUACAAAACUGUCAAUUCAAGAUAUAGUCUAUUGUUCAGAUGUGAAUGUGUAAUCCCUGUUCUAGAUGGAUGGUCAACUUAACAGCCUCCACCAAAACCCUUAUAUAUCAAAGAGUAGUGGAUUUAAAUUUGUCUAAUAUGUAGUUUAUGGGCUUGGCUCAUUUAAAGUAUUUAAUAAUUCUGAAAGACAAGAUUAAACUAACUAUGUAUGAUCCUUUAGCUCCGUACAGACGGUCGAUGGGACAGUUACAUGGUUUAUGUAGAUGGACCUAUCUAUAUUCCUUCAGUGGUUGAGAGAAAGGUAAAGGUGCGUCACACUCACGCGUGCGCCGCCUCCGCCAAGACAAGGCGUGGCGUUGCAAGGUGAGGCAUGGUAUGGUGCAGCAUGAUCGCAGUCAUGGUCGUGGUACGAUGUAGCAUUGUUGUGGAUAGAUAGAUAAACUAUUGUUGUAGUUAGAGCGCAUGAGUUUUUGAAUGCAACACUAGAAUUUUCACAAUUUAACUUAAUUAAGAAGUUAUAUCUUGAUGACACAGAGUUACCUGACCAUUGAUCUCACAUGCCAUUUUAGCUCUCUUGUUCUCCAGUCUCACCCUAACUAUUUAGGUCUCCUGACUCGCCAAUAUAAACACCAUCCUCUCAUUUGCUCUCCAAUACUUCUCUGUCACAACUCAACUAUCAGAUGAGUACUCCAUUACAGCACUUACGUACACGAGUUCAUGAGAUCGGGCCUCCAAAAUGAAUAUCGGCUAAGUGUUUAUCUACUCAGAUGAAGGACGAUAAUCGUGUUCUUGGGAAAUAUCAGCGACAUAACUCCUUACUUCCUCCGCUUCUUCCUAGUGUUUUUGUUGUUGUGAUUGAGUCGACAUAGCAACAACGCUGCACUAUUACAACCAGUACGAUUAUAUCAACUAACAAUGUAUUCCUUAUAUGUUACUAUUUAUUUUUCUCAUAUUCAUUAUGCUUAAAUCACAUGUGCACCUUUCUAUUGACAUCAAAAAAUAGUAUCAACUUUCUAGAUUAAAAUGCAACUAAAAGUACCUAAAUUUCUAUCAGUGGGGAUUGAGUGAUUCUUUAAACCGAUUAUUACAUAAGUUAACCACACUAAAAUUAACAUUGGUGAAUCGUGCCAUGAUUUUUUUCUAGUGCAAAAUAGCCAAACCAAGCAACACAUAUGUGGCUAUCGUUACACAUGUGUAAAGGACAUCACACCAUUGUCACCCAUGUAUUUGGACAAUAACGAGAGGAAAAACCACUUAUUUAUUGUAUUUUAUCAAGUUUGUCUUGCUUACGUAUAAAUUAUAACCCAACAAAGUAAUCACUAAAUGUCAAAACCAACUAGAUACCAUGUCAUCUCUACCUUAUCUUACUAAUGUUCUUUUUGCAAAAUCCAAAAGUAAUCUUGCACAAGCACAAGGACUGAUAUGUGUAUAAAUAUCUCUUAGAUUAGUAGCUAAUACAUCACACAUAUUAUUGAGACCAACUAGCAACAUAGAAAGCACAAUAGUGUACCAACAAUGGCAGCCAAAAUAUUUUGCUUCCUUAUGCUCCUUGGUCUUUCUGCAAGUGCUGCUACCGCAACCAUUUUCCCACAAUGCUCACAAGCUCCUAUAGCUUCCUUUCUUCCCCCAUACCUCUCACCAGCGGUGUCUUCAGUAUGUGAAAACCCAAUUCUUCAACCCUACAGGAUCCAACAGGCAAUCGCAGCAGGCAUCUUACCUUUAUCACCCUUGUUCCUCCAACAACCGUCAGCCCUAUUACAGCAGUUACCUUUGGUGCAUUUGUUGGCACAAAACAUCAAGGCACAACAACUACAACAACUUGUGCUAGGAAACCUUGCUGCCUACUCUCAGCAACAGCAGUUUCUUCCAUUCAACCAACUGGCUGCAUUGAACUCUGCUGCUUAUUUGCAACAACAACUACCAUUCAGUCAGCUAGCUGCUGCCUACCCCCAGCAAUUUCUUCCAUUCAACCAACUGGCAGCAUUGAACUCUGCUGCUUAUUUACAACAGCAACAGCUACCACCAUUCAGCCAGCUAGCUGAUGUGAGCCCUGUUGCCUUCUUGACACAACAACAGUUGUUGCCGUUCUACCUGCACGCUGCGCCUAACGCUGGCACCCUCUUACAACUGCAACAAUUGCUGCCAUUCAACCAACUUGCUUUGACAAACCCAACAACGUUCUACCAACAACCCAUCAUUGGCGGUGCCCUCUUUUAGAUUGCUUAUGAGUUAUAGUUCAAUAAUGAAGUUUUUUGGAUGAUGUUUGUGGCUUCCCAGAAAUAAGAAAGUACAUUUCUAGAUUCUUAUGUGCUUCUAGCCUCCAAAUGUGGUUGAUAGUUAUUUUGCUCUAAGAUCGGGAGUAAUGAGGUAUAAAUCAUCGUUGUGGUGUGCUACUCGGUUAAUUAAGCAUUAACACACACAAACAUGACGAGGAUGGUAUGACCUCCAGGGCCAGUAACACGCCGGCACCAGCAAGAUAUCGUGUGAUGGUUAUUGGCGCGUGUUGUUUGUUCGACCCAUUGCUGCAACGCAGACCGCCGCUAACUACCAUCUCCAAGAGACUCCUUCAAUUAAGUCCUAAAAAUCAAAAUAGGACAUGGUUUAAAUUAUUUAAAACCCACCAAUUCGUUUUACUCCAACCGUGAGUCUGAGAGCACCUAGAGGGGGGGGGUCGAAUAGGUGAUCCUGUAAAACUUGAAAUUUAACUCACAAAACUUGAUUAGGAGUUAGCACAAAUAAUGCCAAGUGGCUAGAGAGGAGUCUCAACAAAACACAAUAACCACAAGAGAUCAAUCACAGAGAUGGCACAGUGGUUUAUCCCGUGGUUCGGCCAAGACCAACGCUUGCCUACUCCACGUUGUGGCGUCCCAACGGACGAGGGUUGCAAUCAACCCCUCUCAAGCGGUCCAAAGACCCACUUGAAUACCACGGUGUUUUGCUUGCUUUACUAUAUCCCGUUUGCGAGGAAUCUCCACACUUUGGAGCCUCUCGCCCUUACACUUAGAUGAUCACAAAGAAGCACAGAGUAAGGGAGGGAUAAGCAACUCACUCAAGACAAGAAAUCACAGCAACACCACGCACACAAGUCGCAACAAGAGCUCACAACACAACUCAAUGAGUUCACAACUCAACUAGAGCUCUAACUGCUAUCGCAAGGAAUCAAAAGCGCGGAAUCGAUGUCUUAGUGCUUAGGAAUGCUUAGAGAAUGCUUGGUGUAGUCCUCCAUGCGCCUAGGGGUCCCUUUUAUAGCCCCAAGGCAGCUAGGAGCCGUUGAGAGCAAUCCGGGAAGGCAAUUCUUGCCUUCUGUCGCCUGGCGCACCGGACAGUCCGGUGCACCACCGGACACUGUCCGGUGCGGAUUUCCUUCCUUAUUUGGCGAAGCCGACCGUUGGCAGCCUUGGAGCCGUUGGCGCACCGGACACUGUCCGGUGCACACCGGACAGUCUGGUGCCCCCUCCCGACCGUUGGCUCGGCCACGUGUCUCGCGCAGCCGACCGUUGGCCCGGCCGACCGUUGGCUCACCGGACAGUCCGGUGCACACCGGACAGUCCGAUGAAUUAUAGUCGUACGUCGUUAAUUUAUUCCCGAGAGUGACAAGUUCGCCUGUGCCAGCCUGGCACACCGGACACUGUCCGGUGCACCACCGGACAGUCUGGUGCACCCAGACAGAGCUGGCUUUGGCUGAACAAGGCUAUCUCUUUUCCAAUUCGAUUUCUCCUGUUUCCAGCACUUAGACACAAUAAAUUAGUCACUAAAACAAUGUACUAAGUCUAAGAAACAUACCUUUAUACUUGAUUUGUACUUUGUCCACCAUUUGACACUUAGGCACUUGUGUUGGACACUAGAUCACCAAAACACUUAGAAAUGGCCCAAGGGCACAUUUCCCUUUCAAUCUCCCCCUUUUUGGUGAUUAAUGCCAACACAACAUAAGGCAAGUAGAACAAGUACGAAAUCAAUUCAAAUAAGAACUCAAAUUUGUUUUGAAUCAAAUUUGGCAUAUAUGGAUCAUUCUUUGCCACCACUUGGUUUGUUUUUGCAAAUCAACCUCAAAUUCCUAUCUCUAAGUCAAAAACACUUGUUGAGACAUAACAAGAGUUGUUCCAAGAGAAAUUGAUCAGAGAUUUCAAAAACUCCCCCUUUUUCCCAUAAUUAAGCCUUCUCCCCACAAGAGACCAACUUUUGACAAUAAGAGGCAAACAAGAGUAUUUUGACAAACAAAAACUCUAACUCUAUUUUUUUAAAAUUCUCAAGUGGUAGCUGAUCUAUUUAUUGCUUUGGCCUUAUUUUCUCCCCCUUUGGCAUCAAGCACCAAAACGAGAUCAAUCUUGGCCCUCGAACCCCAUUGCCUCACCAAAAUCUUCAACUAAGAGUUAAAAAAAGGCAAUAAGAGUACAAAGAUGAACUUGGAAUAAGUUACUCGUUCAUCGGAGUGCAGUGGAAGUCUUGCAUAGUCCAAGUCCACCUUUUCCCUUUCAAUCCUCCUUUGAGACUAAAAUAAGCAAACUCACGCACAUGGUUAGUCUCAAAGGGUCAAGUUGUAGCACAUCUCCCCCUAAAUUUGUGCAUCACUUGCAAAUGAACUUGUAAGGUCCGGGGAGUGCUUGUACAACUUGAGCACCAUAAGUAAACAACAAAAUGCAUAAGGAACAUGAUCAAAGGCAUAAACACAUGUAUGCUAUAAAUCAAUCCAAGUUCCGCGAAUCUAAGACAUUUAGCUCACUACGCAACUUGCAAAAUGUCUGCUCAUCUAAAGGCUUGGUAAAGAUAUCGGCUAGCUGGUUCUCAGAGCUAACAUGAAACACUUCGAUAUCUCCCUUUUGCUGGUGGUCUCUCAAAAAGUGAUGCCAGAUGUCUAUGUGCUUUGUGCGGCUGUGUUCAACAGGAUUAUCCGCCAUGCGGAUAGCACUCUCAUUAUCACAUAGGAGUGGGACUUUGCUCAGAUUGUAGCCAAAGUCCCUGAGGGUUUGCCUCAUCCAAAGUAGUUGUGCGCAGCACUGUCCUGCAGCAACGUACUCGGCCUCAGCGGUGGAUAGGGCAACAGAGGUUUGUUUCUUAGAACUCCAUGACACCAGGGACCUUCCUAAGAAUUGGCACAUCCCCGAUGUACUCUUCCUAUCGACCUUACAUCCAGCAUAGUCGGAGUCUGAAUAUCCAAUCAAGUCAAAGGUAGACCCCUUUGGAUACCAAAUCCUGAAACAAGGUGUAGCGACUAAAUAUCUAAGAAUUCGCUUCACAGCCACUAAGUGACACUCCUUAGGAUCGGAUUGAAAUCUAGCACACAUGCAUACACUAAGCAUAAUAUUCGGUCUACUAGCACAUAAAUAAAGUAAAGACCCUAUCAUAGACCGGUAUGCCUUUUGAUCAACGAACUCACCUCCUUUGUUGAGGUCGGUGUGUCCGUCGGUUCCCAUUGGAGUCUUUGCGGGCUUGGCGUCCUUCAUCCCAAACCGCUUGAUCAAGUCUUGCUUGUACUUGGUUUGAGAGAUGAAGGUUCCAUCCUUGAGUUGCCUCACUUGGAAGCCAAGGAAGUAGAUUAACUCGCCCAUCAUCGACAUCUCGAAUUUCUGAGUCAUCACCCUGCUAAACUCUUCACAAGACUUUUGGUUAGUAGAACCAAAUAAUAUGUCAUCGACAUAAAUUUGGCACACAAAGAGAUCACCAUCACAAGUCUUAGUAAAAAGAGUUGGAUCGGCUUUCCCAACCUUGAAAGCAUUAGCAAUUAAAAAGUCUCUAAGGCAUUCAUACCAUGCUCUUGGGGCUUGCUUAAGUCCAUAGAGCGCCUUAGAGAGCUUACACACGUGGUCGGGGUACCGUUCAUCCUCGAAGCCAGGGGGUUGCUCCACGUACACCUCCUCCUUGAUUGGCCCGUUGAGGAAAGCACUCUUCACAUCCAUUUGGAACAACCUGAAAGAAUGGUGAGCGGCAUAUACUAGCAAAAUGCGAAUGGACUCUAGCCUAGCCACAGGAGCAAAAGUCUCCUCAAAGUCCAAACCUGCGACUUGGGCAUAACCUUUUGCCACAAGUCGUGCCUUGUUCCUUGUCACCACCCCGUGCUCGUCUUGUUUGUUGCGGAACACCCACUUGGUUCCCACAACAUUUUUCUUGGGACGAGGCACCAGUGUCCAAACUUCAUUUCUUUUGAAGUUGUUGAGCUCCUCCUACAUGGCCAACACCCAGUCCGGAUCUAGCAAGGCCUCUUCUACCCUGAAAGGCUCAAUAGAAGAGACAAAGGAGUAAUGCUCACAAAAAAUUAACUAAUCGAGAUCGAGUAGUUACUCCCUUGCUAAUAUCACCCAAAAUUUGGUCGACGGGAUGAUCCCUUUGAAUCAUCGCUCGAACUUGGGUUGGAGGUGCCGGUUGCGCUUCUUCCUCCAUUGCAAGAUCAUCUUGUGCUCCCCCUUGAUCACACGCCUCCUGCUCAUCAUCUUGAGUUGGGGGAUGCACCAUUGUUGAGGAAGAAGGUUGAUCUCGUUCAUCUUGUUCCUGUGGCCGCACAUCUCCAAUCGCCAUGGUGCGUAUUGCGGCCGUUGGAACUUCUUCUUCAUCUACAUCAUCAAAAUCAACAACUUGCUCUCUUGGAGAGCCAUUAGUCUCAUCAAAUACAACGUCGCUAGAGACUUCAACCAAACCCGAUGAUUUGUUGAAGACUCUAUACGCCUUUGUAUUUGAGUCAUAACCUAACAAAAAUCCUUCUACAGCUUUGGGAGCAAAUUUGGAAUUCCUACCCUUCUUCACUAGAAUGUAGCAUUUACUCCCAAAAACUCGAAAAUACGAAACAUUGGGUUUGUUACCGGUUAGUAGCUCAUAUGACGUCUUCUUGAGGAGGCGAUGAAGGUAGACCCUGUUGAUGGCGUGGCAAGCCGUGUUCACAGCUUUCGACCAAAAGCGCUCGGGGGUCUUAAACUCUCCAAGCAUCGUCCUCACCAUGUCUAUAAGCGUCUUGUUCUUCCUCUCUACCACACCAUUUUGCUGUGGUGUGUAGGGAGCGGAGAACCCAUGCUUGAUCCCUUCCUCCUCAAGGUACUCCUCCACUUGAAGGUUCUUGAACUCGGACCCAUUGUCGCUCCUUAUCUUUUUCACCUUGAGCUUAAACUCGUUUUGAGCUCUCCUUAGGAAGCGCUUGAGGGUCCCUUGGGUUUCAGAUUUAUCCUGCAAAAAGAAUACCCAAGUGAAGCGGGAAAAGUCAUCAACUAUAACAAGACCAUACUUACUUCCUCCUAUACUUAGAUAAGCGACGGGUCCAAAGAGGUCCAUGUGAAGCAUCUCCAAAGGUCUUGAUGUGGUCAUCACAUUUUUGGUGUGAUGAGAGCUUCCCACCUGUUUGCCUGCUUGACAAGCUGCACAAGGUCUAUCUUUUUCGAAUUGUACAUUAGUUAAACCUAUCACGUGUUCUCCCUUUAGAAGCUUGUGAAGGUUCUUCAUCCCCACAUGUGCUAAGCGGCGAUGCCACAGCCAGCCCAUGCUAGUCUUAGCAAUUAAGCAUGCAUCUAGACCGGCCUCCUCUUUUGCAAAAUCAACUAAGUAAAGUUUGUCGUCUAAUACACCCUUAAAAGCUAGUGAACCAUCACUUCUUCUAAAGACAGACACAUCUACAUUUGUGAAUAGACAAUUAUAUCCCAUAUUGCAUAAUUGACUAACAGAUAACAAAUUAUAUCCAAGAGACUCAACUAAAAACACAUUAGAUAUAGAGUGCUCGGAUGAAAUAGCAAUUUUACCUAACCCUUUUACCUUGCCUUGAUUCCCAUCACCGAAUAUUAUUGAAUCUUGGGAAUCCUUGUUUUUGACGUAGGAGGUGAACAUCUUUUUCUCCCCCGUCAUAUGGUUUGUGCAUCCGUUGUCGAUAAUCCAGCUUGAACCCCCGGAUGCAUAAACCUGCAUGGCAAAUUUAGGCUUGGGUCUUAGGUACCCAACUCAUGUUGGGUCCUACAAGGUUAGCACAAAUAUCCUUAGGGACCCAAAUGCAAGUUUUGUCUCCCUUGCAUUUUGCCCCUAAUUUUCUAGCAACUAUCUUCCUAUCCUUUCUACAAAUAGCAAAGGAAGCAUUUAAAGCAUGAUAUAUUGUAGAGGGUUCAUUAACUUUCCUAGGAACAUUAACAACAUUUCUCCUAGACAUAUGAACAAAAUAUCUCCUAGACAUAUCUCUACCAUGCAUAUAGGAAGAACUAGAAGCAAACAUGGCAUGAGAGUUAAAAGCAUCAUAAGCAUUACAACUCCUAUAAGACUGUCUUCUAUCAUGGUACAUAAAAGCAUGGUUCGUUUUAGCACUAUUUGCCAUAGGGGCCUUCCCUUUCUCCAUGAUGGAGAUGGGUGCCUUAUGGCUCGUUAAGUCCUUGGCUUCCCUCUUGAAGCCAAGUCCAUCCUUAAUUGAGGGGUGUCUACCAAUCAUGUAGGCAUCCCUUGCAAAUUUUAGUUUAUCAAAAUCACUCUUGCUAGUCUUAAGUUGGGCAUUAAGACUAGCCAAUUCAUCAUUCAGUUUGGAAAUUGAAACUAGGUGUUCACUACAAGCAUCAAUGUCAAAAUCUUUACACCUAUUGCAAAUCAUAACAUGUUCUACACAAGAGUUAGAUUUACUAGCUAUUUCUAACUUAGCAUUCAAACCAUCAUUUAUGCUCCUUAAGCUAGAAAUUGUCUCAUGGCAAGAAGAUAGUUCACAAGAAAGCAUUUCAUUUCUUUUAACUUCUAAAGCAUGAGAUUUUUGUGCCUCUACAAAUUUGUCAUGCUCUUCAUAUAAAAGGUCCUCUUGUUUUUCUAAAAGUCUAUCCUUUUCAUUCAAGGCAUCAAUCAAUUCAUUAAUCUUAUCUACUUUAGUUCUAUCCAAUCCCUUGAACAAACUAGAGUAAUCUAUUUCUUCAUCACUAGACUCAUCAUCACUAGAAGAAUCAUAAGUGGCAUUGUUUCGAUUACAUACCUUCUUCUCCUUCGCCAUGAGGCAUGUAUGACGCUCGUUGGGGAAGAGGGAUGACUUGUUGAAGGCGGUGGCGGCGAGUCCUUCAUUGUCGGAGUCGAAUGACGAACAAUCCGAGUCCCACUCCUUGCCAAGGUGUGCCUCGCCCUUAGCCUUUUUAUAUGCCUUCUUCUUCUCCCUCUUAUUCCCCUGUUCCUGGUCAGUAUCAUUAUUGGGGCAGUUAGCGAUAAAAUGACCAAUCUUACCACACUUGAAGCAUGAGCGCUUCCCCUUUGUCUUGGUCUUGCUUGGCUGCCCCUUGUGACCCUUUAGCGCUGUCUUGAAGCGCUUGAUGAUGAGAGCCAUCUCUUCAUCAUUUAGCCCUGCCGCCUCAACUUGUGCCACCUUGAUAGGUAGCGCCUCUUUGCUUCUUGUUGCCUUGAGAGCAAAGGGUUGAUGCUCAUUGAUUGGACCAUUCAAUGCGUCGUCCACGUAUCUCGCCUCCUUGAUCAUCAUUCGCCCGCUCACGAAUUUCCCAAGAACUUCCUCGGGCGACAUCUUGGUGUACCUAGGAUUUUCACGAAUAUUGUUCACCAGAUGUGGAUCAAGUACAGUAAAGGACCUUAGCAUUAGGCGAACGACGUCGUGGUCCGUCCAUCGCGUGCUUCCGUAGCUCCUUAUUUUGUUGAUGAGGGUCUUGAGCCGGUUGUAUGUUUGGGUUGGCUCCUCGCCCCUUAUCAUUGCAAAUCUCCCGAGCUCGCCCUCUACCAACUCCAUCUUGGUGAGCAAGGUGACGUCAUUCCCCUCAUGAGAGAUCUUGAGGGUGUCCCAGAUCUGCUUGGCAUUGUCCAAGCCGCUCACCUUAUGGUACUCGUCCCUGCACAAAGAGGCUAACAACACAGUAGUAGCUUGUGCAUUCUUAUGAAUCUGUUCAUUAAUGAAUAUAGGACUAUCCGAGCUAUCAAAUUUCAUUCCAUUCUCAACAAUCUCCCAUAUACUUGGAUGGAGAGAGAACAGAUGACUACGCAUUUUGUGACUCCAAAAUCCGUAGUCCUCCACAUCAAAGUGUGGAGGUUUGCCAAGAGGGAUGGAAAGCAAAUGUGCAUUUGAGCUAUGCGGAAUACGGGAGUAAUCGAAAGAAAAGUUCGAAUUAACCGUCUUUCGUUUGUCGUAGUCGUUGUCGUCGUUGUCCUUUUGGGAAGAAGUGGACUCAUCGCUGUCGUCGUAGUAGACAAUCUCCUUGAUGCGUCUUGUCUUCUUCUUCUUCCCAUCUUUGCAUUUGUGGCCCGAGCCCGAGUCGGUAGGCUUGUCAUCCUUGGGCUCAUUGACGAAGGACUCCUUCUCCUUAUCAUUGAUCACAAUCCCCUUGCCCUUAGGAUCCAUCUCUUCGGGCGGUUAGUCCUUUUCUUGAAGAGAACGGCUCCGAUACCAAUUGAGAGCACCUAGAGGGGGGUGAAUAGGUGAUCCUAUAAAACUUGAAAUUUAACUCACAAAACUUGAUUAGGAGUUAGCACAAAUAAUGCCAAGUGGCUAGAGAGGAGUCUCAACAAAACAUAAUAACCACAAGAGAUCAAUCACAGAGAUGGCACAGUGGUUUAUCCCGUGGUUCGGCCAAGACCAACGCUUGCCUACUCCACAUUGUGGCGUCCCAACGGACGAGGGUUGCAAUCAACCCCUCUCAAGCGGUCCAAAGACCCACUUGAAUACCACGGUGUUUUGCUUGCUUUACUAUAUCCCGUUUGCGAGGAAUCUCCACACUUUGGAGCCUCUCGCCCUUACACUUAGAUGAUCACAAAGAAGCACGAAGUAAGGGAAGGAUAAGCAACACACUCAAGACAAGAAAUCACAGCAACACCACGCACACAAGUCGCAACAAGAGCUCACAACACAACUCAAUGAGUUCACAACUCAACUAGAGCUCUAACUGCUAUCGCAAGGAAUCAAAAGCGCGGAAUCGAUGUCUUAGUGCUUAGGAAUGCUUAGAGAAUGCUUGGUGUAGUCCUCCAUGUGCCUAGGGGUCCCUUUUAUAGCCCCAAGGCAGCUAGGAGCCAUUGAGAGCAAUCCGGGAAGGCAAUUCUUGCCUUCUGUCGCCUGGCGCACCGGACAGUCCGGUGCACCACCGGACACUGUCCGGUGCGGAUUUCCUUCCUUAUUUGGCGAAGCCGACCGUUGGCAGCCUUGGAGCCGUUGGCGCACCGGACACUGUCCGGUGCACACCGGACAGUCCGGUGCCCCCUCCCGACCGUUGGCUCAGCCACGUGUCUCGCGCAGAUCGCGCAGCCGACCGUUGGCCCGGUUGACCGUUGGCUCACCGAACAGUCCGAUGAAUUAUAGUCGUACGCCGUUAAUUUAUUCCCAAGAGCGGCAAGUUCGCCUGUGCCAGCCUGGCACACCGGACACAGUCGGGUGCACCCAGACAGAGCUGACUUUGGCUGAACAAGGCCAUCUCUUUUCCAAUUCGAUUUCUCCUGUUUCCAGCACUAAGACACAAUACAUUAGUCACUAAAACAAUGUACUAAGUCUGAGAAACAUACCUUUAUACUUGAUUUGUACUUUGUCCACCAUUUGACACUUAGGCACUUGUGUUGGACACUAGAUCACCAAAACACUUAGAAAUGGCCCAACAACACAUUUCCCUUUCAGAGUCAUAUAAUCAUGUUACUUAGUUAAUUCUUCGCUUCACCGCAACAAUGUCGUCGUCGCUCUAUCAUCGUCCAUGUUCGGUCAGGUGAGGUGAGGUGAGGUGUAGUCUCUAAUAUACUUAAAGCACCAGUUUCAACGGUCGUCCUACGCCAUCUUUUUACAAAAAGUCCCUACAUUUCUUUUAAAUCAAUUCAGCGUAAAAUGUUAAAAAGCGGCGCCAGAGACAAUCUUUCACAUGAUCAUGUUGUCCUGCAGAUGGAGUAGUAGGCCUUCACGUGAUCAUGUUGUCCGAUAGAUAGGGUAGCGGGCCAGCGGUUGUUGGUUACUCUCCACCAACAAGAGAGAUAGGAAUCUAUUAGAAGCCAGAGCUCCAGCUUGCUAGUUCGAUUUGAUGGCAGCAACUAACAAGACAAUGACGCUCAGCAUGAUAUGAAGAUUGCCAUCGAUAGGAAGGAUCAUCACCUGCUGUUCGCGGAGGCGAGAAAGGAUGUGGUCGACUUCUUCUCCCUACUCGUCCUACUCGUCGGCGCGACCGUCAAACUGCUGGGGAAUAAGGGCAUGGCCGACAACACCUGACCAUUGAUCUCACAUGCCAUUUUAGCUCUCUCAUUCUCUAGUCUCACCCUGACUAUUUAGGUCUCCUGACUCGCUAAUAUAAACACCAUCCUAUCAUUUGAUCUCGAAUACUUCUUUGUCACAACUCAACUGUCAGAUGAGUACUCCAUUACAACACUUACGUACAAGAGUUCUAUGAGAGCAGGCCUCCGAAAUGAAUGUCGACUAAGUGUUUAUCUACUCAGAUGAAGGACGACAAUCGUGUUCUUCGAAAAUAUCAGCGACAUAACUCCUUACUUCCUCCGCUUCUUUCUAGUGUUUUUUGUUGUGAUUGAGUCGACACAACAACAACAUUGCACUAUUACAACCAGUACGACUAUAUCAACUAACAAUGUCUUCCUUAUAUGUUACUAUUUAUUUUGCUCAUAUUCAUUAUGUUUAAAUCACAUGUGCACCUUUCUAUUGACAUCAAAAAAAUAGUAUCAACUUUCUAGAUUAAAAUGCAACUAAAAGUACCUAAAUUUCUAUCGGUGGGGAUUGAGUGAUUCUUUAAACCGAUUAUUACAUAAGUUAACCACACUAAAAUUAACAUUGGUGAAUUGUGCCAUGAUUUUUUUCUAGUGCAAAAUAGCCAAACCAAGCAACACAUAUGUGGCUAUCGUUACACAUGUGUAAAGGUAUUGCAUCACACCAUUGUCACCCAUGUAUUUGGACAAUACCGAGAGGAAAACCCACUUAUUUAUUGUAUUUUAUCAAGUUUGUCUUGCUUACGUAUAAAUUAUAACCCAACAAAGUAGUCACUAAAUGUCAAAACCAACUAGAUACCAUGUCAUCUCUACCUUAUCUUACUAAUGUUCUUUUUGCAAAAUCCAAAAUUAAUCUUGCACAAGCACAAGGACUGAUAUGUGUAUAAAUAUCUCUUAGAUUAGUAGUUAAUACAUCGCACAUAUUAUUGAGACCAACUAGCAACAUAGAAAGCACAAUAGUGUACCAACAAUGGCAGCCAAAAUAUUUUGCUUCCUUAUGCUCCUUGGUCUUUCUGCAAGUGUUGCUACCGCAACCAUUUUCCCACAAUGCUCACAAGCUCCUAUAGCUUCCCUUCUUCCCCCAUACCUCUCACCAGCGGUGUCUUCAAUGUGUGAAAACCCAAUUGUUCAACCCUACAGGAUCCAACAGGCAAUCGCAACAGGCAUCUUACCAUUAUCACCCUUGUUCCUCCAACAACCGUCAGCCCUAUUACAGCAGUUACCUUUGGUCCAUUUGGUGGCACAAAACAUCAGGGCACAACAACUACAACAACUUGUGCUAGCAAACCUUGCUGCAUACUCUCAGCAACAUCAGUUUCUUCCAUUCAACCAACUGGCUGCAUUGAACUCUGCUGCUUAUUUGCAACAACAAUUACCAUUCAGCCAGCUAGUUGCUGCCUACCCCCAGCAAUUUCUUCCAUUCAACCAACUAGCAGCAUUGAACUCUGCUGCUUAUUUACAGCAGCAACAACUACUACCAUUCAGCCAGCUAGCUGAUGUGAGCCCUGCUGCCUUCUUGACACAACAACAGUUGUUGCCGUUCUACCUGCACGCUAUGCCUAACGCUGGCACCCUCUUACAACUGCAACAAUUGCUGCCAUUCAACCAACUUGCUUUGACAAACUCAACAGUGUUCUACCAACAACCCAUCAUUGGUGGUGCCCUCUUUUAGAUUGCUUAUGAGUUAUAGUUCAAUAAUGAAGUUUUUUGGAUGAUGUUUGUGGCGUCCCAGAAAUAAGAAAGUACAUUUCUAGAUUCUUAUGUGCUUCUAGUCUCCAAAUGUGGUCGAUAGUUAUUUUGCUCUAAGAUCGGGAGUAAUGAGGUAUAAAUCAUCGUUGUGGUGUGCUACUCGGUUAAUUAAGCAUUAACACACACAAACAUGACGAGGAUGGUAUAAUCUCCAAAAAUAUGUACUUUGUUAGGUGGGACCCUAUAGCCAUGCAGAAUGUGCUAUGUUAGGCUUGCCGAUGGAAACGUGUGACGCAUACGUUUUGUGAACCUGUUGAUAUUAUAUGUGCUUUUAUAUUAUCAUAUUUUAUUAAAAUAUUAAUAUUUAUUACUAGUAAGAUAUAACAUUCUAUCUAACUUAAAACUUACCAUAAAUAUUCCAUCAUAACUAGAUUUACCAAACUAAUAAACUAAAUAUACAUAAUAAAUACAAAAUUAACAAGACAUUAAUCAAUAUUUACGAGCUUAAUAAAUUUAAACAUUAUGGUUUGUCGACGAUAAUCAUACUAACUUUCUGUAAUUGCUUGAUUGUAAAUAUGCUUAGACUAAUGCCUCUUUGUUCUACAUGGCAAAUAGGGACCGCUCUAGAAGACUAGGAUGUCCCUUGAGACGAAAAUGUUAUCAUUGGUGUAGACUAAUUUCUAUCGGUCGCUGACUUCACUAUUGUAACCAUUAUCUCUUGGGUAAAUCAUAUACGAUUAUCCAGCCAAAGGGCCCAGAUGAUAAAAAACAAUUUUAAUUGCUAUUUCAGGACAAAUGAAUUAGCAUGGUUCGAAGGAUUAUGACCUUCCCCCAUGACCUUUGUCAUACUGCUUUAGUCUAAUCGACAAAACCAAGAUUAGAUUUCAUCGAAGAAGUUGAUAAGCGAAGCUGUGACGAUGAAAGGAACAUGGUGGCAAUAGGACGAACGACAAUUCCUUUGUCUAAGAAUGACAUCUAGAAGAAAUCUCAGACAAAAUAGAACAUGAAUGGCUUGUCAGUACAACGAAAAUACUGAAACAUGCACCCUUGAAUAUGAAACAUUUAUAUGUAAGAGGAAGGGCUAAAAAACUAAUUUCUCGUGCCUAAUGAUUUUAUUGAGAAUUUUAAGGCGAGACUUAUGGAAAAGGGUUAUACCCAAAAAAAGGAGAGAUUAUUUCGAUACUUAUUAACUUGUUGCCCUUCUAAUGACCAUACAUGUGUUACUUUUUUGGUUGCCUCGCAUGGUCUUAUCGUUCAUCUGAUGAAUGUUAAGACUUCUUUCCUAAAUGGAGAGCUUAAGGAACAGAUCUACAUUGACUAGCUUGGUGGUUUUAUAUCAAAUGAUAAAGAGAAAAAGGUGUUUAAAAUAUUACAAUUGUUUGGUUUAAAACAAGCACUAAAGCACAUAAGAAAUUUGGUAAAGUUCUGACUUUGGCUAAAUUUGUUGUAAAUGAAACUGAUAAAUGUGUCCAUUACCGAUUUGACAGGGGCGAAGGUAUGACCCUUUUUAUAUGUGGACAAAAUAUUAACCUUUUGUAACGAUGUUAAUAUGAUCGAGGAAGUAAAGUACUUUUUGUCUAGUAACUUUGAAAUAAACAAUCUGGGAGAGGCUAAUGUUGUUCUUAACAAAGAGAUAUUGAGAGAAGAAGGAAAUACGGAGUUACUCUUGUGCAAUCCUAUUAGGUUGAAAAGUCGCCGAGUCACUUUGGAUAUAGUGAUUACACGUCUCGUCCAACAACUUAUGAUCCAAGCGUGCUAUUAUGGAAAAAUCAUAUUAUCGCAUAUGAUCAAUUGAGAUACUGUCAAAUCAUGGUCUUCUCAUAUAUUUGGCUAGCCCAGCGAUGUCUGAUAUCUCAUUUGUUAUGAGCAAACUCAGUCAGUUUGUAUCCAAUCUAGGGGAGGAUCAUGGUAUGCCCUAGAGAGGGUAUUGCACUUUCUCAAAGGGACUAUGAGUAAUGGCAUUUAUUACACUAGGCACCUAAGAGUACUAGAGUGUUAUAGUGAUGCAAAUAGGAUAUCUGAUGUUGAUUAGGUUUAAGCCACAAGUAGACUUGUGUGCUUUCUUGGAGGUGUGAUUGUUUCAUGGAAGUCUUGUAAGUAGACCAUCUUAACAAGGUCAACAAUAGAAGUAGAACUCACAAUAUUAGAUACUACCAAAGUUGAAGUUGAGUGGCUCCAUGAACUCCUUAUGGAUUUAGCAGUAGUUGAAAAAUCAAUACUGGUUAUCUCUAUGAGAUACAAUAAUCAAACAUUUGUAAUCAAAGUAAAUAGUCCUAAAGUUAACAUGAUGUCUACAAAGCACGUAAAAUGGUUGAAACUGUUAAAACACUAAGAAACUCUAGAUUAAUUAUGUUGGACUAUAUCCAUACAUCUAAGAAUUUGGUAUGCCACUUUAUAGAAGAUUUGUCACAUAAUAUGAUUCAAGGUGCAUCGAGGAAUAUAGGCUUGAGACCCACUUAAUGUCAAUCCAUAGUGGUAGCAUUUUCUAUGUGAUUGGAGAUCUCAUGAAGUAGAAUGGUGAAACAAGGUAGAGAAUGACUGAUGGAGAGACUCCUUAAAUAAAAUCUUGGUAAUUUGAGAUGCACAUUUCUCAUUUGAUGUAUUGUAGGCGAACUAAAAUCUUAAUAUAAUUUGAGUGACUUAUCUAAGUAGGGAUGUUAUCUUACAGAACAUCCUAGAAAGAACACACCUAUAUGAGUUUGAAUGUUAGUCAUAGUCUAUCAUGUGUGGGUAAUCUUUAUAUACUCAUGAAAGGCCUCGAAGUUUGACUUAUACAGUUCAAACCAAGGGGGUGCUUGUAACAGUCUAGUACCAGAUAAGAACUUUGGUGAUACUCACUUAACACAAAAAUGUCAAUUCAAGGCAUAGUUCAUUGUUUAGAUGUGAAUGUGUAAUCCCUAUUUUAGAUGGAUGGUCAACUUAACAGCCUCCACCAAAACCCUGAUAUCUCAAAGAGUAGUGGAUUUGAGUUUGUCUAAUAUGUGGCUUAGAAUUUGGUGGGGAUUGUUAAUAUUUUAUGGGCUUGGCCCAUUUAAAGUAUUUAAUACUUUUGAAAGCCAAGAUUAAACAAACUAUGUAUGAUCCUUUAUCACUGUAUAGAUGGUUGAUGGGAUGGUUACAUUGUUUAUAUAGAUGGACCUAUCUGUAUUCAUUGAGUGGUUGAGAAAAAGGUAAAGGCGCGUCACACCCACGUGUGUGCCACCUCCACCGAGACGAUGUGUGGCGUGGCAAGGUGAGGCAUGGCAUGGUGCAGCACGGUUGCAGUCAUGGUCGUGGCGCGGUGUAGCGUUGUUGUGGAUAGAUAGAUAAACUAUUGUUGUAGUUAGAGCACAUGAGUUUUUGAAUGUAACACUAGAAUCUUCGCAUGUUAACUUAAUUAAGAACUUAUAUCUUGAUGACAUAGAGUUACCUGACCAUUGAUCUCACAUGCCCGUUUAGCUCUCUCGUUCUCUGGUAUCACCCUGUCUAUUUAGGUCUCCUUACUCGCCAAUAUAAACAUCAUCCUAUCAUUUGCUCUCGAUUCACUUCUGUCACUACUCAACUGUCAGAUGUGUGGCAGAACCUCCCAAGUUAUUGGGCCCACAUGCACCUGCCCUUGUCUCAAAGACCUCAGACGACUAUGCAUGUGCACCAGAUAACUUAACAGGAUCCGUCUGAGUGUCCCAAGGACCCCGGAUAAACCACUUACAACCAGGACCACAAGAUUAAGUAAACACAAAUCACACACUAACGUUUAGCAGCGGAAUUUCUUUAUUACAAAAAACUUACAAGUUACACCAAAUUUACAUUAUGUUUAUCGGAGUGGUUACAAAAGUGUUUCAAAGGAAUAAACUUUGAAGUGUUAUAAAUUAUUUAUAAGUUUGAAAUAUAUGCUAGCUUAGUGACAAUCCUCAACAAGAAGUAUAAUAGAGGUACUUAGACUUAUAAGAAGGUCGUGCCCACCGGCGGUUAACACCAUCCAUAGCAGCACAAACCUAGUACCUGCAACAACAUGGGUUCGAAAACCCUUAGUACGAAGUGUACGUUCGCAAGUCUUACCCGUCUAAGGAAAAAGACUCUCAAGGAUAUGCUGGCUAUUGGGAAUCAAGGUAAAGCUUAUCAAGAAUCAAAGAUUGUUUGCAGAAAAGCUUACUAUAAGUGAAUCCUUAAAAAAUCAUUUUACUUGUCAGGUUAAGUAAAGUUACCUGCAUCUAGAGUUCUUUCUAUCCUAGUUCAAUCACUUGGCCUAUACUAGCUGUCUUUUUAUCAUCCCAUCAGUUCACUGGAUUGCUACGUGUAAGUCAGUGACCAAGUCUUCAUGUCCGAGAAGUAACGGCGAUCCGAAUCGAUUAAUACUCAGCUAAGGAUCUCUAAUCACACGACAUAUGUAGCACUUAACCCUUGCAUAUGUCAACUCGCCACUGGGUUUCUCAAGACCAGACCGGGUUCACGCUAACCGAGAGCACAGAUACACCACCGUCCAGCCUCUUGCCACGGAGGAUACACACUACUCUCGCCAUCUCUCCACUCCCAUUGCGUGUUGGCCUUUCUGGUAUUGGUCUGCCCGAGGCAAAGCUUACCCAUGACGAGGCAUGUGACUAGUUAAAGGGUCCUCGGUCAGCAGACCCACAUCGGUACGGUCCUUAAUCGACUCAGAUGGAGACACUACACCGAGACUCCCUUCUUGUGCAAGUCAACUGCCCGGUCUCAGCUUUAUUAUUUAAAACCCAAAGUUUGGUACUUGGCAGAAGUACAUCUUUUCAGAUGUUGAACCCAUCAAGGCCCUGAUGGAUCCACCAUCAUAAGUUUUUCUUUGUAAAAAUUCCCAUCCAAUCUGAAGCAUCACCUUUUUUUGUAAAACAAAACAUUUUGUUUCUCUAAAGCAAUGCUAAGCAUCAUAAAAUCCUUUUCAUAAAAGGGAUAUCAAGGGUAAUCAAUUUUUCAAGGAAGAAAAUGCAUCAAUUGUUUAGCACACAACUUCUAUCACCUAAUGCAUCAAACAAGGCGAUAAAGAUUUUAAAACAGCAAGGAGGUGGCAAAUGCACUGGGACUUGCCUAGAUAACACUAGGUUAGUGUUGUUAGGUGGCAACCAGCCUUUUGUGUUGGCACUUAUUCAGUCUGCCAUCUUCAGGUUGAUCCCCCAGCAUCACCUUGGGGAGAAGCCCACGCUUAACAUCAUCUUGUGGUCGACUCAGCUCUGGUCCUCCAUAUCACGUGAUCAACUAGCGUACCUCAUAAGAUGCACGAUGCACAUGUAUGAGUAUCAAGACGAAUAUCGCAAGAUAAUAUUACGAUUUUACAGAAUGAAGAAUUAAACACUUAAUGGUAAAGCAUCACGACAUUUCAUAGGCAACCCGCAUGGAUCUAACGAUAUCACACAACGUAAUAUAACUAAACAAUUCAAAUCCGCGAGGACGACGACGAAUCCAGUCCGAGCAAUCCACCGAAUACUCGAUGAACGUCGCAUGGAUCUUACUUCAUCAAAGCAAAGGUCACCACAAAAACAUAACCUUAACAGUCUAACGUAUUUAUACAAUCUUAGUACAUAGUUUCUUAGAUUUCGAUUAAAAUCGGCUCACCGACACUACUCGUUUCCAAAUAAUUUUAAGCUACGACCCACAUUUAUCCCCCGAAUAUCGACUUAAGUGAUCAGCAUUCGUCUAUGACACCUAGCCGAUUAACAACAUAAUACGGCACUAUUAAAGCAAAUCACUACUUCACCACUACUAUUCAAGUAGAAACUAUUGGCUGGCUGAUUAAAAUCCCAAACCUAUUUUACAUGUUAUGAACUAGCCAAAAUAUAACAUAUAUAUCUAUCAAUAUCUUCAACAUAAUUAACACCCCAAGCCUAUGCUUCAUCACACAAAGACGAAGUGUCAACUCUACAUUUAUGAGCAUCGCCACAUACUACAUGUGAUACAUUUUAACAAUCAUUUAAUAUAACCACACGCACCUGUGCAACUAACAAAAGAAUUCGUCGUGACCAACAAACUAACUCAAUCUACUCCAUGAGUCGGCUAGCGGGAGUAGUGAAAUAGCUCACCACACCAUAAACGACUCGGAUCUGCGAAAUCGACGAUGAAUCCUAGCUCAAGCAUUUCAUUAGACAUUUGGCAAGUGUUGCGUUGAACUACGGUUUCUUUUCCGCACAAAACCCUGGGAUUGCUUUCCUUAAAUCAGGCGCCCAAACUCACGACAUCGACCAAUUCACGGGUACGCAUGGAACAGUGGCGACAACGAGUCAAUGAUAGUUGACCAAACUUUACAUUACCUCGAGCAGUUGGCGAAUGCUGCGGCACGGAAGCAGUAGCGUGCGCAUAAAGGCAGUGAAUGUGGCGAGGGCCCGGUUUGGACAUUUCGUUGAGCGCCUAGCUUGUACCGACGGCGCAGGUGCUGGGCCGAGAGACAACGACAAAAUCCGAUUAUCUAUACUACCUAUUAAGGCUCUAAGGGGUAGGCUGCCUCUGCUUGUUCUGCCUUCCGACGAUCUCAACCGUCCAAUACGCUCUAGAGUCUCUCAGCCGUCCGAUGCGCGCACUCUCACCCCCCACGCAUCGCCCCGCCCCCACCCGAUCGUCCAACCGUGCGCUACCCUAGCUUUGCCUCUACACUCCUCCCGCCGCCUCCUACCCUCCUCCGCGCGACGGCGCGAGCCGCAGCCGGCCCCCGCUCGAGUUGUCCACGAAUCCCACCGCUUGACGCCGUCCAUGCCGCGCCGCACGCCCGCAACCGCCCGCGAAUCCCGCCGCGACCCGCACGCCGUCCCUACGCCCGCCGCUAAACCCCCGUCGUGAAAUGCCCGCACGCACACCUGCUAGCCGCUGCGCACGCCCGCCGCGCGAUGCCGUCCAUGCCGCACCGCACGCCCGCAACGGCCGCCUCCCUACGCGCUUGGGAACCGCCCGCACAGCCCGCCGCGACCCGCACGCCCACGCGCCCAAAUCCCGUCAUGGUCUAGGGCUUCCCCACAACGCCCUCCUUCCCUGCGGCCGUAGAGGCUCCCGCGGCCCCCGUGGCGUGCGCCAGGUGCGGCGCGGACGGGUGCACGGCGGCCGGCUGCUGCGAGCUCGUCGCCGGGUCCAGCAGCGACAGCGACGACGCAGGGUGCUUCGGGACCCGCACCAACGGCGGCGGCCUAGGCCUAGGCCUAGGCGCGGGCAAGCGGAGAGGGAGGGGAGGGGGAGGAAGGUGAGCCAGUACAGGGGCGUGCGGUCCAAUUUUUGGGUAAAUUUCUGGGUCUUCAUCGUGUAUUUUAUGGUUCGUUGAUGGGUUUCCUGAUGGUUGAUGCACGCCUGCUUGGUGGAGGCGGGAAUGGUGAUCGAUGAUUCGUUGGGUGGGUGGGGGGACUGGCUGACAGCUGACAGCUGACUGUGUAUUGUGGUUUGGAUGGCAGGUUUAGCGUCAGUAAUAGCUAGGAUUAGGGUUCAGGCGAUGCUAAGAUUUUGGGGCGCCAAUUGCAGAAUCACUGGAUUGAUUCAUCUUUUAGGGGUUUCCUCGUACUCGGAGUACGAGGGCACCGUUUUAGUUGAAUGUUGCUCUGGUGUCUAAGCGCCAGGUAGUCAAUUUUGCAGUUUCAGUUGGGGAUUGUACGCUGGCAUCAGUUUUUACCUUCUACUCGUUUCAUCUCUUAACAACUUUGUGGUUUGCAGUGGGCACAACAAUUUGUUGCUGCAAACUCUUGUGCUCCGUGGGGCGUGGGCUGUGCAGCAGUUGUGCAGUUUAAUUGUUCUGUUUAUCAUAAUACACAAGGAGUUAGUGUUUGAGCAGAUGUCAAGAUGUUAAUUGUUUAGCAGAUCUCUAGAGGUAAGGGGUUUAUUUAUUUGUUUUUGUUGAACAUAGGGUUUAAGCAGGUCUAAGACUUCAGAUUUUGUGUGGUGACAGUCUUAGGGAUUGCUAAUUUGCUACUAAGAUCGGGAUGCCCACAAUUGUAAUUGUUUUUCGAUCAGAUACUGUUGGUUUUGCAUGGUCCUUGUAUGAGGAUUACUUCUCUAUGACAUUUUUUCUUCUGCAGAAUAAUCUGUCCUUGAAAUAGUGGUGAUAUGUAUUUCUUUUCAGUGCUGUUUUUGUAACUGUGUGAUGGUUAAUCCAUUGGAUUCAUAUGUUCUUGUGUGUCAUAUUUAGGUUGUGUUGGAGGAAUUUAAAACCCUAGCCUAUUGAGUGAGCUGAGUCCUGAGUGUUACAUGUAUUAGAAUUAGGCUCAUAACACUUGUCAUGGCUAGAAAAUUUAGAUCCAGUCUAAAGUUUUUAUUACGGAUCUCACUACUCUAGCAUGGGAAUCGUUCUUCAUUACAUGCUUAGGCUCGAGCCAUUUACAUCUCUGUAUCUAAAUUUUCAGGUUGUCAUUUUGCUCAUAGCUAUCACUGUUUCCUUAAAAUUCGAGCACAUAGCUAUUAUUUUCAAAACAUUAUUCAUGAAUUUGUCAAAACAUAAUUUCUCUUGUUGUAUUUCACCACAGUUCAAAAUAAGGGAUCUUAUCAUAUUAUUUACAUUUAUGUCUGUCUGACACUUGUGCAGGGUGGCAAGUUUGACCAUGCAGAUCAUUUGUUCCAAAGCAUUGAGAGCGCUUACAUAAAUAGCUUAUCAAAUACAAGUGACGUCAAAGAGCUUAUUCCAGAAUUCUUUUACAUGCCCGAGUUUCUUGAAAAUUCAAAUUCAUAUCAUCUUGGUGUCAAGCAGGAUGGGGAACCUAUAGGCGAUGUUGCUCUCCCUCCAUGGGCAAAGGUAACAGUUCCUCUUGAUGUUAGUUAUAUUUGUAAUAAUAGUUUUCUUGAGGAUGGAUUGUUUGUCUACCAGGAUAGUUCUGUUGCUUUUCUAAUGACAGUUAAUUUAGCUUUACAACUGUGUUAGUAAAAACCUUACUAUUCUCAGAUACACAGGGUAUAUCUAGCUUUCACAUACAUGUUACAUUUCCUAUCCCAUCUAUCAACUACAGACGGCAAGAAGUUUGUUGACUGCUUGAAGGAUCAGAAUAUCAUGCCUGGCAUCAAGGUUGACAAGGUAUGCAUGCCAUGAUCUUAUAACAUCAUGUUAGCCCACAAUUUGCUUCUAUCAUUAUGAUUCUCACUGCCUGAUUGCUUUGGUUUCAUGAAUCAGGGUUUGGUUCCAUUGCCUGGAUCCAACAAUGAAUCAUGGUGCCAAGGUCUUGAUGGUUUGGCUUCAAGGUGUGCUGAGUACUAUAAGCAGGGGGCGCGCUUCGCAAAGUGGUCUGUUCAUACUUCCCUUAUUCAUGUGUCAACUAAUCUUAUUUGUGCUUCCUUUCUAAAGUUGCUAUGAUUAUCGAUCUUCUCUAGGAGGACUGUUGCUAGCAUCCCUUGUGGUCCAUCUUCAUUAGCAGUCAAGGAAGCAGCAUGGGGACUUGCUCGAUAUGCUGCUAUUGCUCAGGUAACAAAAUAAACUGCAACUGUGGAAACAUCUUGCAAUAAUUUUUUGAUGACUCAUGGAGCUUUGGUGAAGAACCUAUCUGCAUUCGUAUGGGCACGCAUUAGUCGUGCUGCAGUUACUGUGGAUAGAAAGACGUAUUUUAAUGGGGCUCAGGAUUUGUUUGUUGUUCAACCUGAGGUGUUUAUAAACAUCUAAUACCCCCUGUUCCAAACUAUACUAUGUUUUGACUUUUAUAGAUUCAUAGCUUUGUUGUGUUCUUAGAUAUACACUAUGUCUAUAAUAGUAUAAUCUAUAUAUAUAUCUAUACUACCUAUUAAGGCUCUAAGGGGUAGGCUGCCUCUGUUUGGUUCUGCCUUCCGACGAUCUCAACCGUCCAAUACACUUUAGAGUCUCUCAGCCGUCCGAUGCGCACGCUCUCACCCCCACGCAUCGCCCCGCCCCCAGAUCCCGCAUCCCCCACGGAUCCCGCAGCCGCGCCGCUGUCGCUCCCUCCCGUGCUCCCUUCGCGCCCGCCCAUGGAUCUCCGACAUCGAGCGCUGCCGCCGCUGCCUCGCCUCGGCAAACCCGGCUCCAGGGCGACAGCUCCCGCCGGUGGGACCUCGUGUUCAGCGUCGUGAAGCCGUCCGUGAUCCAGCUGCGGGGGCCCACCAAGGUCAGUGUCUUCAUCGCCAGCAACGACGGCAGCGCUCGCUCCCUCCGUACCAUCCAAUGGCCCGCGUUCGUCCCCUGCCCCGGCAACCCAGCUUAACCCUAGCUCGCUCCCUCCGUAGCCGCCUCUUCCUGCUUCGCUCCUCUCGCGUAGCAACCGCUCCCUCCACUCCCGAGAUCGUGGCCCGACGCCAUGCCGCUCCCGAGACCGCGCCACAAAGCCGCGGAACGUCCUCACCGAUGCACCGACGCGCCCCCGAGCCUGCUUCCCGACGCCACCCUCACACAACCUGCCCCCUGUCACCCUCUGGACGGGACGACACAGGUCUGGAGAAGGGUCCAGAAACCGGCGCGAGUCCACCGCGAAUCCACACGAUCGAUGUCGUCCUCCCGCUCGUUUCGCCGUCGACCUUUCUCCAGUGGUUGAGUGCGACAGGGUUGGUGGCUAGGUCGUGCGAUGGCGAAAUCGAGUCCAGAGUAGCAGAGCAAGGCUGGUCCCAGCGGGCUGCCGGUGUUGUGACCUGCGUGCGUGGUCGUACGCCUGGCCGUUGUGCCGCUAGCUGCGGCGGGCGGGUGGCUGGCGGCGUCGCAUGGCGGACCCAACGCCCAUACAACCUCCAGGGAUUGCUUCCUCCCCAUGGCGUGGAUCUAGAUGGUCUUCACGGCAGAGGAGGAAGAGGUGUCACAGCAGCUUCCGAAGACAUCGUCGACGUCCCUUACCACCUCGAUUGGCGAUGGCAUCGACAGCCCCCAGCCACUGCCCGCGCUAACGGUGGCGUGGACCUCACUGUCUUCAAGCAGUUCGAGCGGAUGGUGUGUUGGCUUCUGCAUGCUUCGUGUUUUCGAAUACGUUGCUAAGCUCAGCAUUGGUUGGUGAUGGUUUUGGUUUGCCAUCUUAAAGAAUCCUGAGCCUGCCAAUGGCGACGACGAUGGAGCUUUGUCACUGCCAGAGACAGGAUUGGGGCUUAGCUUGAAUACUGACGGGGUGCUCAAGGCGUGGUGUGCAGAGGCUCUGCGUUUGCUGAUGGCAAUGGGCCUGACUUGCCAUUGUCCCCUGCUCAUGUGGUAGUAAGUAUUUCCAGCUUAUCUAAAAAUUAUAAAAGAUCUUACAUUUCCAGUUAACAAUUAAAGAUGGCUAGAGCUCUUGGAACCCUGAGUUAUACCUGCUAUUAGUUCAUAUCGUCUGGUAAGUAGAAUCUAUUUCACUUCAGUAGAAGUACAGAUCGUCUGUUGUUUUCUAUCAGCAGUGAUCAGAAAAACUUGGCAUGCAUUACUUUGUUUCGGUCCCUUCGCAUUUCUUGUCAAUGGCAGAUUUCUCCCAGAAGAAAAUCUGUGUCUGAAAUUUGCUAAUAUGAAAUAGUACAGUAUGCCCACCAGUACUUGACUUUACUGACUCAAUGGGCCAGGCAGAAGGAAAUUCCAAUUGGUUGUUUUCUUUGAGUUGAAUCAUUAUAACAAACUUAGCCCUCAUUAUGAUGUAUCUGCAGUUUUUGAAUUCAAUUGAAGUAAAAGGAAAUAUCAUAGUUUGGUCCUUUCGUGAAAUUUUUUUGUCCAAUUUUUUGUCCUUGUAGGUUUUUACGUUGCAUUAGAAAACAUUGUAGGCAACUGAUUUUCUAACAUGUCCCUAUCAGAACUUCCUCCGAGACCAUUUCUUGAGAUCUUGGCACGAGAACUACGACGACGACGACUGGUAAUGUGAUUCUUGCGCCUUCGUUUUUCCCCUGUUUAGACUUUAGAGUGAAUUAGUAUCAUUUUGCUUUUUCCUUUCACCUGAUUGGCAGGGUCUUAGAUUAUUCAACAUUGAUAUGAUUAGGGAGCACCCCCCUUGUCAAGCAACUCACACCAUUACAAGAUCUACACGACAUGGCAUCUGCAUCGCCAAGGCCUCGCUCAACUCAGCGCGGUGAGUAGCACAUGAACAAAAGUGCCCUUUUACCAGUUUUUUAUCAGGGUGCAAUUCUGGAAGCUCAUUGUUUCUAUAAAGAAUUCAAGCUCACUGCAGUUUACUUUGUGUAACAGGAAAGGUGCAUCGAUGACAACCCGGUUCUAUUGUAACAAGAUCAGUGUGGUCCUGGUUGCUUGAUGCUUGUUUGGUUUAAUUGUAUAGCAAAAUUAGGUGUUGACUGCCGAUACCUGGAGAUGUGACACCGCCAGAUGUGUCGCUCAGGCCAGUCACACUGCUCUGCUGUUUUUCAAAGAACAACCUCUUGCUGCGUCAUCAAGGGGUAGACCAGUCUCUGAUGAUUCGUGUAAGAAUCCUUGGGAGAAAGCAAGUGGUCCUGGAAAUGUUACCAGGACAUCUCUGGCCCCACAAGGGCUGCAAGCACAAGUAGGUAUUUAUGUGUUUCACUGAGGAGUGCUACUCAUACCCACGAUGGGAUUUUUUAACCUUAGUCUAAAAUUCGCUCCCAUGGGCAGUCGAACUCAGGACACUGAGGAGUGCUACUCAUACCACAACCAAAACCAAGUCAGCCCUUUCGCUAUACUCUUAAAGGGUUUCUUCAUUUUUUGUUUUCAAUGUUGAUUAUCAUACCUAAAAUGAAAAGAAUGUAGAUUAUGGUCGUAUGGCUGAAAUACUCGUUCGGAGGGCAGGCUCUACUGAUGAAUUCACUCGGUUGACAUCUAUCACAUGGGUAAUUUGUCUUUCAUGUUUUCCUGUGAUCUUAAAACCUAGAAUCUAGACUGCAGAAGCUGGUUUAGUAUUUGUAAGAAUGCUUGACUUAUGACUUAUCCUUUGAAGUGUAGAUCAACGAGUUUGUGAAGCUUGGUGGGGAACAACUUGUUCCCUACUAUGCAGAUAUAUUGGGCGCUGUCUUACCAUGCAUAUCUGACGAGGAGGAGAAAAUCCGAGUGGUACUUUCCCAUCAUGAUUCAUACACUUACUGCAAUGUGAACUGCGUGGUGUGUGCAUGUUCAGGAAUAGCAUUUACUUUAGUUACUGAUUUGUUUGCAAGGUUGCACGCGAAACAAAUGAGGAACUCCGUGCUAUAAAAGCUGAUCCAGCUGAGGGAUUUGAUAUCGGAGCAAUUCUUUCAAUCGCAAAAAGGUUCUCUAUAAAGUCCCUUGGAAAUGAAACUAUGUAGAACUGUUAGGCAUCUAUCUGUAUGCUCUGCCUAUGCUGGUAUUUGAUAAUUAUAUCAACAUGAAAUUUGUGACAAGGCAUUGACCUUUUGUCCUUCAUUUCCAGAGAAUUGAACAGUGAACAUGAGGCCACUCGAAUCGAAGCAUUGCAUUGGUUCUUCACUUUGCUGGAUCGAUAUUGUGCUGAGGUACUAAAAGAGCGAUGGUUUUUGGGCUGCAUUUUGAUAAAUUUCAACAUGUAUCUAAAUGUUUUUAAGCUUUUACAUUGCUGUGAUUUUAUUUUGUCAACUUAGAGUUGGACAUAUGAGAGUUGCAAUUCAUUUAGAUUAACACAAGUCUAUUUGGACCUAUGGUUUAUUUACAUAUUUUCUGGAACAGUUCUUGGCUUACCUGAACGAUAUUUUUGAUCCACUCCUAAAUGCACUUUCUGAUCCUUCGGACGCGGUGAGUUUUCUUUGAAAAGCCUUCCAAACUGCUCUGCUUGUUUCUAGAAUUUGAAACUACAUCCUGUUGUGGGCUGUGAUUAGCUGAUAUUAUAUUGUGCUAUUUGUAUGCGAUGACUUAUAAAGUUAUAGUUUAGUACCAUUUCACAACUCAAUCAAGGUUUGGAUCUAUUUGGAGGGCACAAGCUGCAACUGUUGGGCCUGGUACUGUAGAACCACACCCCAGCACCAUUGGAGUAAUAAUCUUAGAUGAUAAGUUAGAUUCACAUAAUCUCUACUAUAUUUAAAUGGGAAUAAUCUCUCUUCGUGCGUCGCCACGCGUCUCCGCUCCUCCCGCCUGCCUAGCUGAAUUAAUCAAAAAAGGAGAAAAGGAAGAUGGCUCCAGGAUUCAAACCUGGACUGCAAGGACCAAAGCCACGCCCCUUAACCACUGCAUAUAAUGUUCCUUUGUGUUACAGAAGGAUAGAUAUUAUAAUUAAAAGGUAGAUAUUAUCACUACACCUUUAAAGCUUGUGCAAAAAAGAUGCGGGAUGAAAGAUUCGAACCCUGGUCUCUCAAGAAGGGUACAAAGACUUCGCCUGCUAACCAAUACACCUCAUGUUCUGUUAUGUUUUACAAAGGAUCAAUAAUUUUAAUAUAAUAAUACGUAUAAACAGCGCCUGCCCAGGGUGGGUGGUUGCCAUGCUCGUAGCGAUCGGCAGACUGGAUGUUCGCUGUACGUGCAAGGAACAACCUCCAACCUGACCAGUCACAGCAUUGAAGAGAACUGUGACUAUUUCUGCUGGCCCUUGAUGACAGUUCCCCCCCCAGUUAUUUGCUACAAGAAAACCUUUUUUCAGCAGAGUAGCUUUUGGACACCUUGUAUAUGCCUUCAAUUAAAGCGUUUGAAACUCUUUGCAGCCUGCUCACGAGAAAAUCGGUGUCGUUGAUUCCCAAUGGAUUGUACACCAAGUGAUUCCUUCUCUCGGGAACCAGGUAAGGAAGAAAAAAAAGAAACAAAUGUGUACAAUCAGAUUCUACUGUAGCGCCUGAAUAGCAUCUUCCAAAUGCACAGGGGCAGUCGGAGAAUGGGAGGGCGCCAUGGGAAGGGGUAUGAAUCUGACGACUUUGAUAGAUAAUCUCAUGAUGUUUUGUGAGUGUGUGAGGUGCUGUGAAUGAUCUUUAUCUUGGUUGCUGUGUAUGCAGUUAAGAGAGCGUUGCCGGAAAGAGUGGGGGCUUUUCCAGACAAGAAUGGCAGAAGCUGAGAAAGCAUAUUACGAGAUGAUGGGGAUUACACCUCCGAAUGUAAUAUUUGUCUCCUAGGAUAAAAGUUUCAACCCACAUUUUUUUCCUUUGUGUCCAGCAGUGGCUCUUCGAAUAGAGUUAGAUAUUGAUGAAUGGUACAAGUAGAUCAUACGUGACGAUAUAUAUAUAUAUAUAUAUAUAUAGAUCCUUUGAUCCUUCUUCCUGUGUAUUUAUCGUGGGCUGUUCUCACUAGGGUUCUGGUGAAAUGAGAAUGAUAUGUCUGUUCAGUUUAGAGCUUAUAUUCUCUGAACAUGAACAUUCAGAAUCGACAGCAUUGUGCGCACACGAAAAUUCUGCAGAAAACAUUUCAGACGGACAAGGAUGGCCAAAGUAUGACACUUCAUUGUAUACUAGGUGAAUGCCCGUGCGUUGCUACAGAGCGAACAUGUUACAAUAAGAUACAUUAAAAUUCAAAAUACUAAUUACUAUUUUAUGUUCUUAUUAACAUAUUUUAAAAGUUAAGAUAUUUUACAUACCUUAAAAUUCCUACACAUCAAACAAAUCCAUCAUGUGCAGUAAAAUGCAAUAGAGAAGCAUGCAGAUACUGAUGAGGGACGCAGAUUUUUUGGGGACAAAAUGAGGGAGCUGUUGGAGCAUAGAUAAUCACUAGGUAGGGGCUCGUGCGAUGCCACGGAACAUAAAUCUCGAUUUGUAUAUCAGCUAUGCUUCCUGUGAAGCAAGGAAGCGAACGCAAGCCAGCCUUUUGUAUUAGUGCAUUAUGUUCAGUUCUUACUUGAUCAUCCCGUGUUCUCGUGUGUGCCAUUGCCGAGUGGCAAGCUCAACACUGGUAUUGUUGUCUUGUCUCAAAUGAAGUCCGCUUCCACAAGUUAAUCGGAAAUCUUCAUGGGUGAUAGCUGUGUCAGAUUCUUCCGCGCAUAGGGCAAGUAAUGCAAGUGAUAGCUGUGUCAGUUUACCCCCAUUUUUUGGGCAUCUCAAAUGAAGUCCAUUGGAGGUUCGCAAUUUAUGUUCCGUGGCAUCGCACGGGCACCUACCUAGUUAUUGUAGACGAGGAGGACAUGGAAAAUCCUGAGCGAGCACCAGCGUGGAGCUGGGGACCGAGCAGAGGAGGUCUAGGCUAGAGUGGCGCCCAAACACACGACCAUGCAAUCGGUAAGGACUGGGAGCUCAUUUUCGGAUCUGGGCGACAGCGCAGUCCAAGACGGCUAUGACCAGGAACCGAGCUGCAGGACGAGGUCAAACGGAGACCAGAGCUGGCUCACAACGAAGUUGGAGUCGACGACCGGCGACAAAGGAAAUAGGGGGGCGCUCCUCCGACAACUAAAGCCCACGCCGGACCGAGCAGAGAGCGCAGGACCACGGCAAAGUGAGCGCUCCCACGAAAGAACACAACCACACAGACGCGGCCACCGGUGAGGAACCUCGACGUUGAAGCUGGAGUAAGCGAGGGCGUCCGAUCUGCAGAAACUGAGAAGGGGAAAAAUGGAGAAGGGUCGACGGCGUCCUGCGCAGGGAGAAAGCGCGCGCGACCAGGGACUCGGGCAACGCAGUGACUGCGAUCUGUAGACCGGCCCAACAGCGAGGACAAGCAGAGAGGGGCGAGCUGGAGCAGAGGGCAGGGCCGAGCUCGGCGUUGGGGGCGAGUGCCGGCCAUGGAAGAUGAGCAGUCGGCGCUGGGGAGCAGGGAGAUGGGAACUCGAGCUGGGGAAAGGGACUCGGCGACCUCAAUCACCAGGAGGCGCGGCCAAGUGAAAUACGAGCAGGGGCCAGGAGCGCGCGGAGGGAGAGGAAGAAAGCUGAGCGCCAUGGAGACGGGCACGGCAGGGAGGAGCGCCGGCAGAGGAGGAGCUCGGCGCGCAGAGGGGCGAGCCAGGGAGCUCCGGCCGGGCGCAGUCCGAGCAGGGUCUAGGGGCGUGUGGAGGAGAAGCCGGGGAGGAGCGCCGGCGAGCUCGCGGCACCAGGGAGCAGGGCGCGCGGCGAGCAGCAGAUGAUGGAAGUUGCCGCAGGGAGAAGCCAAGGUGAGGGCGCGUGAGGAAGAAGGAAAUUGUGGCUGGGCGUCGAUGGUGAGAAGGGAGGAUAAGGACGGCUGAAGCCCAAGCGGUGGAGAGAUAUUUUUCCUUUUCUCCCUUUUCUUUCUUUUAAUUAGGGAAUACACUGCUAACCGAAUUUAAGAAUUAAACGAGACUAAAAUGGAUCAAUUUAUGAUUUUAGGAUUAAGAUUUUAGGGGGUCUAAAAGAUGUAUAAAAGGAUCAGCCAAAAACGAGAUCGACAACAAUAUUUAGACAGGUUUUGAUGUGGUGAAUACUCCCGGUGUCAAUGAAUUCUUACCCUUUAUUUAUAUUUGAAGAUUUAUAUCGAGACAAGAAACAAAUGGACCAAUCCAAAAUGAUAUGGACGACGAUAUUUGAGACUAUUUGAGACUGCAUUAAUUUAGUUGAAAUCGGAUAAAAAUUUAUCCGAUAUCUAAACAUGGUUGAUUUUAUUAUCUUACAGAGUGUGCUGAAUAAUAAAUUAGAUCAUAACCUCGCGCACGAUUUUUCUCGGACAAUGUGUGAUUCAGAUUAUUUUGCCCCGAACAUUUUUUUGUCGUCGAGUUCUACUUAAUCUGUUUGAGAGGAAAUCGGAGGACUGAACUAAAUUUCCAAAUUCGUAUUCGCUUACUGAUGAAUUUUAAAUAGGCACAUGACUCGCAAACUUUCAGAACAAUUACGUUCCGAAAUUCGCGAAAACUUUAGGAAGAGUCUAAAUAGACAGAAACAUAUACGAUAUUAAAGUCGCGAUAGACAAAAAUGAUUAAAAUUUAGCAUCUAUUUUAUCCAACGCUAUCACGUGUUAAAGUCCGCACUCGUGGUCGAGCAGACAAUAAACACCUGGGGUGUUACAAGAUGAGUACUCCUUUACAACACUUACGUACAUGAGUUCUAUGACAGCAGACCUCUGAAAUGAAUGCCAGCUACAUGUUUAUCUACUUAGAUGAAGGAAGACAAUCACUUUUUGUGAUGUCUCGGCGACAUUACUCCUUACUUCCUCCACUUCUUCCUAGUGUUUCUUUAUUGUGAUUGAGUCGACACAGCGACUACACUGCACUACAACAACCAGUACGACUAUAUCAAUUGGCAAUGUCUCCAUUAGGUUUGAGUCUUAUGAGGGGCUUAAAACUAUGUCACAAUUUAUUUUGUUCAUUUUUAUUAUGUUUAAAUUACAUGUGCACCUUUCUACUGACAUAAAAAAAUUAUCAACUUUCUAGAUUAAAAUGCAACUAAAAGUACCUAAAUUUCUGUCGAUGGGGAUCGAGUGACUCUUUAAACCGAUUAUUACACAAGUUAACCAAACUAAAAUUAACAUUGGUGAAUAGUGCCAUGAUUUUUUUUAGUGCAAAAUAGCACAACAAAGCAACACAUAUGUGGCUAUCGUUACACAUGUGUAAAGGUAAUGCAUCACACCAUUGUCACCCAUGUAUUUGGAAAAUACCAAGAAGAAAAAACAACUUGUUUAUUGUAUUUUAUGGAGAUUGUCUUACUUACAUACAAUUAUUACCCAACAAAGUGGUCACUAAAUGUCAAAACCAACUAGAUACCAGGUGACUUUAUACCUGAUCAAGGUCGGAGGUGACCAAGCGACGGGGAGAGACACCGAAACCGUGGAGACUUCGACUCGAUCUCCGAACGACCGCAGAAUCACAACCGGAGCUAAUUCACACAAUGCGAGGCAGCCGUACUGCAACUCACAAGGCACGAACUAGUGGAUCCCAGAGGAAUCUCUUCACAAGUCCAGGAGAACAAGGAAGAACAGGGGUAGAGUAAACACUCAGCAACUUGGCUGCGGUACUCACUUGGAUUAUCAAAUCAUCAAAUGUUAUCAAAAGUUGUUUUACAUCAUAGACAUAGGGGGUAUUUAUACUAGUGAAAGGGAAAUGUGCCCUUGGGCCAUUUCUAAGUAUUUUGGUGAUUGAGUGCCAACACAAGUGCUUAAAUGUGAAUCUAUGCUCUUGGAUGGACAAAGUGCAAAUCAAGAGUAAAGGUAUGUUUCUAAGCUUUAGUACAUUGGUUUUGUGUACUAAUAUACUUGUCUAAGUGUUAGAAACAGAAAGAAGAAGAAAAGAAAAGAGGUGAAAAAGGCUUGGCUGUGUACAGCCAAGACUGAGCUCAGUCUGGCACACCGGACUGUCCGGUGGUGCACCGGACAGUGUCCGGUGCGCCAGGCUGACUCGGCGUGAAGUGGCCGCUCUCGGGAAUUCGCCGACGGCGUACGGCUAAAAUUCACCGGACUGUCCGGUGUGCACCGGACUGUCCGGUGAACCAACGGUCGGCCGGGCCAACGGUCGGCAGCAGAAUCUGCGCGCGACACGUGGCCAGGCCAACGAUCGGAAGGGGGCACCGGACUGUCCGGUGUGCACCGGACAUGUCCGGUGCACCAACGGCUCCCAGAUCUGCAACGGUCGGCCGCGCCAUUUUAGGAAGGAAAUCGGGCACCGGACAGUGUCCGGUGUGCACCGGACUGUCCGGUGCACCCGACGACAGAAGGCAAGAUUGGCCUUGCAGAUUUUCUCUCAACGGCUCCUAGCUGCCUUGGGGCUAUAAAAGGGACCCCUAGGCGCAUGGAGGAGAGAACCAAGCAACCUUAGAGCAUUCUUGAUCAUCCACACUCAGUCUUUGCGCAUUCGUUUGUCAUUCUCAGUGAUUCGAGCUCCGUUCUAGUGAGAACUUUGAGAUAGUCUUUUGAGCUCGACUCUUGGCCGUGUGUGUGCGCAUUUUGCUGUGGAUUUGUGUGUGUUGCUUCCCCCCUUACUCCGUAUUUCUUUGUGAAUCUCAAGUGUAAGGGCGAGAGGCUCCAAGUUGUGGAGAUUCCUCGCAAACGGGAUAUUGAAAGGCAAAGCAAAACACCGUGGUAUUCAUGUUGGUCUUUGGACCACUUGAGAGGGGUUGAUUGCAACCCUCGUCCGUUGGGACGCCACAACGUGGAGUAGGCAAGCGUUGGUCUUGGCCGAACCACGGGAUAAACCACUGUGUCAUCUCUGUGUUUGAUCUCUUGUGGUAUUGUGUUUUGUUGAGACUCCACUCUAGCCACUUGGCGAUUAUUGUGCUAACACUUAACAAGUUUUUGUGGCUAUAAGUUUAAGUUUCACAGAAUCACCUAUUCACCCCCCCUCUAGGUGCUCUCAAUUGGUAUCGGAGUCGUUCUCUUCACAAAGGGACUAACCGCCCGAAGAGAUGGAUCCUAAAGGGAAGGGAAUCGUGAUCAACGACAAGGAGAAGGAGUCCUUCGUCAACGAGCCAAGGGAUGACAAGUCCAACGACUCGGGCUCGGGCCACAGACGCAAAGAUGGGAAGAAGAAGAAGACAAGACGCAUCAAGGAGAUCGUCUACUACGACAGCGAUGAGUCUACUUCCUCCCAUAAGGACGACGACCACAACGAAUACGAGAGAAAGAAACCGGUCAAUUCGAACUUUUCUUUUGAUUACUCUCGUAUUCCUCAAAGUACUAAUGCUCAUUUAUUAUCUAUUCCACUUGGUAAACCUCCCCAUUUUGAUGGAGAGGACUACGGAUUUUGGAGUCAUAAAAUGCGUAGUCACUUGUUCUCUCUCCAUCCUAGCAUAUGGGAGAUUGUAGAAAGUGGAAUGCACUUUGAUAGUACGGAUAGUCCCAUGUUUAUUAAUGAACAGAUUCAUAAAAAUGCACAAGCUACUACUGUGUUGCUAGCCUCUUUGUGCAGGGACGAGUACCAUAAGGUGAGCGGCUUGGACAAUGCCAAGCAGAUCUGGGACACCCUCAAGAUCUCUCAUGAGGGGAAUGAUGUCACCUUGCUCACCAAGAUGGAGUUGGUGGAGGGCGAGCUUGGACGGUUCGCAAUGAUAAGGGGCGAGGAGCCAACUCAAACAUACAACCGGCUCAAGACCCUUAUCAACAAAAUAAGGAGCUACGGAAGCACGCGAUGGACGGAUCACGACGUCGUCCGCCUAAUGCUAAGGUCCUUUACCGUUCUUGAUCCUCAUUUGGUGAACAAUAUUCGUGAAAAUCCUAGGUACACCAAGAUGUCGCCCGAAGAAGUUCUGGGGAAUUUCGUAAGCGGGCGAAUGAUGAUCAAGGAGGCAAGAUAUGUGGACGAUGCGUUGAACGGUCCUAUUCAUGAGCCUCAACCCAUUGCUCUCAAGGCAACGAGGAACAAGGAGGCGCUACCGAGCAAGGUUGCGCAAGUUGAGGCGACCGGGCUAAAUAAUGAGGAGAUGGCCCUCAUCAUUAAGCGCUUCAAGACGGCGCUUAAAGGUCGCAAGGGACAGCCAAGCAAGACCAAGACAAAGGAGAAGCGCUCGUGCUUCAAAUGUGGUAAGAUCGGUCAUUUCAUUGCUAACUGUCCCGAUAAUGAAAGUGACCAGGAAAAGGGGAACAAAAGGGAGAAGAAGCAUUACAAGAAGGCCAAGGGCGAGGCACAUAUCGGAAAGGAGUGGGAUUCGGAUUGCUCCUCAUCCGACUCCGACAAUGAAGGACUAGCCGCCACUGCCUUCAACAAGUCAUCCCUCUUCCCCAACGAGCGUCACACUUGCCUCAUGGCAAGGGAGAAGAAAGUAAGCACUCAUGAUACUAGUACUUAUGCUUCUUCAAGUGAGGAUGAGUCUAGUGAUGAUGAUGAGACAGAUUACUCAUGCUUAUUCAAGGGAUUAGAUAGAUCUAAAUUAAUAAGAUUAAUGAGUUGAUUGAUGCUUUGAAUGACAAGAAUAGAUUACUAGAAAAACAAGAAGAUCUUUUAUAUGAGGAGCAUGAUAAAUUUGUCAGUGCACAAAAUUCUCUUGCUCUAGAAAUUAAAAGGAAUGAAAUGCUCUCUGGUGAAUUAUCUACUUGUCAUGAAACCAUUUCUACUUUACAAGGUGUUAACAAUGAUUUAAAUGCUAAAUUAGAAGUAGCAAAUAAAUCUAAUUCUUGUGUAGAACAUGUUAUAAUUUGUACUAGGUGUAAAGAUUUUGACAUUGAUGCUUGUAGUGAACACCUAGUUUCAAUUUCCAAAAUUAAUGAUGAAUUAGCUAGUCUUAAUGCUCAACUUAAGACUAGCAAGAAUGAUUUCGAUAAGCUAAAAUUUGCAAGGGAUGCCUACACGAUUGGUAGACACCCCUCAAUUAAGGAUGGACUUGGCUUCAAGAGGGAAGCCAAGAACUUAACAAGCCAUAAGGCUCCCAUCUCCGCCAAGGAGAAAGGGAAGGCCCCUAUGGCAAGUAGUGCUAAAAAGAACCAUGCUUUUAUGUACCAUGAUAAGAGACAAACUAGAAAUGCUUACAGGAGUUACAAUGCUUAUGAUGAUUUUGAUUCUCAUGACAUGUUUGCUUCUAGUUCUUUCUAUGUGCAUGAUAGAAAUGUUGGUAGAAGAAAUGUUGUUCACAAUAUGCCUAGGAGAAAUCUUGUUAAUGUUCCUAGGAGAGUUAAUGAACCUUCUACAAUAUAUCAUGCUUUGAGUGCCUCCUUUGCAAUUUGUAGAAAGGAUAGAAAGGUGAUUGCUAGGAAAUUAGGGGCAAAAUGCAAGGGAGAUAAAACUUGCAUUUGGGUCCCUAAGACAAUUGUGACUAACCUUGUAGGACCCAACAAGAGUUGGGUACCUAAGUCCCAAGCCUAAAUUUGCCUUGCAGGUUUAUGCAUCCGGGGGUUCAAGCUGGAUUAUCGACAGCGGAUGCACAAACCAUAUGACGGGGGAGAAGAAGAUGUUCACCUCCUACGUCAAGAAUAAGGAUUCCCAAGAUUCAAUUAUAUUCGGUGAUGGGAAUCAAGGCAAGGUAAAAGGGUUAGGUAAAAUUGCAAUUUCUAAUGAGCACUCUAUCUCUAAUGUGUUUUUAGUAGAGUCUCUUGGAUAUAAUUUGCUAUCGGUUAGUCAAUUAUGCAAUAUGGGAUAUAACUGUCUAUUUACAAAUGUAGAUGUGUCUGUCUUUAGAAGAAGUGAUGGUUCACUAGCUUUUAAGGGUGUAUUAGACGACAAACUUUAUUUAGUUGAUUUUGCAAAAGAAGAGGCCGGUCUAGAUGCAUGCUUAAUAGCUAAGACUAGCAUGGGCUGGCUGUGGCAUCGCCACUUAGCACAUGUGGAGAUGAAGAACCUUCACAAGCUUCUAAAGGGAGAACACGUGAUAGGUUUGACUAACGUGCAAUUCGAAAAAAGAUAGACCUUGUGCAGCUUGUCAAGCAGGUAAACAAGUGGGAGGAGCACAUCACAGCAAGAAUGUGAUGACCACCUCAAGACCUCUGGAGCUGCUGCAUAUGGACCUGUUCGGACCCGUCGCCUAUCUGAGCAUAGGAGGAAGUAAGUAUGGUCUAGUUAUUGUUGAUGACUUUUCCCGCUUCACUUGGGUGUUCUUUUUGCAGGAUAAGUCUAAAACCCAAGGGACCCUCAAGCGCUUCCUAAAGAGAGCUCAAAAUGAGUUUGAGCUCAAAGUGAAGAAGAUAAGGAGCGACAACGGGUCCGAGUUCAAGAACCUUCAAGUGGAGGAGUUCCUUGAGGAGGAAGGGAUCAAGCACGAGUUCUCCGCUCCCUAUACACCACAACAAAAUGGUGUGGUAGAGAGGAAGAACAAGACGCUAAUCGAUAUGGCGAGGACGAUGCUUGGAGAAUUCAAGACCCCCGAGCGUUUUUGGUCGGAAGCCGUGAACACGGCUUGUCACGCCAUCAACAGGGUCUAUCUUCACCGCCUCCUCAAGAAGACUUCGUAUGAGCUACUAACCGGUAACAAACCCAAUGUAUCUUACUUUCGUGUAUUUGGGAGCAAGUGCUACAUUCUAGUGAAGAAGGGUAGAAAUUCUAAGUUUGCUCCCAAAGCUGUAGAAGGGUUUUUGUUAGGUUAUGACUCAAAUACAAAGGCGUAUAGAGUCUUCAACAAAUCAUCGGGUUUGGUUGAUGUCUCUAGCGACGUUGUAUUUGAUGAGACUAAUGGCUCUCCAAGAGAGCAAGUUGUUGAUCUUGAUGAUGUAGAUGAAGAAGAUGUUCCUACGGCCGCGAUACGCACCAUGACGAUUGGAGAUGUACGGCCUCGGGAACAAUUGGAGCAAGAUCAACCUUCUUCCUCAACAACGGUGCAUCCCCUAACUCAAGACGAUGAACAGGUUCAUCAACAGGAGGCAUGUGAUCAAGGGGGAGCACAAGAUGAUCAUGUGAUGGAGGAAGAAGCGGAACCGGCACCUCCAACCCAAGUUCGAGCAGUAAUUCAAAGGGAUCAUCCCGUCGACCAAAUUUUGGGUGACAUUAGCAAGGGAGUAACUACUCGAUCUCGAUUAGUUAAUUUUUGUGAGCAUUACUCCUUUGUCUCUUCUAUUGAGCCUUUCAGGGUAGAGGAGGCCUUGCUAGAUCCGGACUGGGUGUUGGCCAUGCAAGAGGAGCUCAACAACUUCAAGCGCAAUGAAGUUUGGACACUGGUGCCUCGUCCCAAGCAAAAUGUUGUGGGAACCAAGUGGGUGUUCCGCAACAAACAGGACGAGCACGGGGUGGUGACGAGGAACAAGGCUCGACUUGUGGCAAAAGGUUAUGCCCAAGUCGCAGGUUUGGACUUUGAGGAGACGUUCGCUCCUGUGGCUAGGCUAGAAUCAAUUCGUAUCUUGCUAGCAUAUGCCGCUCACCAUUCUUUCAGGUUGUACCAAAUGGAUGUGAAGAGCGCUUUCCUCAAUGGUCCAAUCAAGGAGGAGGUGUACGUGGAGCAACCCCCUGGCUUCGAGGAUGAACAGUACCCCGACCACGUGUGUAAGCUCUCUAAGGCACUCUAUGGACUUAAGCAAGCCCCAAGAGCAUGGUAUGAAUGCCUUAGAGACUUCUUAAUUGCUAAUGCUUUCAAGGUUGGGAAAGCCGAUCCAACUCUUUUUACUAAGACUUGCGACAGUGAUCUUUUUGUAUGCCAAAUUUAUGUCGAUGACAUAAUAUUUGGUUCUACUAAUAAAAAGUCUUGUGAAGAGUUUAGCAGGGUGAUGACGCAGAAAUUCGAGAUGUCAAUGAUGGGCGAGUUGAACUACUUCCUUGGGUUCCAAGUGAAGCAACUCAAGGACGGCACCUUCAUCUCCCAAACGAAGUACACGCAAGACUUGCUAAAGCGGUUUGGGAUGAAGGACGCCAAGCCCGCAAAGACUCCGAUGGGAACCGACGGACACACCGACCUCAACAAAGGAGGUAAGUCCGUUGAUCAAAAGGCAUACCGGUCAAUGAUAGGGUCAUUACUUUACUUAUGUGCUAGUAGACCGGAUAUUAUGCUUAGCGUAUGUAUGUGUGCUAGAUUUCAAUCCGAUCCUAAGGAGUGUCACUUAGUGGCAGUGAAGCGAAUUCUUAGAUAUUUAGUUGCUACGCCUUGCUUCGGGCUCUGGUAUCCAAAGGGGUCUACCUUUGACUUAAUUGGAUAUUCAGACUCCGACUAUGCUGGAUGUAAGGUCGAUAGGAAGAGUACAUCAGGGACGUGCCAAUUCUUAGGAAGGUCCCUGGUGUCAUGGAACUCUAAGAAACAAACCUCCGUUGCCCUAUCCACCGCUGAGGCAGAGUAUGUUGCCGCAGGACAGUGUUGCGCGCAACUACUUUGGAUGAGGCAAACCCUCCGGGACUUUGGCUACAAUCUGAGCAAAGUCCCACUCCUAUGUGACAAUGAGAGUGCUAUCCGCAUGGCAGAAAAUCCUGUUGAGCACAGCCGCACAAAGCACAUAGACAUCCGGCAUCACUUUCUGAGAGACCACCAGCAAAAGGGUGAUAUCGAAGUGUUUCAUGUUAGCACCGAGAACCAGCUAGCCGAUAUCUUUACCAAGCCUCUAGAUGAGAAGACCUUUUGCAGGCUGCGUAGUGAGCUAAAUGUCUUAGAUUCGCGGAACUUGGAUUGAAUUGUAGCAUACAUGUGCUUAUGCCUUUGAUCAUGUUCAUUCUGCAUUUUGUUGCUUAUUGUGGUGCUCAAGUUGUACAAACAUUCCCUGGACCUCACAAGUCCUUGUGUAAGUGAUGCACAUAUUUAGGGGGAGUUGUGUUACAACUUGACCCUUUGAGACUAACCAUAUGCUUGAGUUUGCUUGAUUUAGUCUCGAAGGAGAAUUGAAAGGGAAAAGGUGGACCUGGACCAUGAAAGACUUCCACUACACUCCGAUGAGAGGGUAACUUAUUCCAAGUUCAUCUCAUGAACUCUUAUUGCCAUUUGCUCUUAAUUGAAGAUUUUGGUGAGGCAAUGGGGUUAUAGGGCCAAGAUUGAUCCCGUUUUGGUGCUUGAUGCCAAAGGGGGAGAAAAUAAAGGCCAAAGCAAUAAAUGGAUCAGCUACCACUUGAGAAAUUUUGAAAAUAGUAAAAUAGAGCUUUUUGUUUUGUCAAAACUCUUGCAUUGUCUCUGUUGUCAAAAGUUGGCCUCUUGUGGGGAGAAGUGUUAAUUAUGGGAAAUAGGGGGAGUUUUUGAAAUCCUUGAUCAAUCUCUUUUGGAAUGACUCUCUUUAUGCUUCAACAUGUGUGUUUGACUUAGAGAUAGAGAUUUGAGUUUGGUUUGCAAAAACAAACCAAGUGGUGGCAAAGGAUGAUCCAUAUAUGCCAAAAUUGAAUCAAAAUAAAUUUGAGUUUUAUUUGAAGUGAUAUUGCACUUGUUCUAGUUGCUUUAUGUUGUGUUGGCAUAAAUCACCAAAAAGGGGGAGAUUGAAAGGGAAAUGUGCCCUUGGGCCAUUUCUAAGUAUUUUGGUGAUUGAGUGCCAACACAAGUGCUUAAAUGUGAAUCUAUGCUCUUGGAUGGACAAAGUGCAAAUCAAGAGUAAAGGUAUGUUUCUAAGCCUUAGUACAUUGGUUUUGUGUACUAAUAUACUUGUCUAAGUGUUAGAAACAGAAAGAAGAAGAAAAGAAAAGAGGUGAAAAAGGCUUGGCUGUGUACAGCCAAGACUGAGCUCAGUCUGGCACACCGGACUGUCCGGUGGUGCACCGGACAGUGUCCGGUGCGCCAGGCUGACUCGGCGUGAAGUGGCCGCUCUCGGGAAUUCGCCGACGGCGUACGGCUAAAAUUCACCGGACUGUCCGGUGUGCAACGGACUGUCCGGUGAACCAACGGUCGGCCGGGCCAACGGUCGGCAGCGGAAUCUGCGCGCGACACGUGGCCAGGCCAACGGUCGGAAGGGGGCACCGGACUGUCCGGUGUGCACCGGACAUGUCCGGUGCACCAACGGCUCCCAGAUCUGCAACGGUCGGCCGCGCCAUUUUAGGAAGGAAAUCGGGCACCGGACAGUGUCCGGUGUGCACCGGACUGUCCGGUGCACCCGACGACAGAAGGCAAGAUUGGCCUUCCAGAUUUGCUCUCAACGGCUCCUAGCUGCCUUGGGGCUAUAAAAGGGACCCCUAGGCGCAUGGAGGAGAGAACCAAGCAACCUUAGAGCAUUCUUGAUCAUCCACACUCAGUCUUUGCACAUUCGUUUGUCAUUCUCAGUGAUUCGAGCUCCGUUCUAGUGAGAACUUUGAGAUAGUCUUUUGAGCUCGACUCUUGGCCGUGUGUGUGCGCAUUUUGCUGUGGAUUUGUGUGUGUUGCUUCCCCCCUUACUCCGUAUUUCUUUGUGAAUCUCAAGUGUAAGGGCGAGAGGCUCCAAGUUGUGGAGAUUCCUCGCAAACGGGAUAUUGAAAGGCAAAGCAAAACACCGUGGUAUUCAAGUUGGUCUUUGGACCACUUGAGAGGGGUUGAUUGCAACCCUCGUCCGUUGGGACGCCACAACGUGGAGUAGGCAAGCGUUGGUCUUGGCCGAACCACGGGAUAAACCACUGUGUCAUCUCUGUGUUUGAUCUCUUGUGGUAUUGUGUUUUGUUGAGACUCCACUCUAGCCACUUGGCGAUUAUUGUGCUAACACUUAACAAGUUUUUGUGGCUAUAAGUUUAAGUUUCACAGGAUCACCUAUUCACCCCCCUCUAGGUGCUCUCAACUAGCUACAACCAGCCUUAGAUAGGUAUAAACACAAAAAUAAGUAUUUUAACGUGCUAAUGUGAAGGGGCCUCUUCGGAAGAUCUCCAGAGCUGAAUUCCGCGUGGCUGUUUGACUUCUUCACAACCUUUAGGGCAUGUACAACCUAGACACUGCUGCACGGUACUCCAAGUAUAAGACACAACUAAAACACAACAUAAUACAGUGGUCAUGUAUAAAACAUGUGUCUUACUAUAUUCAUUGUACCAAUCAGAGCAUUCAAUAAGUUAAAGUGACCAACCAGAUAGUCUCAUGUCUUGAAUAUAGAGCUAAGACACUGUGUCUUCGUUAAGAUACAUGUCUUGAGAUUUUUUACAUUCACCCCCCUAGACACACUCUAAGACACAACUUAAGACACCCAUUGUACAUGCCCUUAGUAUUUUGAUAAUAACUCCUCCUAGGAAUCUCCAAAUGGCGUGGGGCUGGAUGCGUUGGAAAGCUAACUUGAUUUGCUUUCUCACCAUGUAUAGCAUGCUUAAUGAAACUUUGUAGAAUGAUGCAGUUUAAUACUAAAACUUGGUCAUCAAGCAGACUGUUGACCUUAUGACAGUCAGAACUAAAGUAGGUCGGUUACCGUGUUGGGUGAUCCGAUUAAGUCGGUCCUAGAAGCAUUGGAAACUAGACUUCAAUAGCUUUCCAAAAUGUACUUAUUGGCCUUCAUAGCUUUUGGGAAUCAAAAGAUAUGAUUGUUUCUUCUGGAUGGUUCUAUCACGCUAGACUGACUCGAACAUAGUUCUCUCUGAUUCGCCCUUGAUAUGUUUUGUCCUUCCUCUUUGGUGGACCUAAGAAAAAUCAACAUACACAACUUAGGUAGAAUAAAGUUGUCAUUAGUGUUUAAUUUAAAUUCAUAAAGUAGCGCGUGCACCUCUUGUUGUAUCUGUUUCACCCGGCUUCGAGUGAUAGGUCCAGUAAGAAUGGUCGGCAAGGUUGACGAUGCUGGUAUGGUCACAUCACACUCCCCCCUUGAAAAAUGAGUCGUCCUCAACUCUUCCAAUCCAAAGCAAGGAGAGAGGUCGGCCACAUUAAAACUAGAACUCACACCAUAAGUAUCUGACAGAUUAAUUUCAUAAGCAUUUUCGUUGAUCUUGCAAAGCACUUUGAAUGGACCAUCAACUCGUUGUUGUAAUUUGCUUUUGCGUUGUUCAGGAAAUCUUUCUUUGCAUAGAUGUACCCAAACCAUGUCUCCUGGUUCGAACAACAUCUUUCUUCAACCCUUGUUGGCACACUAUUCAUAUUUCUUGGUCAUUUUCUCAAUAUUUGCUCGAGCUUUUUCAUGAAGGUUCUUGAUUAACUCGACUCGCUUGCUAGCGUCAAAGUUUACUCGUUCCUGCACAGGCAAUGACAAAAUAUCUAUGGGAGUUGUGGGUUUGAAGCCAUAUACAAUUUCAAAUGGACAAAAUUUAGUAGUCGAGUCUACAGCUCUGUUGUAUGCAAACUCGACAUGUGGUAGACUUUCUUCAGAGAGUUUUAAAUUUUUCUUGAGGAUAGCUCGCAGCAGCAUUGAUAAUGUUCGGUUUACAACUUCAGUCUAUCAAUCUUUUUGUGGAUGGCACGUUGUAGAGAAUAGUAGUCGUGUUCCAAGUUUUCCCCACAAAGUUUUCCAAAAGUAACUCAAAAAAUUAGUGUCACGAUCAGAAACAAUGGUUCGUGGAAUCCCAUGUAAACGAACAACUUCUUUGAAAAAUAAUUCAGCAAUAUGUGAAGCAUCAUCACUCUUGUGGCUUGGAAUAAAAUGUGCCAUUUUGCUAAAUCAAUCAACCACAACAAAAAUGGAAUCCCUUCCCUACUUUGUUCAUGGUAAACCAAGAACAAAAUCCAUGGAUAUGUCUUCUCAAGGCACACUAGGAAUAGGUAGUGGAGUGUAUAAGCCUAUGAGGGUUUAAACGAGACUUAGCUUUAUGACAUGAUUCACAUCGAAGGACAUGUCGCUCCACAUCCCUUUUCAUUUUAGGCCAAAAGAAAUGAUCGGCAAGCACUUGCUCCGUCUUCUUGGCGCCAAAAUGGCCCAUAAGUCCUCCUGCAUGAGCUUCCUGCAAUAUUAAAAUUCGAACAGAACAUUCUGGAAUGCACAUUUUGUUAGCUCGGAAUAAAAAACCAUCAUUAACAUGAAAUUUUACCCAUCCUCUGCCAUCACAACACUUAGAAUAUGGUUCAACAAAGUUUAAGUCAGUCGGUUAUAAUUCCUUUAUACUUUCUAAUCCAAGAAUUUUAGCAUCGAGUUGUGUUAGCAAAGCAUGUCGUCGAGACAAAGCAUCUGCUACAACAUUAUCUUUUCCUUUCUUAUAUUUGACAAUAUAAGGAAAUGAUUCAAUAAAUUCACACCAUUUUGCAUGCCUUCUAUUUAGUUUUAGAUGUCCUUUAAGAUGUUUUAAUGAUUCAUGGUCUGAAUGUAUCACAAAUUCCUUAGGAAAAAGAUAGUGUCGCCAAGUUUCCAAACUCCGAACAAGAGCAUAUAAUUCUUUAUCAUAAACUGAAUAAUUUAGAGUAAGACCACUUAGCUUUUCACUGAAGUAGCCAAUUGGUCUUUGUUCUUGCAUGAGCAUGCCUCUAAUCCCAAUUCCACUGGCAUCACAUUCUAUUUUAAAUGUCUUACCGAAGUCUGGGAGUGCAAGAACUUGGGCUGUUGUUAACUUCGUCUUUAAUUCUUCAAAUGCCUUCUGUUGUGAUUCUCCCCAUUUGAAAGGUACUUCUUUUUUGGUCAAUUCAUUGAUGGGAGCAGCAACAGUACUGAAGUCUUUUUCAAACCGCUGGUAGAACCCAGCGAGCCCAAGGAAACUUCUCACUUGGCUCACAUUCUGUGGAGGCAUCCAGUCGCGUACAACUUUGAUAUUUUCUUCAUCUACCUCCACACCUUGUCCUGAUACAACAAAUCCAAGAAACACUACCUUGUCGGUGCAAAAGGUGCACUUCUCAAGGUUAGCAUACAAGUUUUGUUCUCGAAGGACAACAAGUACAUAUCAGAUAUGUUCAACAUGUUCAUCAAGGCAUUUACUAUAAAUUAGUAUGUCAUCAAAAUAGACAACAACAAAUUUGCCAAUGAAAGUUCUAAGAACAUGAUUCAUUAUCUCAUAAAUGUACUUGGUGCAUGUUAACUCGAAGGGCAUCACCAACCAUUCAUACAACUCAAAUUUUGUUUUAAAGGUUGUUUUCCAUUCAUCUCCCUCUUUCAUACGAAUAUGAUGAUAGCCACUUCUUAAGUCAAUUUUAGUGAAAAUUAAAGCUGUUGGGUCUAUGCUUCGUCGCCGAAGGUCUUCAAGGGAGAAGCGGCUUUAUAAUGAGUGAGCAGGUAUCUUCGGACUUGUAUCAGAAAGGGAGAAGCUCAAAAGAUACAAAGGUUGACACAGCGCCGAAGCUGUGAAGCAGGAAAGCUUCGGCAUGUUCGCAGAAAAGGGAACCGACUUAAAGAUGAAAAGGCCAUUUAGACCUCGAUAGAGUGCUAUAGAAUUAUCACCAAAUGUAAAGGGCAUGUAUGUAAUUUUGUAUGGGUUGUACCCCGUGCCUAUAAAUAGGUGAACAGUACCCCCGUACUGUUCACGCUGACUUGGCAUUUGCUUUUGCGUCACACUUGUAUUUUCAUCUCCUUCCAAGCCGAAGGUACAUUUAUAAUUCAAUAUUGUUUCUAUUUUUCUAUGAUGAUAUAAUAAAGUGAAAUAAAUGAUGUUAUAUGAUUAUUUGUGUUAUCCUUUAACUUUCAUAUACUUCGUCUUUCAUUAAUGUAUACUGUAAUGAUGAAGGUUUGUCCUUCAUAACCUUCGUCCGGAGAUCGUUAUAUCCUAAGGGAAAUAAUGCCUCAAAGGACGAAGGACUUUAUCGUUUAACAUUUUCUAUGUUGCCUUGUUCUUAACUCAUAGCACUUGAGAACAAGUCCCCAACAUUGGCGCCCACCUCCGGUGAACUCACUUCCACUUUUUUGAGCUGAUGGCUUCGUUCAACGAUCAAGCUGGAGCUGCUUCGGACCCGAAGCUGGUGCUCCCGAUCACAGGUGGCUCGUCCUCAGAGCCAGCUAACAAGAAACAGAAGAAGGAAGCACAGAGAAGGGUACAGCAUGUUGGGGUGCAAGGACCCUUCAUCAAGACAAGAUGGUCUCACAUUCCUAUUACCUUCUCCCAAGAGGACCUUCAGCUCAAAGAUUACCCACACAACGAUGCCAUGGUUAUCUCUUGUGUUAUCAAAGGAUUUCUGGUCCACAAUGUCUUGGUUGACACAGGCAGUGCAGCUGACAUCAUAUUUGCUAAAGCCUUCAGACAAAUGCAAGAGCCAGAAGAUAAGAUUCAUGAUGCUACACAUCCUCUCUGUGGCUUCGGAGGAAGACAGAUUGUAGCACUGGGCAAGAUCACCAUGUUAGUGACCUUCGGAUUCAUCAACAACACUAGAACUGAGCAAGUUGUGUUUGACAUUGUUGACAUGGAAUAUCCUUACAAUGCAAUUAUUGGUCGUGGUACUCUUAAUGCCUUCGAAGCAAUCCUUCAUCCUGCUUAUCUUUGCAUGAAGAUACCUUCGGAUCAGGGACCCGUUGCUAUCCAUGGAAGUCAGGAAGCCGCAAGAAGGGCCGAAGGUAACUGGACUGACUCAAAAGCAAUCCAUAAUAUAGAUGGAGCCGAAGCUUGUGCACAGUACAAAUUCAGAAGGGAGAAAGCAGCUUCAGCAGAUCAGCCGAAGCCUAUGCUCUUAUGUGAGGACAUAGCAGAGCAGAAGGUGCUGUUAGGCUCUCAACUAUCCGAAGAGCAGGAAAAAACCUUGAUAAGAUUUUUGUUCAAUAACAAAGAUGUUUUUGCAUGGUCAGCCAAUGAUCUAUGCGGAGUUAAUAGGGAUGUUAUUGAGCACUCGCUCAAUGUCGAUCCAUCCUUCAGACCCAGAAAGCAAAGGCUUCGGAAAAUGUCAGAUGAUAAGGCCGAAGGUGCUCGCAACGAAGUCAAAAGACUCCUCAGUGCAGGAGUUAUUAGAGAAGUGAAGUACCCAGAAUGGCUGGCUAACACUGUUAUGGUAAAAAAGGCCAAUGGUAAGUGGCGAAUGUGCAUCGAUUUUACAGAUCUUAACAAGGCUUGUCCGAAGGAUGAAUUCCCACUACCAAGGAUAGACUCUUUAGUUGAUGCAGCAGCUUCGUCAGAGCUCAUGAGUCUGUUAGACUGCUAUUCAGGCUAUCACCAAAUUUGGAUGAAGAAGGAAGAUGAGCCGAAGACUAGCUUCAUUACUCCAAGUGGCACAUGUUGCUAUCUUCGGAUGCCUGAGGGGCUCAAAAACGCUGGAGGAAGUUUCAGCCGAAUGACUGUGAAGGUUCUUCAAUCUCAAAUAGGCAGAAAUGUGUUAACUUAUGUUGAUGACAUCAUUGUCAAAAGCACGAAGCAGGAGAAUCAUAUUGCUGAUCUGCAGGAGACCUUCGCCAGUUUCAGGCAAGCUGGCUUGAAGUUAAAUCCAGAAAAAUGUGUCUUCGGAGUGAAGAAGGGGAAAUUUCUUGGAUGCUUGGUUUCAACAAAGGGAAUUGAAGCCAAUCCAAGUAAAAUUGAAGCUAUACUUCGGAUGGAGCCACCAACUACAAAGAAGGGGGCUCAAAGAUUGACAGGAAGGUUGGCAUCUCUCAAUAGAUUCAUAUCCAGAUCAGCAGAGAGAAAUUUACCAUUCUUCGAAGUGCUGAAGUCGGCCGAAGUCUUUCAAUGGGGACCAAUCCAACAGAAGGCUUUCGAAGAACUGAAACAAUAUUUGAUAGAUCUAACAACAUUGACUCCACCAAUGCAAGGGGCUCCUUUAUUGUUAUAUGUGGCAGCUUCGCACUCAGCGGUAAGUGCAGCGCUUGUUCAGGAGAAGCUUGAUGGUCAAGUCAAAAGGCAGGCCCCAAUAUAUUUUGUUUCCGAGGUCCUUAGUUUAUCAAAGAAAAAUUAUACAGAGUUGGAGAAGAUACUGUAUGCUGUCUUGAUGGCCUCCAGGAAGCUUCGGCACUAUUUCCAAGCUUACAACAUAAUUGUUCCUUCGUCACAACCUCUGAAGGAUAUUAUGAGGAACAGAGAAGCUACUGGAAGGAUUGGAAAAUGGGCUGCAGAGCUCAAUGAAUUUUGUAUUGAAUAUGUUCAUAGAUCUUCGAUUCAGUCGCAGGCACUGGCAGACUUUAUUGCUGAUUGGACACCAGGGGCUCAGGAGGAGGAAACAAAUAAAGAUAACGAAGCCUGGAUAGUGUUUUGUGAUGGAUCUUGGGGAACCUUCGGAGCAGGAGCGGCUGCUGUGUUGGUUUCACCUUCCAAAGUCAAAACCUGUUAUGCGACAAAACUUGAUUUUAAUUGCACAAAUAACAUUGCUGAGUACGAAGCAUUGAUUUUAGGUCUUCGGAAAUUAAAAGCAAUGGGAAUCAGAAGGGCCAUACUUAAAACUGAUUCCCAGGUUGUUUCGGGUCAUAUUGACAAAAGUUGUAAGGCUAAGGAUCCGAAGCUUGAAAAAUAUCUGGAUAUGGUUCGAAGAGUCGAAGCCUCCUUCGAAGGGUUUUCUGUCAAGAAUAUCCCUCGAGGACAAAAUGAGCAUGCUGAUCUGCUAGCUAAGUCAGCAGCACAGGGGCUGCCUCUACCUUCGGAUGUAUUCUUUGAAACAAUAAAAGCACCUUCGGUGGAACUCCUUGAAAGAGCAGUUCUUAAUAUAUCUCCUGUUUUUAGUGAAGAUUGGAGAACUGAGAUCAUCUCUUACCUUCAGGGUAAAUUUCUUUCAGAUGACGAAGCUUAUAACAAGAGAAUAGAGGCAAGAGCUCGUCCAUAUGUCAUGAUAGAGGGGGAGUUGUACAAACAUGGAGUUUGUGCUCCGUUGCUCAAAUGCUUAUCCAGAACCGAAGGUAUAGAGUUAAUGAAAGAAAUACAUGCAGGCCUGUGUGGAUCUCACAUCGGAUCUAGGCCGUUACUUGGAAAAAUUUUCCGUCAAGGAUUUUAUUGGCCGAAGGCAGCUUCGGAUGCAGCAGAAUUGGUUCAAAAGUGCGAAGGUUGUCAGAAAUGUGCAAGAGAUCAAAAACGACCUUCGUCCUUGACACAGCUCAUACAACCCACUUGGCCAUUGCAAAGGUGGGGCCUUGACUUGUUAGGUCCGUUACCACCGGCCCAAGGGAACUUGAGAUAUGUUGUGGUAGCUGUGGAAUAUUUUUCUAAAUGGAUUGAGGCGAAGCCUUUAGCCACAAUAACUUCGGCUACCGUCCAAAAGUUUUUCUGGCAGAAUAUUGUUUGUCGUUUCGGGGUGCCAAAGGUUAUCACUGUGGACAAUGGAACACAGUUUGACUCCGAAGCUUUCAGGGAUUUCUGUGACCAAAUUGGUACGAAGAUCCAUUUUGCAUCAGUCAGGCACCCGGAGUCAAAUGGACUCGUUGAAAGAGCCAACGGCAUUAUAAUGACAGGAAUAAUGAAGCUAAUCUUCAAUCAGCCUAGAGGAAAAUGGCCAGAUCAGCUAACCAAAGUGGUGUGGAGCCACAACACGACAACAUCAAGGUCCACAGGCUUCACUCCAUUUAAGUUAUUAUUCGGUGACGAAGCAAUAACUCCAGAGGAAGCUAAAGCCGGAUCAAUAAGGAUAGUAGCUUCGGCAGAAUCAGAUUCCGAAGCUGCUUAUUCUAUAGAAAAAGAUGCUUUAGAAGGGAUCAGACUGCAAGCCGUGGAGAAUAUUAAUAAAUAUCAAGCUGAAACAGUCAAAUGGCGGGAUAGAAAGGUUCGGCUAAAAAAUAUUGAGCCAGGGCACUUGGUACUUCGGAGGGUGGCCAACCCGGAAACAGUGGGCAAAUUGCAGUUGAAAUGGGACGGGCCUUUCUUAGUAGCAUCUUCGUCAAGGCCCGGGUCAUACAGAUUGAAAGAUAUGGACGGCAAUGACAUUCCUAGGUCCUGGAAUGCGGAUGAGCUUCGGCGAUAUUAUGUAUAAUUCGAUGUAAUUUUUCACAUUUUUAUUUUUUCUUUCAUGGCACCCUUUUCCUUUCCAAAGGGGGAGAAAGGUUUUUAAUGGGGCCAGCAUAUGUAAUUUCCUUUUUUAGUCUUAUAAGAGCAAAAUCCCCCAAAGAAUGUAAAUGUAAAAGCUGAGAGUGCACCAUCGAGUGCCGAAAAGUAAAAACGACGAAGCUCCAAAGACGUUCCUAAGGGAAUGCAGAGCUUAUACCGCCUAAGUAAAAGGCGAAGAAGCUCCAAAGACGUUCCUAAGGGAAUGCAGAGCUUAUACCGCCUAAGUAAAAGGCGAAGAAGCUCCAAAGUCGUUCCUAAGGGAAUGCAGAGCUUACAGCGAAAAGUCAACGCUGAUUCCGCCAAAAGUAAAGGCGAAGAAGCUCCAAAGUCGUUCCUAAGGGAAUGCAGAGCUAAGGUGUGAUUGUUUUUAAGAGAAUAAUGGCUAUAAAUAUAGCUUCGGAUACGUGUUUGGCCAUUCAUUUGCACAACACAUUACAUCAUAGCAUUUGCAUUCAUAAACAUUCAUCUAGGCAUAUGUAGGAUAAUCAUCUUCAUCGCAUAAAAUGAUUGCUUCGGCAAGAAGAGAAAAAAGAAAGGGAAAAGAGCUUCGUGCACAAAAAAGAGGGGAAACUGUUGUUUUUAUGAAGGAGAGCUUCGGGAAAAAGGAAAAUGUUGUUUUCUAUGCUUCGUUGCGUACGAAAAGAAGGGAAGGUGUUUUUUUUUGCCUUCGGCUCAAAAAAAAGAAAUUUCGUCCACAUCAAAGCAUUUCUCAUAAAUCAGUGAAAGGUUAAGGAUAUAUUACAAGGUAUGAACAGUAUACAUGGAAGUUUUGUUUACAUUUACAAGAGUUAUCUCAAAAGUUUUUCAAGUACUGUCUGCAGUCUACUAUCUAAAUCUCCAAGGAGCUUCGGCUUCGGUAUUAUUUUGGAUCAUCAGCUUCGGCUUCGUCAUCCUACAUGAAUAAGGUCAUUGGAAGUCAGAAUCAAGUUUAUAGAAAAAGGUAAGCACAAGGUAUGAUUUCUUACUGGAUCAAGGUGGCUACGAGCUUCGUCUCCAGCUUUUUCUCGACCACCUUUUGUCCAUAUCAUUUUUACAAAUCGAUUCGAGAUGCUUCGGGCGAGAUCAGGGAUGUCAUCCAGGAUUGAUGGUGACAAAGUAAAAUUUGGCCUAUUGACAAUUUUCCCAUGAUCACAGCCAGCCUUCAUGAAGGCUGCAGCGGUCCCUCGAGAAGCCACCCAGGCACAGAAGUCACCAUGCCCAGCUAUGACUUCGUCGAGCUCGUCAAUCUCCCCCUCAAUGUGUUCGAAGGUUUUUGGUAGAUCUUCAGCUGAGGGGGUAAAUUUUUCGCUGCUAGCUCCAACCGAGUAAAAAAUCUUUCUUAAUCGUUGAAUGCACUUGUUGCUAAAUUCCAGGCAUUUUUCUUGAAGAUUUGUCAGUAGUUUUCUCAAAUCCGAAUUCUGCUGAGCUUCGGCUUCAAGUUUUUCAUUGAGAUCUUGUUUUUCUCGUUCGAACUGCUCAGACUGGCGGAGAAGCUUCGAGUUUAGUUCUGAUAUUUUUGCUUCAGCUUCCGCCAGUAAGCCUUCGGCUGCCUGGAGCUCAAAGUUCUUUUUCUCAAAAGCAUCUGAUUGCUCUUUUAUUUUGUUUUCCAAAUUUCCGAUUAUAAUUUCAUGCUUUUUAUCUUCAAGAUCUUGCUGCAUUUGCAAGGCUUUGCUCAAUAGCAUGCUCUACAUAAACACAACCUUCGUCAGACAUGUUUUAUUAGAAACAAUAAAAGUUAAGGGACAAGUCAUUUACCUUGAAGUUGGAGUAAAACAAACUACCAACGACAUGUUGUCGUCGAUAGCGGCUGAUAUCUGCUUCUAGCUUCGGGAAUCCAAUACUUUUGGACAGAGUACUAAUAACUUUGGCCCCUGUUUGGUCCCGGAUACACUCUAAUUUCUCGUCAUCAACGCCUCCGAAGAGGAGUGCCCCAGGUUUAUAUCCACAGGAUUGGGCAUACUCUUUAAGCUCUUCUAUUUCAGCUUUUGUUAGAUGUUCUCCAACUAAGUUUUGGAAUGCGAAAGCUUCGUCUUCUGAAGCUUCAUCAGCAAUUUCUUUUCCUUUCUUUGACGCUGCGGUCACAGUCUCUUCGGCAGCAGCGGCAGCUUCUUCUGCAGCCAUGUCUAGCAGCAUUUGGUCAAUAUGUUCAAUUGUGCUCUCUAAAUUCAAAUCUUCAGCUGAGGUAACUUCGGCGACUGCGGCCUCCGAAGGUGCAAUUUCAAUAUCUGCUUCCUCUAAAGCUGCUCGUGUCUUUUGGGCCGAAGCUCUUGGCGGCGUUUUGUCAAUUACCUCUGUCACGGUAAUGAUUCUUUGUUUCCUUGCCUUGAUUGUUUUCUUCGAUUUCUCGGGCUCCUUGUCCUUCUGAAAAAACUUUGUCAGUUGUGGACCCAGUGGACUUAGCUUCGCAGGUAAGGAUUCAGUCAUUACCUUCAGAAUUUCCUCAACAACGGCAGCAGAAGGCGAUGCGGGGGUUUCUUCUGCUUCGGAUAUUUGUUGCUUCGGAGAAGAAGUUUUCCUUUUCUUUGGAAUUUUCUUCUUUAUUGGCUCUUUUUCACCUUCAUCUAAGGCUUCAGUCCCCCUUUUCCUUUUUUGGCCUCCGGCACCUUUGUUCAGAUCUUCGUAGUCUGGGUACUCGAAACCCAAGGCGUCCAAUACUCGAUUUAGCCUUCGUUUCGGUCGAGUGCCGAAGGCUGCGGUCAUCAAUUGAUCUUCUUUUUUCGAAUAAUUGCCAAGUAUCUCGUUGCACAUCACUUCGAUCAUAUCCAGCCACUCUUGGCAAGGAGCUUUAAAGUAUUUCUUAAAUUUGAAGCAGUAAGGCAAACGUACAAGUUCACCUUUUUUCUUUUCCCCCUCCAGUUUCGGCAUUUCCCACUCUUUUACACUAGGGAAAACCUUGAAAGCCAAGAAUUCCUGGACUAGGUCCCUUGUACUGAUAUUCUCUGCAAUUAUUUUGAAUUCAUACAUUGCUUUUUGGGUCGGACCCUCUGGUAACAUGUGGCACUGGGGGCGGGUUUCUCCGAAGGUCAAUUCAAGUGGACUCUGUACAAGCUUUUCCUUAUCGUCAUCAACCUUGACAUAGAACCAUUCCGAUUUCCAUCCUGCUGCCCAUUUGCUUCGGUAGCUGAUCACAGGAUACUUCGUAGUUUUCCGAUAAGCAAAAUUAUAGCAACCAAAAUUCUCAUGUAAUCCAUCUUUUCUAGCCUUUGUCUGAUAGUGCAAUUCGUGAACCCGGCAAAAGCUGUCCGCAAACGGUUCCACCGCCUGGCUUCAAAGUGCCCAGAUAUAAACAUUAAGCCUAACGAUAGCGUUGGGGGUCAGCUGGUGAAAAUAGAUUCCAAAAUUCUUUAAUAUCUCUGCAAUAAUCCCAUGAAGGGGAAUCUUAAUCCAGCCUUUAGGAAACUCUUAAAAAUAACAAUUUCAUCUUUUUCCGGCUUUGGGGUAGUCUCUUCUCCCCCGAAGCGUAAUAGCUUCUUUUGAUUUUCAGUAAAAUAUCCUGACUUUACCAUCUUGGACAAAUCAGCCUUCGAAACAGUAGAUUUCCCGAAGUCCAAAUGACUGGGUUUGCUUGGUGUGGCAAGGUGAUAAUCAUCUUCGGAGUCAGUUUCCUCAGCAUCUUCUCCUUCUGCUUCAGCGAUUGCUUGUUCUGCAUCAUCAAUAGGAGCCUUCUCCGAAGUCACUAGCCCGGAUCAUCGCAUGGCUUCGGAGAUAGGGACAGUCUCCGAAGCAUCAGUUUCGUCCCCCUCACGUUCAACCCUAGCGGUAGAACGGACUCUGGCCAUUUAACUAUGAACUUGUGAAACUUUAAUACUUUUUUCUCCGAAGCAGGCUUCAAGAUGGAGCUUCGUUCAAUUCUGACAAACAAGCUUCGGCGAUGGUUAAGAAUUUUGGCAGCAAAACAGUGCAAAUAGCAGUAAAUGCUGUGGUAACUUCACACCUACUCGUCUGUUUAUAUAGUGCCGCAGGUAAGAAGGCGAAGCGCCAGAAGUUUUACACCAGGCGGGCACCCGCUCGCACUCGCUGAACGGUGGACCACAGAGACCGAACAGUAAUUCUGCAAGGUGGGGCCGCUACGCGCAGGGAGAGUGAAUCGUUUCUCGGCAACGAGCUCAGGGAAGGUGUUUUUUGGACCUUCGGCUCCCCGAAGCUUAAGAGACUUUUUUCACGGAUCAAGCUCGUUACGAAAAACGAUCUAGCACCGCGAAAGGGGCUACUGUUGGGUCUAUGCUUCGUCGCCGAAGGUCUUCAAGGGAGAAGCGGCUUUAUAAUGAGUGAGCAGGUAUCUUCGGACUUGUAUCAGAAAGGGAGAAGCUCAAAAGAUACAAAGGUUGACACAGCGCCGAAGCUGUGAAGCAGGAAAGCUUCGGCAUGUUCGCAGAAAAGGGAACCGACUUAAAGAUGAAAAGGCCAUUUAGACCUCGAUAGAGUGCUAUAGAAUUAUCACCAAAUGUAAAGGGCAUGUAUGUAAUUUUGUAUGGGUUGUACCCCGUGCCUAUAAAUAGGUGAACAGUACCCCCGUACUGUUCACGCUGACUUGGCAUUUGCUUUUGCGUCACACUUGUAUUUUCAUCUCCUUCCAAGCCGAAGGUACAUUUAUAAUUCAAUAUUGUUUCUAUUUUUCUAUGAUGAUAUAAUAAAGUGAAAUAAAUGAUGUUAUAUGAUUAUUUGUGUUAUCCUUUAACUUUCAUAUACUUCGUCUUUCAUUAAUGUAUACUGUAAUGAUGAAGGUUUGUCCUUCAUAACCUUCGUCCGGAGAUCGUUAUAUCCUAAGGGAAAUAAUGCCUCAAAGGACGAAUGACUUUAUCGUUUAACAUUUUCUAUGUUGCCUUGUUCUUAACUCAUAGCACUUGAGAACAAGUCCCCAACAAAAGCAACACUAAGUUCAUCAAGCAUAUCACCUAAUCUAGGAAUUGGAUGUCUAUACCUUACGGUGAUGUUAUUGAUAGCUCGACAAUCCACACACAUUCUCUAAGAUCCAUCUUUCUUAGGAACUAGAAGGACAUAGACAACACAAGGGGAAAGACUUUCUUGUACGUACGCUUUUUUAAUCAAUUCUUCCACUUGUUGCUGAAUCUCCUUUGUUUCUUCUGGGUUGGUGCUAUAGGCAGCACGAUUUGGGAGGGAAGCACCAGACACAAGGUCUAUUUGAUGUUCAAUCCCUCUCUUAGGUGGUAGCCCUAGUGGCACUUCAUCAGGAAGCACAUCCUCAUAUUCCUGUAAUGCAUCAAAGACAAUACUUGGCAAAGUAGAGGGUAAGUUGUUAGUAGAAAGAAGGUUGUCCUUGUACAGGAGCACAAAGAACAUGGCAUUAGGUUCACUCAAUUCUUUUAGAUCCCCCUUCCUAGUCAUCAUGACUAAUCCCUCUUUUCCCGGUGUCUUGGUUAUUGGAGGCUGUGGAGUUUUAUUUGGCUUUGAAAACUCUUCCUUACUAUUUUUGUGGAUCACUCUCAAGUGCUUCUCGCUCUCUCGCUGUUUCUUCUUUAGAUCAUCCUUCAUAAUUUCCUCCGGUGUCAAAGGAAGCAAAGAGAUUCGCUCUCCUUUGUACAAGAAAGACAACUUGUUGGUUCUUCCAAAAAUCUGGACAUCACGAUCAUAUAACCAAGGUCAACCUAGCAGCAAUUGACAUGCUUGCAUAGGGACCACAUCACAUUCCACAUGAUCAUUCUACUUCCCAACAGAAAAAGGAAUAUUCACCACAUGGCUAACACGCAACGCUCCACAAACAUUAAGCCGCUGCAUCUUAUAUGGACUAGGACGACACCUUGAUUUUAAUUCCAAUCUGUCCACCAAUUCUUGACUAGCAAUGUUGUUGCAGCUACCAUUAUCAACAAUGAUGCGACAUAGCUUAUCUUUGACCAUACCUUGGGUAUGGAAAACAUUAUGGCGCUGUCCAUUUUCUUCUCUUUCAGCAGUCACACUUACCACUCGAAGAGAGAUAAAACAGUUAUGAUCUACUUCUGGCUAGAUCUCAUUCUCUUCAUGUUGAAUUUCUUCAUCAAACUUCAGUCCAUCGUCUUCUGGAACACUAUCUGAUUUCCAUUCACCUUUUUAAUUCAACAACAUUGUUCUUCUACUUGGACAUCGAGCAGCAAUGUGCCCACGACCAUGACACUUAUGGCACACAAUUUCUCUUGUAUGGGUAGAAGAAGUAGCGACUAAAGCUUCAGUCGGGUCUGAUGUACUAGCAGCAGGCCGAUGCUUAUUUGCAGGGAAUGAACCUAUAGAAGCCACCAUCUUUGAUGUACUAUUGGAUGGAGAAGACCUAGCUACAUUUCCUUGGGAUGGUCCUCCACCAAAAGAAGCACUGGAUUGUUGUUUGUGCCAUUGGACAACAUUAUAAUGACUUGCAUAAGAUUUUCCACGUGACUCUUGUUGAAAUUUUCUCUCUGUACGCAUUGCUUGAUCAACUAGAUCUUGCAAGGUACGGUAUGGGAACAUCUCGACAAAUCCAGAAAUCUCUUCAUUGAUUCCGCCUAGAAAUCUUGCCAUGGUUGACUCAGGAUCUUCUCUAAUUCGAGUUCGUACUAACAACAACUACAUCUCCUUAAAAUAUUCAUCAACAGAUUUCUUUCCUUGCUUCAAUAAUUGCAAUCGAUUUCGAAGAUCGCGUUGAUAGUUGGAAGGAACAAAUCGCCUCUUCAUCACUCGCUUCAUCUCUUCCCAUGUAUUAAUAUGUCUUAGUCCCAAUCUAAGUUGAUGUUCUUGCAGUUGAUUCCACCAAGUAAGAGCAUAACCAAAAAACUCAACUGGGGACAUGUUCACUCGUUGUUGAUCUAAAAAAUUGUGAAUUCUGAAAAUUUGAUCACACUGCUCAGCCCAAUUAAGAUAUUCAUCUGCACUUUCUUUCCCAGUAAAUUUAGGAAUAUCCAACUUGACUCGGGCAAUAUGGUCUCGGUCAUUUCUAUGACGACGUCCAUGAUAAUGGUCUCUAUUUUCAAAAUUAGCAUGUCGGUGAUGAUGACGCCGACCAAACAUUCCAUCAUUUGCAAAAGGAUUUUCAUCAGAUCCUUCCUCACGAUCAUGGUCUUCAGACUCCUUGUCUUCAAAUCUUACUCGACGUUCGUGUGCAUGACGCCUUCCACACAAAUUAUCGAAAUUAGCGCGGCGACCAUCACCAACCUCUACGGCCAUCGCCGAAGGGAUCGAAUUCAUGGUCAAAACCAGAAUUCUCAUCUCCGGAUUCUUCACGGUUAAAUUCUUCUGGAUCAUGAUGAUGUAGCCUUUGACCUCCUGUCGCAGUCAGACGUUCUUUUGACAUCCUUUCCAUGGCUCCCACGAGUGAGUCGGCCAUCUGAUGCAAUUCAGCCCGAGAGACAGGGGGCUCUCCAUCUCCAUGGUUUCCACCAUGAACACUUGAAUUGGAUCCUACCAUGUUAGAGGGAAGCAAGAGAAAGUAGAAUAUGAAAGUAUUUGUGGAACACUCGAUCUCACCUCUUACUUACUGUUGGGGACUUGUUCUCAAAUGCUAUGAAUUAAGAACAAGGCAACAUAAAAUGUUAAAUAUUAAUGCCCUUCGUCCACUGAAGCAUUAUCUCCCCAAGGAUUUAAUGAACUUCGGACGAAGGCCAUGAGCAAGAUAUCACGAAGAUCAUACCUUCGUGAUUAGAGUUAUAAAACAAUGUAGGAUGAAAUAUAAAAAUAUGAAACAUAAGGGAAUGAUAUAUCAAAAACACAUAAGAUUAUUCACACAUUUUAUUAUACAAACCUAAAUAUUAAAACAUAAUAUUUAGGUACAUUUAUACCUUCGCCUUGGCAGAAAGCAAUAAUUCCAGCGUAAUGUGCCAGCGAUUACAAGAUUGCGUGAACAGUGCAGGGGUACUGUUCACCUAUUUAUAGGCACAAGACGCAGCCUGUGUAUAAUUACAUUUAUACCCUUUACAAUCAACUACAAUAAUGACACAGAAUAUCAUGGGUCUUUAGGUCAUUUCAUCUUUAAGUCGGUUCACCCCUUCGUCUUGAGACAUGUCACUGUGCCGAAGCUUUAUAGGCAAUAGCUUCGGCACUGCUUUUGAGAGGAUCUGCCGAAGGUGUUUCUUUCUUUAGGAUCUUCGGCUAUGAAGCAUACCCCCAACAGUAGCCCUUCGCGGUGCUAGAUCUUUUUUCGUAACGAGCUUGAUCCGUGAAAAAAUCUUUUAGGCUUCGGGAUGCCGAAGAUCCGAAAAACACCUUCCCUGAGCUCGUUGGCGAGAAAUGAUUAAAAUAAUCCAUGCGCGAGGUGGCCCCAUCUUGCAGCAGUUACGCGCACCCUGGUGAUUCACCUUCUCGGACUCUGUGGCCCACCGUUCGGUGAGUGCGGGUGGUUGUUUGUCCGGUGCGGAAGACCUUGACGAUUCACCUUUCCACCUGUGGCACUAUAUAAACAGACGAGUAGGUGUGAAGUUACCACAACAUUCAUUGCUAUUGCGCUGUUUUGCUGCCAAAAUAUUGACUAAAGCCGAAGCUUGCUUACUGCAUCCUCAUCUGAAGCUAUUUGUUUUACUCAAGCUUCGUAACAAGAAAGAGCUUCAACAAAGUUAAAAAUUUCAACUUCAUUCAAAAAACAAGAAAUUCAAUCAUCAGAUGGCCAAAGUACGUUCAACAGCUAGAGUUACUCGCGACGGAGAGGAAGCCGAAGGUGCCAAAAUUGCUCCAAUCUCUAAAGUAAUGAAGCGUUCAGGGCUGGUAGUAUCGGAGGAUGCACCUGCCGCUGAAGCUGAGCAGGCUGAUGCUGAGGAAGUUGAGUCAGAAGAUGAUUACAGCGCAGUGCCAACUAAACCCAGCCACCUGGAGUUUGGGAAAUCCACCAUUUUCGAAGGUGACAUGCCGAAGCUGAUGAAUUUGGGCUAUUUCAGUGAAGCGAAGAAGGAGCUGGUUCAUUUCGGCGGGGAGGAGAUUACUCCGAAGCCAGGAAAGGAUGAAGUAGUGGUCUUCAAAAGCUUCUUUAAAGUUGGUUUAAGAUUUCCUUUAAACAAGAUGAUUGCUGAUGUUUUGAAGAAGUUUGGGAUCUAUCUUCAUCAACUAACUCCUAACACUAUCGUUAGGCUUAGCGUUUAUAUCUGGGCUCUCCGAAGCCAAGGGGUGGAACCAUUUGCCGAAGGCUUCUGCCGACUGCACGAGCUUCAUUAUCAGACCAAGGCUAGAGGAGAUGGGCUGCAUGAAAACUUUGGCUGCUACAAUUUUGCCUAUCGCAAGAGUACAAAAUUUCCAGUGAUCAGCUAUCGUAGCAAGUGGCGAGCUAGCUGGAAGUCUGAGUGGUUUUACGUCAAAGUUGACAAAGAAAAGGAGAAGUUGGUCCAGAAUCUGCUAGAAUUAAUCUUCGGAGAGACCAGACCCCAGUGCAACAUGACACCAGGGAGUCCAAGCCAAAUUGCUCUGGCUGAACUUAGAGUUAUUGUGGAGCAUAUCGGCACUAGGGACUUAGUGCAAGAAUUCUUGGCUUUCAGAGUGUUCCCAACUUUGAAAGAGUGGGACAUGCCGAAGCUUAAGGGAGAAAAGAAGAAGGGGGAACUUAUUCAGUUGCCUUAUCAUUAUAAAUUCAAGAAACAUUUCAAAGUGCCUUGCCAAGAGUGGCUGGACACGAUUGAAGUAAUGUGCAAUGAAAUUCUCGGCAAUUACUCUAAAAAAGAAGAUCAACUAAUGACUGCAUCCUUCGGCACCCACGGUGGGCGCCAAUGUUGGGGACUUGUUCUCAAAUGCUAUGAAUUAAGAACAAGGCAACAUAAAAUGUUAAAUAUUAAUGCCUUUCGUCCACUGAAGCAUUAUCUCCCCAAGGAUUUAAUGAACUUCGGACGAAGGCCAUGAGCAAGAUAUCACGAAGAUCAUACCUUCGUGAUUAGAGUUAUAAAACAAUGUAGGAUGAAAUAUAAAAAAUAUGAAACAUAAGGGAAUGAUAUAUCAAAAACACAUAAGAUUAUUCACAUAUUUUAUUAUACAAACCUAAAUAUUAAAACAUAAUAUUUAGGUACAUUUAUACCUUCGCCUUGGCAGAAAGCAAUAAUUCCAGUGUAAUGUGCCAGCGAUUACAAGAUUGCGUGAACAGUACAGGGGUACUGUUCACCUAUUUAUAGGCACAGGGCGCAGCCUGUGUAUAAUUACAUUUAUACCCUUUACAAUGAACUACAAUAAUGACACAGAAUAUCAUGGGUCUUUAGGUCAUUUCAUCUUCAAGUCGGUUCACCCCUUCGUCUUGAGACAUGUCACUGUGCCGAAGCUUUAUAGGCGAUAGCUUCGGCACUGCUUUUGAGAGGAUCUACCGAAGGUGUUUCUUUCUUUAGGAUCUUCGGCUACGAAGCAUACCCUCAACACUUACCCAAGCUCUUUCCUAAUCUCUAGGGCCGUGAUGGUGCCGGUGUGGCAGCUUCGACAGAGGUGGUAGAGCAGUCGAAAGGAUAACAAGUCAAACGUCCUGGUUCAGGUUUUUUAGUGGAGCUAUAGGAGGCUGAUCAAGGUGGGCUAUGGUACUAUCAACCAAGUGUGUUGAUGUGCUAAAAAGAUAUGAAAUUGUUGCUGGAAAGAUUCUCAUCAAAUCAAUGUAAACUAAAAUUUUCAGCAACACACCGCAACACAAUCCCCUUUCACAAAUUUUUUCACUUCUUCUUUUUUUGACUUCUUUCUCUUCUUCUUUUUUUCUUUCUCUCUUUUUUAUAACACUAAUGGAGUGUCGAGAUCAAAUGCAAUGACACAAUAUGAAUACGACGGUGGUAACUAGCAACUUGAGGAACUUUAAACAACACAAGGUAACAAUACCGCCAAAGGGUUAUAGGUUUUUUGUGUGGCUUUGGACUAUAGGACAAAACAAAAUAUAAGAUGGAUGAAGACUGUGAUAAAUAAGUGGAUGACAGUAAGACCUACCAUGACAACGAAAGCUCUGAUACUAGAUGAUAUGUACCGAGUUAUAUUCGGUACUAGGGUGCCCCAAUCUUCACGACAAUAGGUUGAUAAAUAAGAUGGUUGGGUAUAAAAGUAAUGGAAUAACAAGGUAAAUUUGUUGUAGAACAUCGGGUAACUGACUUUAUACCUGAUCAAGGUCGGAGGUGACCAAGCGACGGGGAGAGAGACACCGAAACCGUGGAGACUUUGACUCGAUCUCUGAACGACCAUAGAAUCACAACCGGAGCUAAUCCACACAAUGCGAGGCAGCCGUACUGGAACUCACAAGGCAUGAACUAGUGGAUCCCAGAGGAGUCUCUUCACAAGUCUAGGAGAACAAGGAAGAACAGGGGUAGAGUAAACACUCAGCAGCUUGGCUGCGGUAAUCACUUGGAUUAUCAAAUCAUCAAAGGUUAUCAAAAGUUGUUUUACAUCAUAGACAUAGGGGGGUAUUUAUACUAGCUACAACCAGCCUUAGAUAGGUAUAAACACGAAAAGAAAGUAUUUUAACGUGCUAAUGUGAAGUGGCCUCUUCGGGAGAUCUCCAGAGCUGAAUUCUGCGUGGCUGUUUGACUUCUACGUAGCCUUCAAUAUUUUGAUAAUAACUUCUCCUAGGAAUCUCUAAAUGGCGUGGGGCUAGAUGCGCUUGAAAGCUAACUUCAUAAGCUUUCUCACCAUAUAUAACAUGCUUAGUGAAACUUCGUAGAAUGAUACAGUUUAAUACUAAAACUUGGUCAUCAAGCAGACUGUUGACUGUCACACCCGGGUUUUAGGGGGCACCAAAACCCGGACGCGAGAUAAUCACCAAGUGUGCUGGGACCAAGUCUCACACAUAUGAUGACUCAUGGUACAUAAACGAAUGUCACAUCUUUAGUAUAUAAUAGGAUUUCUAUACAAAAUAAAUAAAUAAUUACAUCAUAUGGAGACAACUAUCCAACAACCCAAAGUUGAAUGUGAGACGACGGCUUAGACCUCUUACGAAUUCAUCACAACAUCCUCCAUGUGCCUCCUCCUGCGGUAACUGUUCUUGACCUGUGGGGGGUGUGAGACAGCAAGGGUGAGCUCACAUACGUUCAUCGCUCAAUAAGUUGUGGGGAAUAAUGUGCAUGAACUCACCAAAGGUGGGAGCUCAUGUAAAGUGUAAGGCUUACCAAAGAAGAUGGCUAAAGCUGAGCAUUGCUUUUAAAUUUGGUCAAAUUUUAUUACAGUUACUAAGUAUAAGUAGAUACCAACCCAAAUAAGUAAUAGAUCAAAAUUGAUAACAACACCCACGAUGCAAUGCAUAUGACAAAUUAAGUUUAGUUCCAUAAAUUAAUCAUGUGAGUUUCGAGCCGCUCAUGACCGUAAGCACGACUGAUACACCAAUUUUACACUCUGCAGAGGUUGUGCAUAUUUACCCACAAGUUGUGUUAUCCAUCUGUCAAGGGGUUAUGAAUCCCAUACACCUCUACCAAGGAAGUGAGGUAGGGUAACAAUACGAGGCCUUUACAAAGUUCCACUAACUUCAGAAAACCCGCUACAGUUUCUAGGAAGCUCCAAUGCAGGGAUCCCUCACUUGACCAUCAUCGCAGCAAAAUCAACCCAAGGACCUCCCUACACUGACCACUCCCCUACUGCCCUUGCCCCUUUCGGGUAAGAUAGUCCUCCACUAGCUUUCCUAAUUAGUCAGCCAAGGGCGUCCCAUACCACCCUUGUGGUAGCACUGUUUUCCCGGGUGGUUCUCCAUGUUCCAAUUAACAAUAUGAUCUUAUCAUGAACAAUAAUUAAACAACAACAUAAUUGGAACAUGAUUAUAAUGAAACAUUAGUUUCCCAAAACCAAAUAGAGCAAUAGCAAAGAUACCCAAUAAUUCAUCUGUCUACAAGGUGAGGAAUAAACAAUGCUAGGGAAACCUAUUAGGUCCCAUCAAAUUAACCCGAUGCCUGUCACAGUGAUUAGCAAUGAACAUUAUUAGGUAAAAAGGAGUGAUCGAGGGCACAACUUGCCUGGGACUCGAGAUUCCAGGUACCAGGAUGAUCUUCAGAUGACUCGCAACCUCGCGCUAGUCGUAGCAAUACAAACAAACAUAGCAUAGGCAAAAUUAACAUCACACCAAACAUAAUCACAAAUUAAAUAAUAAUGAUCUACACGUCGUAACGAGAUCGUAGGUUCGAGAAUUACUAAAAUCGGAGCUACGGUUUUAAAGAUACGAUUUUCUAAAGAUUUAGGAGUCGGGUACAAAAGAAAUUAAGUACAUGAUUGUAAUUUAUGUUUCAUAACAAAAUAAAGUUACCAGGGGAUAAACAAUAUUAUUAUGGAACUAAUGCAACUGGAAUAAAUCAAAAAGGAGUUAAAAUGCGCAAGUUAUGAAUUUUCUAAGUUUAUUCUAUAUUAUAAAUCAUUUUCUAGAUUUGUAUUUGCUUAAAACAAAAACUAUGGCUGCAGUUACUAAAUCUGAAGUGUACAGGGGCUAUCCCAUAAAUGUCCAGGGCACAAAUAGAAUUAUUUAGCACUGGUAGGGGAUGGCAGGUUAGUUUCAAGAUUUUCCGAGGACUCUUUAGCAAAAGACCCACGACGAAGGGGUAAGAUCACACCUGAGCCGCACGAUCUGAAGUCUAUGGCCCAGAUUAGAUCGCCUACAACUGAAUGGGUAUAGAGCUGUAGCCCUUGGAUCCACGAUCAACGCUCUGGAUUUUAAAGACUUGAAUGGGUUCUCACGCGUCAGAUUUAGAUCGGACGGUGCGCAGCUAUCCAUGAAGGGGUAUCAAGCUUUUCUGACCGCGUGAUCACAAAUUGAUGGUCCAGAUUUAAAGGCACAUACGAUUAUGCAUCUUCUAAUAUGAAUCAUUGAUCAAGCAGUCAACGACUCAGAUCCCAAUCCCUGAAGUUGUACCCGAAGUUCUAAUCCUAGCCCUCCAAAAUGGAUCGCAUGACUCAAUUACCAUCUUCUUCCCUCAAACUACACACACAGCGGCGCACGCCGGUGAACCACCCCAUCACGGCGCAUGGGUACACGAUUCCCAAAUCAAUCUGGUGCUACACGAUGUAGGCCCAUGGGCGAAUCGGUAUAGGGAGUUCUUAUCGUGUCUCGACGCAACAGAGGACGUGACCACGACGCACAGGGGUGUGGUGGCAGCACAAGAGCUCCUAUGAGCAAUCACCACACCAACGCAGCCACCGAGUACCAAAUACCCCACGUGUGUGAUCUUUACCUUCAAGCGAACCUCCCCACCCAAUUGAUCGACACCGAGUUGCAGUGGCGGUGAGAGUAUGCUGCGGCAGCGCUCAUGUUUUCUUCCCCUGUCAAUGGUGUUCGGCGCGGUGACCCAAGCUUUAUAGACACGCAGAGUCUGUGCCAAGACCAGCUACCCACCUAGCGCCAGUUGUGUGGGUGUUGCGCCAAACCCCGAAGAUCGUGGACGGCGGGCGAGAAGGAUCUCGCGGUCUUUUUUGGGAUGCGGCAGUCGUGGCUCUUGAUAGAGGGAAGAAAGACCUGGCGGACGGGGCCCACGCGACAGAUAGAUAGAUCAGGUGCGUGCAUAUGGGUGGCCUACAAGCGGGCCCCGCAGGUAAGUGUGAGGUCCAGAACGGAAGCGCGCGUGUGAGUAGAGUGGGUUGGUGGAAUGGUGAGCCGGAUGGGCCGAGGGGAGAGGAAAUGGGCCCAUGCGUGGUUCUCUGUUUUUCUUUUUCUUUUUAUUCUGUUUUGAAUUUCUUUCUCAAUUUCAAAUUUCAAUACUUAACUUCGAGUUUAAAUUUCCUGCCUUGAAUUUUUAGACUUCCAAUUAUCUAAUACCAUUCUAAUUGUGAAUAUAAACUUGUACAAAAUUUUAAUAUUAUUAUUAUUAAUUCUCCCUCUAUUUUACAAUUCUAAUAGCAACAAAUUACUAUUACUAUUUCUUCUCUCAUCUUCUAUUUUAUAUUUUCAUUGAUAAUUUGAGGUCAAUUUUAUGUUUAAAAUAAAAUGCAUCACAACAAUAUCAUCAACAAGAGAUGUACCUUUCUUUGUUUACUUAUUGGUUACUUAACUAAUUUGGUACCAUUAAUUGUUUAGGAAAGAAGGAAAUGUCCUAAUGAAUUCCAAAGGUUUCAGAAACUCUAGAAACACUAUUAUAGAUAUUUUAUUUCUUUAUUUUAUUAUUUUAUUAUAUUUUUUUCUUCUACCAAUUUUAGGCUUUACAAAUCCUACCCCCUUAACAGAAAUCUCGUCCUCGAGAUUAGUAAGAAAAAGGAUGUAUAACCAUAUUGUCUCAGAACAUAUGCACAAACAAGAAUCUCAGCAUGAUGCAUAGCUUAUUAGCAACACAUAGGGUCAAAUAGACCUUAUUAUUAUUAUUCCUAAAAUAGUAAAAUACUAGCUACUAACUAAAGUAAUAUUUAGGUCUUACAAAUAGUACUCUAAAAGUAUGUAGAUAUAUAUAUUUAUAUAUAUAUAUUUAUUCUAAUCGUGUUGUUCAUUGCCUUCUUCAUCAAUUUCUUCACCUCAACCACCAAUUUCUGCAUGGUUGACCUGCCCCCGAUUGACGGAUAAGGGCUGACUCUUGCCUGCUGAGGCUUGACCCUGCUUCAUCGAAGUCGGAGUAGUAUAAGAAGCCCUGUUGGGACAGUAGUUGGCAUAGUGUCCAAACUGUCCACACUUGAAGCAUGACAUGUUCAGUAUAACACCAGUGUAAAGGAAAAGUGCAAUAUAGAUCAACUCAUGGCACAGUGUGUCCAGAAGAAGGAUAGUGUUGGGGACUUGUUCUCAAAUGCUAUGAAUUAAGAACAAGGCAACAUAAAAUGUUAAAUGUUAAUGUCCUUCGUCCACGAAGCAUUAUUCCCUUGAGGAUAAUGAACCUUGGACGAAGGUUGAUAGCAAUACAAUUACGAAGGUUAAGUCUUCGUAAUUGAAUUUUAAUAGAUUGUAUAAGAUAACAUAAAAUAAAGAAUAUCAAAGGUAAAUGAAUUAUAAACGGAACAUAUUGUAUUUACUUAAUAUAUUGAAUUUUUGAAUACAAUUAUACCUCUGCCUUGGCAAAGAUUGGUUCCUGAAUGAUGUGAUUGCCAAAACCGGAAUCCGUGAACAGUAAGGGAAUACUGUUCACUAUUUAUAGGCACAGGACACAGCCUGUGAGAAAUUACAAUUAUGCCCCUCACAAAGGAUUACAACAGCGACCUAGGCACUUAUGGACUAGAGGGUCAUUCUACUUUUAAGUCGGUUUGUAAUACCGAAGCUUCAUGAAGAGGAACCUUCGGUCAUCUCAUACGAAUAGCUUCAGCCGCAAGCUGCUUCUUCCUACAAGACCUUCGGCGACGAAGCAUAGUCCCAACAGUAGCCCCUUUCGCGGUGCUAGAUCGUUUUUCGUAACGAGCUUGAUCCGUGAAAAAAGUCCCUUAAGCUUCGGGAAGCCGAAGGUCCAAAAAACACCUUCCCUGAGCUCGUUGUCGAGAAACGAUUUAGUUUCCCAGCGCGUAGCAGUCCCACCUUGCAGAGUUACUGUUUGGUCUCUGCGGUCCACCACGCAGCGAGUGUAAGCGGGUGUCCGCCUGGUGUAAAAAUCCUGGCGCUUCGCCUUCUUACCUGCAGUACUAUAUAAACAGACGAGUAGGUGUGAAGUUACCACAGCAUUCAUUGCUAUUUGCACUGUUUUGCUGCCAAAAUUUUUAACCAUAGCCGAAGCUUGACUCUCGGAAUCGAACAAAGCUCCAGCUUGAAGCCUGCUUCGUCAGAAGGAAAAAACUUCGGAAGUAAAAGUAUUUAAUUGCCACAAAUUCAGAAUUAAAUGGCCAGAGUGCGUUCUGCCGCUAGGGUUGAGCGUGAGGGGGUGAAGCUAAAGGUUCAGAGAAUGUUCCCAUCUCCGAAGCGAUGCAACGAUCUGGGCUGGUAAAUUCGGAAAAAAUCCCCAGUGCUGAUGUAGAACAAGCAGAACAAACAACUGCCGAAGCAGAAGAAGAAAACAUUGAGGAAACUGAUCCUGAAGAUGAUUAUCGUAUUGCUAUGCCAAGUAAGCCCAGCCACUUGGACUUCGGAAAGUCUACUGUUUCGAAGGCUGAUCUCUCCAAGAUGGUAAAGUCGGGCUUUUUCAGUGAAAGUCAGAAGAAGCUACUACGCUUCGGGGGGGAAGAAACUACCCCAAAGCCGGAGAAGGAUGAAAUUAUCAUUUUCAAGAGCUUUCUAAAGGCUGGAUUAAGAUUCCCCCUGCAUGGAAUUAUCGCAGAGGUAUUGAAGAGGUUUGGUAUCUACUUUCAUCAGUCGACUCCUAACGCUAUCGUUAGGCUUAGCGUUUAUAUCUGGGCCCUCCGAAGCCAAGCGGUGGAGCCGUUUGCGGACAGCUUUUGUCGAGUUCACGAGCUGCACUAUCAGACGAAGGCUAGAAAAGAUGGAUUGCAUGACAAUUUUGGUUGCUAUAAUUUUGCUUAUCGGAAAACCACAAAGUUUCCUGUAAUCAGCUACCGAAGCAAAUGGGCAGCAGGCUGGAAGUCGGAGUGGUUCUAUGUCAAGGUUGAUGACGACAAGGAGAAGCUUGUGCAAAGUCCACUUGAACUAAUCUUCGGAGAAACCCGACCUCGUUGCAACAUGACACCAGAAGGUCCAGCCCAACAAGCGUUGGAUGAAUUCAGAAUUAUUGCAGAGCAUAUCAGUACAAGAGACCUGGUUCAGGAGUUUUUGGCUUUCAAGGUUUUUCCUAGUUUAAAAGAAUGGGAAAUGUUGAAGCUAAAGGGGGAGAAGAAAAAAGGUGAACUUGUGCGGUUACCUUACUAUUUCAAGUUUAAGAAAUACUUUAAAACACCUUGCCAAGAGUGGCUGGAUACAAUUGAAGUAAUGUGCAAUGAAAUACUCGACAAUUAUUCCAAAAAAGAAGAUCAACUGAUGACCGCGGCCUUCGGCACCCGUCCGAAGCGAAGACUAAAUCGAGUGCUGGACGCCUUGGGUUUUGAAUAUCCUAACUACGAAAAUCUGAAUAAAGGUGUCGGAGGCCAGAAAAGGAAAAGGAUAACCGAAGCCUUAAAUGAAGAUGAGAAAGAACCAUCAAAGAAGAAAAUUCCGAAGAAGAGGAAAGCGUCUUCUCCGAAGCAAAAAGUAUCCGACGAAGAAGAAACCCCCGCAUCACACUCUGCCACUGACGUGGAGGAAAUUUUAAAGGUAAUGACUGAAUCCCUGCCUGCGAAGCUAAGUCCAUUGGGGCCUCAACUGACAAAGUUUUUUCAGAAGGAAAAGGAGCCCGAAAAAACGAAGAAAACGACUAAAGCAAAAAGACAAAGAAUCAUCGGUGUAACAGAGGUCAUUGACAAGACACCACCGAGAGCUUCAGCUCAGAAGAUACCAGCGGCUGAGGGAAUGACAAAUAUUGAAAUCACACCUUCGGAGGUCGCGGCUGCCGAAGCUACCUCAAUUGAAGAUUUGAACUUGGAAAGCACAAUUGAACACAUCGACAAAAUGCUGCUAGACAUGGCCGCAGAAGAAGCUACUACUGCCGCCGAAGAGGUCGUAGCCGCAGCGUCGGGGAAAGAAAAGGAAAUUGCUGACGAAGCUUCAGAGGACGAGGCCUUCGUAUUUCAAAAUUUAGUUGGAGAAAAAUUGUCAAAAACCGAAAUAGAAGAGCUUAAAGAGUACGCCAAAUCUUGCGGAUAUAAACCAGGAGCACUCCUCUUCGGAGGUAUUGAUGAUGAAAAAUUGGACUCUAUCCGGAAUCAAACUGGAGCUAAGGUUAUCGGUACUCUGUCAAAGAGUAUCGGUUUUCCGAAGCUAGAAAUGGACAUUAGCCGCUACCGACGACAACAUAUCGUUGGUAGUUUAUUUUAUUCCAAUUUCAAGGUGAACUAUUUUUCCCCUGACUUUUAUUGUUUUGGAUAAUGAAGACAUGUCUAACGAAGGUUGUUUUCGUGUAGAGUAUGCUGUUGAGCAAAGCUUUGAAAAUGCAACAAGAUCUGGAAGACAAGAAACACGAAGUUAUAAUUGAAAAUUUAGAAGGCAAAAUAAAAGAGCAAUCAGCUACUAUUGAAAAGAAGAACUUCGAGCUUCAAGCGACUGAAGGCUUAUUGGCGGAAGCCGAAGCUAAAAUGACAGAACUGAACACGAAGCUUCUGUGCCAAUCUGAACAGUUUGAACGAGAAAAGCAAGAACUUAAUGCAAAACUUGAAGUCGAAGUCCAACAAAAUUCAGUUUUGAAAGAACUAUUGGCGGGCCUUCAAGACAAAUGUUUAGAAUUUAGCAACAAAUGUAUUCAACGAUUGAGAAAAAUUUUCCAUUCGGUCGGAGCUAGCAGUGAGAAGUUCACCCCGUCAGCUGAAGAUUUACCAAAGACCUUCGAACAUAUUGAGGGUGAAAUUGAUGAGCUUGACGAAGUUAUAGCCGGGCACGGUGACUUCUGCGCCUGGGUAGCUUCUCGGGGCACUGCUGCAGCUUUCCUAAAAGCUGGCUGCGAUCAUGGAAAGAUUGUCAAUAGGCCCAAUUUCACUUUAUCGCCAUCAAUUCUAGAUGACAUUCCUGAUCUCGCCCGAAGCAUUUCCAAUAGAUUUGUAAAGAUGAUAUGGACAAAAGGCGGGCGAGAAAAGGCAGGAGACGAAGCUCGGAGUCAUCUUGAACCAGUAAGAAAUCAUACCUUGUGCUUACCUCUUCCUUCAAGCUCGAUUUUGACUUACAACAACUUAAUUCAUGUAGGAGGACGAAGCCGAAGCCGAUGAUUAAAAAGAAUGACGCCGAAGCUGAGAUCCCUUGAAGAUUAAAUAGGAGUAGACUGUAGACAGACUCAAGAAACUUUUAAGAUAACUUUUGUAAAUGUAACUAAACUUGUCUUUAAUGAAUUCUGUUCAUACCUUGUAUUAUGCUCUUAUCCUUCCAUUAAUGUAUGAGAGGUGCUUUGAUGUGGACGAAAUUAUCUUUUUGAGUCGAAGGCGAAAAAACACCUUCCCUUCUUUUCGUACACAGUGAAGCAUAGAAAACAACAUUUCCCUUUCUUCCGAAGCUCUUCUUUUCGUACACGAAGAAGCUCUUCUCUCUUUUUUUUUCUUUUUGCCGAAGCAACCACUUAUGCUAUGAUGAUGAUUAUCCUACAUAUGCCUGGAUGAAUGUUUAUGAAUGCAAAUGCUAUGAUGUAAUGUGAUGUGCAAAUGAAUGUCCAAACACAUAUCCGAAGCCAUAAUCACAGCCAUUAUUUCCUUAGAAACAACCACAUAUCAGUGCUAACUUUUCGCUGUAAGCUCUGCAUUCCCUUAGGAACGACUUUGGAGCUUCUUUGUCUUUUACUUUCGGCGGAAUCAGCGUUGACUUUUCGCUGUAAGCUCUGCAUUCCCUUAGGACGACUUUGGAGCUUCUUCGCCUUUUACUUUCGGCGGAAUCAGCGUUGACUUUUCGCUGUAAGCUCUGCAUUCCCUUAGGAACGACUUUGGAGCUUCUUCGCUUUUUACUUUUCGGCACUCGAUGGUGCGUUCUCAGCUUUUACAUUUACAUUCCUUGGGGGAUUUUGCUCUUAUAGAACUAAAAAAGGAAAUUACAUAUGAUGGCCCCAUUAAAAACCUUUCUCCCCCUUCAGAAAGGAAAAGGGUGCCAUGAAAAAGAAAAAACAUAAAAAAUUACAUCAAGUUACACAUAAUAUCGCCGAAGCUCAUCCGCAUUCCAAGAUCUAGGAAUGUCGUUGCCGUCCAUAUCCUUCAAUCUGUAUGAACCGGGUCUUGACGAAGAUGCUACUAAGAAAGGUCCCUCCCAUUUCAACUGCAACUUGCCCACUGUAUCUGGGUUAGCCACUCGCCGAAGCACCAAAUGUCCUGGCUCAAUAUUCUUUAGCCGAACCUUUCUAUCACGCCAUUUGAUUGUUUCGGCUUGAUACUUAUUGAUGUUCUCCACAGCUUGAAGCCUGAUCCCUUCUACAACAUCUUUUUCCACAGAAUAAACAGCUUCAGAAUCUAACUCUGCCGAAGCUACUACUCUUAUUGAUCCAGUUUUGGCUUCCUCCGGAGUUAUUGCUUCGUCACCAAACAAUAGUUUGAAUGGAGUAAAGCCUGUUGACCUUGAUAUUGUUGUGUUGUGGCUCCAUACCACUUUGAUUAAUUGAUCUGGCCACUUUCCCCUAGGUUGAUUGAAGAUUAACUUCAUUAUUCCUGUCAUUAUAAUGCCAUUGGCUCUUUCAACGAGUCCAUUUGACUCCAGAUGCCUGACUGAUGCAAAAUGGAUCUUCGUACCAAUUUGAUCACAGAAAUCUCUGAAAGCUUCGGAGUCGAACUGUGUUCCAUUAUCUACUGUGAUGGCCUUUGGUACCCCGAAACGACAAACAAUAUUCUGCCAGAAAAACUUUUGGAUGGUGGCCGAAGUUAUUGUGGCUAAAGGCUUUGGCUCAAUCCAUUUAGAAAAAUAUUCCACAGCCACUACAACAUAUCUUAAGUUUCCUUGGGCCGGUGGUAACGGACCUAACAAGUCAAGGCCCCACCUUUGCAAUGGCCAAAUGGGUUGUAUGAGCUGGGUUAAAGACGAAGGUUGUUUUUUGAUCUCUUGCACAUUUCUGACAACCUUCGCACUUUUGAACUAAUUCCGCUGCAUCCGAAGCUGCCUUCGGCCAAUAAAACCCUUGACGGAAAACUUUUCCAAGUAACGGCCUAGAUCCAAUGUGAGAUCCGCACAGGCCUGCAUGUAUUUCUUUCAUCAAUUCUAUGCCUUCGGUUCUAGAUAAACACUUGAGUAGUGGAGCACAAACUCCAUGCUUGUACAACUCCCCUUCUAUCAUGACAUAUGGACGAGCUCUUGCCUCUAUCCUCCUGUUAUAAGUUUCGUCAUCUGAAAGGAAUUUACCCUGAAGGUAAGAGAUGAUUUCAGUUCUCCAAUCUUCGCUAUAAACAGGAGAUAUAUUGAGGACUGCCCUUUCAAGAAGUUCCACUGAAGGUGCUUUUAUUGUUUCGAAGAACACAUCCGAAGGUAAGGGCAGCCCCUGUGCUGCUGACUUAGCUAGCAAAUCAGCAUGCUCAUUUUGUCCUCGAGGGAUAUUUUUGACAGAAAAUCCUUCGAAGGAAGCUUCGACUCUUCGAACCAUGUCUAGAUAUUUUUCAAGCUUCGGAUCUUUAGCCUUGCAACUCUUGUCGAUAUGACCCGAAACAACCUGGGAAUCAGUUUUAAGAAUGGCCCUUCUGAUUCCCAUUGCUUUUAGCUUCCGAAGACCCAAAAGCAGGGCUUCGUACUCAGUAAUAUUGUUUGUACAACUGAAAUCGAGUCUUGCCGCAUAACAAGUUUUAACUUUGGAUGGCGAGACCAACACAGCAGCUGCUCCUGCCCCGAAGGUUCCCCAAGACCCAUCGCAAAACACUGUCCAUACUUCGGCAUCUUUAUUUGUUUCUUCAUCCUGAGCCCCUGGCGUCCAAUCGGCGAUAAAAUCUGCCAACGCUUGGGACUGGAUCGAAGAUCUAUGCACAUAAUCAAUGCAAAAUUCAUUGAGCUCUGCAACCCAUUUUCCAAUCCGCCCAGUAGCUUCUCUAUUUCUCAUAAUAUCCUUCAACGGCUGCGAAGAAGGAACAAUAAUAUUGUAUGCUUGAAAGUAAUGCCGAAGCUUCCUGGAUGCCAUCAAAACAGCAUAUAACACCUUCUCUAAUUCUGUAUAGUUUUUCUUUGAUAUACUGAGAACUUCAGAUACAAAAUACACUGGGACCUGUUUCUUGACUUGGCCAUCAAGCUUCUCCUGGACAAGUGCUGCACUUACCGCUGAGUGCGAAGCUGCCACAUAUAAUAACAAAGGAGCCCCUGGCGUUGGUGGAGUUAAUGUUGUUAAAUCUAUCAAAUAUUGCUUCAGUUCCUCGAAGGCUUUUUGUUGGCUUGGUCCCCAUUGAAAGACUUCGGCUGAUUUCAGGACUUCGAAGAAUGGUAAAUUUCUUUCUGCUGAUCUGGAUAUAAAUCUAUUAAGAGAUGCCAGCCUCCCCGUCAAUCUUUGGGCCCCCUUUUUUGUAGUUGGUGGCUCCAUUCGAAGUAUAGCUUCAAUUUUACUUGGAUUAGCUUCAAUUCCCUUUGUUGAAACCAAGCAUCCAAGAAAUUUCCCCUUCUUUACUCCAAAGACACAUUUUUCUGGAUUCAACUUCAGGCCAGCUUGUCUAAAACUGGCGAAGGUCUCCUGCAAAUCAGCAAUGUGAUUUUCCUGUUUCGUGCUUUUUACAAUGAUAUCAUCAACAUAAGUUAGCACAUUUCUGCCUAUCUGAGACUGGAGAACCCUCGCAGUCAUUCUGCUGAAACUUCCUCCAGCGUUCUUGAGCCCCUCAGGCAUCCGAAGGUAACAAUAUGUUCCACUAGGGGUUAUGAAACUGGUCUUUGGCUCAUCCUCCUUCUUCAUCCAAAUUUGAUGAUAGCCUGAAUAACAAUCGAGAAGACUCAUGAGCUCUGACGAAGCUGCUGCAUCAACUAAGGAGUCUAUCCUUGGCAAUGGGAAUUCGUCCUUCGGACAAGCCUUGUUGAGAUCUGUAAAAUCGAUACACAUUCGCCAUUUGCCAUUGGCCUUUUUUACCAUAACAGUGUUAGCUAGCCAUUCUGGGUACUUUACUUCUCUGAUAACUCCUGCACUGAGGAGUCUUUUGACUUCAUUACGAGCACCUUCGGCCUUAUCAUCAGACAUUUUCCGAAGCCUCUGCUUUCUGGGUCUGAAGGAUGGGUCAACAUUGAGCGAGUGUUCAAUAAUAUCUCUGUUAACUCCGCAAAGAUCAUUGGCUGACCAUGCAAAAACAUCUUUGUUGUUGAACAAAAACCUUAUCAAGGUUUUCUCCUGUUCUUCGGAUAAUUGAGAGCCCAACAGCACCCUCUGCUCUGCUAUGUCCUCACAUAAGAGCAUGGGCUUCGGCUGAUCUGCUGAAGCUGCUUUCUCCCUUCUGAAUUUGUACUGUUCACAAGCUUCAGCUCCAUCUAUGUUAUGGAUUGCUUUUGAGUCAGUCCAGUUUCCUUCGGCCCUUCUGGCAGCUUCCUGACUUCCAUGAAUAGCGAUGGGUCCUUGAUCCGAAGGUAUCUUCAUGCAAAGGUAAGCAGGAUGAAGAAUUGCUUCGAAAGCAUUGAGGGUGCCACGACCAAUAAUUGCAUUGUAAGGGUAUUCCAUGUCAACAAUGUCAAACACAACUUGCUCAGUUCUAGUGUUGUUGAUGAAUCCGAAGGUCACUGGCAUGGUGAUCUUGCCCAGUGCUACAAUUUGUCUUCCUCCGAAGCCACAGAGAGGGUGUGUAGCAUCAUGAAUCUUAUCUUCUGGCUCUUGCAUUUGUCUGAAGGCCUUAGCAAAUAUGAUAUCAGCUGCACUGCCUGUGUCAACCAAGACAUUGUGGACCAGAAACCCUUUGAUAACACAAGAAAUAAUCAUAGCAUCGUUAUGAGGAAAAUCCUUGAGCUGAAGGUCCUCCUGGGAGAAGGUGAUUGGAAUGUGAGACCACCUUGACUUGAUAAAGGGUCCCUGCACUCCAACAUGUUGUACCCUUCUCUGCGCCUCUUUCUUCUGCUUUUUAUUGGCUGGUUCUGAGCACGAACCACCUGUUAUCGGGAGCACCAGCUUCGGGUCUGAAGCAGCUCCAGCUCGAUCGUUGAACGAAGCCAUCAGCUCAAAAAAGUGGAAGUGAGUUCACCGGAGGUGGGCGCCAAUGUUGGGGACUUGUUCUCAAAUGCUAUGAAUUAAGAACAAGGCAACAUAAAAUGUUAAAUGUUAAUGUCCUUCGUCCACGAAGCAUUAUUCCCUUGAGGAUAAUGAACCUUGGACGAAGGUUGAUAGCAAUACAAUUACGAAGGUUAAGUCUUCGUAAUUGAAUUUUAAUAGAUUGUAUAAGAUAACAUAAAAUAAAGAAUAUCAAAGGUAAAUGAAUUAUAAACGGAACAUAUUGUAUUUACUUAAUAUAUUGAAUUGUUGAAUACAAUUAUACCUCUGCCUUGGCAAAGAUUGGUUCCUGAAUGAUGUGAUUGCCAAAACCGGAAUCCGUGAACAGUAAGGGAAUACUGUUCACUAUUUAUAGGCACAAGACACAGCCUGUGAGAAAUUACAAUUAUGCCCCUCACAAAGGAUUACAACAGCGACCUAGGCACUUAUGGACUAGAGGGUCAUUCUACUUUUAAGUCGGUUUGUAAUACCGAAGCUUCAUGAAGAGGAACUUUCAGUCAUCUCAUAUGAACAGCUUCAGUCGCAAGCUGCUUCUUCCUACAAGACCUUCGGCGACGAAGCAUAGUCCCAACAGAUAGGUUGAAGAGUCAAAUUGUGAUUCCAUCAACCUUCCCAAACUAUGUAUACCCAAAGAGAACAAGAACUCUAAGAAAGGUUCAAGAAUAAGAUCAAGCAUGAUCACCAGGCUUCUACAAAGCAACAGUCACACAUUUUCUCAGUUUCCCCACGACACCUGCCAUCUACUACAAAAGACAGGGCACUACAAUAGAAAGUGCCAGAAUUCCUGCACUAGCUGCUACCGAAUGCAAUUCCGUACAAACCUAAGGUUCCAGCGGGUCGAAUAAUAGUUAUAGUGGUUAACGAAAAGAAAGUAGACACUUAACUUCAGUUUCGUGAUUAGACAAUCAGCACAUCCACUAUCACUUCGGUGACAAAGAUUGUGUGUUAUUUAGCUUGAUAAUAAAGAUGUUGGUCUCGCCAUCCGACGAGACAUGAUUUAUUUAUCUUCGCACAGUGGCAUUGUUAAGGUCUUAGAUACACCAUAAAACAAUCCAUCCAAUAGUGGCAGGAAUAAAAAAAUAGAAGUGAUGGAGAAACCUCGUCGAAAUUAUGGCACUACCGUUUGGGCCAUAUUUCGAGCGAGGGAUAGAACGUCUCGUUAAGGGACAAAUUCUCCAUCCCCUAGACUUCACAAACUUACGAGAGUGUUAAAAUUAUUCAUACAGAUAUAUGUGGUCCUUUUUCAGUUAGUACAGUAGAUGGGUUUAACUAUUUGAUAACCUUCACAAAAGAUUACUCUCGCUAUGGUUAUAUUAAUCCCAAUAAGGAAAGAUCAGAAGCUUUAGACAAGUUUAAACAGCUCAAGGCUGAGGUAGAAAAUCAACAUGAUUUGAACAUAAAGAUUGUCGUAUCAGAUCAUGUGGGGAGUACUGUGGGCACCAUACUGAUUAUGGACAGGUCCCAGGAUCCUUUCGCGAGGUUCCUAAGUGAAAACCAUAUUGUUGCUCAGUAUUCAACACCUGGUGAACCGCAACAGAAUGGGGUUGCCGAAGGGCAUAACAAAAUGCUAAUGGAUAUGGUAAGGAGUACGCUUAGUUACUCUAACCUACCAUUGUGUCUAUGGAUGGAGGCUUUAAAAACCCGCUAUGCAUAUACUCAACAUAGUUCCUAGUAAAUCAGUGGCUAAAACUCCAUAUGAGUUGUGGACUGGCAGAAAGCCCACGCUCAACUAAUUCCACAUAUGAGGUUGUCCAACAGAAGCUACAAUAUUUAAUCCUAGACAGGAAAAGCUAGAUGAGAGAACCAUAAGCUGCCAUUUUAUUGGCUACCCUGAGAGAUCGAAGGGUUACAGAUUCUACUGCCCAGGCAGACAAACCAAGUUUAUAGAAACCAGACAUGCCAUUUUCCUAGAAAAUGAUAUGAUCAAGGGGAGUAAGGUACUCAGAGAGGUUGACCUUCAGGAAAAGAGGAUGUAUGUCCCGAUUCUGAUGGUUGAAGAACCAUACUUCUCGAUACCCACUGUGUUUCCACCAACGGUUGUAACGACUAGAGGUGAAACCCCUGUUGCAAAUGUUGCAUCACCCAAUGCAACUACUACAUAGCAAUUCACUUUACCUUCUGCACAGCCUGGCUCUUCUGAGUCGGUUGCACAGGAGAGUUCACAUGACAGUGGUAGUGUUGCGCCAAGUGACGCACCAUUGCAAGAGCCCCAAAACGAACCAAAACUAGAAACAAGUUUAAAAAGGUCUCAAAAGGUCUAGACGAUUUGUGAUUCCUAAUGAUUAUGGAGUUUACACAAGUGUAGACAAAGAAAGCGAUGGGAUUUAUAUGAGUGGGGACAUCGAUGCAGAAGGUGACCCCACUACAUAUGAAACAGCUAUGAGAAGCGUAAAUUAGUGGAUCUACAAGACCAAGCGUGAUUCCAAAGGGAAUAUCUAAAGAUACAAGGCUGGACUUGUGUCCAAAGGGUUCACACAGAGAGAAGGUAUUGACUACCAUAAAACCUUCUCACCUGUCUCAACAAAAGAUACAUUUCGGAUCAUUAUGGCAUUAGUGGCUCAUUUUGAUCUAGAGCCAUAAUAUGGAAGUAAUGACAUCAUCACUAAAUGGAGAGUUAAUAGAAAACGUGUUCAUGGCACAACCAAAGGGUUUUUGUUGUGAGUAGUAAAAGAAAAAACAUGGGUUUAAGGGAGUGCCUAUGAUCUUGAAUCACAGGGGCUACAUAUUGCAAUGCAACCAAAUAAAGUAUCUUUUCGUUCUAAAGCAGGCGAGCAUGGUGUAGUCAAUGAGUACGGUGAUACUUGAUCGGUCAUUGUCACGUAUUGGUCUCUAUGUGUAAACUUGUCGAGGGAUGAAAUCUAGAAAAGUUGAGUAUAAGGAAUGUAGAGAACAAAGGGGAGAUUGUUGGGUGUGCCCUCUACAGCUAGUCAUUGGUGAUCGGAUUGGGCUAAACCCAACUAUCCAUCUCCUUAAACGGGUCCUUGAUUGGGAGAACUCACGCUGACCUCGGUUGGAGCCCCCAGUCACACGACGCUAUAUAUAGGACUAAAGGGUCGCAGGAAAGACUAACGCUAGUACCUCGACCCAAAACCCUAAUCCCCACAGAGGCCCCCAUCGCCUAAGCGUCGGAGUGUCUAGAAGCGCGACAACCCACAGUGGCUCGGAUCCCGAUGCCUGCUGCUCCUCUGCAGACGACGACAACAACGACAACUCUCCAACAACAACAACAACGAAUGUGUGUUUUCCUAUUCCUCUUAGUAGAACAGAUCUACUUAUCAUCGAGGUUUUCCUUCCAGUUACGGAUUGGUAUUCUAGGGACGUAGGAAUAGAUCUUAGGUACCAUAGGAUCUAACACUAUGAAGAUUUUAUGACCACUUUGUAAUUUUAAGUUUUGCAUUUUUGCUUCCUGAUCAGAUGUCAUUCUCUGUACUUUCUGUGUAGGACACGGGGAAGUCCUGGAGACGCUAUCAGUGAGCUCCUUCUGCCACGUUUUGUGGACAUGGUAAUUUGGGGCCAUGAGCCUGAAUGUCUGAUUGAUCCACAGGUAACAAGACAUAUUAGUAUUUAAAAAGAGGGGAAGAGGUGCAAUUUAGCAUAUGUAUUUUUAGUCAAGUGUUCUGUCUUUCUGCUUUUGUAUUUAAUUUUAACUUUGUUUUCCUUCUAUCAACUACUCACAGGAGGUUCCUGGAUUGGGUUUCCAUAUCACCCAACCAGGUUCCUCAAUUGCUACCUCACUGAUCAAUACUGAAGCAAAUCCAAAACACGCGCUCUUUCUGGAAAUCAAGGUUAGUACUGGUGCAACGUGCUACGCUAACAUUCAAAUAUCUUCUUUUUUAAUUUAUUUAGUUUAUCAUGUUGCCCUUGAAUAGGGGAGAGAGUACAGGACAACCAAAAUACCACUGCAGUCUGUUAGACCUUUUGAGUAUGCAGAGGUAAUCCAGCUCUUACUUGUGUUUGCUCAAGUGAACUACAUCAAGAGAAUGUCAUGCAGGUUGUACUGGAGGACCAGGUUGAUGUUGAUCCUGGUGAUGAAGCAUCCAUUCAUGAGCAUUUGCACAAAGUUGUAAGUCCCCAACUAAUAACUUGUAUUUUUGUAAAAAAAAUCGUCUGUUUCCAAGGAUAUGUUCCCAUGACUGGUUAAAUUAAUUCCAGAACAGAACAAUCAGAUCUUUGAACAAUGAAGCUUCAGUUGUUGGAUAUUUGUUGUACUAAAUACUGACGGCAGAGUGGCUUUAUGUGAGCAACCUUAUUGAGAAGAGUAGGGAAGAAGCAUCCAGUAGUGGAUCAAAGCCCAAGCUUCCACUGGUUAGAAUAAAGGUAAAUCAGGAGCUCUUUAUGGCAGUUUUGUCCCACAAUGUUGUAAACAUAAAAGAGAUUGAAUUGUUCUUCAGGUGCAUCACACCGGACUUUCAACGAUAAAUUCAAAGCAAUUUGGUCAGCACUACGUGGGCAAGGUACCUCAUAAACUAAUUAAAAUGGAAUAAUUUAAAUGUGAUGUAAUCCUUUUAGUUACUACUGUUGCAUAGUGUUUCUGGUUACUAUCAAUGCUCUUGUAGGUUGUAAACCCACAAGACAUACUUCUUCUUACAAGAUCAAGGCAAAGGCAUCAAACUAUGCAAGGUAUGCCUAUUAUUGUUUCCUAUCACUACAGUAAACGAGGAAAUUUCCGAUGGCUAAAACCGUCGGACUUAAGGACUAAACCGUCGGAGAUAAGCUAUGUCCGACGGCAUUAACUUAUCUCCGACGGUUUUAAGCCGUCGUGGAUAAUGCGUCGGAAUAGCGUUAUGUCCGACGGCUGCCGUCGGACAUACGCUAUGUCCGACGGCCCUAUCCAACCGUCGGAGAUAAGGCGGCGUAACCGUUUUAACCGCUGCCUGGGCCCACAACUAUUAUGUCCGACGGUUUAAAGCCGUCGGACAUAACAUAUAGCAUAUGUCCGACGGCUUUAAGCCGUCGGACAUAACAUAAACCUUAUGUCCGACGGCCUACACUAGGCCGUCGGACAUAACGUUUUUCAGAAAUUGCACAAAAAUCUGAAAUUUAAAAAAUCUGACAUUUGCAAAUACAAAACAGAAUUCAUACACAUAUACACAUUCACAUUAACAAAUAUACUCACAUAAGUAUACACAUUCACAAAUAUAAUCACAUAAGCAUUCACAUUCACAAAAUUUAACAUAACAACAUAGUUCCAAAUGGUUGCAAUAAGUGUUUACAUAAACAUAGUUGUCCAAACUCCAAAAUGAACAUUAUUCGACGGGUAGGCUUUCACAUGAAAGGUUUCAACAAGUGUUUUACAUCAGUAUCACUCAUAUCCAUCGCCACCUCCUCCGGCUGGACUAUGCGUGCUGAAAAGAUUGUUCACCCACGAAUGUGUUGUGUCGUCCUGACCAGACCCAUCUCCAGGUGCGGCAACUGAAGCGGGUGGUGUCUGAAAUCCCUAUAACAUAAGCACAUGAAAUAGUAACCACUCAGUUGUUCAUUUAAACACAUAAGACAUCUAUGAACAUGUCACACACGCAUAUGUGUACAUACCAUAGGGAAUUGUGACGGAGGCGGAGGCGGUGGUGGAGGCGCCAACAUUGGCAUUGGCAGUGCAAAGUCCGGAGGCGGCAUCCCAUAUGUCGGCAUCGGGACGCCCGCUUGUUGGGCUAGUUGCUACAAAUUAUAUACAAGUCAUUGUUGAGCAAACAAGAUACACAUCAAGUGUUUUGCAAAAUAAGCUACAAAAUGUUAGUUCAACUUACCGAGAGAAGAGCUUGAUUUUGGGCCUGGAGGCUUACAUAAUACUCGUCCCUCUUCUUCUGGUACUCGGCUUGUUGUCUCUGGUAUUCAGAUUGUUGCCUCUGGUACUCCAAUUGAUCCCUCAAGACUGAUUGAUGGUACUCUGCCUGUUGACGCAACACCGCAAGCUCUAUCUCAUGGGCUGCUGAUCGUGAACGGGACGACUGUGAAGACGACGAUGUGGAUUGUCGUCCACGGCGUCUCAGCUCUCUGGAAUCAAUCGUAGAAUCAAAAAUACCCAACCUACAAGAGUGAACCAUGCACUUAGUAUAGUAACUCAUGCCUCAGUUGAAUCGCAAGCAUAUGAUGACAAUUUUGAAAACCAAAUCAAAUAAUCUCACCGUCCAUGGGCUUGUCCUCCUGCACUAGCAUAUGCUGCCUGAGGGUCGAUUGGCUGGCUCCUCCAAUCGUACUCCUCCCCAUGGCGUUGAACCAUCUCCUGCCCAUACGAAGCCUGGAGGCAAACAAUAUCAAAUAUAAGUGCAUAACCCCUAUGCCAUUGCAAACAAUAUCAAACACAUAAUAGAGUAUAAAAAACUCACUAGAAUGUCGGUGGCCGUCUGAGUGCAUAACACAUCAGGAUUCUGAGGAUCAGAACCCCUAUGGCCUUGCAUAUACACCUCCACAUCCGUGGGCGUACGGCCGGAUUUGACUUCCUGUACAUAAAAGUUAUAUUGACACAUUUCUAUGUAAUUCAAAGUUACGACAAACUGAGACUUACCAUUCGCUUAGCCAAGCGCACAUGACCAUCACCGCCGUAGUUGUGGAACGACUCAGUUCCACGGUUUCCCCUGUUCCUUUCGGAAAUGGCACGAAAAUCAGGGGAACCCCACCAUCUGCACAAUGCCCGAUAACCGUCUGAUCGGGUGGCCAUCCACGGCACCGACACCUACAUGAAAUUUUUAAAAUAAAGCAAGCAAAUACAUGGCUUCGUGCGAUAUGAGAGGCAACAACCUGUUUACCUCUAGGUAUUGCUCCUCCGUCAAGUAAAUUGAUGACCACUCGGCCUUUGUAUUUGGCAUCGGUCGAUCAUCAGCAUUUGCUCUGUACCAUGCCUUUAUAGCCUAAAUUCGUGCAUAGUACAUUGCAUCUGCAACGACAUCGUUCGCGUUAUACUCAAACACGUAACGAGCGUUCAUAUCAUAUGAUCCAUCGUCCGGCAACUUGUACCGUUUCUGCAAAAACCAUAGUGUUAUCAUAAAAGCAAACAUAUAUGGAAUAACUAAAAUAGUAUAAACAAGUCAUACCCAGAAUGCAUCCCAAACUAGUGCUUGUGUGUUGCCAAACGUUCUACAGACACCAUAGCGAUAAUGCUCCCAAGUGGUGGCGGGGACAGACUCGCCAGUAGGCAAAGUCACAAGACCAGGCCAGUGCAGACGAACAAGAUUACCAAGAACCAUGUUCACCUGCCUGUAGUGUCCUGUGCCUGUGAACGAGUCGUCGAUCCAAGUCCUGCAAACAGAAAUCAAUGUAGAAAUUAAAACAUAACUUUCAAUAACAUUUAAGCAAAGAUAUGUCACUCACUUUCCACUAGGCUUUAUCACAACCCGAGAUUCCGGUGGAAGCUCUGGAGGUGGUCCAACAAAAUGCAGCUUCCUCGUUCUCUUAACUCGAGAAGUUCCAGACCCAGCUGCAGAAUCUCCACCAGCCCCAGAAUCCCCAGCCCCAGAAUCUCCACCAGCGUCGUCUCCAGCAUCAUCUCCCACAUUAUCUCCACCAUCAUCUUCAUCAUCAUCUCUUGCAUGAUCCUCUACCACUGGUUCCUCAAUUUCAGCAUCCUAUGAAACAAAUAACUUACAUCAUACAAUAUUAAGUAACUCAAAUAAUGUAAUUUAACAACUAACUUACAUCUUGUGGAGGCAAAUGUUCUGCCAGCGCUCUCCGUCUGCUCAUGGUAGAACCUGUGCCCUGAAAAACUGAAUCCUCACCCCUCGAGCUGCUCCUCGAGCUACUCCUCGACCCAAGCAAACUACGAGCUAAAGACUUCAUUUUCUUUGACAUCCUAUUUUAACAAAAACAAGUUAGUACAUAAAUCGACAAUAAAAUAAUAAAAUAUGCAAUAAAAUCAUGAUCCAUACUCGUCAAUCGUAAUCGUAAUCAAAAUCAGGAUCUAGUUGCUUUCGUCGAUUUAAUGGACGCCAAGUAGCUUUCUUCUUUCUCGUCACUCGUUUUCUUUUUGGAGGAACCUCUACAUCAUUUUGAUCGCCUAAUAAAGAUUCUUCCAACAUUUCAGUUUGUACAUUAAACGUGCUUGUAAGUUCUUCGUCUUGGAAAAUCUCAGCAGCCCCCACUUCCUGCUCGAUUUGACUUUCAACAUAACCAGCAUCACCAGGAGCAUAUAGUCGUUCACGAGGAUUAACUUUGUACACUACCCUCCAAUCAACCAAACCGUUUUUCUUAGAUGGAUAUGUCAUAUAAUACACCUGCUCGCAUUGGUGGGCAAGGAUUAUAGUGUCGUGGCCUUUUAAUCUAUCGUUGUGUUUGACUUCCACCAUGCCAUAUUGAUUUUCUCGCGUUGUAUUUGGAGAAAACCAAUCACAAUCGAAGAACACCACUUUGAGUUGUUUAUCUCCAAAAAACUUGUACUCGAUUAUAUCAUUAAUGACUCCAUAAUAAUUAGUCACCUUCCCUUCAUCGUCGACAGCUCUAGUUACAACUCCGGAGUUUGUCGUGGCUGCUAGAGGAUGAUCAUCUUCGAACCUUGUGGAACGGAAUCUAAAACCAUUGACAUCAUACCGACCAUAACGUCUGCCAGUUACUGCUCCUAGGGAUAAUUGUCGAAGGUCCGGGUGUAUAUUGUCAUUUUUAUCUACAUAAUCUCGAAACCAACACAAGAAAUUAAGUCCCCCAUCUUUUCCCUCUCGACGAAUCUGGUCACGUUCACAGCCAGAGAUGCAAUUUUGAGAAUCAAAUUCCCUGUUAGUACAAGGAAACAAACCUUUUAGUAUCACAACAAAAAUUCUAGCGGCAAUGACUAAAAUAAAGUUUACACUUACAGGAGAAACUGACUCAUCUCUUCCAUGUUGUUAUACAUGUAGAGUAAAGCAGUCUUCCAUUCGUCGUUGGUGAAACAGUAUGUUGUGCUGGGUCCUACAGUUUUGCCCCUCCAUUGAAAAAUUUCAAUAUCACUAAUAGGGGGCUCGUCGACAUGAUACCGCAACGUAUGGGCAUUGACAUUGUGUUCCUCUGCAAAGUACAGGCCCGUGAACGAUGCUAUCUCUUUGUAUUUGAAUUCUUCAGCGAUGCACCCUUCAACUCGUCUCUUAUUACCAACCAUUGCACGUAGCUUCUUUAGUGUCCUUUCGAUGUGAUACAUCCAUCUAUAUUGCACAGGACCUCCUACCUUAGCUUCGUAUGGUAGGUGAACAAGUAGAUGUUGCAUCGGAUUGAAGAAACCUGGUGGAAAUAUUUUUUCAAGUUUGCAUACCAAAAUCGGUAUUUCUUGCUCAAGCUUCUCCAUCAUCUCUUUCUUUAUUUCUUUGGCACAAAGAUGUCUAUAAAAGUAGCUUAGCUCCGCUAAUGCUUUCCAUACAUCAUUUUUUACAAAACCACGAAACAUAACAGGAAGGAGUCUUUCCAUUAUUAUGUGGUAGUCAUGACUCUUCAACCCAGAAAACUUGCCCGUCUUCAAAUUCACAGACCUUCUAAAGCCCGCGGCGUAACCAUCUGGGAACUUUAAGUUUUUCAACCAUUUCAUCAAUUGUUUCUUCCUUUUAGGUUUAAUACUGAAAGGAGCACGUGGCUUCUUCUGAUUCUCUCCUAUCUCCAUAGUUGGUCUUCUACAGAUUAAGGCCAAGUCUUUCCUUGCCUUAGGGUUGUCUUUUGUUUUGUUGGUGAUAUUCAUGCAAGUGCUGAUAAUGCUUUCACCCAUAUUUCGUUCCUGGUGCAUGACAUCAAUGUUAUGCAUUAGAAUCAAGGCUUUCAUAUAAGGGAGUUCCCAUAGACCACAUUUGUGAGUCCAAUUAUGCUCGGUUCCAUAACCUUCAAAACGAUUUCCAUGUUCGUUUAGUUUCAAAUCAUUAAGUCUCGCGAGAAUCUCUGGACCACUUAGACGCUUGGGUGGUCCCCUCGUCACAAUCGUGUCCUUUUUAAAAGCGUUCCUAUCGAACCUGAACGGGUGAUCCUCUGGCAAAAAACAUCUAUGACAAUCGAAGUAACAUAUCUUUCCACCAAACUUUAGUCGAAAGCAUAAAGUGUCUUCAACGCAUAUAGGACAUGUCAAAAUCCCAUGACAACUCCAUCCAGCAAAGAUACCAUAAGCCAUAAAAUCAUGAAUAGACCAUAAAAACGCGGCUCUCAAGUUGAACUUCUGUUUCUUGUAACAAUCGUACGCCUCGACUCCUUCCCACAAAAUUUUCAAUUCUUCAAUCAGGGGUCUCAUCAUCACAUCGAUCUUUGUUCCAGGAUGAUCCGGACCAGGUAUUAUAAGACACAAGAAAAUAAAUUCAUAUUUCAUGCAAAGAGCUGGUGGAAGGUUGUAUGGAACAGCAAAGACGGGCCAACAUGAGUACGACGUUGCAGUUACAUUGAAUGGCGAGAAACCAUCUGUUGCCAAACCGAAGCGGACAUUCCGCACUUCAUCAGCAAAGCUGGAAUCAAAAGCAUCUAGUGCCUUCCAUGCAUCUGUAUCAGCUGGGUGCACCAUGACAUUUGGAUUCUCACGUACCCCUUCUUUGUGCCACCUCAUGUGUCUGGCUGUAUUCUUGGAGAUGAACAAACGUUUCAACCGAGGUAUGAGAGGCAUGUAACGAAGCUGCUUACGUGCAAUCUUCGUAGUCACGGUCAAACCAUCGUCGUUUUCAACCUCAACGAAUCUACGCUCACCACAUACAGUACACUUCUUCUCACCUGCGGUCUCCUUCCAGAAAAGCAUACAAUUAUUUUCACAGACAUCGAUUUUUUCGUAGUCCAUACCGAGGCCAGAUAACAGUUUUUUAGACUGAUACAUGUCCUUUGGCAUCUUGUGAUUCUCCGGAAGUACAUCACUGAUCAAGUUCAAAAGUUCCUUGUAACAGUUGUUUGAGAAUGCAAACUUAGACUUAAUAGCCAUAAGUCGAGUCACAAAUACAAGGACGGUCACUUUUGUGUGCUCAUGCAACGGCUCUUCGGCAGCUUUAAGGAGCUCGAAGAACUUCUGAACCUCAGGUGUAGCUGGAUCCUCAAACUCAGUGGGUUGACCGGGGUUCUCCGAAUCGACGGUUAGAAACUCAUGGCGUACAUCGUCAAGCAUCUCUUCCAUCCUAUCGUAGUCCUCCUCUUCAUGUGACUGAACUUCCGAUACAAUACGAGGAGGUGGGUCCUCACCGUGGUGCACCCACACCUCAUAGCCUGGCAUAUAACCAUUCUUGCAAAUAUGUAUCGACAUAGUCCUCCUGUCAAGGAAAUUAAUGUUCCGACACUUGCUACAAGGGCACCUAACAUCGGUUCCAGUCUCUGACCGAGCAAAAGCAUGGUCGAGAAAAGCAUCAGUCUUGGCCACCCACUCACUUGAUAGAGCACCUCUUUUCUUCCAACCUUCAUACAUCCAUCGACGAUUCUCCUCCAUACUAGAUACGAGACGUUAACUUAAUUAGAUAAGUAAUGCACGGACCAUCCGUUUUUACGAAGAAAUCACGCCCCUACAUCUGUAGGAAAGGAUAGGUCCUAAACCCACCCAGGAGUGACCGACGAGGCCGUGUUUAUGACAAAACAUGUGGUCGUGCGAAAUUUCGGCAGCAUAACCCCGCUGUUCUCCAAUCGCACGCCUAAAAAUGGUGCAAUUGGAGAACAGAGAGGUUAUGCUGCCGUAACUAAGCAGGAGCACAUGCUUUUGUCAUAAACACGGACUCUGUCGGUCACACCAAGGCUGUCCAAUAAAGGGACAAUUCCGGCCCAACAUACCUCACAUGCGUCGCUUGUAAGGUGUGUUGGGCCGAAACGGGUGACGCCUAGGUUUCGUUUGUUCACACUACGAUACACUAUGAUUAACUAUAAUCAUCGUGCAUUAUUAAAUAAUUAAACUAAUAAACCACAAUACAAUAUUACAUACGAAAUAACAUUGUUAUAAAUGACAAAUCAUAUAAAAUGACCUUAUUUUCGAGGGCAUAAUAAUUACCCUCGGAAAUUAAAAAUUUAAAUUAUCUAAAGUACCACUAAAUAAACUAAAACAAGCUACUUUAAUUACGUAAUCAAAUUUUGGCCGUCGGACAUAACAAACUAAACAAUCAAAUGCAUUCAUACAUACAUUUCUAAUCAAAUACAUUAAUACAAACAUACAAUUCUAAUCAAAUACAUUAAUACAAGCAUACAAUUUUAAUAAACAAAAUUGCUAAUUAAGUAUACUCACUUAGCGGGUGUGGAGAGCCGGCCGGCGAUGGGCGCACGGGCGGGCGGCGGGCGCACGGGGCCGUUGGCCGGAGCACGGGGCGGCGGCGACCGGCGAACGGGGCGGCGGCGGCGGCCGGAGCACGGGGCGGAGCUCGGGGCGGUGGCGGCCGGAGCACGAGCGUGGCGGCGGCACGAGCGUGGCGGUGGUGGCCGGAGCACGGGCGUGGCGGUGGCCGGAGCACGAGCUCGGGGCGGUGGCGGCCGGACCAAGGGGCAGCGGCGGCCGGAGCACGAGCAGUGGGGGCGGGCGGUACGGCGACCGGGCGGGACGGCGACGAGCGUGGCGGCGACGAGCGUGGCGGCGACAGCGCGGCGUGCUCCUCGGACGGCGGCGGCGGCAGAGAUAGAGAGACGCGCGGUCGGGUGAAACUGAAGGCGCGCGGGUCGGAUCCGCGCGUUAAAAAGCCUUAUGUCCGACGGCUCGGUACGAGGCCGUCGGACAUAAGCUUAUGUCCGACGGCCAGGGGGCGGGCCGUCGGACAUAAGGUAAUGUCCGACGGCCAGUCUGACAGCCGUCGGCUGUAUUCUGUUAUUUUCGACGGCCGCUGUUGGCCGUCGGACAUAACCUUAUGUCCGACGGUUGCCUAUGGGGCCGUCGGACAUAAUACGACCGUCGGAAUUUUAUAGUUUUACUGUAGUGUAUGAAAACAAUACAUGAGAGAGUAAUGCUAGGGUACGCUCAUAUGGGACCAGGGUGGUACUUGUGUUGAGUUUCUGUUUUAGAAUACUUUUUUAGUUUGCCAAUCAAUUUAUUGUUAACGUGGCCAUAUUACUAUCUUAUUGUGAGCAUAUCAACAAUAAACAUUAUAGAUUGGUUAAUGAAAAGUAUAAUACUGGCUAUAUCGCAAGUUUAAAAUUUGAAUACAUUUAACAAAUUCAAGCUGAGUGUAUUUUCUGGCUGUCUCUUUUAUUGUAUUGCCUUAUGUGGUCGGCACUUCUGCUUAAUACGGCGCUGUGAUCAGGAGGAGGAUGCCGAAGUAGAGGAUUGAGCGAAUUUUCUUUUGGGAGUAGUAGCCUCAGGUUGCCGCCGGGGCUGUGAAUUGUGAUCAGGAGGAUUCCGAUGUAGACCAUUCACGGUUCCAGUGUGGAUUCCGCAUCGAAUUUAAUGUAUUUCUGAUCCAGGAUCCUGGUCGACUAGUUGUUGUACCUAUGUUUGGAUUUAGGGGUUAUUUGGUUUGUUGUCUAAUUUAUCAUAGUUUAUCAUGUCUAAGGUUAGACAAGUUUGAGGCAUAUGUUGGUUUGAAGCUACAGUUAUAGAAAUACUCGUCAAUAACUAGUAAAAGUGUAACAGGAUUCUUUUAAACGUGCCAAACUAUAGCGCUGAAUUUGAGCGUCUUAAACAAACUUAACACAAAAAAUUAUGGCAAUUUAAUGCACGGGCGCGACCGCGACGGCAUCGCGCGCCGCGGCGCCGGCCGUUCCCAAGCUCCCCGCCUGUUGUGCCCCAUUGGCCCUUGCUCUCGUGUUUAGCGUGGUAUAGAAGCAUAUCCUUUCAAGUUUCAACGAGGUCCUGGCCACGAGGGGCACUGUACUCGCCAGGGUCAGUAAGCCGUCGACAUCGAGCAAGAUAUCGUGUGAUGGUUUUUGGCGUGUGCUACUUGUUCGACCUAUUGUUGCAACGGAGACCGCCGCUAACUACCAUCUCCAAGAGACUCCUACAAUUGAGUCCUAUAAAUCAAAAUAGGACAUGUUUUAAAUUAUUUAAGACCCACCAAUUCGUUUUACUCCAACCGUGAGUCCUAUAAUCACAUUAUUUAGUUAAUUAUCCGCUUCACCGCAGCAAUGUCAUCGUCGCUCUGUCAUCGUCCAUGUUCGCCAGAGACAAUCUUUCACAUGAUCUCGUUGUCCUGCAGAUGGAGUAGUAGGCCUUCACGUGAUCAUGUUGUCCGGUAGAUAGGGUAGCGGGCCAGCGGUUGUUGGUUACUCUUGAAAGGGAAAUGUGCCCUUGGGCCAUUUCUAAGUAUUUUGGUGAUUGAGUGCCAACACAAGUGCUUUUGUGUUGAUCUAUACAAUGUGGUGGACUAAGUGCAAAUCAUGUCAAAAGGUAUGUUUCUAGACUUAGUACAUUAUUUUAUGGACUAAUGUAUUGUGUCUAAGUGCUGGAAACAGGAAAAAUCGAAUUGGAAAUGAGAUGGCUUUGUUCAGCCAAGUCUGCUCAGUCUGGGAGCACCGGACUGUCCGGUGGUGCACCGGACAGUGUCCGGUGCGCCAGGCUGGCUCGAGCGAACUGGCCGCUCUCGGGAAUUCACCGGCGACGUACGGCUAUAAUUCACCGGACUGUCCGGUGUGCACCGGACUGUCCGGUGAGCCAACGGUCGGCCGCGCGAUCUGCGCGGGACACGUGGCCGAGCCAACGGCUAGAAGGAGGCACCGGACUGUCCGGUGUGCACCGGACAUGUCCGGUGCGCCAACGGCUCUCUGGCUGCCAACGGUCGGCUGCGCCAUUUAAGGAAAGAAAUCGGGCACCGGACAGUGUCCGGUGUGCACCGGACUGUCCGGUGCGCCACGCGACAGAAGGCAAGGAUUGCCUUCCCAGAUUGCUCUCAACGGCUCCUAGCUGCCUUGGGGCUAUAAAAGGGACCUCUAGGCGCAUGGAGAAGAACACCAAGCAUCCUUUGAGCAUUCUUGAUCACUCACACUCCACUCUUGCGCACUUGUUCGACAUUCUAGUGAUUUGAGCCCCGUUCUAGUGUGCUAGUCUUGUAAGCUCAAGUCUGGGUCUUGUGUGUGCGUAUUUGCUAUGAUCUUUGUGUCUUGUGUGAGUUGCUCAUCCCUCCCUUACUCUGUGCUUCUUUGUGAACAUCAAAAGUGUAAGGGCGAGAGGCUCCAAGUUGUGGAGAUUCCUCGCGAACGGGAUAAGUGAAAGGGAAUUAGGCUUACACCUAAGUCCUAAAUAAUUUUGGUGGUUAAAUUGCCCAACACAAAUCUUUGGACUAACUAGUUUGCUCUAGUGUAUAAGUUAUACAGGUGCAAAAGGUUCACAUCUAGCCAAUAAAAAGACCAAGUGUUGGAUUCAACAAAGGAGCAAUAAGGCAACCGAGGGCACCUCUGGCUGGAGGCACCGGACUGUCCGGUGUGCACCGGACAGUGUCCGGUGCGCCCGUAGACUUCGUUUUCUACCCUUCGCCAGAGGACUUCGACUUCAACCCUUCGCCCUCGGGAAUUCGCGGAGGCCGGCGCGCUAUAAUUCACCGGACUGUCCGGUGUGCACCGGACAUGUCCGGUGCGCCAACGAACCGCGGCCUCCGGAACUCGUCAUCCUCGGGUUUUCACGACAGCCGCUCCGCUAUAAUUCACCGGACUGUCCGGUGUGCACCGGACUGUCCGGUGUGCCAGCGGAGCAACGGCUCACUGCGGCGCCAACGGCUCCCUGCGCAGCAUUAAAUGCGCGCGCAGCGCGCGCAGACGUCAGGGCUGCCCAUACCGGUGCACCGGACAUCAAACAGUGCAUGUCCGGUGUGCACCGGACACCUCGGCAGGCCCACAAGUCAGAAGCUUCAACGGUCAGAAUCCAACGGCAAUGGUGACGUGGCAGAGGCACCGGACUGUCCGGUGUGCACCGGACUGUCCGGUGCGCCAUCGAAUAGAGGCUGCCAGCAACGGUCACUUUUGGUGGUUGGGGCUAUAAAUACCCCAACCACCCCACCAUUCAUUGCAUCCAAGUUUUCCACUUCUCAACUACUACAAGAGCUCUAGCAUUCAAUUCUAGACACACUAAAGAGAUCAAAUCCUCUCCAAUUCCACACAAAGCCCUAGUGACUAGUGAGAGUGAUUUGCCGUGUUCAUUUGAGCUCUUGCGCUUGGAUUGCUUCUUUUCUUUCUCACUUGUUCUUGUGAUCAAAACUCCAUUGUAAUCAAGGCAAGAGGCACCAAUUGUGUGGUGGCCCUUGCGGGGAAGUUUUGUUCCCGGCUUUGAUUAGCGAAGAGAAGCUCACUCGGUCCGUGGGACCGUUUGAGAGAGGGAAGGGUUGAAAGAGACCCGGCCUUUGUGGCCUCCUCAACGGGGAGUAGGUUUGCAAGAACCGAACCUCGGUAAAACAAAUCUCCGUGUCUCAUUUGCUUAUUCGCUUGGGAUUUGUUUUGCGCCCUCUCUUGCGGACUCAUUUAUUAUUACUAACGCUAACCCCGGCUUGUAGUUGUGUUUAUAUUUGUAAAUUUCAGUUUCGCCCUAUUCACCCCCCUCUAGGCGACUAUCAAUUGGUAUCAGAGCCCGGUGCUUCAUUAGAGCCUAACCGCUCGAAGUGAUGUCGGGAGAUCACGCCAAGAAGGAGAUGGAGACCGGCGAAAAGCCCACUACAAGCUACGGGAGCACUUCAUCGGAAGAGUCCCGCACCAAAAGGAGGGAGAAGAAGAAGAGCUCCUCCAACAAAGGGAAGGAGAAGAAAUCUUCUUCUCACCACAAAGAGAAGAAGGAAAAAUCUUCUUCCCACAAGCCGCAUCGGAAAGGCGACAAGCACAAGAGGAUGAGGAAGGUGGUCUACUACGAGACCGACACUUCAUCAACAUCGACCUCCGACUCCGAUGCGCCCUCCGUCACUUCUAAGCGCCAAGAGCGCAAGAAGUAUAGUAAGAUCCCUCUACGCUACCCUCGCAUUUCCAAACAUACACCUUUACUUUCCGUCCCACUAGGCAAACCACCAACUUUUGAUGGUGAAGAUUACGCUAGGUGGAGCGAUUUAAUGCGAUUUCAUCUAAUCUCGCUCCACAAAAGCAUAUGGGAUGUUGUUGAGUUUGGUGCGCAGGUACCAUCCGUAGGGGAUGAAAACUAUGAUGAGGAUGAGGCGGCCCAAAUCGAGCACUUCAACUCUCAAGCCACAACCAUACUCCUUGCCUCUCUAAGCAAGGAAGAAUACAACAAAGUGCAAGGGUUGAAAAAUGCAAAGGAGAUUUGGGAUGUGCUCAAAACUGCGCACGAGGGAGAUGAGCUCACCAAGAUCACCAAGCGGGAAACGAUCGAGGGGGAGCUCGGUCGGUUCCGGCUUCACAAAGGGGAGGAGCCACAACACAUGUACAACCGGCUCAAGACUUUGGUGAACCAAGUGCGCAACCUCGGGAGCAAGAAGUGGGACGAUCACGAAGUGGUAAAUGUUAUUUUAAGAUAUCUCAUUUUUCUUAAUCCCACUCAAGUUCAAUUGAUUCGUGGUAAUCCUAGAUAUACUAAAAUGACCCCCGAGGAAGUUAUCGGGCAUUUUGUAAGUUUUGAGUGCAUGAUAGAAGGCUCGAGGAAAAUCAACGAGCUUGGCGACUCAUCCGAAGCCCAACCCGUUGCAUUCAAUGCAACGGAGGAGAAGAAGGAGGAGGCUACACCAAGUCGACAACCAAUCGACGCCUCCAAGCUCGACAAUGAGGAAAUGGCGCUCGUCAUCAAGAGCUUCCGCCAAAUCCUCAAACAAAGGAGGGGGAAAGACUACAAGUCCCGCUCCAAGAAGGUUUGCUACAAGUGUGGUAAGCCCGGUCAUUUUAUUGCUAAAUGUCCUAUAUCUAGUGACAGUGACCGAGGCGACGACAAGAAGGGGAGAAGAAAGGAAAAGAAAAGAUACUACAAGAAGAAGGGCGGCGAUGCCCAUGUUUGUCGGGAAUGGGAUUCCGACGAAAGCUCAAGCGACUCCUCCGACGACGAGGACGCCGCCAACAUCGCCGUCACCAAGGGACUCCUCUUCCCCAACGUCGGCCACAAGUGCCUCAUGGCAAAGGACGGCAAAAAGAAGAAGGUUAAAUCCAACUCCUCCACUAAAUAUGAAUCUUCUAGUGAUGAUAAUGCUAGUGAUGAGGAGGAUAAUUUGCGUUCCCUUUUUGCCAACCUCAACAUAGCUCAAAAAGAAAAAUUAAAUGAAUUAGUUAGUGCUAUUCAUGAAAAGGAUGACCUUUUGGACUCCCAAGAGGAUUGUCUAAUUAAAGAAAACAAGAAACAUGUUAAGGUUAAAAAGGCUUAUGCUCUAGAGGUAGAAAAAUGUGAAAAAUUAUCUAGUGAGCUAAGCACUUGCCGUGAGAUGAUUGACAACCUUAGAAAUGAAAAUACUAGUUUAAAUGCUAAGGUUGAUUCUCAUGUUUGUAAUGUUUCAAUUCCCAAUCCUAGAGAUAAUAAUGAUGAUUUGCUUGCUAGGAUUGAAGAAUUAAACAUUUCCCUUGCUAGCCUUAGAUUAGAGAAUGAAAGUUUGAUUGCUAAGGCUAAAGAUUUUGAUGUUUGCAAAGUUACCAUUGCCAAUCUUAGAGAUAAAAAUGAUAUUCUUCAUGCUAAGAUUGUUGAACUUAAUUCUUGCAAACCAUCUACAUCUAUUGUUGAGCAUGUAUCUAUUUGUACUAGAUGUAGAAAUGUUGAUAUUGAUGCUAUUCAUGAUCAUAUGGCUUUAAUUAAACAACAAAAUGAUCAUAUAGCAAAACUAGAUGCUAAAAUUGCCGAGCAUAACUUAGAAAAUGAAAAAUUUAAAUUUGCUAGAAGUAUGCUCUAUAAUGGGAGACGCCCUGGCAUCAAGGAUGGCAUUGGCUUCCAAAGGGGAGACAAUGUCAAACUUAAUGCCCCUCCUAAAAAUUUGUCUAACUUUGUUAAGGGCAAAGCUCCCAUGCCUCAGGAUAACGAGGGUUACAUUUUGUACCCUGCCGGUUAUCCUGAGAGCAAAAUUAGGAGAAUUCACUCUAGGAAGUCUCACUCUGGCCCCAAUCAUGCUUUCAUGUAUAAGGGUGAGACAUCUAGUUCUAGGCAACCAACCCGUACCAAGUUGCCUAAGAAGAAAAUUCCUAAUGCAUCAAAUGAACAUAGCAUUUCAUUUAAGACUUUUGAUGCAUCAUAUGUUUUGACUAACAAAUCCGGCAAGGUCGUUGCCAAGUUUGUUGGGGGCAAACACAAGGGCUCCAAGGCUUGUGUUUGGGUACCCAAAGUUCUUGUAUCUAAUGCCAAAGGACCCAAAACAGUUUGGGUACCUAAAGUCAAGAACUAAAUUUGGUUUGUAGGUUUAUGCAUCCGGGGGCUCAAGUUGGAUACUCGACAGCGGGUGCACAAACCACAUGACCGGGGAGAAAAGGAUGUUCUCCUCAUAUGAGAAAAACAAAGAUCCCCAACGAGCUAUCACAUUCGGGGAUGGAAAUCAAGGGUUGGUCAAAGGUUUGGGUAAAAUUGCUAUUUCACCUGACCAUUCCAUUUCCAAUGUUUUUCUUGUUGAUUCAUUAGAUUACAACUUGCUUUCUGUUUCCCAAUUAUGUCAAAUGGGCUACAACUGUCUUUUUACUGAUAUAGGUGUCACUGUCUUUAGAAGAAGUGAUGAUUCAAUAGCAUUUAAGGGUGUGUUAGAGGGUCAGCUAUACUUAGUGGAUUUUAAUAGAGCUGAACUCGACACAUGCUUAAUUGCUAAGACUAACAUGGGUUGGCUCUGGCAUCGCCGACUAGCCCAUGUUGGGAUGAAGAAUCUUCACAAGCUUCUAAAGGGAGAGCACAUUUUAGGAUUAACAAAUGUUCAUUUUGAGAAAGACAGGAUUUGUAGCGCAUGCCAGGCGGGGAAGCAAGUUGGAGUCCAUCACCCACACAAGAACAUCAUGACGACCGACAGGCCGCUUGAGCUACUCCACAUGGAUCUAUUCGGCCCGAUUGCUUACAUAAGCAUCGGCGGGAGUAAGUAUUGUCUUGUUAUUGUGGAUGAUUAUUCUCGCUUCACUUGGGUAUUCUUUUUACAGGAAAAAUCUCAAACCCAAGAGACCUUAAAGGGAUUCUUGAGACGAGCUCAAAAUGAGUUCGGCUUAAGGAUCAAGAAAAUAAGAAGCGACAACGGGACGGAGUUCAAGAACUCUCAAAUUGAAGGCUUCCUUGAGGAGGAGGGCAUCAAGCAUGAGUUCUCCUCUCCCUACACGCCACAACAAAAUGGUAUAGUGGAGAGGAAGAAUCGAACUCUAUUGGACAUGGCAAGAACCAUGCUUGAUGAGUACAAGACACCGGACCGGUUUUGGGCCGAAGCGGUCAACACCGCCUGCUACGCCAUCAACCGGUUAUAUCUUCACCGAAUCCUCAAGAAGACAUCAUAUGAACUCCUAACCGGUAAAAAGCCCAACAUUUCAUAUUUUAGAGUUUUUGGUAGCAAAUGCUUCAUUCUUAUUAAAAGAGGUAGAAAAUCUAAAUUUGCUCCUAAAACUGUAGAAGGCUUUUUACUUGGUUAUGACUCAAACACAAGGGCAUAUAGGGUCUUUAACAAGUCCACUGGACUAGUUGAAGUCUCUUGUGACGUUGUGUUUGAUGAAACUAACGGCUCUCAAGUAGAGCAAGUUGAUCUUGAUGAGAUAGGUGAAGAACAGGCUCCAUGCAUCGCGCUAAGGAACAUGUCCAUCGGGGAUGUGUGUCCUAAGGAAUCCGAAGAGCCUCCAAGUACACAAGAUCAACCAUCCUCCUCCAUGCAAGCAUCUCCACCAACUCAAAAUGAGGAUGAGGCUCAAAAUGAUGAAGAGCAAAAUCAAGAAGACGAGCCACCUCAAGAUGAUAGCAAUGAUCAAGGGGGAGAUACAAAUGAUCAAGAAAAGGAGGAUGAGGAAGAACCAAGACCGCCACACCCAAGAGUCCACCAAGCAAUCCAACGAGAUCACCCCGUCGACACCAUCCUCGGCGACAUUCAUAAGGGGGUAACUACUCGAUCUCGGGUUGCUCAUUUUUGUGAACAUUACUCUUUUGUUUCCUCUAUUGAGCCACACAGGGUAGAGGAAGCUCUCCAAGAUUCGGAUUGGGUGGUGGCGAUGCAAGAGGAGCUCAACAAUUUCACGAGGAAUGAGGUCUGGCAUUUAGUUCCACGUCCUAACCAAAAUGUUGUAGGAACCAAAUGGGUCUUCCGCAACAAGCAAGAUGAGCAUGGUGUGGUGACAAGGAACAAAGCUCGACUCGUAGCCAAAGGGUAUUCACAAGUCGAAGGUUUGGAUUUCGGCGAAACCUAUGCACCCGUAGCUAGGCUUGAGUCAAUUCGCAUAUUAUUGGCCUAUGCUACUUACCAUGGCUUUAAGCUCUAUCAAAUGGACGUGAAAAGUGCCUUCCUCAAUGGACCGAUCAAGGAAGAGGUCUAUGUUGAGCAACCUCCCGGCUUUGAAGACAGUGAGUAUCCAAAUCAUGUCUAUAGGCUCUCUAAGGCGCUUUAUGGGCUCAAGCAAGCCCCAAGAGCAUGGUAUGAAUGCCUUAGAGAUUUCCUUAUUGCUAAUGGCUUCAAAGUCGGCAAGGCCGAUCCUACACUCUUUACUAAAACUCUUGAAAAUGACUUGUUUGUAUGCCAAAUUUAUGUUGAUGAUAUUAUAUUUGGGUCUACUGACGAGUCUACAUGUGAAGAGUUUAGUAGGAUCAUGACACAGAAAUUCGAGAUGUCGAUGAUGGGGGAGUUGAAGUAUUUUCUAGGAUUCCAAGUCAAGCAACUCCAAGAGGGCACCUUCAUUAGCCAAACGAAGUACACUCAAGACAUUCUUGCUAAGUUUGGGAUGAAGGAUGCCAAACCCAUCAAGACACCCAUGGGAACUAAUGGGCAUCUCGACCUCGACACGGGAGGUAAGUCCGUGGAUCAAAAGGUAUACCGGUCGAUGAUUGGUUCAUUGCUUUAUUUAUGUGCAUCUCGACCGGACAUUAUGCUUUCCGUUUGCAUGUGUGCAAGAUUCCAAUCCGACCCUAAGGAAUCCCACCUUACGGCCGUAAAACGAAUCUUGAGAUAUUUGGCUUAUACCCCUAAGUUUGGGCUUUGGUACCCUCGGGGAUCCACAUUUGAUUUACUUGGUUAUUCGGAUGCCGAUUGGGCGGGGUGCAAAAUCAAUAGGAAGAGCACAUCGGGGACUUGCCAGUUCUUGGGAAGAUCCUUGGUGUCUUGGGCUUCAAAGAAGCAAAAUUCGGUCGCUCUUUCCACCGCCGAAGCCGAGUACAUUGCCGCAGGACAUUGUUGCGCGCAAUUGCUUUGGAUGAGGCAAACCCUGCGGGACUACGGUUACAAAUUAACCAAAGUCCCUUUGCUAUGUGAUAAUGAGAGUGCAAUUAAAAUGGCCGACAAUCCCGUCGAGCAUAGCCGCACUAAGCACAUAGCCAUUCGGUAUCAUUUUCUUAGGGAUCACCAACAAAAGGGGGAUAUCGAGAUUUCUUACAUUAAUACUAAAGAUCAAUUAGCCGACAUCUUUACCAAGCCACUUGAUGAACAAUCUUUUACCAGACUUAGGCAUGAGCUCAAUAUUCUUGAUUCUAGAAAUUUCUUUUGCUAAGCUUGCACACAUAGCUCAUUUGAAUACUUUUGAUCAUAUCUCCUUUAUAUGCUAUGACUAAUGUGUUUUCAAGUCUAUUUCAAACCAAGUCAUAGGUAUAUUGAAAGGGAAUUGGAGUCUUCGGCGAAGACAAAGGCUUCCACUCCGUAACUCAUGCUUCGCCAUCACUCCGAGCAACUCUCUAUUCCUUGGGGAGAAAUGAGCAUCAAAGAAAAGGACUUCAUCCUUGGAGGAGAGAGUAAAAGCUCAAAAGCAAAAGGACCGGAUUUCGUCUUUGGUAUAAUCUUAACUCAUUUACUUAUGACCAAAGGGGAAGAAAUUACUAAGGAGGGCUCUAAUGAUUCCGUUUUUGGCGAUUCAUGCCAAAAAGGGGGAGAAAUGAGCCCAAAGCAAAAGGACCGCACCACCACCACCAAAUUCAAAAACUUAGUGCUUUCCAAAAGUCUUUAUCAUUUGGUAUCCUAUUGUGUUCAAAAGGGGGAGAAAGUAGUAUUUCAAAAAUGGUAUAUCAAAACCCUCUUGAACACUAAGAGGUGGAUCUCUUUUAGGGGGAGUUUUGUUUAGUCAAAGGAAAAGCAUUUGAAAUAGGUGGAGAAAAUUUCAAAUCUUGAAAAUGCUUUACAAACUCUUAUUCAUUUACCUUUGACUAUUUGCAAAAGAUCUUUGAAAUGGAUUUACAAAAAGGAUUUGCAAAAACAAAACAUGUGGUGUAAACGUGGUCCAAAAUGUUACAUAAGAAAGGAACAUUCCAUGCAUAUCUUGUAAGUAGUUAUAUUGGCUCAAUUCCAAGCAACCUUUACACUUACAUUAUGCAAACUAGUUCAAUUAUGCACUUCUAUAUUUGCUUUGGUUUGUGUUGGCAUCAAUCACCAAAAAGGGGGAGAUUGAAAGGGAAUUAGGCUUACACCUAAGUCCUAAAUAAUUUUGGUGGUUAAAUUGCCCAACACAAAUCUUUGGACUAACUAGUUUGCUCUAGUGUAUAAGUUAUACAGGUGCAAAAGGUUCACAUCUAGCCAAUAAAAAGACCAAGUGUUGGAUUCAACAAAGGAGCAAUAAGGCAACCGAGGGCACCUCUGGCUGGAGGCACCGGACUGUCCGGUGUGCACCGGACAGUGUCCGGUGCGCCCGUAGACUUCGUUUUCUACCCUUCGCCAGAGGACUUCGACUUCAACCCUUCGCCCUCGGGAAUUCGCGGAGGCCGGCGCGCUAUAAUUCACCGGACUGUCCGGUGUGCACCGGACAUGUCCGGUGCGCCAACGAACCGCGGCCUCCGGAACUCGUCAUCCUCGGGUUUUCACGACAGCCGCUCCGCUAUAAUUCACCGGACUGUCCGGUGUGCACCGGACUGUCCGGUGUGCCAGCGGAGCAACGGCUCACUGCGGCGCCAACGGCUCCCUGCGCAGCAUUAAAUGCGCGCGCAGCGCGCGCAGACGUCAGGGCUGCCCAUACCGGUGCACCGGACAUCAAACAGUGCAUGUCCGGUGUGCACCGGACACCUCGGCAGGCCCACAAGUCAGAAGCUUCAACGGUCAGAAUCCAACGGCAAUGGUGACGUGGCAGAGGCACCGGACUGUCCGGUGUGCACCGGACUGUCCGGUGCGCCAUCGAACAGAGGCUGCCAGCAACGGUCACUUUUGGUGGUUGGGGCUAUAAAUACCCCAACCACCCCACCAUUCAUUGCAUCCAAGUUUUCCACUUCUCAACUACUACAAGAGCUCUAGCAUUCAAUUCUAGACACACUAAAGAGAUCAAAUCCUCUCCAAUUCCACACAAAGCCCUAGUGACUAGUGAGAGUGAUUUGCCGUGUUCAUUUGAGCUCUUGCGCUUGGAUUGCUUCUUUUCUUUCUCACUUGUUCUUGUGAUCAAAACUCCAUUGUAAUCAAGGCAAGAGGCACCAAUUGUGUGGUGGCCCUUGCGGGGAAGUUUUGUUCCCGGCUUUGAUUAGCGAAGAGAAGCUCACUCGGUCCGUGGGACCGUUUGAGAGAGGGAAGGGUUGAAAGAGACCCGGCCUUUGUGGCCUCCUCAACGGGGAGUAGGUUUGCAAGAACCGAACCUCGGUAAAACAAAUCUCCGUGUCUCAUUUGCUUAUUCGCUUGGGAUUUGUUUUGCGCCCUCUCUUGCGGACUCAUUUAUUAUUACUAACGCUAACCCCGGCUUGUAGUUGUGUUUAUAUUUGUAAAUUUCAGUUUCGCCCUAUUCACCCCCCCUCUAGGCGACUAUCAAUAAGAAAAGAAAAGCAAAACACUGUGGUAUUCAAGUUGAUCAUUGGAUCACUUGAGAGGAGUUGAGUGCAACUCUCGUCCGUUGGGACGCCACAACGUGGAGUAGGCAAGUUUUGUACUUGGCCGAACCACGGGAUAAACCACUGUGUCAUCUCUGUGAUUGAUCUCUUGUGGUUAUUGUGUUUUGUUGAGACUCCUCUCUAGCCACUUGGCAAUUAUUGUGCUAACCUUAACCAAGUUUUGUGGCUUAAGUUUUAUAUUUCACAGGAUCACCUAUUCACCCCCUCUCUAGGUGCUCUCAAUUGGUAUCAGAGCCGUUCUCUUCAAGAAAGGGACUAACCGCCCGAAGAGAUGGAUCCUAAGGGGAAGGGAAUCGUGAUCAACAACAAGGAGAAGGAGUCCUUCGUCAACGAGCCGAAGGAUGACAAGCCUACCGACUCGGGCUCAGGCCACAGACGCAAAGAUGGGAAGAAGAAGAAGACAAGACGCAUCAAGGAGAUCGUCUACUACGACGACAGCGAUGAGUCCACUUCUUCCCAAAAGGACAACGACGACAACGACUGCGAGAGAAGGAAACCGGUUAAUUCAAACUUUUCUUUUGACUACUCUCGUAUUCCGCAAAGUACAAAUGCUCAUUUAUUAUCCAUUCCACUUGGUAAACCUCCUCAUUUUGAUGGAGAAGACUACGGAUUUUGGAGUCACAAAAUGCGUAGUCACUUGUUCUCUCUCCAUCCUAGCAUAUGAGAGAUAGUAGAAAGUGGAAUGCAUUUUGAUAGUAGUGAUAGUCCCAUGUUUAUCAAUGAGCAAAUUCAUAAAAACGCACAAGCUACUACUGUGUUGAAAGGGAAAUGUGCCCUUGGGCCAUUUCUAAGUAUUUUGGUGAUUGAGUGCAAACACAAAGUGCUUAAAUGUGAAUUUAUGCCCAUGGAUGAACAAAGUGCAAAUCACGAGUAAAGGUAUGUUUCUAAGCCUUAGUACAUUGGUUUUGUGUACUAAUAUACUUGUCUAAGUGUUAGAAACAGAAAGAAGAAGAAAAGAAAAGAGGUGUGAAAGGCUUGGCUGUGUACAGCCAAGACUCAGCUCUGUCUGGCACACCGGACUGUCCGGUGGUGCACCGGACAGUGUCCGGUGCGCCAGGCUGACUCGGCGUGAAGUGGCCGCUCUCGGGAAUUCGCCGACGGCGUACGGCUAAAAUUCACCGGACUGUCCGGUGUGCACCGGACUGUCCGGUGAGCCAACGGUCGGCCGGGCCAACGGUCGGCCGGGCCAACGGUCGGCCGCGGAAUCUGCGCGCGACACGUGGUCGGGCCAACGGUCGGAAGGGGGCACCGGACUGUCCGGUGUGCACCGGACAUGUCCGGUGCGCCAAAGGCUCCCAGAUCUGCAAUGGUCGGCCGCGCCAUUUAAGGAAGGAAAUCGGGCACCGGACAGUGUCCGGUGUGCACCGGACUGUCCGGUGCACCCGACGACAGAAGGCAAGAUUGGCCUUCCAGAUUUGCUCUCAACGGCUCCUAGCUGCCUUGGGGCUAUAAAAGGGACCCCUAGGCGCAUGGAGGAGACACCCAAGCAACCUUAGAGCAUUCUUGAUCAUCCACACUCAGUCUUUGCGCAUUCAUUUGUCAUUCUCAGUGAUUCGAGCUCCGUUCUAGUGAGAACUUUGAGAUAGUCUUUUGAGCUCGAUUCUUGGCCGUGUGUGUGCGCAUUUUGCUGUGGAAUUGUGUGUGUUGCUUCCCUUCCUUACUCCGUAUUUCUUUGUGAAUCUCAAGUGUAAGGGCGAGAGGCUCCAAGUUGUGGAGAUUCCUCGCAAACGGGAUAUUGAAAGGCAAAGCAAAACACCGUGGUAUUCAAGUUGGUCUUUGGACCGCUUGAGAGGGGUUGAUUGCAACCCUCGUCCGUUGGGACGCCACAACGUGGAGUAGGCAAGCGUUGGUCUUGGCCGAACCACGGGAUAAACCACUGUGUCAUCUCUGUGUUUGAUCUCUUGUGGUAUUGUGUUUUGUUGAGACUCCUCUCUAGCCACUUGGCAAUUAUUGUGCUAACACUUAACAAGUUUUUGUGGCUAUAAGUUUAAGUUUCACAGGAUCACCUAUUCACCCCCCCUCUAGGUGCUCUCAAUUGGUAUCAGAGCCGUUCUCUUCAAGAAGAGGGACUAACCGCCCGAAGAGAUGGAUCCUAAGGGCAAGGGGAUAGUGAUCAACGAUAAGGAGAAGGAGUCCUUCGUCAACAAGCCCAAAGAUGACAAGCCUACCAACUCCGGCUCGGGUCAUAGACGAAAGGAAGGGAAGAAGAAGAAGACAAGGCGCAUCAAGGAGAUCGUCUACUACGACGACAGCGAUGAGUCUACUUCUUCCCAAAAGGACGACGACCACAACGACUACGAGAGAAGGAAACCGGUUAAUUCGAACUUUUCCUUUGACUACUCUCGUAUUCCGCAAAGUUCAAAUUCACAUUUGCUCUCCAUUCCACUCGGCAAGCCCCCACACUUUGAUGGGGAGGACUAUGGAUUUUGGAGCCACAAAAUGCGUAGUCAUCUAUUCUCUCUCCAUCCUAGUAUAUGGGAGAUUGUAGAUAGUGGAAUGCACUUUGAUAGUUCGGAUAGUCCUAUAUUCAUUAAUGAGCAAAUCCAUAAGAAUGCACAAGCUACUACUGUUCUUCUAGCUUCAUUGUGCAGGGAUGAAUAUAACAAAAUGAGCGGCUUGGAUAACGCCAAGCAGAUCUGGGACACCCUCAAGAUUUCUCAUGAGGGAAAUGACGUUACCUUGCUCACCAAAAUGGAGUUGGUGGAGGGCGAGCUUGGACGGUUCGCGAUGAUAAGGGGCGAGGAGCCAACUCAAACAUACAACCGGCUCAAGACCCUUAUUAACAAAAUAAGGAGCUACGGAAGCACGCGAUGGACGGACCACGACGUCGUUCGACUAAUGCUAAGGUCCUUUACCGUUCUUGAUCCUCAUUUGGUGAAUAAUAUUCGUGAGAAUCCCAGGUACACCAAAAUGUCGCCCGAAGAAGUCCUAGGAAAAUUCGUCAGCGGGCGAAUGAUGAUCAAGGAGGCGAGGUACGUGGACGACGCCUUGAAUGGACCGAUCAACGAGCCGCAACCUCUUGCUCUCAAAGCCACAAGAAGCAAGGAGGCGCUACCUAGCAAGGUGGCACAAAUUGAAGCGGCCGGACUUAAUGAUGAAGAGAUGGCCCUCAUCAUCAAAAGAUUCAAGACGGCGCUUAAGGGUCGCAAGGGACAGCCAAGCAAGACCAAAGCCAAGGGGAAGCGCUCAUGCUUCAAAUGCGGUAAGCUUGGUCAUUUUAUUGCUAAUUGUCCCGACAAUGAUAGUGAUCAGGACCAAGGGAACAAGAGAGAGUAAAAGAAGCAUUACAAGAAGGCCAAGGGCGAGGCACAUAUCGGAAAGGAGUGGGAUUCGGAUUGCUCCUCCUCCGACUCCGACAAUGAAGGACUCGCCGCCACUGCCUUCAACAAGUCAUCCCUCUUCCCCAACGAGCGUCACACUUGCCUCAUGGCAAGGGAGAAGAAAGUAAGCACUCAUGAUACUAGUACUUAUGCUUCUUCAAGUGAGGAUGAGUCUAGUGAUGAUGAUGAGAUAGAUUACUCAUGCUUAUUCAAGGGAUUAGAUAGAUCUAAAAUUAAUAAGAUUAAUGAGUUGAUUGAUGCUUUGAAUGACAAGAAUAGAUUACUAGAAAAACAAGAAGAUCUUUUAUAUGAGGAGCAUGAUAAAUUUGUUAGUGCACAAAAAUCUCUUGCUCUAGAAAUUAAAAGAAAUGAAAUGCUCUCUGGUGAAUUAUCUACUUGUCAUGAAACCAUUUCUACUUUACAAGGUGUUAACAAUGAUUUAAAUACUAAAUUAGAAGUAGCAAAUAAAUCUAAUUCUUGUGUAGAACAUGUUAUAAUUUGUACUAGGUGUAAAGAUUUUGACAUUGAUGCUUGUAGUGAACACCUAGUUUCAAUUUCCAAACUUAAUGAUGAAUUGGCUAGUCUUAAUGCUCAACUUAAGACUAGCAAGAAUGAUUUCGAUAAGCUAAAAUUUGCAAGGGAUGCCUACACGAUUGGUAGACACCCCUCAAUUAAGGAUGGACUUGGCUUCAAGAGGGAAGCCAAGAACUUAACAAGCCAUAAGGCUCCCAUCUCCGCCAAGGAGAAAGGGAAGGCCCCUAUGGCAAGUAGUGCUAAAAAGAACCAUGCUUUCAUGUACCAUGAUAAGAGACAAACUAGAAAUGCUUAUAGGAGUUACAAUGCUUAUGAUGAUUUUGAUUCUCAUGACAUGUUUGCUUCUAGUUCUUUCUGUGUGCAUGAUAGAAAUGUUGGUAGGAAAAAUGUUGUUCACAAUAUGCCUAGGAGAAAUGUUGUUAAUGUUCCUAGGAAAGUUAAUGAACCUUCUACAAUAUAUCAUGCUUUGAGUGCCUCCUUUGCAAUUUGUAGAAAGGAUAGAAAGGUGAUUGCUAGGAAAUUAGGGGCAAAAUGCAAGGGAGAUAAAACUUGCAUUUGGGUCCCUAAGACAAUUGUGACUAACCUUGUAGGACCCAACAAGAGUUGGGUACCUAAGUCCCAAGCCUAAAUUUGCCUUGCAGGUUUAUGCAUCCGGGGGUUCAAGCUAGAUUAUCGACAGCGGAUGCACAAACCAUAUGACGGGGGAGAAGAAGAUGUUCACCUCCUACGUCAAGAAUAAGGAUUCCCAAGAUUCAAUUAUAUUCGGUGAUGGGAAUCAAGGCAAGGUAAAAGGGUUAGGUAAAAUUGCAAUUUCUAAUGAGCACUCUAUCUCUAAUGUGUUUUUAGUAGAGUCUCUUGGAUAUAAUUUGCUAUCGGUUAGUCAAUUAUGCAAUAUGGGAUAUAACUGUCUAUUUACAAAUGUAGAUGUGUCUGUCUUUAGAAGAAGUGAUGGUUCACUAGCUUUUAAGGGUGUAUUAGACGUCAAACUUUAUUUAGUUGAUUUUGCAAAAGAAGAGGCCGGUCUAGAUGCAUGCUUAAUAGCUAAGAGUAGCAUGGGCUGGCUGUGGCAUCGCCGCUUAGCACAUGUGGGGAUGAAGAACCUUCACAAGCUUCUAAAGGGAGAACACGUGAUAGGUUUGACUAACGUGCAAUUCGAAAAAGAUAGACCUUGUGCAGCUUGUCAGGCAGGUAAACAGGUGGGAGGAGCGCAUCACAGCAAGAAUGUGAUGACCACAUCAAGACCCCUGGAGCUGCUACAUAUGGACCUCUUCGGACCCGUCGCCUAUCUAAGCAUAGGAGGAAGUAAGUAUGGUUUAGUUAUUGUUGAUGACUUUUCCCGCUUCACUUGGGUGUUCUUUUUGCAGGAUAAGUCUGAAACCCAAGGGACCCUCAAGCGCUUCCUCAGGAGAGCUCAAAAUGAGUUUGAGCUCAAAGUGAAGAAGAUAAGGAGCGACAACGGGUCCGAGUUCAAGAACCUUCAAGUGGAGGAGUUCCUUGAGGAGGAAGGGAUCAAGCACGAGUUCUCCGCUCCCUACACACCACAGCAAAAUGGUGUGGUAGAGAGGAAGAACAUGACGCUAAUCGAUAUGGCGAGGACGAUGCUAGGAGAAUUCAAGACCCCCGAGCGUUUUUGGUCGGAAGCCGUGAACACGGCUUGCCACGCCAUCAACAGGGUCUACCUUCAUCGCCUCCUCAAGAAGACUUCGUAUGAGCUACUAACCGGUAACAAACCCAAUGUAUCUUACUUUCGUGUAUUUGGGAGCAAGUGCUACAUUCUAGUGAAGAAGGGUAGAAAUUCUAAGUUUGCUCCCAAAGCUGUAGAAGGGUUUUUGUUAGGUUAUGACUCAAAUACAAAGGCGUAUAGAGUCUUCAACAAAUCAUCGGGUUUGGUUGAAGUUUCUAGCGACGUUGUAUUUGAUGAAACUAAUGGCUCUCCUAGAGAGCUAGUGGUUGAUCUUGAUGAUGUAGACGAAGAAGAUGUUCCGACGGCUGCUAUACGAACCAUGGCGAUUGGUAAUGUGCGACCACAGGAACAAGAUGAGCAAGAUCAACCUUCUUCCUCAACUAUGGUGCAUCCCCCAACUCAAGACGAUGAACAGGUUCAUCAACAGGAGGCGUGUGAUCAAGGGGGAGCACAAGAUGAUCAUGUGAUGGAGGAAGAAGCGGAACCGACACCUCCAACCCAAGUUCGAGCGAUGAUUCAAAGGGAUCAUCCCGUAGACCAAAUUCUGGGUCACAUUAGCAAGGGAGUAACUACUCGGUCUCGAUUAGUUAAUUUUUGUGAACAUUACUCCUUUGUCUCUUCUAUUGAGCCUUUCAGGGUAGAAGAGGCCUUGCUAGAUCCGGACUGGGUGUUGGCCAUGCAAGAGGAGCUCAACAACUUCAAGAGGAAUGAAGUUUGGACGCUGGUUCCUCGUUUGCUCAACAACUUCAAAAUGUUGUGGGAACCAAGUGGGUGUUCCGCAACAAACAGGACGAGCACGAGGUGGUGACGAGAAACAAGGCUCGACUUGUGGCAAAAGGUUAUGCCCAAGUCGCAGGUUUGGACUUUGAGGAGACGUUUGCUCCUGUGGCUAGGCUAGAAUCAAUUCGUAUCUUGCUAGCAUAUGCCGCUCACCAUUCUUUCAGGUUGUACCAAAUGGAUGUGAAGAGCGCUUUCCUCAACGGGCCAAUAAAGGAGGAGGUGUACGUGGAGCAACCCCCUGGCUUCGAGGAUGAACGGUACCCCGACCACGUGUGUAAGCUCUCUAAGGCGCUCUAUGGACUUAAGCAAGCCCUAAGAGCAUGGUAUGAAUGCCUUAGAGAUUUCUUAAUCGCUAAUGCUUUCAAGGUUGGGAAAGCCGAUCCAACUCUUUUCACUAAGACAUGUAAUGGUGAUUUGUUUGUGUGCCAAAUUUAUGUCGAUGACAUAAUAUUUGGUUCUACUAAUAAAAAGUCUUGUGAAGAGUUUAGCAGGGUGAUGACGCAGAAAUUCGAGAUGUCAAUGAUGGGCGAGUUGAACUACUUCCUUGGGUUCCAAGUGAAGCAACUCAAGGACGGCACCUUCAUCUCUCAAACGAAGUACACGCAAGACCUGCUGAAGCGGUUUGGGAUGAAGGACGCCAAGCCCGCAAAGACUCCGAUGGGGACCGACGGACACACCGACCUCAACAAAGGAGGUAAGUCUGUUGAUCAAAAAGCAUACCGGUCAAUGAUAGGGUCUUUACUUUAUUUAUGUGCUAGUAGACCGGAUAUUAUGCUUAGCGUAUGCAUGUGUGCUAGAUUUCAAUCCGAUCCUAAGGAGUGUCACUUAGUGGCAGUGAAGCGAAUCCUUAGAUAUUUAGUUGCUACGCCUUGCUUCGGGCUCUGGUAUCCAAAGGGGUCUACCUUUGACUUAAUUGGAUAUUCAGAUUCCGACUAUGCUGGAUGUAAGGUCGAUAGGAAGAGUACAUCGGGGACGUGCCAAUUCUUAGGAAGGUCCCUGGUGUCGUGGAACUCUAAGAAACAAACUUCCGUUGCCCUAUCCACCGCUGAGGUCGAGUAUGUUGCCGCAGGACAGUGUUGCGCGCAACUACUUUGGAUGAGGCAAACCCUCAGGGACUUUGGCUACAAUUUGAGCAAAGUCCCACUCCUAUGUGAUAAUGAGAGUGCUAUCCGCAUGGCGGAAAAUCCUGCUGAGCACAGCCGCACAAAGCACAUAGACAUCCGGCAUCACUUUCUGAGAGACCACCAGCAAAAGGGAGAUAUCGAAGUGUUUCAUGUUAGCACUGAGAACCAGCUAGCCGAUAUCUUUACCAAGCCUCUAGAUGAGAAGACCUUUUGCAGGCUGCGAAGUGAGCUAAAUGUCUUAGAUUCGCGGAACUUGGAUUGAAUUGUUGCUUAUUGUGGUGCUCAAGUUGUACAAACACUCCCUGGACCUCACAAGUCCGUUGCAAAGUGAUGCACAUGUUUAGGGGGAGAUGUGUUACAACUUGACCCUUUGAGACUAACCAUAUGCUUGAGUUUGCUUGAUUUAGUCUCGAAGGAGAAUUGAAAGGGAAAAGGUGAACUUGGACCAUGAAAGACUUCCACUGCACUCCGAUGAGAGGGUAACUUAUUCCAAGUUCAUCUCAUGAACUCUUAUUGCCAUUUGCUCUUAAUUGAAGAUUUUGGUGAGGCAAUGGGGUUAAAGGGCCAAGAUUGAUCCCGUUUUGGUGCUUGAUGCCAAAGGGGGAGAAAAUAAAGGCCAAAGCAAUAAAUGGAUCAGCUACCACUUGAGAAAUUUUGAAAAAUAGUAAAAUAGAGCUUUUUGUUUUGUCAAAACUCUUGCAUUGUCUCUUUUGUCAAAAGUUGGCCUCUUGUGGGGAGAAGUGUUGAUUAUGGGAAAUAGGGGGAGUUUUUGAUCAAUCUCUUUUGGAAUGACUCUCUUUAUGCUUCAACAUGUGUGUUUGACUUAGAGAUAGAGAUUUGAGUCUGAUUUGCAAAAACAAACCAAGUGGUGGCAAAGGAUGAUCCAUAUAUGCCAAAAAUGAAUCAAAAUAAAUUUGAGUUUUAUUUGAAGUGAUAUUGCACUUGUUCCAGUUGCUUUAUGUUGUGUUGGCAUAAAUCACCAAAAAGGGGGAGAUUGAAAGGGAAAUGUGCCCUUGGGCCAUUUCUAAGUAUUUUGGUGAUUGAGUGCAAACACAAAGUGCUUAAAUGUGAAUUUAUGCCCAUGGAUGAACAAAGUGCAAAUCACGAGUAAAGGUAUGUUUCUAAGCCUUAGUACAUUGGUUUUGUGUACUAAUAUACUUGUCUAAGUGUUAGAAACAGAAAGAAGAAGAAAAGAAAAGAGGUGUGAAAGGCUUGGCUGUGUACAGCCAAGACUCAGCUCUGUAUGGCACACUGGACUGUCCGGUGGUGCACCGGACAGUGUCCGGUGCGCCAGGCUGACUCGGCGUGAAGUGGCCGCUCUCGGGAAUUCGCCGACGACGUACGGCUAAAAUUCACCGGACUGUCCGGUGAGCCAACGGUCGGCCGGGCCAACGGUCGGCCGCAGAAUCUGCGCGCGACACGUGGCCGGGCCAACGGUCGGAAGGGGGCACCGGACUGUCCGGUGUGCACCGGACAUGUCCGGUGCGCCAAAGGCUCGCAGAUCUGCAACGGUCGGCCGUGCCAUUUAAGGAAGGAAAUCGGGCACCGGACAGUGUCCGGUGUGCACCGGACUGUCCGGUGCACCCGACGACAGAAGGCAAGAUUGGCCUUCCAGAUUUGCUCUCAACGGCUCCUAGCUGCCUUGGGGCUAUAAAAGGGACCCCUAGGCGCAUGGAGGAGACACCCAAGCAACCUUAGAGCAUUCUUGAUCAUCCACACUCAGUCUUUGCGCAUUCAUUUGUCAUUCUCAAUGAUUCGAGCUCCGUUCUAGUGAGAACUUUGAGAUAGUCUUUUGAGCUCGAUUCUUGGCCGUGUGUGUGCGCAUUUUGCUGUGGAAUUGUGUGUGUUGCUUCCCUUCCUUACUCCAUAUUUCUUUGUGAAUCUCAAGUGUAAGGGCGAGAGGCUCCAAGUUGUGGAGAUUCCUCGCAAACGGGAUAUUGAAAGGCAAAGCAAAACACCAUGGUAUUCAAGUUGGUCUUUGGACCGCUUGUGAGGGGUUGAUUGCAACCCUCGUCCGUUGGGACGCCACAACGUGGAGUAGGCAAGCGUUGGUCUUGGCCGAACCACGGGAUAAACCACUGUGUCAUCUCUGUGUUUGAUCUCUUGUGGUAUUGUGUUUUGUUGAGACUCCUCUCUAGCCACUUGGCAAUUAUUGUGCUAACACUUAACAAUUUUUUGUGGCUAUAAGUUUAAGUUUCACAGGAUCACCUAUUCACCCCCCCUCUAGGUGCUCUCAUGUGUUGCUAGCCUCAUUGUGCAGGGAUGAGUACCACAAAGUGAGCGGCUUGGACAAUGCCAAGCAGAUCUGGGACACCCUCAAGAUCUCACAUGAGGGCAACGAUGUCACCAUGCUCACCAAGAUGGAGUUGGUGGAAGGCGAACUUGGGAGAUUCGCUAUGAUAAGGGGGGAGGAGCCAACCCAAACAUACAACCGGCUAAAGACCCUUGUCAACAAGAUAAGGAGCUACGGAAGCACGCGAUGGACGGACCACGACGUCGUCCGCCUAAUGUUAAGGUCGUUCACUGUCCUUGAUCCUCAUCUUGUGAACAAUAUUCGUGAGAAUCCUAGGUACAUCAAGAUGACGCCCGAGGAGAUACUUGGAAAGUUCGUGAGCGGGCGAAUGAUGAUCAAGGAAGCAAGAUACGUGGAUGACGCAUUGAAUGGUCCAAUCAAUGAGCCUCAACCUCUUGCUCUCAAGGCAACAAGAAGCAAGGAGACGCUACCUAGCAAGGUGGCACAAAUUGAGGCGGCUGGACUUAACGAUGAAGAGAUGGCACUCAUCAUCAAGAGAUUCAAGACGGCGCUAAAAGGUCGCAAGGGGCAGCCAAGCAAGACCAAGACAAAGGGGAAGCGCUCAUGCUUCAAAUGUGGUAAGCUUGGUCAUUUUAUUGCUAACUGUCCCGACAAUGAUAGUGAUCAGGAUCAAGGGAACAAGAGGGAAAAGAAGAAGUACUAUAAGAAGGCAAAGGGCGAGGCUCAUCUAGGCAAGGAGUGGGAUUCGGAUUGCUCCUCUUUCGACUCCGACAAUGAAGGACUCGCCGCCACCGCCUUCAACAAGUCAUCCCUCUUCCCCAACGAGCGUCACACAUGCCUUAUGGCAAGGGAGAAGAAGGUAUGUACUCGAAACACUACUUAUGCUUCUUCAAGUGAGGACGAAUCUAGUGAUGAGAAUGAAAUAGAUUAUUCAUGUUUAUUUAAAGGCUUAGAUAGAUCUAAGGUAGAUAAAAUUAAUGAAUUGAUUGAUGCCUUGAAUGAUAAGAAUAGGCUUUUAGAAAAGCAAGAGGAUUUGUUGUAUGAAGAACAUGACAAAUUUGUAGAAGCACAAAAAUCUCAUGCUCUAGAAGUUAAAAGAAAUGAAAUGCUUUCUUGUGAAUUAUCUUCUUGUCAUGAGACAAUUUCUAACUUAAAAAGCAUUAAUGAUGAUUUGAAUGCUAAGUUAGAAAUAGCUAGUAAAUCAACAUCUUGUGUAGAAAAUGAUGUUAUUUGCAAUAGGUGUAAAGAUCUUGAUAUUGAUGCUUGUAGUGAACACAUAGCCUCUAUUGCAAAAUUAAAUGAUGAAGUUGCUAGUCUUAAUGCCCAACUUAAGACUAGCAAAAGUGAAUUUGACAAAUUAAAAUUUGCAAGGGAUGCCUACACAAUUGGUAGACACCCCUCAAUUAAGGAUGGUCUUGGCUUCAAGAAGGAAGUCAAGAACUUAACAAGCCAUAAGGCUUCCAUCUCCACAAAGGAGAAAGGGAAGGCCCCUAUGGCAAGUAAUGCUAAAAAGAACCAUGCCUUCAUGUACCAUGAUAGAAAAUUUUCUGGAAAUGUUCAUGAUGAUAGGAGUUGUAAUGCUUAUAAUGCUUUUGACUCUCAUGCCAUGUUUGCUUCUAAUUCUUCCUAUAUGCAUGGUAGAAAUGUGUUUAGAAGAAAUACUGUUCAUCAUAUGCCUAGGAGAAAUGUUGUCAAUAUUCCUAGAAAAGUUAAUGAACCUUCUACAAUUUAUCAUGCUUGUGAUGCUUCAUUUGCAAUUUGUAGAAAGGAUAGAAAGGUGAUUGCUAGGAAAUUAGGGGCAAAAUGCAAGGGAGAUAAAACUUGCAUUUGGGUCCCUAAGACAAUUGUGACUAACCUUGUAGGACCCAACAAGAGUUGGGUACCUAAGUCCCAAGCCUAAAUUUUCCUUGCAGGUUUAUGCAUCCGGGGGUUCAAGCUGGAUUAUUGACAGCGGAUGCACAAACCAUAUGACGGGGGAGAAGAAGAUGUUUACCUCCUACGUCAAGAACAAGGAUUCCCAAGAUUCAAUAAUAUUCGGUGAUGGGAACCAAGGCAAGGUAAAAGGGUUAGGUAAAAUUGCAAUCUCAAAUGAGCACUCUAUUUCUAAUGUGUUUUUAGUUGAGUCUCUGGGAUAUAAUUUACUAUAUGUUAGUCAAUUAUGCAAUAUGGGAUAUAACUGUUUAUUCACAAACAUAGAUGUGUCUGUCUUUAGAAGGUGUGAUGGUUCACUAGCUUUUAAGGGUGUACUAGACGGCAAACUUUAUUUAGUUGAUUUUGCAAAAGAGGAGGCCGAUCUAGAUGCAUGCUUAAUUGCUAAGACUUGCAUGGGCUAGCUGUGGCAUCACCGCUUAGCACAUGUGGGGAUGAAGAAUCUUCACAAGCUUUUAAAGGGAGAACAUGUGAUAGGUUUAACUAACGUGCAAUUCGAAAAAGAUAGACCUUGUGCAGCAUGUCAAGCAGGUAAACAGGUGGGAGGAGCACAUCACAGCAAGAAUGUGAUGACCACAUCAAGGCCCCUGGAGCUGCUACAUAUGGACCUCUUCGGACCCGUCGCCUAUCUAAGCAUAGGGGGAAGUAAGUAUGGUUUAGUUAUUGUGGAUGACUUUUCCCGCUACACUUGGGUAUUCUUUUUGCAGGAUAAGUCUGAAACCCAAGGGACCCUCAAGCGCUUCCUAAGGAGAGCUCAAAACGAGUUUGAGCUCAAGGUGAAAAAAACAAGGAGCGACAAUGGGUCCGAGUUCAAGAACCUUCAAGUGGAGGAGUACCUUGAAGAGGAAGGGAUCAAGCACGAGUUCUCCGCUCCCUACACACCACAGCAAAAUGGUGUGGUAGAGAGGAAGAACAGGACGCUAAUCGAUAUGGCGAGGACGAUGCUUGGAGAGUUCAAGACCCCCGAGCGUUUUUGGUCGGAAGCCGUGAACACGGCUUGCCACGCCAUCAACAGGGUCUACCUUCACCGCCUCCUCAAGAAGACGUCGUAUGAGCUUCUAACCGGUAACAAACCCAAUGUAUCUUACUUUCGUGUAUUUGGGAGCAAAUGCUACAUUCUAGUGAAGAAGGGUAGAAAUUCUAAGUUUGCUCCCAAAGCUGUAGAAGGGUUUUUGUUAGGUUAUGACUCAAAUACAAAGGCGUAUAGGGUCUUCAACAAAUCAUCGGGUUUGGUUGAAGUCUCUAGCGACGUUGUAUUUGAUGAGACUAAUGGCUCUCCAAGAGAGCAAGUUGUUGAUCUUGAUGAUGUAGAUGAAGAAGAUGUUCCGACGGCCGCUAUACGAACCAUGGCGAUUGGUGAUGUGCGACCACAGGAACAAGAUGAGCAAGAUCAACCUUCUUCCUCGACUGUGGUGCAUCCCCCAACUCAAGACGAUGAACAGGUUCAUCAACAGGAGGCGUGUGAUCAAGGGGGAGCACAAGAUGAUCAUGUGAUGGAGGAAGAAGCGCAACCGGCACCUCCAACCCAAGUUCGAGCGAUGAUUCAAAGGGAUCAUCCCGUCGAUCAAAUUCUGGGUGAUAUUAGCAAGGGAGUAACUACUCGAUCUCGAUUAGUUAAUUUUUGUGAGCAUUACUCCUUUGUCUCUUCUAUUGAGCCUUUCAGGGUAGAGGAGGCCUUGCUAGAUCCGGACUGGGUGUUGGCCAUGCAAGAGGAGCUCAACAACUUCAAGAGAAAUGAAGUUUGGACGCUGGUGCCUCGUCCUAAGCAAAAUGUUGUGGGAACCAAGUGGGUGUUCCGCAACAAACAAGACGAGCACGGAGUGGUGACGAGGAACAAGGCUCGACUUGUGGCAAAUGGGUAUGCCCAAGUCGCAGGUUUGGACUUUGAGGAGACUUUUGCUCCUGUGGCUAGACUAGAGUCCAUUCGUAUUUUGCUAGCAUAUGCCGCUCACCAUUCUUUCAGGUUGUUCCAAAUGGAUGUGAAGAGCGCUUUCCUCAACGGGCCAAUCAAGGAGGAGGUGUACGUAGAGCAACCCCCUGGCUUCGAGGAUGAACGGUACCCUGACCACGUGUGUAAGCUCUCUAAGGCGCUCUAUAGACUUAAGCAAGCCCCAAGAGCAUGGUAUGAAUGCCUUAGAGACUUUCUAAUUGCUAAUGCUUUCAAGGUUGGGAAAGCCGAUCCAACUCUGUUCACUAAGACUUGUGACGGUGAUCUUUUUGUAAGCCAAAUUUAUGUCGAUGACAUAAUAUUUGGUUCUACUAAUAAAAAGUCUUGUGAAGAGUUUAGCAGGGUAAUGACGCAGAAAUUCGAGAUGUCGAUGAUGGGCGAGUUGAACUACUUCCUUGGGUUCCAAGUGAAGCAACUCAAGGAUGGCACCUUCAUCUCUCAAACGAAGUACACGCAAGACUUGCUGAAGCGGUUUGGGAUGAAGGAUGCCAAGCCCGCAAAGACUCCGAUCGGGACCGACGGACACACCGACCUCAACAAAGGAGGUAAGUCCGUUGAUCAAAAUGCAUACCGGUCAAUGAUAGGGUCUUUACUUUAUUUAUGUGCUAGUAGACCGGAUAUUAUGCUUAGCGUUUGCAUGUGUGCUAGAUUUCAAUCCGAUCCUAAGGAGUGUCACUUAGUGGCAGUGAAGCGAAUCCUUAGAUAUUUAGUUGCUACGCCUUGCUUCGGGCUCUGGUAUCCAAAGGGGUUGUUGGUGACUUGUUCUCAAAUGCUAAGAGUUAAGAACAAGGCAACAUGAAAAGUGUUAAAUGUUAAAGUCCUUCAUCCUUCGAAGGACUUUAUGUCCCUUCGGGAAAUAAUGAGUUUCGGACGAAGGUCAUAAGAGACAUACCUUCGUAAAUAUAGUAGGUAAAAACGAAAGACUCAUAUAAAGCAUGAGAUAUAAUAUAAGCAUCAUCAUGGAAUCAUUUCUAUUUUAUUAACAUGGGAAAAUAGAAAUGAUUUCAAAUUACAGAUGUACCUUCGGUCCUGAGAGAAGGUAAAAAGUACAGGCGUGACGCAAAAGCAAAUGCAAAGUCAGCGUGAACAGUACGGGAGUACUGUUCAUCUAUUUAUAGACGCGGGAUGCAGCCCACGUAAAAUUACAUCCAUGUCCAUUACAUUUGUUAACGGUUUAUGGAAAUCUAUUGAGGACCCCGAAGUCUUUUCAUCUUAAGGUCGGUUCCCCCUUGUGCCAUCGCGCCGAAGCUUCCCUGCGUACAGCUUCGGCUGCCCCCGACCUUCGUCUGGCUCAACCUUCGUCCUGGUCGUGCUCCAUAUCCAUAAUUCUGAAUCCGAAAAUACCUGUUCAUAUAAUUCACUUGGAAAACAUUGUCAAAUCAUGUUUUUGAGGACCUUCGGAGGACGAAGGCCCCCAACAGUAGCCCCUCGCAAUAUUAAUUUGUAAAUAAUAAAUUCAGAUUGCGAUAUGGACGAAGGCCUUGAGCCGAAGGUCCGAAAAAACACCUUCCCUUUGCUAGAAUAGCAACAUUCACUGACAAGCGGGGCCUUUUAACUUUCAACGCCCUAGGCGUAUAAAUAAGAACACAUCGUGAAUUCAUUUGGUACACACGCUUGCCUUUUGCUUCGGCCCACUAAAAAUUUUUAGCUCUUGCUCAUUGAGAUUUGCUGGUCUUUUUGAUUUCGAAGCUUCGGCCUCGGGAACAAAUUUUUAGUGUUUCCGAAGAUGUCUGAAGACAAGAAGAUCCCUGCCGAGACGAAGCUGAGUCUCGAGGAGGAGAAGAAUCUGGGGUUCCUGAUAGCGAUGGCAGAGACUAAUACAGAGAAAAUCACGAAGGAGAUUCUCGAAGGUUUGUCCGAAGAUACUGAUGACAGCGACAGCUAUGAUGUGGAAAGUGAUGGGGAAGAGGCCGAAGAUCGACCGUGGCGACCAAGUCACUCAGUUUUUGGGAAAACAACCAUCAAGCAGAGUCACAUUGAUAAUAUGAGGGGGCGAUACUUCCGAGACAUAUCUAUUGUGAGAGCUGAUGCCGGGGAAAAGACUUCUCCCACCCCUGAAGAAGAUGAAGUUGUAAUUUUCCGAAGCCUCCUCAAGGCUGGGCUUCGAUUCCCCCUGAGCAACUUUGUUGUUGAGGUACUGAAAACAUUCCAAAUCUACCUUCAUCAACUCACUCCCGAAGCUAUUAUAAGAAUGGGGAUUUUUGUCUGGGCUGUGAGAAGCCAAGGUUUGGAGCCAAACGCUAAAAGCUUCUGCAACAUACACGAGUUAUUGUACGAGACGAAGCCCUGGGGAAAGGAGCAAUACCACAACAACUUUGGGUGCUACAGCUUCGGCGCCCGCUCCGGGUCAAGCUACCCUGUGCCAACCUUUCGGAAGAGGUGGCCCGGAGCCUGGAUGUCUGAAUGGUUUUAUGUGAAAAAUGAUCUAACAGCGCAAAAUAAUGUCCAAAGUAUCAUUAUGUACCCAAUUUGGCAACGCUUCGGACUUCGAAGGCCGAAGGUUGAAAUGGAUGAGGCAGCCGAAGAAUGCCAAAGAGCCUUCGGCGCAGUCUGCUCUUUCAUUGGGACAAGGGACUUGGUCCAGGAGCACAUUGCCUUCAGGAUAUGGCCACUUGCAGAAAAGUGGGAAAUGCCGAAAGAAACCAUCAAAGAGUCCGACGAAGGCGGACUAGUCAGAUUAAAAUACACAUUCAAAUAUGCAGAUAAAUUUAUUGAACCUGAUGAUGACUGGCUGAAAAGCAUUGAAACAUUAAGUGAUGAAUUACUUGGGGCAUUCUCGAAGGCUGAAAAUACUGCACUAUCAGCAGCCUUCGGAGGCCGCAAAAAGAAGAGACUGAACCGAGUGUUUGAUGCAAUCGGGUUCUUCUACCCUGAUUAUUGUUAUCCCAUCCGAAGGCAGAAAAGGAAAAGCAUAACCUCUGAAAAAGAAGAAGCUGGAACCGCUCCUAGCGAGCCAGAACCAAAAGGAAAAAGGCUGAAGGUCUUCACACACCGACCACGCCAUAUUGAGCCAGCUUCGGUGCCGGAGUUUACCGGGAAAACUUCUUCAGCCACCGAAGCUGAAAAACCAAACGAGCCGGCCUUGCUGCCAGAGAUCGCAGAAACGGCCGAAGUGCCACCAAAGAUAGAAUCAGAACAAUCAAACAUUUUGUUGUCAGAAACAAAAGAGAAAACCGAAGCGCCGCUCACAGAAAAAAUUGAGAAAGUAAGAGAAGCAACUGAGGGCUUCAAAACAUCAGAAGUUUUGAGUCCUACAGCAAUCAUUGGGACGGCAAAAAAUGAAAAAGUGCCAGCUGCAACUCCGAAGAGAAAGAGAAUGGCUAAUGUGCUAGACGUAUUGGAAACGAUCAAAUCUUCGAGCACACCUCCGAAGAAAGCUGCUAUUACUCCUGAAACAAAAGCUGAAAUCUCUGGUUCUACAGCUCCAGAGGAAGAGAUUGAAGCCGAAGCUGGACCCUCAGAGUCCGCAAAAACUUUGAGAAGUGAGGCAGAGAAAAUAACAAAGCUAACUAUUGAAGAAUCUAGUGUUGCUGCCCCCGAAGCAUCCCCCAAAAUUCGUGAUUAUAUUUUUCGUCAUGCUUCGGGGAAAAAAUUAUCAGAAAAAGAAGAACAAGAGGCCCAGCAUUAUGCCCAAAAACUGAAAUAUCCGAAGGGGGCGUUAAUAUUUAAUGGCAGUGGAGAAGGAGACUUCUUGUACUGUCUUCCCGACAACAAGGAAAUUUCUGUCUGUCGGGAGAUAGGCAGAAGCUUUGGAUUCCCAACUUUAGAAGACGGACUUUCGGUGCUAUCAAAAAACGAUCUGGCUGACAGCCUAGCUUAUAACAGUUUAAAGGUAUGAUAAAUGAAAUCCUUGUAUUUUUCCGUUCAUUUAAACCCUCUGACACACACACAUAUUCCUUUUUGCAGGGCUUGAUACUUAGCAAUGCUCUCAGAGCCCAGAAAGAUACUGAAGACGAAGGGUGUACUAUAGCCCUGAGCAACCUUCGUUCCGAAGUAAUUGAACUGAGGAACGAAGGUCUCGAAAAAGACAAAAUAUUAUACUCAUUGAUAGAUAAAAUAAAGGAGGACGAAGCUGCCUUCAAAAGUCAGGCUGAAGCUCAGAAACGCGAAAUUGAAGACCUUCGGAAACAACUGGCCAGAGCUAAAGAAGAACGUAUACUUGAAGAAACAAAGCGUGAACUCAGCGAUCAAUGGGCAGAACACCUAGAAGUGACUGUUGAAGAGCUUCGUUCAUCCAAAAAGAGAUGCUACAAUAAAUCUAUAGACUGUGUUAAAAAAUUAAAGGCUAGCUUCGCCAAGGUCGGCGCAUUCUCAAGUGAAGAAAAUUUUCUGAGGGGCAAUCCCGAAAGUGUCAUUGAAUGGAUUGACCACGAAGCUGAAGUCUUCGAAGAAAUUUUAAAUAGCCGAGGAGAUAUAUGUGCCUUCUCUGGCGCCAGAGGGAUUGCCACUAUUUUAGAGAAGAAGGGCUGUGAACAUGUGAAAAUUUUAGCACAGUCCGAAGCCACCUUGUCGACUGAAGAUAUAAAAGAUCCUUCAGCCGAAGCUAGCGCGGUUGGAGGAAAAUUUUUUACCGACAUCUGGGACAACGGUGGCCGAGAAAUGGCAAGAGAAAUUAUUCAGAGAAGUGAAAAGGGCAUCCAUGAUGCUAGAGAAGUGGCUAAGGCUGCUGAAAAGAGCACAGAGCCCGAAGGUCAAUUAGGUACUAAAUAAUAGCUUCUACCGUGUUGUAAUCUUUAGGCUUUUAAGAUCUGUUUGCGAUUUGUAAUAGUAAUGUAGUCGUGUCCUGCUUCAGAUCCGACUAAAGCGCCUUCGGGCCCUCAGCCGAAGGGGGACGACGAAAUUAAAAAGAUGGCCGAAGAUAUUAUGGACGAAGUCGUCAAUCGGCUUCUGAAUGAAGCUGCAGGAGUCGUUUUGAGAGAGGAUUAAACAUUUUUGUAAAAAACUUCGGAAAUGUAAUAUAAUGUAACAUUUUUGUAACCCCGAAUGUAAUAUAUCUAUUUUUGCUACUCAAUUCUUUACGAUGCAUGAAACUUUACACACGUACCGUUUUUGAGUUUGGCGAAAAAAACACCUUCCCUUCUUUUCAUGCUUCGUGAAGAAUAUCCAAACUUCGUGAAAAAAUUCUCCGAAGCUAUACUUCCGAAGAUGAAGAUUGAUUCUCUUUACGACCAUGAUUUUCACUCUUUCAAAUCAUACUUUCGAAAAUCAAUAUUGUGUCCCCUUCUUGGGACCACGAUUUUCACUCUUUCAAAUCAUACUUCCGAAGAUCAAUAUUGUGUCCCCUUCUUGGGACCACGAUUUUCACUCUUUCAAAUCAUACUUCCGAAGAUCAAUAUCGUGUCCCCUUCUUGGGCCAUAUGCAACAUGAUGUAUGAUGCUUAUGCUAUGCAAAAUGAUGUAAUGAUGUUAUGCUACGUAGAUGACAUUUGUUCCGAAAGAUACACACAUAUCCCCACACAAUAUUUUUGUAUCAGCACUGAUUCUUCGCUGUAAGCUCUGCAUUCCCUUAGGAACGUCUUUGGAGCUUCUUCGCCUCUUACUUAGGCGGUAUAAGCUCUGCAUUCCCUUAGGAACGUCUUUGGAGCUUCUUCGCCUUUUACUUAGGCGGUAUAAGCUCUGCAUUCCCUUAGGAACGUCUUUGGAGCUUCUUCGCCUUUUACUUAGGCGGUAUCAGCGUUGACUUUUCGCUGUAGGCUCUGCAUUCCUUUAGGAACGACUUCUGAGCAGAAAACUUACACUGCGCUCCCUUUGGAACGGCUUUUUGUGACUUCACAAACUUACUCUGCGUUCCUUAGAACGACUUUUCGUUACUCCGAAGGAUUUUUAAUUCGAAGGUCCUCCUUGGUAACGGAAAAAAUUUUUAAUCUUCAGCAACUUAAGCUUGUGGAGCAAAUAGAUCUUCCUCGUGGAAAACAACGACAUUAUUACAUGAAAACUAUCAAUGUUUUUUGCUUGACAGAAAACAAAACUGAAUAAGAAAGACUGCUAUCAAAGAUAGGAUAUGUGUCAAUAAAUGUGUUUCGACUCUGGCACAGUGCUGUUGACUGUGCGAGCUUCGGACUGCUCUCUGAAGUCCCUCUGCUGUGGAGCGUAUUGACUCCCUUCUGGCUGCUGACCUUGUUGCAACGGAGGUGGAGGCGGAGGCUGUUGCCAGGAAGCUGAAGGCUGACUUGCCGAAGCAGCAGAGACUACAGGAUGAUUGCCCACAUAUUCUGGGAUGUAGGGCGAAUGAUACGAAGCUGUAUGCAUGACCUGCUUCGGCUGGGCUUGUUGUGCUGCUGCUUCAGCUAUUUCCUUUUGCUUCUGUAUAGUAACAUGGCACAUCCUGGUAGUAUGGCCUUUGUUCUCACCACAGAAUAAGCAAAAGAUUCUUCUUGGUUGAUCGCCAAAUCUUCCUCCGAAGCCCCUGGCGCCUCUGCCUCUUGGAGCUGGUGGUCGGAAGGAGCUUUGCUGUUGCCCCGAAGCCUGUGAGGAGUACUGUGGCCUUUGCUGCUGGCUCCCUUUAUCAUCAUUUUGAUUGGAAUUAUGAAUUGAUCUGACAUGCCUCGGAUAGAAUCUUCCUCCGAAGCCCCUGGUCAUCUCAGAAAAUCUGAAGGCCUCCUCCCUUCUUUGGCGAAAAUCAUUGUCAGCUCGAAUAUAUUCAUCCAUCUUCUGGAGCAGCUUCUCCAGCGUUUGAGGAGGCUUCCUGGCGAAGUACUGAGCUGACGGACCUGGCCGAAGCCCCUUGAUCAUGGCCUCAAUGACAAUUUCAUUGGGCACCGUUGGUGCCUGUGCCCUCAAACGCAAAAACCUUCGGACAUAUGCCUGAAGGUAUUCUUCGGGGUCCUGAGUGCACUGGAACAGAGCCUGAGCAGUGACCGGCUUCGUUUGAAAUCCUUGAAAGCUGGUUAACAACAAGUCCUUCAGCUUCUGCCAUGAAGUGAUCGUUCCUGGUCGAAGGGAGGAAUACCAGGUUUGAGCAACACUUCUGACAGCCAUAACAAAAGAUUUGGCCAUGACUGAAGCAUUGCCACCGUACGAAGACACUGUUGCUUCGUAGCUCAUCAAAAACUGCUUCGGAUCAGAAUGGCCAUCAAAUACGGGGAGCUGAGGCGGCUUGUAGGACGGAGGCCAAGGCGUAGCCUGCAACUCAGCGGACAAGGGAGAAGCAUCAUCAAAAACAAAAUUCCCAUGAUGGAAAUUGUCAUACCAGUCAUCUUCGUUGUGAAAGCCCUCCUGAUGAAGGUCUUGAUGCUGAGGCCUUCGGAAUUGCUCAUCCUGAGCAAGAUGACGAACUUCUUCAGAGGCUUCAUCUAUCUGCCUCUGCAGUUCAGCUAGCCUGGCCAUCUUCUCCUUCCUGCGUUGAACCUGUUGCUGAAGGAUUUCCAGAUUCUGAAUUUCCUGAUCUAGAUCAUCCUCCGGAUGUGUUGGACUGGUAGCCUUCCUCUUCUGGCUUCGUGCCUCUCUGAGAGAAAGGACAUCUUGAUUGGGGUCCAGCGGCUGCAGCGUGCCAGCCCCUGGUGCUGGAGCCUUCUUCGGCGGCAUGACGAAGCUGAUGCUUGCCGAAGGUGCCGAAAAACUCAAGAAGUGGAAGUGAGUUCACCGGAGGUGGGCGCCAAUGUUGGUGACUUGUUCUCAAAUGCUAAGAGUUAAGAACAAGGCAACAUGAAAAGUGUUAAAUGUUAAAGUCCUUCAUCCUUCGAAGGACUUUAUGUCCCUUCGGGAAAUAAUGAGUUUCGGACGAAGGUCAUAAGAGACAUACCUUCGUAAAUAUAGUAGGUAAAAACGAAAGACUCAUAUAAAGCAUGAGAUAUAAUAUAAGCAUCAUCAUGGAAUCAUUUCUAUUUUAUUAACAUGGGAAAAUAGAAAUGAUUUCAAAUUACAGAUGUACCUUCGGUCCUGAGAGAAGGUAAAAAGUACAGGCGUGACGCAAAAGCAAAUGCAAAGUCAGCGUGAACAGUACGGGAGUACUGUUCAUCUAUUUAUAGACGCGGGAUGCAGCCCACGUAAAAUUACAUCCAUGUCCAUUACAUUUGUUAACGGUUUAUGGAAAUCUAUUGAGGACCCCGAAGUCUUUUCAUCUUAAGGUCGGUUCCCCCUUGUGCCAUCGCGCCGAAGCUUCCCUGCGUACAGCUUCGGCUGCCCCCGACCUUCGUCUGGCUCAACCUUCGUCCUGGUCGUGCUCCAUAUCCAUAAUUCUGAAUCCGAAAAUACCUGUUCAUAUAAUUCACUUGGAAAACAUUGUCAAAUCAUGUUUUUGAGGACCUUCGGAGGACGAAGGCCCCCAACAGGGGUCUACCUUUGACUUGAUUGGAUAUUCAGAUUCCGACUAUGCUGGAUGUAAGGUCGAUAGGAAGAGUACAUCGGGGACGUGCCAAUUCUUAGGAAGGUCCCUAGUGUCAUGGAACUCUAAGAAACAAACCUCCGUUGCCCUAUCCACCGCUGAGGCCAAGUAUGUUGCCGUAGGAAAGUGUUGCGCAGAACUACUUUGGAUGAGGCAAACCCUCAGGGACUUUGGCUACAAUCUGAGCAAAGUCCCACUCCUAUGUGAUAAUGAGAGUGCUAUCCGCAUGGCGGAAAAUCCUGUUGAACACAGCCGCACAAAGCACAUUGACAUCCGGCAUCACUUUUUGAGAGACCACCAGCAAAAGGGAGAUAUCGAAGUGUUCCAUGUUAGCUCCGAGAACCAGCUAGCCGAUAUCUUUACCAAGCCUUUAGAUGAGCAGACCUUUUGCAGGUUGCGUAGUGAGCUAAAUGUCUUAGAUUCGCGGAACCUGGAUUGAUUUAUAGCAUACAUGUGCUUAUGCCUUUGAUCAUGUUCCCUAUGCAUUUUGUUGCUUAGUUAUGGUGCUCAAGUUGUACAAACACUCCCUGGACCUCACAAGUCCGUUGCAAAAGUGAUGCACAUGUUUAGGGGGAGAUGUGUUACAACUUGACCCUUUGAGACUAACCAUGUGCUUGAGUUUGAUGAUUUAGUCUCGAAGAAGGGUUACAAAUUGAAAGGGAAAAGGUGGACUUGGACCAUGAAAGACUUCCACUGCACUCCGAUGAGAGGGUAACUUAUUCCAAGUUCAUCUCAUGUACUCUUAUUGCCUUUAUAUUCUUAUUGAAGAUUUUGGUGAGGCAAUGGGGUUCUAGGGCCAAGAUUGAUCCCGUUUUGGUGCUUGAUGCCAAAGGGGGAGAAAAUAAAGGCCAAAGCAAUAAAUGGAUCAGCUACCACUUGAGAGAUUUUGAAAAUAGUAGAAUAGAGCUUUUGGUUUGUCAAAACUCUUUUUGUCUCUCUUGUCAAAAGUUGGCUUCUUAUGGGGAGAAGUCUUGAUUAUGGGAAAAAGGGGAGUUUUUUUUGAAAUCUUGGAUCAAUUUCUCUUGGAAUGACUCUCUUUAUGUCUUAACAUGUGUGUUUGACUUAGAGAUAGAAAUUUGAGGUUGAUUUGCAUAAACAAACCAAGUGGUGGCAAAGAGUGAUCCAUAUAUGUCAAAUGUAAAUCAAAACAGUUUGAGUUCUUAUUUGAAUUGAUUUUGCACUUGUUCUACUUGCUUUAUGUUAUGUUGGCAUAAAUCACCAAAAAGGGGGAGAUUGAAAGGGAAAUGUGCCCUUGGGCCAUUUCUAAGUAUUUUGGUGAUUGAGUGCCAACACAAGUGCUUUUGUGUUGAUCUAUGCAAUGUGGUGGACUAAGUGCAAAUCAUGUCAAAAGGUAUGUUUCUAGACUUAGUACAUUAUUUUAUGGACUAAUGUAUUGUGUCUAAGUGCUGGAAACAGGAAAAAUCGAAUUGGAAAUGAGAUGGCUUUGUUCAGCCAAGUCUGCUCAGUCUGGGAGCACCGGACUGUCCGGUGGUGCACCAGACAGUGUCCGGUGCGCCAUGCUGGCUCGAGCGAACUGGCCGCUCUCGGGAAUUCACUGGCGACGUACGGCUAUAAUUCACCGGACUGUCCGGUGUGCACCGGACUGUCCGGUGUGCACCGGACUGUCCGGUGAGCCAACGGUCGGCCGGGCCAACGGUCGGCCGCGCGAUCUGCGCGGGACACGUGGCCGAGCCAACGGCUAGAAGGAGGCACCGGACUGUCCGGUGUGCACCGGACAUGUCCGGUGCGCCAACGGCUCUCUGGCUGCUAACGGUCGGCUGCGCCAUUUAAGGAAAGAAAUCGGGCACCGGACAGUGUCCGGUGUGCACCGGACUGUCCGGUGCGCCACACGACAGAAGGCAAGGAUUGCCUUCCCAGAUUGCUCUCAACGGCUCCUAGCUGCCUUGGGGCUAUAAAAGGGACCCCUAGGCGCAUGGAGAAGAACACCAAGCAUCCUUUGAGCAUUCUUGAUCACUCACACUCCACUCUUGCGCACUUGUUCGAUAUUCUAGUGAUUUGAGCCCCGUUCUAGUGUGCUAGUCUUGUAAGCUCAAGUCUGGGUCUUGUGUGUGCGUAUUUGCUGUGAUCUUUGUGUCUUGUGUGAGUUGCUCAUCCCUCCCUUACUCUGUGAUUCUUUGUGAACAUCAAAAGUGUAAGGGCGAGAGGCUCCAAGUUGUGGAGAUUCCUCGCGAACGGGAUAAGAAAAGAAAAGCAAAACACUGUGGUAUUCAAGUUGAUCAUUGGAUCACUUGAGAGGAGUUGAGUGCAACUCUCGUCCGUUGGGACGCCACAACGUGGAGUAGGCAAGUUUUGUACUUGGCCGAACCACGGGAUAAACCACUGUGUCAUCUCUGUGAUUGAUCUCUUGUGGUUAUUGUGUUUUGUUGAGACUCCUCUCUAGCCACUUGGCAAUUAUUGUGCUAACCUUAACCAAGUUUUGUGGCUUAAGUUUUAAGUUUCACAGGAUCACCUAUUCACCCCCCCCCUCUAGGUGCUCUCAACUCUCCACCAACAAGAGAGAUAGAAAUCUAUUAGAAGCCAGAGCUCCAGCUUGCUAGUUCGAUUUGAUGGCAGCAACUAACACGACAAUGACGCUCAGCAUGAUAUGAAGAUUGCCAUCGAUAGGAAGGCUCAUCACCUGCUGUUCGCGGAGGCGAGAAAGGAUGUGGUCGACUUCUUCUCCCUACUCGUCCUGCUCGUCGGCGCGACCGUCAAACUGCUGGGGAAUAAGGGCAUGGCCGGCAGCACCGACAACCUCUAUGAUAGUGUGGAGGGCCUCGAAUACGCCCACAUCCAGACCAUUGUCGUGCAUCGAGGAAGAUGGACUUGAGACCCACUUAAUGCCUUUCCAUAAUAGUAGCAUUUUCUAUGUGAUUGGAGAUCUCAUGAAGUAGAAUGGUGAAACAAGCUAGAGAAUGACCGAUGGAGAGACUCCUUAAAUAAAAUCUAGGUAAUUUCAUAUGCACAUUUCUCCUUUGAUGUACGAUAGGCUAACUAAAAUCUUAAUAUGAUUUGAGUGACUUAUCUAAGCAGGGAUGUUAUCUUAUAGAACAUCUUAGAAGGAACACACCUAUAUGAGUUUGACUGCUAGUCACAAUCUAUGAUAUGUGGGCAAUAUUUAUAUACUCAUGAAAGGUCUCGAAGUUUGACUUAUAUGCUUCAAACCAAGGGGAUUCUUGUAAUAGUCUAGUACUAGAUAAGAACUUUGGUGAAACUCACUUCAUACAAAACUGUCAAUUCAAUAUAUAGUCUAUUGUUCAGAUGUGAUUGUGUAAUCCCUGUUCUAGAUGGAUGGUCAACUUAACAACCUCCACCAAAACCCUUAUAUAUCAAAGAGUAGUGGAUUUGAAUUUGCCUAAUAUGUAGUUUAUGGGCUUGGCUCAUUUAAAGUAUUUAAUAAUUCUGAAUGACAAGAUUAAACUAACUAUGUAUGAUCCUUUAGCUCCGUACAGAUGGUCGAUGGGAUAGUUACAUGGUUUAUGUAGAUGGACCUAUCUAUAUUCCUUCAGUGGUUGAGAGAAAGGUAAAGGUGUGUCACACUCACGCGUGCGCCGCCUCCGCCGAGACAAGGUGUGGCGUUGCAAGGUGAGGCAUGGUAUGGUGCAGCACGAUCACAGUCAUGGUCGUGGCACGAUGUAGCAUUGUUGUGGAUAGAUAGAUAAACUAUUGUUGUAGUUAGAGCGCGUGAGUUUUUGAAUGCAACACUAGAAUUUUCACAAUUUAACUUAAUUAAGAAGUUAUAUCUUGAUGACACAGAGUUACCUGACCAUUGAUCUCACAUGCCAUUUUAGCUCUCUCGUUCUCUAGUCUCACCCUAACUAUUUAGGUCUCCUGACUCACCAAUAUAAACACCAUCCUAUCAUUUGCUCUCCAAUACUUCUCUGUCACAACUCAACUAUUAGAUGAGUACUCCAUUACAACACUUACGUACACGAGUUCAUGAGAUCAGGCCUCCAAAAUGAAUAUCGGCUAAGUGUUUAUCUACUUAGAUGAAAGACGAUAAUCGUGUUCUUGGGAAAUAUCAGCGACAUAACUCCUUACUUCCUCUGCUUCUUCCUAGUGUUUUUGUUGUUGUGAUUGAGUCGACACAGCAACAACGCUGCACUAUUACAACCAGUACGAUUAUAUCAACUAACAAUGUCUUCCUUAUAUGUUACUAUUUAUUUUGCUCAUAUUCAUUAUGCUUAAAUCACAUGUGCACCUUUCUAUUGACAUCAAAAAUAGUAUCAACUUUCUAGAUUAAAAUGCAACUAAAAGUACCUAAAUUUCUAUCAGUGGGGAUUGAGUGAUUCUUUAAACCGAUUAUUACAUAAGUUAACCACACUAAAAUUAACAUUGGUGAAUCGUGCCAUGAUUUUUUUCUAGUGCAAAAUAGCCAAACCAAGCAACACAUAUGUGGCUAUCGUUACACAUUUGUAAAGGUAUUGCAUCACACCAUUGUCACCCAUGUAUUUGGACAAUAACGAGAGGAAAAACCACUUAUUUAUUGUAUUUUAUCAAGUUUGUCUUGCUUACGUAUAAAUUAUAACCCAACAAAGUAAUCACUAAAUGUCAAAACCAACUAGAUACCAUGUCAUCUCUACCUUAUCUUACUAAUGUUCUUUUUGCAAAAUCCAAAAGUAAUCUUGCACAAGCACAAGGACUGAUAUGUGUAUAAAUAUCUCUUAGAUUAGUAGUUAAUACAUCACUCAUAUUAUUAAGACCAACUAGCAACAUAGAAAGCACAAUAGUGUACCAACAAUGGCAACCAAAAUAUUUUGCUUCCUUAUGCUCCUUGGUCUUUCUGCAAGUGCUGCUACCGCGACCAUUUUCCCGCAAUGCUCACAAGCUCCUAUAGCUUCCCUUCUUCCCCCAUACCUCUCACCAGCGGUGUCUUCAGUAUGUGAAAACCCAAUUCUUCAACCCUACAGGAUCCAACAGGCAAUCGCAGCAGGCAUCUUACCUUUAUCACCCUUGUUCCUCCAACAACCGUCAGCCCUAUUACAGCAGUUACCUUUGGUGCAUUUGUUGGCACAAAACAUCAGGGCACAACAACUACAACAACUUGUGCUAGCAAACCUUGCUGCCUACUCUCAGCAACAGCAGUUUCUUCCAUUCAACCAACUGGCUGCAUUGAACUCUGCUGCUUAUUUGCAACAACAACUACCAUUCAGCCAACUAGCUGUUGUCUACCCCCAGCAAUUUCUUCCAUUCAACCAACUAGCAACAUUGAACUCUGCUGCUUAUUUACAACAGCAACAGCUACCACCAUUCAACCAGCUAGCUAAUGUGAGCCCUGCUGCCUUCUUGACACAACAAUAGUUGUUGUCGUUCUACCUGCACGCUGCGCCUAACGCUGGCACCCUCUUACAACUGCAACAAUUGCUGCCAUUCAACCAACUUGCUUUGACAAACCCAGCAGCGUUCUACCAACAACCCAUCAUUGGUGGUGCCCUCUUUU